rnacentral:lncRNA from 1 species
UACGAUCGAUGCACUAAACGUAAGCAACUAUUGUGCGCACGCAAAUUUAAAAACUCUACCGGCAAGCCGGCAUCGGUCAAGCCGUCGGGUAGAAGGGCGAGGUGGCGAGGGCACAUGUGCCCGUCGGCCCGACAACGUCCUUGGCGAGGUAGAUGUAUCCCUGGUCGCCCCAAUCGUUGCUCCACGAGUUCUUGGCUAUCCAAAACUUCUCACCGAACUCCUCGCAGUAGCCGACAAUGGUGACGGCGUGGUUGACCCUCGCGGCGUCGGAGGAGCAGGGGCCCCGGAAGAUGCCGCCGGAGUAGAACUGGAACUCCCACGUGCUGGCGUCGAUGUACACCGUCACGGGCUGCCGCGCCACUGCCAGCGCCAGCUGCCGCUCGUUGUUGGGCGGCACGGCCUUGAAUCCCUUGACGGACGCCUGGUGGUCGAACAACAGCUUGUCCACGUCGCAGGUGCCCUUGAAGCCGCUGUACGGGUACCUCUCCUCUGACGUGAUGCCGCCGCGGGCAGCCACGAGGCCCAGGGCAGUGUCUGUGCGGCCGCCGCUGCAGCCACUGCUACCGGUGUCGCAGUCCACAAGCUGCUGCUCCGACAGAGACACCAGUUCGCCGGUCCUGAUCUUGUUCAUGCCCUCGAUGGCCGCCACGGCCGCGAAUGCCCAGCAUGACACUGCCAUAUACAUGUUCGUUAGUCGUUACUCUACGAGAACUGACCAAAAUAUGUAAAGUUAUAAACCUGAGCAGGAGUUUGCUAGCUUGACUUACAGCAAGAACCCUGAAACUUGACGCCGGUGACGGCGCCGCUCGAGCGCCAGUCAACGCAGCACGGUUUCCAUGAGUCGUAGGGGAGCGGGGUUGGAGGCUCUGGGGUGAAGACGGAGUUGUUGAACCCGGUGAACUGCUCGGCGACCUCGCUGGGGUUGAGAUCGCCGAAUCUGUUCAUGCCGACCCUGACCGUCGUGACGGUCUGGGGGCCGAACGAGCCGACGCCGCCGUUGACCGUUGUCUGGCUGGCGAAAGCGCCGAUGGAGUUGGUGUUCGUCUUGAAGAUUCCGAACCGCUUCUCCUGCUCCUCGUGGCUCGGGUAGCGCUUCGAGUACUUGGUUUGCCACCUCGUCCACCUGGACCUCACCUCGGAUUCCGGCAGCUCCCAUGAUGGCCGCUGCGGCGGGUCUGCCGCGGUCAGCGAUGCCUGCAGCAGGCAGGCGAUGCCCAAGAGUAGGACUAGGCAAGGCAUUGAAGAAGCCAUUUUGAUUGAUUAACUUAGGCUGUGUGGAAAUGCAUGCACCGGGUUAAUGUUUAUAUAGGCGCUUUGGUGAUGCGUGGGUUAGCACGUCGCUGUGGCUGCAGGCUGAGUCAUUAGGUGUGGCCAGCGGAGCUAAUCCUUGAAGACGACUAUGGGUCAUGGAGGUGUGUCAGAUGAGUACCCAGUAGGAUGGUUCAAUUAGCUAGUGAAGGGAAAUGCCUUACAUCUGUAAUCUGAUCCCACGUUUUGUUAGGACUCGUUUCUACUCCCUCCGUUCCUAAAUAUAAGUCUUUAAAGAUGUUUCAUUAGUGAACUACAUACGGAUGUAUAUAAACAUACUUUAGAGUGUAGAUUCAUUCAUUUUACUCCGUAUGUAGACUUCUAAUGAAAUAUCUUAAAAGACUUAUAUUUAGGAACGGAGNNNNNNNNNNNNNNNNNNNNNNNNNNNNNNNNNNNNNNNNNNNNNNNNNNNNNNNNNNNNNNNNNNNNNNNNNNNNNNNNNNNNNNNNNNNNNNNNNNNNNNNNNNNNNNNNNNNNNNNNNNNNNNNNNNNNNNNNNNNNNNNNNNNNNNNNNNNNNNNNNNNNNNNNNNNNNNNNNNNNNNNNNNNNNNNNNNNNNNNNNNNNNNNNNNNNNNNNNNNNNNNNNNNNNNNNNNNNCUUAUAUUUAGGAACGGAGUGAGUACUGAACAAGCGAAACGUUUUCGUUUAUAAAAACAAUAAUUCAUUACACUAAGUUUGUUACGCAAACAUAUGCAAACAUAUAGGGGGCUGCUACACAUCCACCUGCGAAUGUUUAGUAAACAUCCGCCACCUCAACGGCCGUUGGAUGUAUCGGUGCAGCCGUCCGAUCUACGUCCCCGUACCCAAUAGUUCCUGAAACACAUGUCGAGUUGCAGAAACAAUAGUCGCGUUGCGAAAACAGUGAUCGUGCUUCAAAAAAAAUAAAAUCCUGAAACAACGAUCGCGUUGCAGAAAAUAAUUUAUGUAACUCGUGAAACAAUGGCUGAGUUGCAGAAACCACGACCCUAUUGCAUAAAUGUUGUAGGCCAGUUGCGGAGCUGCCCGACGGCGGAGGGCGACGGCCAGGCCAGCGGCAGAGGGCCGUGGGGCAGGCCGACGGGGCGGGGCCGUGGCGCGGGGCGGGGCGGCNNNNNNNNNNNNNNNNNNNNNNNNNNNNNNNNNNNNNNNNNNNNNNNNNNNNNNNNNNNNNNNNNNNNNNNNNNNNNNNNNNNNNNNNNNNNNNNNNNNNAUAAUAACCAUUUUAUUAUCGCCUCUAGGGCAUAUUUCCAACAGCGCGUGGCAAAGUUGUGUCUCAAAAACCCUAAAACCUCUAGUACAUAUAGGAGGAGGGGAGGGGCUAGCCUCGGGGCUCAAGGGAGCCCCUAGGCUGCCGGCCGAGAGAGGAGGAGGAGACCCCAACUCCAAUUCGGUUUGGGAAGGAGGAGCCCCCUCCUUCCUUCACACCUCCCUCUCCUUUUUUUUCUUUUCUCUUUGGUUUUUUUCCUUAGCCGACAUAGCCCACUUGGCCUGGCCUCACCAGCCCACUAAAGGCUGGUGCGCCACCCUUGGGCUAUUAGGCUCACUCCCGGGUGGGUGGGCCUCUCCCGGUAAAAACUCGGAACCCAUUCGUCACUUGUGUUACACUGCCGGUAAUGUCUGAAAUCCUUCCGAGACCAAAUGAAACAAUCCUAUAUAUCAAUCUUCGUUUCCGGACCAUUCCGUAAACCCUCAUGACGUCCGUGAUCUCAUCCGGGACUCCGAACAACCUUCGGUUACCAACACCUAUAACUCAACUAUACCGAAACGUCACCGAACCUUAAGUGUGCAGACCCUGCGGGUUCGAGAACUAUGCAGACAUGACCUGAGACACUCCCCGGUCAAUAUCCAACAGCGGGACCUGGAUGUCCAUAUUGGAUCCUACAUAUUCUACGAAGAUCUUAUCGGUUGAACCUCUGUGCCAAGGAUUCAUAUAAUCCCGUAUACCAUUCCCUUUGUCCUUCGGUAUGUUACUUGCCCGAGAUUUGAUCGUCGGUAUCUCUAUACCUAUUUCAAUCUCGUUACCGGCAAGUCUCUUUACUCAUUCCGUAAUAAAAGAUCUCGUGACUAACACAUUAGCCACAUUGCUUGCAAGGCUUAUAUGUGAUGUUGUAUUACCGAGUGGGCCCCGAGAUACCUCUCUGUCACACGGUGUGACAAAUCCCAGUAUUAAUCCAUGCUAACUCAACGGACACCUUCGGAGAUACCUGUAGAGCACCUUUAUAGUCACCCAGUAAAGUUGCCCUUUGGAGAUACCUGUAGAGCACCUUUACAUGAUCUCAUGGUCAUAGGAAUGAAUACUUGACACUCAGAAAACAAUAGCAACAAAAUGACACGAUCACAUGCUACGUUCAUAGUUUGGGUCUUGUCCAUCACAUGAUUUUCCUAAUGACGUGAUCGAGUCAUCAAGUGACGACACUUGCCUAUGGUCAGAAAACCUUAACCAUCCUUGAUCAACUGGCUAGUCAACUAGAGGCUUACUAGGGACAUUGUUUUGUCUAUAUAUCCACACAUGUAUCUAUGCUUUCAUUCAAUGCAAUUUUAGCAUGGAUAAUAAACGAUUAUAUUGAAACAGGAAACAUAAUAAUAACUAUUUUAUCAUUGCCUCUAGGGCAUAUUUCGUACAGUCUCGCACUUGCACUAGAGUCAAUAAUCUAGUCUCACAUCGCUAUGUGAUUUACAUUGGAAUGAAUCUAACACACAUACAGUUCUGGUGUUGAUCAUGCUUAGCUCGUGGAAGAGGUUUAGUUAGCGGAUCUGCAACAUUCAGAUCUGUAUGCACUUUGCAAAUAUUUACGUCCUCUCCUUUGACAUAGUAGCGGAUGAGGUUGAAGCGUCGUUUGAUGUGUCUGGUCUUCUUGUGAAACCGUGGUUCCUUUGCUAGAGCAAUGGCAACAAUGUUGUCACAGAACAGAGUUAUUGGAUUUAGUGCACUCGGCACAACUCCAAGAUCUGUCAUGAACUGCUUCAUCCAGACACCCUGCUUAGCUGCCUUCGAGGCAGCCAUGUACUCCGCUUCACAUGUAGAAUCUUCUACGACGCUUUGCUUGGAACUGCACAAGCUUACCGCACCCCCAUUGAGAAUAAACACGUAUCCGGUUUGAGAAUUAGAGUCAUCCGGAUCAGUGUUAAAGCUUGCAUCAACGUAACCCUUUACGACGAGCUCUUCGUCACCUCCAUAUACGAAAAACAUUUCCUUAGUCCUUUUCAGGUACUUCAGAAUAUUCUUCACCGCCGCCCAGUGUUCCACUCCUGGAUCACUUUGAAACCUGCGUGCCAUACUUAUGGCCAGGCCGAUGUCCGGUCUUGUGCACAACAUUGCAUACAUGAUACACCCUAUGGCUGAAGCACAGGGGAUGGUACUCAUCUUUUCUCUAUCUUCCGCAGUUCCUGGACACUGAGUCUUACUCAACUUUAUACCUUGUAACACUGGUAAGAACCCCUUCUUGGACUGCUCCAUUUUGAAAUUCUUAAAAACUUUAUCAAGGUAUAUGCUUUGUGAAAGUCCUAUUUGGCGCCUCGAUCUAUCCCUAUAGAUCUUAAUGCCUAAUAUGUAAGCAACUUCUCCUAGGUCUUUCAUUGAAAAACAUUUGUUCAAGUAAUGCUUUACGCUCUCUAAAAACUCCACAUUGUUUCCAAUCAGCAAUAUGUCAUCCACAUAUAAUAUUAGAAACACUAAAGAGCUCCCAAUCACUUUCUUGUAAAUACAAGAUUCUCCAACAACUUGUAUAAACCCAAAUGCCUUGAUCACCUCAUCAAAGCGCUUAUUCCAACUCCGAGAUGCUUGCACCAGUCCAUAAAUGGAUCGCUGGAGCUUGCAUACUUUGUUAGAAUUAUUUGGAUUGACAAAACCUUCAGGUUGCAUCAUAUACAACUCUUCCUUAAGAAAACUAUUAAGUAACGCCAUUUUGACAUCCAUCUGCCAGAUUUCAUAAUCGAAAAAUGCAGCUAUUGCUAACAUGAUUCGGACGGACUUAAUCAUCGCUACCGGUGAGAAUGUCUCAUCGUAGUCAACUCCUUGAACUUGUGAAAAAUUCUUUGCCACAAGUUGAGCCUUAUAAACAGUCACAUUAUCGUCCGGGUCCGUCUUCUUCUUAAAGAUCCAUUUGUUCUGAAUAUCCUUGCGACCUUCAGGUAAUACUUCUGAAGUCCACACUUUGUUUUCAUACAUAGAUCCUAUCUCGGACUUCAUGGCCUCUAACCAUUUGUUGGAAUCCGGACCCACCAUUGCUUCUUCAUAAUUCAGAGGCUCAAUGUUGUCUAACAACAUGAUAGAUAAGACAGGAUUCCCGUACCACUCGGGAUCAGUAUGUGAUCUUGUCGACCUCCGAGGUCCGACAGUAACUUGAUCCAAAGCUUCAUGAUCAUCAUCAUUAGCUUCCUCCUCAACAGGUGUUGCCUCGACAGAGAUUUCUCUCUGCCCUGCGCCAUCAUCUAGAGGGAGCAGAGGUUCCACAACCUCAUCAAGUUCUAUCUUCCUCCCACUCAAUUCUUUCGAGAGAAACUUCUUCUCAAGAAAAGCUACGUUCUUAGCAACAAACACUUUGCCCUCGGAUCUGAGAUAGAAGGUGUACCCAACUGUCUCUUUUGGGUAACCUAUGAAGACGCUUUUUUCCGCUUUGGGUUCCAGCUUUUCAGGCUGAAGCUUUUUGACAUAAGCAUCGCAUCCCCAAACUUUAAGAAAUGACAACUUUGGCCUCUUGCCAUGCCAUAGCUCAUAUGGUGUCCUCUUAACGGAUUUUGAUGGUGCCCUAUUUAAAGUGAAUGCAGCUGUCUCUAAUGCAUAACCCCAAAACGAUAAUGGCAAAUCGCUAAGAGACAUCAUAGAUCGCACCAUAUCUAACAAAGUACGAUUACGAUAUUCGGACACACCAUUAUGCUGUGGUGUUCCAGGCGGUGUCAACUGUGAAACGAUUCCACAUUGUCUUAAGUGAGCACCAAACUCGAAACUCAGAUAUUCACCCCCUCAGUCAGAUCGUAGGAACUUGAUCUUCUUGUUACGAUGAUUUUCAACUUCACUCUGAAAUUGCUUGAUAUUUUCAAAUAUUUCAGACUUGUUCUUCAUCAAGUAGAUAUAUCCAUACCUACUCAAAUCAUCAGUGAAGGUGAGAAAAUAACGAUAUCCGCUGCGCACCUCCACACUCAUUGGACCGCACACAUCAGUAUGUAUGAUCUCCAAUAAGUCACUUGCACGCUCCAUUGUUUCGGAGAACGGAGUCUUAGUCAUCUUGCCCAUGAGGCAUGGUUUGCAUGUGUCAAGUGAUUCUAAAUCAAGUGACUCCAAAAGCCCAUCAGCAUGGAGUAUCUUCAUGCACUUUACACCAAUAUGACCUAAGCGGUAGUGCCACAAGAAGGUGGUGCUAUCAUUGUUAACUCUACAUCUUUUGGUCUCAAUGUUAUGUAUAUGUGUGUCAUCACAAUCAAGAUUCAAUAUGAACAAACCCCUCACAUUGGGUGCAUGACCAUAAAAGAUAUUACUCAUAAAAAUAGAACAACCAUUAUUCUCUGACUUAAAUGAGUAACCGUCUCGCAAUAAACAAGAUCCAGAUAUAAUGUUCAUGCUUAACGCAUGCACUAAAUAACAAUUAUUUAAGUUCAUAACUAAUCGUGAUGGUAACUAAAGUGAGACUGUGCCGACGGCGAUUGCAUCAUCCUUGGAACCAUUUCCUACGCGCAUCGUCACUUCAUCCUUCGCCAACCUUCGUUUAUUCUGCAGUUCCUGCUUCGAGUUGCAAAUAUGAGCAACAGAACCGGUAUCAAAUACCCAGGCACUACUACGAGAGUUGGUUAGGUACACAUGAAUAACAUGUAUAUCACAUAUACCUGGUUUGGCGUUGGUGGCCUUCUUAUCAGCCAAAUACUUGGGGCAGUUGCGCUUCCAGUGACCCAUCCCCUUGCAAUAAUAUCACUCUGUUUCUGGCUUAGGUCCAGCCUUGGUUUCUUCGUCGGAUUGGCAACAAUUUUGCUGCUCUUCUUAGAGUUACCCUUCUUGCGUUUGUCGUUUCUCUUAAAACCAGUGGUCUUAUUGACCAUCAACACUUGAUGUUCUUUCCGGAGUUCUAACUCUACAACUUUCAGCAUCGCGAAUAACUCGCCCGGUGACUUGUUCAUCCCUUGGAUGUUAUAGUUCAACACAAAGAUCUUAUAGCUAGGUGGGAGUGAUUGCAAAAUUCUGUCAGUGAUAGCCUCUUGCAGGAGUUCAAUCCCCAGCUCAGCUAGACAGUUUGAGUACCCAGACAUUUUUAGCACAUGUUCACUAACAAACAAAUUCUCCUUCAUUUUGCAAGCAUAGAAUUUAUCGGAGGUCUCAUACCUCUGGAUCCGGGCGUUCUUCUAAAGGAUAAACUUCAACUCCUGGAACAUCUCAUAUGCUCCAUGAAAUUCAAAGCGUCGUUGAAGUCCCGGUUCCAAGCCAUACAAGACUGCACAUUGAACUACUGAGCAGUCCUCCUUACGUGAUUGCCUAGCGUUCAAAACAUCUUGGUCAAACGUAGCGGGUGGUUCAUCUCCUAGCGCUGCAUCAAGGACAUAAGUCUUUUUCCUAGCUUGUAGGAUGAACCUUAGAUUAUGAGCCCAGUCUACAAAGUUGCUACCAUCAUCUUUCAGCUUAGCUUUCUCUAGGAACGUAUUGAAAUUCAGGGUUGCUACUGCGUGAGCCAUUGAUCUACAACAUAAAAUAUUGCAAAGUGGACUUAGACUAUGUUCAAGAUAAUUUAGAGUUUAACUAAUCAAAUUACUAAUAAAAUCCCACUCAAAUAGACAUCCCUCUAGUUAAUUGAGUGUUAUGUGAUCCAAAUUCACUAACUCAAGUCCGAUCAUCACGUGAGUUGAGUAUAGUUUCAAUGGUAAAAAUCUCUAUGCUAAUCAUAUCAACUAUACAAUUCAUGCUCGACCUUUCGGUAUCUUGUGUUCGAGGCCAUGCCUGUACAUGCUAGGCUCUUCAAGUUUAACCCGAGUGUUCCACGUGUGCAACUGUUUUGCACCCGUUGUAUGUCUACCUUGAGUCUAUCACACCCGAUCAUCACGUGGUGUCUCGAAACGACGAACUAUCGCAACGGUGCACAGUCGGGGAGAACUCAAUUUUAUCUUGAAAUUUAGCGAGGGAUCACCUUAUAAUGCUACCGUCGUUCUGAGAAAGAUAAGGUGCAUAAAAGGAUUAACAUCACAUGCAAUUCAUAAGUGACAUGAUAUGGCCAUGAUCUUGUGCUUCUUGAUCUCCAUCACCAAAGCACCGGCAUGAUCUUCAUCGUCACCGGCGCCACACCAUGAUAUCCAUCAUCGUGCUGCCAUCGAGAUUGUCGUGAUAUCUAUGGUAUUACUACUAAAGCUGCAACCUAGCAAUAUAGUAAACGCAUCUGCAAACACAAACGUUAGUUUAAAGACAACCCUAUGGCUCCUGCCGGUUUCCGUAGCAUCGGCGUGCAAGUCGAUAUUUAACUAUUACAACAUGAUCAUCUCAUACAUCCAAUAUAUCACAUCAUGUCUUUGGCCAUAUCACAUCACAUGCAUACCCUGCAAAAACAAGUUAGACGUCCUCUGAUUGUUUGUUGCAUUUUUAAGUGGCUGCUAUGGGUAUCUAGUAUGAUCGCAUCUUACUUACGCAAAACCACAACGGAGAUGUGCAAAUUGCUAUUUAACCUCUCUCCAAGGAACGCCUCGGUCAAAUCCAAUUCAACUAAAGUUGAAGAAAAAGGCACCCGCCAGUCAUCUUUAUGCAACGAGUUGCAUGUUAGUCAAUGAAACUGGUCUCUCGUAAGCGUACGAGUAAUAUUGGUCCGGGCCGCUUCAAUCCAACAAUACCGUCGAAUCGAGAAAAGACUAAGGAGGGAAGCAAAUCGAACAUCAACGCCCACAAAAACUUUUGUGUUCUACUCGAGAUUACAUCUACGCAUGAACCUAGCUCUAAUACCACUCUUUGGGAACGUUGCAUGGGAAACAAAAAUUUUCCUACGCACACGAAGACCUAUCAUGGUGAUGUUCAUAUACGAGAGGGAGAUCGAAUCCACAUACCAUUGUAGAUCGCUAAGCGGGAAGCGUUAAGAAACACGAUUGAUGUAGUGGAACAGCUUCGUGAUUCAAAUCACCGUCGUCCCACGAUCCGUUCCGAUCUAGCGCCAAACGGACGGCACAUCCACGUUCUGCAUAUGUACAACUCGAUGACGAUCUCCACCUUCUUGAUACAGCAAGAGAGACGGGGAAGUAGAUGAGUUCCCUGGCAGCGUGACGACGCGCUGGUGAUGGUGAUGAUAUGUCCCUGCAGGGCUCCGCCCGAGCUCCGUAGAAAACCGAUCUAGAGGUAGAACUACGAAGUAGAGGUUCAGGGUUGCACGUGGCAAAGUUGUGUCUCAAAACCCCUAAAACCUAUAGUAUAUAUAGGAGGAGGGGAGGGGCUAGCCUUGGUGCUCAAGGGAUCCCCUAGAGCGCCGGACGAGAGAGGAGAAGGAGACAACAACUCCAAUUCGGUAUGGGAAGAAGGAGUCCCCUCCUUCCUUCCCACCUCCCUCUCCUUUUUUUCUCCUCUUUGGUUUUUUUCCUUAGCCGACAUAGCCCACUUGGGCUGGCCUCAUGAGUCCACUAAGGGCUGGUGCGCCACCCUUGGGCUAUUAGGCUCACUCCCGGGUGGGUGGGCCCCUCCCAGAAAAACUUGAAACCCAUUCGUUACUCCCGGUAAUGUCCGAAAUCUUUCCGGAGACCAAAUUAAACAAUCCUAUAUAUAAAUAUUCGUUUCCGGACCAUUUCGGAAACCCUCGUGACGUCUGUGAUCUCAUCCGGGACUCCGAACAACCUUCGGUUACCAACACCUAUAAAUCAACUAUACCGAAAUGUUACCGAACCUUAAGUGUGCAGACCUUGCGGGUUCGAGAACUAUGAAGACAUGGCCUGAGACACUCCCCGGUCAAUAUCCAACAACGGGACCUAGAUGUCCAUAGUGGAUCCUACAAUAUUCUGCGAAGAUCUUAUCGGUUGAACCUCUGUGCCAAGGAUUCAUAUAAUCCCGUAUACCAUUCCCAUUGUCCUUCGGUAUGUUACUUGCCCGAGAUUUGAUCGUCGGUAUCUCUAUACCUAUUUCAGUCUCGUUACCAGCAAGUCUCUUUACUCGUUCUAUAAUACAAGAUCCCGUGACUAACACAUUAGCCACAUUACUUGCAAGGCUUAUAUGUGAUGUUGUAUUACCGAGUGGGCCCCGAGAUACCUCUCCGUCACACGGAGUGAGAAAUCCCAGUAUUUAUCCAUUCUAACUCAACGGACACCUUCAGAGAUACCUAUAGAGCACCUUUAUAGUGACCCUGUAACGUUGCCACGUUUGAUACACACAAGGUAUUCCUCCGGUGUCAGUGAGUUACAUGAUCUCAUGGUCACAGUAAUGAAUACUUGACACGCAGAAAACAAUAGCCACAAAAUGACACGAUCACAUGCUACGUUCAUAGUUUGGGUCUUGUCCAUCACAUCGUUCUCCUAAUGAUGUGAUCCAGUCAUCAAUUGACAACACUUGCAUAUGGUCAGAAAACCUUAACCAUCCUUGAUCAACUGGCUAGUCAACUAAAGUCUUACUAGGGACAUUGUUUUGUCUAUAUAUCCACACAUGUAUCUAUGCUUUCAUUCAAUACAAUUAUAGCAUGGAUAAUAAAUAAUUAUCUUGAAACAAGAAAUAUAAUAAUAACUAUUUUAUCAUUGCCUCUAGGGCAUAUUUCCAACACGCGAGCCUUGGUCUUUGGCUUCCUCCUGGGAUGAACCGGAUGGCCUGGGCUGCUGGUCUUUGCUGGGUUCCCUCAUGUGUGUUUUCGUGACAUUCCCUCCUCCUUGAGUCUUGGAUUGCCCCCAAGCCAGUGCUUGGGGAAAUCUUGAUCGGAGGGCCACUUCAUCUUCCCAUGUAGCAAGUGACAUAGGGAACCCCGACCAUUGAGUCAGCACUUGAUCAAUCUGCUUAGCUCAUCAAAGAACCUAGCGACAUUGCGGGAUUGAAGCGGGCACUUGAAAUGCCAAGAGAUCUUCAUCCACCACCGGUAGUUCGGGCAUCACUUGGGUGGUUGGUGGUAACCCAGCGCUCAGCUGAGACACAUGGAUACUGGGUGCAUCGGGGCUUAUUGUGGCGACACCAUCUUGUAUGCAACCUCCCAAACAUGGCCAGUAACCCAAAAGGGACCAAAGAAACGAAAAGCUAACUUGUGAUUACCUUGCGCAGCCACUGAUGACUGAGAAUAGGGCUGCAACUUGAGGUACACCCAAUCCCCAACCGAGAAUGCUCAAUCCGAGUGAUGCACAUAAGCUUUUCUCUUCAUCAUUUGCUUCCCUCGAUGGAGGUCAUGCUUAAGGAGUGACAGCAUGGUUGCCCGCUCGCAAGUCCACACCACCAAAUCUAUGACAAUUUUGUCAACAAUGUUGGAGAUGCCAAAGAAUCGAGGCUUGUGCCCGUACAAGACCUCAAAUGGGGAUGUCUUCAGUGUGGAAUGAUACGAAGUAUUAUACCAAAACUCAGCUAACGCUAGCCAUUCCACCCAUUUGCUCGGGCAAUUGUGAACAAAGCACCUUAGAGAGAGCUCCAUGGAUUGAUUGACUCUAUCUGUAGUUUCAAUAGUGUGUGGGUGUCGAGCCGAGGAAAUGUUGAGGGUGGUACGAGACAACCUACACAACUCAUGCUACACUUUGCUAGUGAAUACUCGAUCGGUCUGACACCAGCUUGUCCAGAGGCCCAUUCAACUUGAAGACAUUCUCCAUGUAUGCUUUUGCUACUUGUAGAGGACAGAAGGGAUGCCGGAGUGGGAUGAAAUGAGCAUACCACGUCAAUUUGUUCACCACGACGAGAAUUGAAGUAAGUCCCUUGGAUGUUGGCAAUUCUUCGACAAAGUCCAAGGUGACCAUCUUCGAGGCUUGCUAGGGGUACUCAAAGCGGUUGAAGCAGCCCUGGGUACUUUACAUGUUCUAGUUUGGCUUGUUUGCACACCUCACACUCAGAGAUGAACUUCUUCACAAACUGCUUCAAUUUAGGCUAAGCGAAUAGACGUAUCACACGGCUAUAUGUGACUUGGACACCGGAAUGCCCUCUAAUGGCUCUGGCAUGGAGUUCCGUAAGAAAUUGCUACUAUGCCUCCACAUUAGUACCCAACCAAACUCUGCCCUUGUAGUGAAUCACACCAUCCUUGACCAAAAAAGUCCCUUCUAGAGGAGCUCUGACCGCUUCUAAAGCCAGAAGGCGAGAACUGUAAGGGUCGUUCUUGUAGCCUUGCUUGACCAUGUUUAGAUAGUGUGGCACACACACCGAGACAACCUAUAGACUAGCCGCUACUCGUGGUUGAUGAGGAAGAGCAUCAUCCGCUAGAUUUGUUGCACCUUGUCGAUAUUCGAUCUUGUACUGCAGGCCCAACAGCUUUGUCAAAACCUUGUGUUGCCAUAGGGUGGUAAGCCGCUACUCGUCCAUGCAUCAGAGGCUCUGGUGGUCCGUGCAAAUAGUAAACUCAGAAAGCAACGGAUACGAAUGCCACCUAUCCACGGCCAUGAGAAUGGUCAUGCUCUCCUUUUUGUAAAUAGACAACACACAAUGCCGCGGACCAAGCGCUUGGAUGAGGAAGGCAAUAGGAUGGUGUUGUUGCAUUAACACCGCAAUAAUCCCCGUGUCCGAGGCGUCCAUUUCGACCACGAACGGUUUGGAGAAAUCAGGCAGAGCCAACACUGAUGCCGUGGAGAGACCUGUCUUCAAGCAGUGGAAGGCCUCUUGAUGCACAUUCAUCCAAAUGUAUGGGAUCCCUUUCUUUAGGAGCUUUGUGAGGGUCUUGCUAGUCACUCCAUAGUGUUUGAAGAACUUCCGGUAGUACCCUGCUAGCCCGAGGAACUACCUCAAUUCUUUGACUGAGGCUGGGGGUGCCCAUGCUUGUAUCUUCUUGAUAUUCGUGGAUCGUUAUGCACUCCUGCGGCGCUAAUGACAUGCCCGAGGUAACGCAACUGAGGUUGAGCAAACACACACUUUGACAUCUUCACGUUCAAUGAGUGUUGAUCCAGCAGUUGAAAAGCUGACUAUAGCAACAACACGUGCUUCUCCAAAGUUCCGCUAUACACAAGGACGUCGUCUCUGAAGACCAAGACGCCCUCCCAAAGGAGUGGUCUUAGCACCACCUGCAUGCCUUUCUGCAAGGUUGAAGUACACCCCCCGUGACCCCAUAUGGCAUCACCUUGAACUCAAAGUGCCCAUGAUGUGUUUGGAAGGCAGUUUUUGCUUCAUCCUCGAGAUGCAUGCGGAUCUGGUGAUAUCCAGCCCGAAGAUCUAGGCUGGUAUACACAGUUGCCCCUUGCAACUCUUCGAGCAAUUCAUCAAUAAUUGGAAUUGGAAAACAGCUCUUGAUGGUGAUCGCAUUGAGGAAGCGAUAAUCGAUGCAAAACCUCCAUUCGCCAUCUUUCUUGUGCACCAACAACAUGUGUGACAAAAAUGGGCUACGACUGGGCUGCAUGAUUCCUUGUCUUAGCAUCUCAAGCACCUGAGCUUUGAUUUCAUCCUUCUGUGCCGGGUUAUAUCAAUGCGGUUGUCGGUUCCUCAAAUUCCCUUGGUAGCAGGACUGACGGUUCCUCAAAUAAUUCCACAAACUUGCCCAGAAGUUCUUCAAGUACUACCGGAAUUGGAGCCCCCUCGAGAUCAGGUUUGCCAACAGACAACAACAAUACAUGGGCUACAUCGGUACGGGCUUGUAACAAGUGGAAUUCAGCUGCUGAAAUUGCUUGACAAUGGUGGAUGCCCUGCGAAUUCCCAGUCAAUUGGAUGACCUCCCCUUUGUGUUUAAAUGUCAUGUGGUUGUUACUCCAAUUAACCGUCAUCACUCCUCUUGACACGAGACAGUCCAUAUCCAACACAAUGUCAUAAUAUCCCAAUGGAAAAAGGUUGAAAGUAGAUCGGAACUGAAAGCCUUGAAUGAUGUACUCACAUAGCGGCAGCUCACGAUUACAACUCGUUACUACCCCAUCUGCGACCUUUACCCUGAGGGAGUUUUGCAUUGGUUGAAUUCCAGGCCAGGACUAAACUAUCUUAAUGUUGAUGAAACUAUGUGAGCUUCAAGAAUAAACGAGCAUCAGGAGAACCUUGUCACCAAUCUGCCCAGAUAACCUGAACGCCAUCGGGGCCUCUGUACCACUGACCGUUGUAGUAGAUAGUAAGCACAUGUCGUCUUUGGAAAACUUUCCACAGCAAGUUGUGCUGCAUCUCAUGAGGAUGGGGUGAGAACAUGCCCACUAGUUCUUCCUCAACAUGGAGCUGCACUGUGGCUGCACAAGUGUGUCCAGGAUUCCAGCUCUCCCCACAAGUGAAGCACAACCCUCUGGCCUUGCGGAAGUCUUGUAGGGCCUUAAGUUUUUCGUUUGUUGGCAAUGUCAACAACUCUCUGCAUCUCCAAGCGUGUGGGGGUUGGCAAAGAGUUGGCAGUUCGACAACCCCCUGUUAUUGAUGGUAGGCUCACCGCAACUGGCGGUCAUGGGAAGGCACACCUAGGUCGAGCCUGAGAGGACUCAGCUCGUUGCGAUGCCACGCUCUCCUGCUCCUCGCGCACCAACACCACCAGCUCUUCCUGCAAUUCAGCAAGAGACACAUCCUGACAACCACUUUGAUCAUAAUUCUAAUAGUAGGUUCCCAUCCAUCAUACAACUUUGUAGGAAUACAGACUUCUAACUCAAGUUUCUCAUCAUAGGCUUUUACCAUAGCUUCUACUAUAUGUUGAGUAAAAGAUUUAUUUUUUUCUUAAGCAUUGGGUGAGAUAAUGAUGGAUUGCAACAAGGACAUAAGUUCUACUAAAGAACAAUUAUCAUAAUUAAAAUCCUCGACAUCCAAGAUAGUGGGCACAUCACUAGUUAAAGUUUUAACCUUUCCAAAGCCACUUUUUCAGUUUUAUCAUUAUAGUCAUCACCCUCCAAGAAAUUGGGACACUCUCUAACUAGAGUUGACUCAUCUCUAGUCCCAUUAUCAUUUAUUUUUAGAGAAGUAAACAAAGAUUCAAUAGAAUAAGUACCAAGCAUUUUAUGAUAUUCAUCAUGAUUCCGGUAAAAACUGCGUGGAAAGGCUUUUUCUAGGAAUUCCUGCUUAGCUUUCAACUUGGCGGUCCUCUCCCUACUUUCAUUGAUAGACAUUUGGAUAGAUUUAAUAGUCUAAUUAAAGACAUGCUUUGGUGGCAAAGUUUUACUUUUUAGAGUUUCUAGCCAAAUCAUCAAUUUAUGCAACUUUUCCUCUACCAUAGUAUUGAAAACCUUUUAUGAAUUAAUGGAUUAUUCAAUGGUGCUUUUAAGAUCAUAGGAUACCUUAUUAUUAUUUGUAGAAGGAUUUGCAUAAGAAUUUCCAUAUGAGUUCCCAUAACCUUUUGAGGAGUUACCGGGAUAUGGCCUAGUAUUGAAAUUACCUCUAUAGGCAUUGUUACUAAAUUUAUUUCAUGAGAUAAAAUUCACAUCCAUGGAAUUAUAAUUUUGCUCAAUAAAAGUAAACAAGGCCAUGUCAUUAGGAUCAAGGUGAGAAUUUUUAUCACCAACCAAAUUCAUAAGAGCAUAAACGUUUUCACUCAAAGUAGCGAUUUCCUCAACAAAGUUUACCUUCUUACUAGUUGGAGCUCUUUUAUUAUGCCACUCAGAGUGGCUUGUCAUGAUGUUGUCCAGAAGUUUGGUGGCCUCUCCUAAGGUCACCUCAAUGAAAGUACCCCCUGCGGCAAAAUCUAGAAGAUUUCUAGAUAGAAAGUUUGGUCCAGCAUAGAAAUAUUGGAUAAUCAUCCACAAGUUUAAACCAUGAGUAGGGAAAUUUCUAAUCAUCAAUUUCAUCCACUCCCAAGCUUGUGCAACAUGUUCAUGAUCAUGCUGUUUAAAAUUCAUUAUAUGAUUUCUAAGGGAGUUGAUCUUAGCAGGAGGAAAAUACUUGGUAAUAAAAGUAUCUUAACACUUAUCCCAUGUUCCAAUACUAUUACGUGGUAAAGAUGAUAAGCUAGAUUUACCUUUAUCUCUUAGUGAAAAAGGAAAUAACUUUAACUUCACAACAUAAUUAUCCAUGUGCUUUCAAUUUGCACAUCACGGAGUUCAACAAAGUUAUCAAGACGAGUAGCGGGAUACUCAUUAGGACUUCCCAAAAAUUGUUCUUUCAUGACAAGAUUCAACAAUGCAACAUUUGUAUCACAAGCCUCCUUACUAGUGGCGUGUGUGAUAGGAGUACUAUUAAAAUCAUGUUUAUUAGUAUUUGAAAAGUCACACAACUUAGUAGUAUCUUGAGACAUGGUGAUCGAGCAAGCAAAGUAACUAGUAGGACAAGUAAACUAUCAAGCAAAGCGAGCAAAGAAGUAAACUAGCAACUAGCAAAGAUAAAUAUUUUUGUAUUUUUGAUUUUUAUCAAGUAAGAAAAAUAUAACAAAAAAUAAAAAGUAGAACAAGUGAAUGAUAAUUUGUCUGAAGUUACUUGAUAGUGUUGGGGAACGUUGCAUGGGAAACAAAAAAUUCCUACACACACCAAGAUUAGUCUAUGAAGAUCACCAUCUACGAGUGGAGAGAUUGGAUCUACAUACCUUUGUAGAUCUCUAAGCGGAAGCGUUUACGAAAACAGUUGAUGUAGUGGUAUGUGUUUGCGAUCCAAUCAUGAACCGUCUCGCAAUCUCUCGAUCAAGGGCCGAACAGACGACACCUCCACGUUCAACACACGUACAACUUGGUGACGCAUUCACCUCCUCAAUCUAGCGAGUGAUGGUGAAGUAGAAGCCUGAGUCCUCCGAGAACAUGCCGGCAUGGUGAGGUGUUGGUGGUGACAACUCGACAUGGCUUUGCCGUGGGGUUAUGGAGGAGAGAAACUGCGAGGGAGAGGAGGGGGCAGCGCCACGGCAAGAUUGUUGUGUGGCUGCCCCCUCGCUACCUCUCUAUAUAUAGGAGGAAGGGAGAGAGGAGGGCGCCCUAGGGUUACCCACUAGUGCCCGACGGCCAAGGGAGGGGGAAGCGGCGGCUAGGGUUAGGGUGCCCCCCUCCCCCACUUGGGUGCCUUGCCACCCAAGUUGGGUUGGCGGCACCCCAAGGAGGCCCACCCUGUUGGAAAUAUGCCUUAGAGGCAAUAAUACAUUAGUUAUUAUUAUAUUUCCUUGUUCAUGAUAAUCGUUUAUUAUCCGUGCUAGAAUUGUAUUGAUUGGAAACUCAAAUACAUGUGUGGAUACAUAGACAACACACUGUCCUAGUGAGCCUCUAGUUGACUAGCUCGUUGAUCAAAGAUGGUCAAUGAUGAGAACAUCAACACCAUUGUUACACCCACAACCCCAGCUGUUAUACAUAUUGGACUAGUUACUAGAGCUCAUGCACGCCAAUUGAAUUACCAGGUACUUUCGUUUCUUGGGAAUACUUCUAAUGUUCAUGAACAUAUGAUGUUGCCUAAGUUAGAUACUUUUGUUGUGCUCAUGAAUGAAGGAGCUAGCAUGGACAAGAAGGAUAUCCGUUGGAGCGGGAUCAAACAUGGACAAGAAGGUGCACGCGCGCGAGAGAACAAUGGAGCUUCCACUGGUGGUUUUCGCACUCUAAAGCCACCAUAAGGAGAGCAUGAAGGCUUUGGACGAAAUAUUCAAGACACCACUUUAUAAAUUUCGUCCAUAGGCUAUUACAGGUGUUGCACCACCUUAUUUUCGGGCCAGUCCCAUGUAAUUUCGAAAUACCAUAAUAUAGGGUAAUUUUAGAGUCCGUAUGUGUGUGGAAACCGAGUUUAGGGCUGUUUUCAGACCCCUCCUCCAAGGGUCAUGGAAUUGCCUCUCUAGUCACUCAUAUAUACAGCCCUUAGGGCACCGUUUAGAUUUGGGUUUUGUUUAAAUUACAAGUUCCCAAAGCUGCAACUUCGCGUUCUUCGUUUGUGUUCUACGACCAGACAAAGGCGUCACAGAACCCUACCUUCAUCAAUAAAGCUUUCCUCUUAUAUUCGCAAUAUCUUGAUUGCAUCUUGGUUUCUUGCUUGAUCUUCGUUUGCGUGCAGGAAACAUACCUUUGUGGUCAGGUUGAUCGUGCUCCGGCAUGGUCAAUAGCCUCUCGGAGUUGGUUUAGCAAUUGCUAAGGAGCGACGUCCUCACACGUUCCUAGUCGGAUCGUCAAAGUCUACUCCACCAAAAUGAUACCCACGAUCUCAUCGAAAGACAGGGACAACUUCGCCUCUAUCAAGUGGUAUGAAAUUUCCAGGUUGCUUGGUGAGAUUUUACCAGUUUUCGUAGUUAGAUCCCAUUUGUUCUUCAUACCUAUAGUCCACGAAAAAUCCAUAAAAAGUUAGGGUUAGAUCAUCAUAUCCGAACAAAUCUGAGCCUUUGCAUAGUCUUUUCAGUAGUUCGCUUUGUUGAAAUUGCGGUUACAUCGUCGUGUCGAGUUGCUGGUCUUAGUGUCUAGUUCUUUAGGGUUUCGAGUUCUGUUCACAGGUUGUCACGCUGCCACCGCACUAUCUUUCAUCGCUGCCAUAUAACACCUCCACACUACCAUCAUCGCUGCUGCCAUAUACCACCACCACGCCACCAUUAUCCUUGCUGCCAUAUACCACCACCAUAUAUCCACCACAAUCCUUCUCGCCUUAGGUUAAUUUUGAGAUCCUUUUGCUUUAGGUUUCGCGUUUCCGUACCUGAGUAGGUUUCGGAAAAAACGAGUCUGGCACGCUUUCCACAUCACUUUUUAGGCCAAAAUUUUGAGUGGUGAAUUUUUCCCCCUAUCGUUUUGUUAGGCUUUUUAGAGAGUUUUGAGAUACUCGCCAUCAUAGUGAUUUUUGGCGCAAUUUUUGGUCCUCGCAGCCCCGAAUUGCUCCAAAAAUAAUAAUAAUAAUUGUCAAUUUUUUUCAUGCCUAUCCUGUUUUUGGUCCUUGGGAAGAGUUUUGAGACACUCGCCAUUAUAGUGAUUUUCUGGAAAAAAAGCGCAGAAAAAAAGAGUGCAAAAAAGAGAAAAAAAGAUCAGAGUGGCUCUUCCCUUGAUUAGUACGUGUCGUCGUGACUUCAUUCGUGUUCUAGGCUCGCGUCUCUAGUAGGUCUAGCAUAGGACCAACACGGUACCAUCGUUGAGCGUCUUUUCAAUUUUGCAUCUCUGAACUGAUUAUUGCUGACCCUUCUUGCUACCGUAUUAUAAGCCUUUCCAGCUCCACAUACAUCGACAUCGUGUGUUUGAAACCACCUGGCAAUCGCUCUAUCCAAGCUUUGAGAGUUUUGACUACACCGGUUGCCGAUCGCCACCUACUGCUAGGUAAGAAUUGGUAAGAAAUUGAGAUUUGCUUGACGGAUUUGUGACACACCACCACCACCACUUCCUAGUAGUCUGUAGGUUCAUAUUCUUCUGUGUUCCUAUUGCUGCUAACCAUGCCAGGAUCAUACGACGAGGAGAUCGACUGGGAGAACCUGACCAACCGGGAGCUCCAUUAUAAAUUUCAGCAAAUGAUGUCUGACCAGGUACAUGAUUUCGUGGCCACCUUUGGAGAGGCCAUGGACAAGCUCGAAUGUAUGGAGAAGAAAUUCGACACCAAGAUGAGUGCCAAGUUAAAUGAGGUGCUUGCCCGUUUACCACCACCAGCUGCAGCUUAUGUCCCUCUUCAACCACAACCACAACGACUACGAGCGCGACGUGUGCUUGUCGGAUUCUAUGGCUGAGAAGAAUGAGGAUUAUGAUGAUGAUUAUGAUGGUGAUUACGGUGAUGAGGGAUAGGUUGCUCCAGUUCCGCACCUGGAACAACAACCACCACGAUAAGCCGCUGGUCGUCCACAUGGAUACAAUCGCAAUGGUAGGGAUGCACCACACCCUCAGGUACGGGAUCAUGACCAUCUCCCUAAACUUAAAUUGAAUAUUCCUACUUUUGAUGGUCAAUAUGUUCCUCAUAUAUAUCUUACUUGGGAGUUAGAAACAGAGCAACGUUUUACAUGCUUGCAAUUUCCUGAAGAUAGGCAUGUUGCUGCUGUUGUUUGUUCUUUCACUAGUUUUGCUUGUGUUUGGUGGUCUGAAUAUUGUCGAAUACAUCAUGCUAAUAUUCAAACUAGUUGGGCUGCUUUGAAAACUGCUAUGCGUNNNNNNNNNNNNNNNNNNNNNNNNNNNNNNNNNNNNNNNNNNNNNNNNNNNNNNNNNNNNNNNNNNNNNNNNNNNNNNNNNNNNNNNNNNNNNNNNNNNNGAAUUCAAUCUUUAUGGAGUAUUUGGAUAAAUUCGUCGUAGUAUACCUCGAUGAUAUUCUCAUCUACUCCAAGAAUGAACAAGAGCAUGCCGAGCAUCUAAGGCUGGUAUUGAUGAAACUUCGAGAGCAUCGCCUUUAUGCCAAAUUUUCAAAAUGUGAAUUUUGGUUACCAGAAGUGACCUAUCUAGGCCACGUAAUCUCUUGUAAGGGUAUUGCUGUCAAUCCCAAGAGAGUUCAAGCUGUCCUUGAUUGGACUCAACCUGAAUCGGUUAAGCAAGUUAGGAGUUUUCUUGGUCUAGCGAGCUAUUGUCGCCGCUUCGUCGAGAAUUUCUCCAAGGUUGCAAAGCCUCUGACUGAACUCCUCAAGAAGGAUAAAAAGUUCGAGUGGACACCACAGUGUGAGCAUAGUUUUCAGGAACUGAAAAGAUGCCUCACCUCCGCACCUGUGUUGCUACCACCAGAUUUUUCUAAGGACUUUGUUCUCUAUUGCGACGCCUCGCGACAAGGAUUAGGUUGCAUUCUCAUGCAAGAUCGUCAUCUGAUCGCAUACGCAUCUCGACAGUUGCGUCCACAUGAGGAUAAUUAUCCCACACAUGACCUUGAGCUUGCAGCUGUGGUCCAUGCACUAAAACCCUGGCGACAUUACCUUCUGGGUAAUCGUUGCGAAAUAUUCACUGAUCACCAAAGUCUGAAAUAUAUCUUCACCCAGCCAGAUUUGAAUCUCAGGCAAAGACGGUGGGUUGAGUUGAUCUCGGAUUACGACUUAGGGAUAACUUACACCCCGGGGAAGGCCAAUGUUAUGGCCGAUGCACUAAGUCGUAAAUCUUAUUGUAACAAUCUGAUGCUACAACAAGGUCAACCACUUCUCCAUGAGGACUUUCGGAAGUUGAAUCUUCAUAUUGUUCCUCAAGGAUUCCUUUCUACCCUGGUGGCGAAGCCUACUCUUAAGGAUCAAAUUAUAGCUGGCCAAAAGCGUGACAAGGGUAUAUCACGGAUCAAGGAGAAUAUUUUUAGCGGAAACGCUAAAGAAUUUUCCAUGAAUGAUCAAGGUGUGGUAUUCUUCCAGAAUCGUUUAGUGGUUCCUAAGGACCCACAUCUAAGGCAGUUAAUUCUUAAGGAGGCUCAUGAUUCCCCUCUCACCAUUCAUCCCGGUAGUACUAAGAUGUAUCAGGACCUACGCCAGAGGUUCUGGUGGACUAGGAUGAAGAGAGAAAUUGCUGAGUUCGUUGCUAACUGCGACGUUUGUCAUCGAGUUAAGGCAGAACAUCAAAAGCCUGCUGGCACCCUUCAACCUUUAGCUAUUCCUGAAUGGAAAUGGGAUAAAGUUAGCAUGGAUUUCAUUACUGGAUUUCCCAAGACCAAGAAAGGAAAUAAUGCUAUCUUUGUGGUCAUUGACCGUCUUUCCAAAGUGGCUCAUUUUCUUCCUGUUCGUGAGAGUAUAACAGCUAGCCAGCUAGCAGAGUUAUAUAUCUCUCGAAUAGUGUCUCUUCAUGGUGUUCCCCUGGAAAUUAACUCGGACCGUGGAAGUAUCUUUACUUCUCGAUUCUGGGAAAGUUUUCAGAAUGCCAUGGGGACUCACUUAUCUUUUAGCACUGCUUUCCAUCCCCAGUCAAGUGGUCAAGUAGAAAGAGUUAAUCAAAUCCUAGAAGAUAUGCUCCGAGCUUGUGUUAUUUCGUUCGGUAUGAAUUGGGAGAAGUGCCUUCCAUUCGCCGAAUUCGCUUAUAACAAUAGUUAUCAAUCCAGCCUGGGCAAAGCCCCUUUUGAAGUUCUCUAUGAACGAAGAUGUCGAACACAUCUUAAUUGGUCAGAAACCGGAGAGAGGCAACUUUUUGGCCCGGACAUGAUCCAGGAUGCAGAAGAGCAGGUUCGCAUUAUUCAUGAAAAGUUGAAAACAGCCCAGUCUCGUCAAAAGAGCCAAUAUGAUCGUCAUCAUAAGGCUGUGACCUUUGAAGUUGACGAGAAGGCUUACCUUCGGGUUACACCUUUGAAGGGUACCCAUCGUUUCGGUAUCAAGGGCAAGUUGGCUCCUCGUUACAUUGGACCUUUCCGCAUUCUUGCCAAACGAGGAGAAGUUUCCUACCAGUUGGAACUUCCUCCGCAUCUUUCCAGGGUUCAUGAUGUUUUCCACGUCUCGCAACUCAGGCGUUGCUUUUCGGAUCCCAUCCGUGAAGUGGACCACGAAACGCUUGAUCUCCAAGAUAACCUUUCUUACCGAGAAUACCCCGUGCGUAUUCUUGAUCAAGCUGAGCGUACCACUCGACGUCGAAACCUCAAGUUUCUUAAAGUUCAAUGGUCAAAUCAUUCUGAAAAGGAGGCAACUUGGGAAAGAGAGGAUCGUCUCCGACUUGAAUAUCCUGCGUUAUUUCCGACGACUUCUAAAUCUCGGGACGAGAUUCUUUUGAGUGGUGGUGAGUUGUCACAUCCCUAAAACAUUAAGCUAGAUAGCAUUGUGCUCCUGUCUUCUUUGCAUUUGCAUCUAAGAAGUUUUAACAAAAACAACAAAGUGGCAAAGGAAAAACUCUAAACUCUAGCCACCAUUUCAAUUAAAGGAAAUUUCAAACUAGUUCAAAAUCAAUGAACCCAAAAUGGCCUCAAGAAAUGUUCAAACUUUCUGAUAAAUCAUGAAAGUAAAUGAGCAUUGGAGAAAACUAAUUCCUUGGCACUUCAAGCAUUUUAAAUAAAUGCAAAAGCCACUGGUUUCAAAUCUAAAAAUUUGAAAACAGAAGCUAUAAUUUUCCAAAAAUGUUGAAAGUCUUGGAAAUGAGUGGGGACAUUAUAACAAAUAUUUCAGGAGGUUUAAAAUAGUUUUUACUUUUUGUUUUGGAGCUGAAAUAAUUAGCAAAGCAAUAAAUAGCAAAACAGAAAAACAAAAACAGAAGAAAAAGGAAAAGUCUUACCUGACGCCCACGCCAGGCCCAGCCCACCUCGCCGCUCGUCCCCUUCCCCGCGCCAGUAGGCAGCAGGAGGUGGCCGCCGCCUCCUCCGGCGCGGCCACGCACCUGCGUGCCUGCCUGGCCGCCGGUUCACGCUGGCGACGGCGGGGAUAAGCUCCCCAGAGCCUCCCCUAUCCAUUCCNNNNNNNNNNNNNNNNNNNNNNNNNNNNNNNNNNNNNNNNNNNNNNNNNNNNNNNNNNNNNNNNNNNNNNNNNNNNNNNNNNNNNNNNNNNNNNNNNNNNNNNNNNNNNNNNNNNNNNNNNNNNNNNNNNNNNNNNNNNNNNNNNNNNNNNNNNNNNNNNNNNNNNNNNNNNNNNNNNNNNNNNNNNNNNNNNNNNNNNNNNNNNNNNNNNNNNNNNNNNNNNNNNNNNNNNNNNNNNNNNNNNNNNNNNNNNNNNNNNNNNNNNNNNNNNNNNNNNNNNNNNNNNNNNNNNNNNNNNNNNNNNNNNNNNNNNNNNNNNNNNNNNNNNNNNNNNNNNNNNNNNNNNNNNNNNNNNNNNNNNNNNNNNNNNNNNNNNNNNNNNNNNNNNNNNNNNNNNNNNNNNNNNNNNNNNNNNNNNNNNNNNNNNNNNNNNNNNNNNNNNNNNNNNNNNNNNNNNNNNNNNNNNNNNNNNNNNNNNNNNNNNNNNNNNNNNNNNNNNNNNNNNNNNNNNNNNNNNNNNNNNNNNNNNNNNNNNNNNNNNNNNNNNNNNNNNNNNNNNNNNNNNNNNNNNNNNNNNNNNNNNNNNNNNNNNNNNNNNNNNNNNNNNNNNNNNNNNNNNNNNNNNNNNNNNNNNNNNNNNNNNNNNNNNNNNNNNNNNNNNNNNNNNNNNNNNNNNNNNNNNNNNNNNNNNNNNNNNNNNNNNNNNNNNNNNNNNNNNNNNNNNNNNNNNNNNNNNNNNNNNNNNNNNNNNNNNNNNNNNNNNNNNNNNNNNNNNNNNNNNNNNNNNNNNNNNNNNNNNNNNNNNNNNNNNNNNNNNNNNNNNNNNNNNNNNNNNNNNNNNNNNNNNNNNNNNNNNNNNNNNNNNNNNNNNNNNNNNNNNNNNNNNNNNNNNNNNNNNNNNNNNNNNNNNNNNNNNNNNNNNNNNNNNNNNNNNNNNNNNNNNNNNNNNNNNNNNNNNNNNNNNNNNNNNNNNNNNNNNNNNNNNNNNNNNNNNNNNNNNNNNNNNNNNNNNNNNNNNNNNNNNNNNNNNNNNNNNNNNNNNNNNNNNNNNNNNNNNNNNNNNNNNNNNNNNNNNNNNNNNNNNNNNNNNNNNNNNNNNNNNNNNNNNNNNNNNNNNNNNNNNNNNNNNNNNNNNNNNNNNNNNNNNNNNNNNNNNNNNNNNNNNNNNNNNNNNNNNNNNNNNNNNNNNNNNNNNNNNNNNNNNNNNNNNNNNNNNNNNNNNNNNNNNNNNNNNNNNNNNNNNNNNNNNNNNNNNNNNNNNNNNNNNNNNNNNNNNNNNNNNNNNNNNNNNNNNNNNNNGUACGGGUUACUCUCAGAUAGGCGAUAAACCUGGACUAGGUACUAGUGUGGUUAACGGUCGUGGCCGACUCCCUCGCUGGGCUUCCGCUUGAAGGUUGCCGAGGUGCAUGACGUGCACAUGGCGAUAAGUGGCGGGAGCGUGUGUGACGAAGUACACCCCUGCAGGGUUAUGAUCUAUUCGAAUAGCCGCGUCCGCGGAUAUGGACUACUUGGAGACAUAUGUUGUUCAUAGAUAACUUAAAUGGCUACUCCUAAAAUUGUCAAGAUAAGCGUGAGUGUCGUGGACGGCAUUUCCGUAUGGAGACGGAAUGAUUCCAUGAUAGUGUAUUGUUGUGGUGUUAGUGGACUCGUGUGCGAGAAAACAAGUUGUCAAAACUAAUUUCAAAAAGCAAAUGGUCUAGCCAUGAGUCAAAUGCUGGCUUUCCGCAUGAAACCCCACAACACCUUCUUGAUACCUUGCAUGAGUAGUUAGCCAUCCUAAAGUCUUGUUGAGUACCUUCGUACUCAUGUUUGUUUAAUAAAUGUUGCAGAGGUUGCUAAUGACCCUAAUGGAGGGUUCUUCGUAGACAUCGACGACGACGAGUAGCUGGUGUCCCAGCUACGACCUGGCCCUACGUCGGCUCUGUAGUAUAGUCAGGCCAUGUGCCUUCUAGUUGCUUUGUCUGUACCCAGACAGUUUAUAACUCUUCCGCUGGUUUGUAUUUGUAUGACUGCUAUUAUGGGUCGAGAGACCCUUAAUGUGUAAUAUUAUGUGUGUGGCUCUUCCGAGCCUCUUAAAUAAAGCUUGUAUGUUUAUGGUUAUGUUGUGAUGCCAUCGAUGUAUCUAUACAUAUCGGUAUGCCAUGCGUACGUGUGUCUUACUUGAUAUGUAUGGGGUUCGAAUACCUAGUCGUGAACUUUAGUAGUACUCCUUACAAGGAAAUGCCCCUUUGUGAUCCAACGAGCCUUGGUAGUUCGCUACUGCUACGGACACAUUGGUUGACCGGCAUGUGUCCUUCUUAGCUGCUGUGUCUGUCCCCUUUGGGGAAAUGUCACGCGACGUAAUGGAGUCCUUGUAGCUUGCUACGACUCGCCUACGUUCGUUGAUGACCGACACCUGCUUUGUUGGGUCAUGUAUGCCUGUCCUUGUGCGGAACUGCCACUUUGGUUUAUGACUAGACAUGUCGAUCCGGGUUCUUUGACAUUGGAUUGCUAGCGACACUAUCGCAUACGUGAGUCAAAAGACGCAAACGGUCCCGGCUAAGGUAAGGCUGCAGCCGUGGAGUUAACCGUGCGUGAGACCACAAAGGGAUGCGAUGUGUUACAGGCUGGAUUCCUAUGGCUUACAAUAAGAUUGAGCCCUGAUAGUCUGAGCCCUGAGCUCCGUCGAGACCUGCGCCUCCAUGAGUGUGCAAGCUUUCAAGCCCUGGUCAACAAAGCGAUCAGUGCAGAGACUGGUCAUACUGACUUCGAAGCCACAAGGAAGCACUCCCGUGACUUUGGCUCGUCCUCUGGUUCCGCGUUUCCAAAAAGCAGGCUGUGGGUUCCAAACAGUUCUCUGCCGCCAAGAUACACUCCAAGGCCAUCCUACGUGGCGCCUCAGACGAAUCAGGCAAAUCCUCCAGCAAAAGCUUAUGGUGGUCCAGCUAGCAAUGCUGCACCACGUGCCAACCAGGUGAUUUGCUACAAGUGUGGAGAACCAGGGCAUUAUUCCCGUGAGUGUCCUCAGAAUGUGGGUGCCAAGCAACCCGGAUAGUCCGUCGGGCAGGCCAAGUCGGGCAAAGCGUUUUAUGUGAAGCCAACUCCUGCACGUGGCCGUGUGAACUAUGUGUUAGCAGAAGAAGCUGCAGAGGAUCCCGACGUCAUGCUGGGUACGCUUCUUGUUAAUCAUCACCCAGCGUCCGUUCUCUUUGACACUGGGUCUUCUCAUUCCUUCAUUUCAGAAAGUUAUGCACAGUUGCAUAACAUGUCAUUUUGUGAUAUGCCAAUCCCAUUGGUUGUCCAAACCCCUGGUAGUAAAUGGCAAACCUUUAGGAUAACCUAUGAUAAUGAGAUUCUAGUAGACAGGCUAGUUUUUCUAGCCUCAUUUAUAGCAUUGAAAUCUUCGGAUAUUAAUAUCAUCUUGGGCAUGGACUGGUUAUCAGCUCACUAUGCCAAGAUUGAUACUCACUCUAGAAAUGUCCAGCUUACCCAUCCCUCGGGUGAGAUAGUUAAUGUCUCUACUCGAGUUGCCAAAUGCCAGCUCUAUUCCCUAAAUGCCAACCCUCUUCCGGAACUUGAAGACAUUCCGGUAGUCCGUGACUUCCCGGAUGUUUUUCCAGAGGAACUGCCAGGAAUUCCACCUGACAGAGAUGUAGAGUUUGUGAUAGAUCUCGUUCCGGGAACUGUCCCAAUAGCCAAAAGACCUUAUAAGAUGGCACCCCUGGAGCUAGCCGAACUUAAGAAGCAAUUAGAUGAGGCCUUGAACAAGGGUUUCAUUCGUCCUAGCUCUUCUCCUUGGGCUUGUCCCGUCCUCUUCGUCAAGAAGAAAGACGGAACGGAUCGGAUGGUUGUAGAUUACCGACCAGUUAACCUGGUCACCAUAAAGAACAAGUAUCCGCUCCCCAGGAUCAACGAUCUGUACGAUCAGCUCGCUGGAUCCUCAGUCUUCUCCAAAAUGGAUUUGAGGUUGGGAUACCAUCAAAUCAAGAUUAAGAACGGGGACAUUCCAAAAACGGCCUUUGUUACCCGUUAUGGCCAAUAUGAGUACACCGUUAUGUCCUUCGGGUUAACCAAUGCCCCAGCCACCUUCUCUCGGCUGAUGAAUUCAAUCUUUAUGGAGUAUUUGGAUAAAUUCGUCGUAGUAUACCUCGAUGAUAUUCUCAUCUACUCCAAGAAUGAACAAGAACAUGCCGAGCAUCUAAGGCUGGUAUUGAUGAAACUUCGAGAGCAUCGCCUUUAUGCCAAAUUUUCAAAAUGUGAAUUUUGGUUACCAGAAGUGACCUAUCUAGGCCACGUAAUCUCUGGUAAGGGUAUUGCUGUCAAUCCCAAGAGAGUUCAAGCUGUCCUUGAUUGGACUCAACCUGAAUCGGUUAAGCAAGUUAGGAGUUUUCAUGGUCUAGCGAGCUAUUGUCGCCGCUUCGUCGAGAAUUUCUCCAAGGUUGCAAAGCCUCUGACUGAACUCCUCAAGAAAGAUAAACAGUUCGAGUGGACACCACAGUGGGAGCAUAGUUUUCAGGAACUGAAAAGACGCCUGACUUCCGCACCUGUGUUGCUACCACCAGAUUUUUCUAAGGACUUUGUUAUCUAUUGCGACGCCUCGCGACAAGGAUUAGGUUGCAUUCUCAUGCAAGAUCGUCAUGUGAUCGCAUACGCAUCUCGACAGUGUCGGGACCCCGAUCCUAAGCCAUAGGAAUCCAGCCUGUGACACAUCGCAUCCCUUUGUGGUCUCACGCACGGUUAACUCCACGGCUGCAGUCUUACCUUAGCCGGGACCGUUUGCAUCUUUUGACUCACGUAUGCNNNNNNNNNNNNNNNNNNNNNNNNNNNNNNNNNNNNNNNNNNNNNNNNNNNNNNNNNNNNNNNNNNNNNNNNNNNNNNNNNNNNNNNNNNNNNNNNNNNNAGCCUCCCCUAUCCAUUCCCCGCCUCGGUUCUCCUCCUCCGCCCGGAUCCCCUCCUUCUCCCUGCUGCCGCCAUUAGAGCCGAGCUCGAGCUCGAGCUGGCCGUUGCCCUGGCCACAGGAACCCCUCCCCGAGCACGCCUUUAAAUCCGCCUCGUCGCCUUGGUCGUCUCUGCAGAAGCCAAAGUCCCCUCGAGCCCUGCAACGCCCGCAACGCCGUCGUCUUCUUCCUCCGGCCGCCGGACAUCUCCCGUCGAUUCAUCGCCCCCAGGCCUUCCCCGAGCCGUCUGAGCUCUUCUCUGCACUCCCUGUGAGCAUGCGGUGGUUUCCCCUAAGCUUUCCCCGUCGAUCCCCUUCUCUAGCCCUAGUUUCACCGGAGGCCGACGAGCACCGCCGCUGCCGCUCGUCGCCGGUAGCCCUCCGAUGUCCAGCUCGUCCUCCCGUGAGCACCAGAAGCUCCAGGAUGACGUGUAGAUGCCGUAGCAGCUAAGAUCUAAGCGUGGAUCCCCCUGAUUCGAAGCCCCGACGACGGCCGAGCUUCGUCCGCCGCUCCGGCUCGUCGCCGACGCCUCUUCCGGCGACCCUAGCCUCCCCAGUUGGUCCUGGCAGAUCGGCCGCUUCGCGAGCUUGCUGUAGCUGCUAUCCGCGUGCGAUUUGGUGCUGUGUAGCGCCAUCUAGGCCGCCUCCGGCGAGCCCUCCGCCGCGGGUUUGGUCGCCGGCGACCACCCUCCGGUGGCCGUCGACGUGGCCGGCCAUUAGGGCCUAAUCGCCCUCCUCUGAGUCGCUGCCAGAGGGCCCCACGCCUGGUCAAACCCCAAUUAGGGGCUGGUCAGCGCGGGAUUAGUCCCAGAGAGGCUGACCAGUGGGUCCCCCCUGUCAGGUUUGACCUGCACAGGUCGGCUGACCUGCUGACGUCAGCCUGAUGCAAUAAAUAGAAUUUCCAGUUUAAAACUAAUUUAGGAAAUUGCUAAAAAUUGCAAAAAUCAUAGAAAUUAAUCUGUAACUCCAAUGAAAAUAAUUUAUAUAUGAAAAAGUAUCAGAAAAAUUCAAGGAUUCUGAUUAUGCUAUUUUCAUCUAUGUUUGAAAAAGUUACNNNUCAGCGCGGGAUUAGUCCCCGAGAGGCUGACCAGUGGGGCCCCCCAGUCAGGUUUGACCUGCACAGGUCGGCUGACCUGCUGACGUCAGCCUGAUGCAAUAAAUGGAAUUUCCAGUAUAACAAUAAUUCAGGAAAUUGCUAAAAAUUGCAAAAAUCAUAGAAAUUAAUCUGUAACUCCAAUGAAAAUAAUUUAUAUAUGAAGAAGUAUCAGAAAAAUUCAAGGAUUCUGAUUAUGCUAUUUUCAGCUAUGUUUGAAAAAGUUACAGAACCCUAAAUUGUGAAAUAAGGAAUACUUCAAUUCUUUUAAUCACUUUAUAAAUGGAAUUUGCAAAAAUAUCCAAAUUUCAUUAUAAAUACAAUAAUCACACACUGCCCUAGAGGUAAAUCAGUACCAUAACAUGACAUUCAUGCAUGUUAACAUUAGGUUGAUCUGAGGAUCAGGUCGAAUCAAUUAAACCAGUAUCCGAGAAUACCCGUUUGAAUUGCUAUUCGAAUGUGAUUCAAAUCAACUCUAAACUUAAAACAUCUUUUUGAAUUGCUAUUGGAAUGUGAUUAUAAUAACUUAUCACUUGCAUUCUCAUGCCAUGCUCAUGCAUCAUUUUGAUUGCAUAUGAUUGUUAUUGAAUGUUGCCGUUCAUUUCGGUAGGCUCCGCACCCCAGGAUUCCACCGAAUAUCCGUCUGACGGAUAUCGUUCCUCCUCUGAGCAACAAGGCAAGCACCCCUUUUGAUCAUCCCGAUAAAUCCCAUGUUCUUGCUUGUGCACCUAAUUAUUGCACCAGGAUCAAAUGCUUCAACUGCUUUUGCCACGAUAGUUGAACCCACUUCCUUUGCAUGACUUAACCUUGUCACAGUAAAUAGCCGAACCUUGCAACCUAGCAUACCUGGUAGUUGCUUGAGCUAUGAUGUGCCUUUUCCUGCUAUGCAUGCUAUGCUUAGAGUUGUGUAUGGUCUGUCAUCUGGGAGAUGAACAGAAAUGUGGAAUGUGUUCGGUGAGCAAAGGUCGUGUGUUGAACUUGAUUUGGUAAAGGUACCGGUGAAAGGCUGUGUAGGAGUACAUGGCGGGUUGUUUCAUNNNNNNNNNNNNNNNNNNNNNNNNNNNNNNNNNNNNNNNNNNNNNNNNNNNNNNNNNNNNNNNNNNNNNNNNNNNNNNNNNNNNNNNNNNNNNNNNNNNNAUCAAUUUCCACUUCAAUUGGCGUAGGCGCCUGAUAUGUCCAUUUUGCAUCAUGCUUUCAUGUUGAUAUUUAUUGCUUUUUGGGCUGUUAUAUUACUUGUGGUACCAUAUUUAUGCCUUUUCUCUCUUAUUUUGAAAGGAUUAUUUGAAGAGGGAGAAAUCAGGCAGCUGGAAUUCUGGACUGGAAAAGGAGCAAAUCCUAGUCCACUAUUCUGCACAUCUCUAAAUGCCCUGAAAAUUUACGUGGAUUUUUUCUGGAAUAUAUGAAAAAUACUGGGCGAAAGAACGACCGGAGGGGGGCCACCAGGGCCCCACAACCUUGGCCACCGCCACCACCCCACUCGUGGCGCAGGGCAGGCUUGUGGGCUGCCUGAAGGCCCACUAGCCACCCUAUUUUUCUAUAUGAAGCGUCCUGGUAUGAAAAAACUCAAUCAGGAGCUUUUUCGUGGUUUCGCCGCCACCACGAGGCGGAACUUGAGCAGAUCCAAUCUAGAGCUCCGGCAGGACGAUCGUGCCGGGGAAACUUCCCUCCUGGAGGGGGAAAUCGUCGCCAUCGUCAUCACCAACACUCCUCUCAUCGGAGGGGAGGCAUCUUCAUCAGCACCAUCUCCUCUCCAAUCCCUAGUUCAUCUCUUGUAACCAAUCUUCGUCUCGCGACUCCGGUUGGUACUUGUAAGGUUGCUAGUAGUGUUGAUUACUCUUUGUAGUUGAUGCUAGUUGGAUUGCUUGGUGGAAGAGUUUAUGUUCAGAUCCUUGAUGCUAUUCAUUAAACCUCUGAUCAUGAUUAUGAUUAUGUUUUGUGAGUAGUUACUUUUGUUCCUGAGGACAUGGGAUAAGUCAUGUUAAUAAUAGUCAUGUGAAUUUGAUAUUCGUUCGGUAUUUUGAUAUGUUGUAUGUUGUCUUUUCCUCUAGUGGUGUUAUGUGAACGUCGACUACAUAAAACUUCACCAUAUUUGGGCCUAGAGGAAGGCAUUGGGAAGUAGUAAGUAGAUGAUGGGUUGCUGGAGUGACGGAAGCUUAAACCCCAUUCUAUGCGUUGCUUCGUGAGGGGCUGAUUUGGAUCCACUAGUUUAAUGCUAUGGUUAGACUUUGUGUUAAUUCUUAUUUUGUAGUUGCGAAUGCUUGCGAGAGAGGUUAAUCAUAAGUGGGAUGCUUGUCCAAGUAAGGGCAGUACCCAAGCACCGGUCCACCCACAUAUCAAACUAUCAAAGUAACGAACGUGAAUCAUAUGAACAUGAUGAACCUAGCAUGACAGAAAUUCCCGUGUGUCCUCCGGAGCGUUUUUCCUCCUAUAAGACUUUGUUCAGGCUUGUCCCCUGCUACAAAAGGGAUUGGGCCACUUGCGGCACCAUUUCUACUACUUGUUACUUGUUACUUUUUGCUCGCUACGUUUCACCUCACUACACCAUCACUUGUUACCGCUACUUUCAGUGCUUGCAGUUAUUACCUUGCUGAAAUCCGUUUAUCAGAGCCUUCUGCUCCUCGUUGGGUUCGACACUCUUACUUAUCAAAAGGACUACGAUUGAUCCCCUAUACUUGUGGGUCAUCAGCGCCACAGGAACAACUUCAUGCGCCCUGGUACACACUGGUUGAAGUGACGGUUCAAUAACGUCAUCAAGUUCCACCACCCUCCCACUCAAUUCUUUCGAGAGAAACUUUUCCUCGAGAAAGGACCCAUUUUUAGAAACAAACACUUUGCUUCCAGAUCUGAGAUACGAGGUAUACCCAACUGUUUUGGGUGUCCUAUGAAGAUGCAUUUAUCCGCUUUGGGUUCGAGUUUAUCAUGCUUAGGUUUCUCCAAACCAUAGUGCGAAAUCCGAGUCUUGAUCCAUGCCAACCCAACAGACACCUUUGGAAAUACCUGUAGAGCACCUUUAUAGUCACCCAGUAAUGUUGCGCUGUUUGAUACACACAAGGAAUUCCUCCGGUGUCCGGGAGUUGCAUGAGCUCAUGGUCAUAGGAACAGAUACAUUGACAUGCAGAAAAACAGUAGCAAUAAACUGACACGGUCAUAUGCUACGGUUAUAGUUUGGGUCUUGUCCAUCACAUCAUUCUCCUAAUGAUGUGAUCCCACUAUAAAGUGACAACACUUGCCUAUGGCCAGGAAACCUUGAAUGAUAGAGGCGAAGUUGUCCGUGUCUUUCGAUGAGAUCGUGGGUAUCGUUUUGGUGGAGUAGACUUUGACGAUCCGACAACGAACGUGUGAGGACGUCACGCCUUAGCAAUAGCUAAACCAACUCCGAGAGGUUAUUGACCAUGCCGGAGCACGAUCAACCUAACCACGAAGGUUUGUUUCCUGCACGCAAACGAAGAAUAAGCCAGAAACCAAGAUGCAAUCAAGAUAUUGCGAAUAUAAGAGGAAAGCUUUAUUGAUGAAGGUGGGGUUCUGUGACGCCUUUGUCUGGUCGUAGAACACAAAGGAAGAACGCGAUGUUGCAGCUAUGGAGAACUUCUAAUCGAAACAAAUCCCAAGUCUAAACGGUGCCCUAAGGGUUGUAUAUAUGAGGGAAUAGAACGACAAUUUCGUGACCCUUGGAGGAGGGGUCCGAAAACAGCCCUAAACUCAGUUUCCCCACACAUACGGACUCCAAAAAUUGCCUAUAAUAUGGUAUUUCGACAUUACAUGGGCCUGGCCCAAAAAUAAGGUGGUGCAACACCUAUAAUAGCCUAUGAAUAAAAUUUAUAAAGUGGCGUCUUGGAUAUUUCGUCCAAAGCCUUCAUGCUCUCCUUACGGUGGCUUUGGAGUGCGAAAAUCACAAGUGGAAGCUCCAUUGUUCUCUCACGCGCGUGCACCUUCUUCUCCAUGCUUGAUCCCUCCCCAACGGAUAUCUUUCUAGUCCAUGCUAGGUCCUUCAUUCAUGAGCACAACAAAAGUAUCUAACUUCGGCAUCAUCGUAUGUUCAUGAACAUUAGAAGUAUUCCCAAGAAACGAAAGUACCUGGUAAUUCAAUUGGCGUGCAAGAGCUCUAGUAAUUGUUCCAGUAUGUACAGGAGCUGGGGAUGUGGGUGUAACAAUGGUGUUGAUGUUCUCAUCAUCCUCCCCUUCUUGAACUGAAGUCGUCCUCGACGGAAGCUCAUCUUCCUCACCCAAAUACGGCUUCAAAUCUGCAAUGCUAAAAGUGGGACUAACCCCAAAAUCUGCACGAAGCUCAAGUCUAUAUGCAUUAUCAUUUAUUUCUCUAAAACUUUGAAAGGACCAUCAACACGCGGCAUUAGUUUUGACUUGCACAAAUCAGGAAACCUAUACUUACGCAAAUGCAACCAAACAAGAUCUCCAAGUGCAAAGACAACAUGUUUGCUACCCUUAUCUCCAGCAAGUUUAUAUUUAGCAUUCAUGGACUCAAUAUUUUCCUUAGUUAAUUCAUGCAUCUUUAAUAUCAAAUCAGCACGUUCUUUAGCAUCAAAAUUAACCUUCUCCGAAGAUGGAAGAGGUAACAAAUCAAUAGGUGCACGAGGUAGGAAACCAUACACAACUUCAAAAGGACACAUCUUUGUAGUAGCAUGCAACGAACGAUUAUAAGAAAAUUCAAUAUGGGGCAAGCAUUCUUCCCACAGUUUUAGAUUGUUCUUCAAAACAGCCCUAAGUAUAGUAGACAAAGAUCUAUUGACUACUUCAGUUUGUCCAUCAGUUUGGGGGUGACAUGUAGUACUAAAAAGCAAUUUUGUCCCCAACUUAGCCCAUAAACAUCGCCAAAAGUGGCUAAGAAAGUUAGCAUCACGAUGUGAAACAAUCGUAUUUGGCACACCAUGCAAGCGAAUAAUUUCACGAAAGAACAAAUCAGCCACAUUAGCGGCAUCAUCACUUUUAUGACAUGGUACAACGUGUGCCAUUUUUGAAAAUUUGUCCAAGAGAACAAAUAUGCUAUCCCUCCCCUUCUUUGUUCGACGUAAACCUAAAAUAAAGUCCAUAGAUAUAUCCUCCCAAGGAACACUAGGUACAGGCAAAGGCAUAUAUAAACCACGAGAAUUGAGUCGUGACUUAGCUUUUUGACAUGUCGUGCAGCGAGCAACAAAACGCUCAACAUCCCGUCGCAUCUUUGGCCAAAAGAAAUGUGUAGCAAGUACGCCCUCCGUCUUCUUUAUGCCAAAGUGUCCCAUCAAUCCUCCUCCAUGCGCCUCCUGUAACAACAAUAGACGAAGAGAGCUAGCAGGAAUGCAUAGCUUGUUAGCACAAAACAGAAAUCCAUUAUUAAUGAUGAACUUGUUCCAUGUUCUCCCUUCUUUACGAUUCUCCAACACAUCUUUGAAAUUAUAAUCAUGCACAUAUUGAUCUUUGAUGGUCUUCAAACCAAAUAUUUUAAAGUCAAGUUGUGAAAGCAUAGUAUAAUGGCGAGACAAAGCAUCAGCAAUAACAUUUUCUUUACCCUUCUUGUGUUUAAUGACGUACGGGGAAGUCUCAAUGAAUCAACCCAUUUAGCAUGUCUACGAUUCCGUUUUGCUUGACUUUUAAAAUGUUUCAAAGAUUCAUGAUCAGAAUGUAUGACAAAUUCUUUGGGCCAUAAAUAAUGUUGCCAUGUUUGCAAAGUCCGAACAAGAGCAUAUAAUUCCUUAUCAUAAGUAGAAUAAUUCAGACUAGGCCCACUUAAUUUUUUAGAAAAGUAUGCAAUAGGUUUACCAUCUUGUAAUAACACACCUCCUAAUCCAAUUCCACUAGCAUCACAUUCAAGCUCGAAAGUCUUAUUAAAAUGAGGAAGUUGGAGUAAAGGAGCAUGUGUUAACUUAUCUUUCAAAACCGUGAGGGCUUCUUCCUGUGCGGUACCCCAAGAAUAAGGCACAUCCUUCUUUGUAAGCUCAAUGAGAUGUGCAGAAAUGGUGCUGAAAUCUCAAUAGAACCCGGUGAGUCCAAGGAAACUCCUCAUUUGUGUGACCAUUUUGGCUGCGGCCAACUCUCAAUAGAUUCAAUCUUGGCUUUAUCAACUUCAAUUCCUUGUGGAGUAACAACAUAGCCAAGAAAAGAUACUCGGUCUGUGGAAAAGGUGCACUUCCCAAGGUUACCAAACAAACGCGCAUCACGUAGAGCAAGAAAAACAGCGCGCAAAUGAUCCAAGUGUUCCUCCAAAGUUAUACUAUAAAUCAGUAUAUCAUCUAAGUAGACUACAACAAAUCAUCCAAUGAAAGCACGUAAAACCUCAUUCAUUAAUCUCAUGAAAGUGCUAGGUGCAUUAGUCAAUCCAAAAGGCAUAACUAACCACUCAUAUAAUCCAAACUUAGUUUUAAAUGCUGUUUUACAUUCAUCUCCCAAUUUCAUGCGAAUUUGAUGGUAUCCACUACGCAAAUCAACUUUGGAGAAAAUUGAAGAGCCACUUAAUUCAUCAAGCAUAUCAUCUAGCCUAGGAAUAGGAUGACGAUAACGAAUAGUAAUAUUAUUAAUUCCUCUACAAUCAACACACAAACGUGAUGUACCAUCCUAUUUUGGCACUAGAAUAAUUGGAACAACACAAGGACUAAGAGAUUCACGUAUAUAACCUUUGUCAAGCAACUCCUGUACUUGACGCAUAAUCUCCUUUGUGUCCUCUCGAUUGGUACGGUAUGGUGCACGGUUGUCGGGACCCCGAUCUUAAGCCAUAGGAAUCCAGCCUGUAACACAUCGCAUCCCUUUGUGGUCUCACGCACGGUUAACUCCACGGCUGCAGCCUUACCUUAGCCAGGACCGUUUGCGUCUUUUGACUCACGUAUGCGAUAGUGUCGCUAGCAAUCCAAUGUCAAAGAACCCGGAUCGACAUGUCUAGUCAUAAACCAAAGUGGCAGUUCCGCACAAGGACAGGCAUACAUGACCCAACAAAGCAGGUGUCGGUCAUCAACGAACGUAGGCGAGUCGUAGCAAGCUACAAGGACUCCAUUACGUCGCGUGACAUUUCCCCAAAGGGGACAAACACAGCAGCUAAGAAGGACACAUGCCGGUCAACCAAUGUGUUCGGAGCAGUAGCGAACUACCAAGGCUCGUUGGAUCACAAAGGGGCAUUUCCUUGUAAGGAGUACUACUAAAGUUCACGACUAGGUAUUCGAACCCCAUACAUAUCAAGUAAGACACACGUACGCAUGGCAUACCGAUAUGUAUAGAUACAUCGAUGGCAUCACAACAUAACCAUAAACAUACAAGCUUUAUUUAAGAGGCUCGGAAGAGCCACACACAUAAUAUUACACAUUAAGGGUCUCUCGACCCAUAAUAGCAGUCAUACAAAUACAAACCAGCGGAAGAGUUAUAAACUGUCCGGGUACAGACAGAGCAACUAGAAGGCACAUGGCCUGACUAUACUACAGAGCCGACGUAGGGCCAGAUCGUAGCUGGGACACCAGUUACUCGUCGUCGUCGAUGUCUACGAAGAACCCUCCAUUAGGGUCAUUAGCAACCUCUGCAACAUUUAUUAAGCAAACAUGAGUACGAAGGUACUCAGCAAGACUUUAGGAUGACUAACUACUCAUGCAAGGUAUCAAGAAGGUGUUGUGGGGUUUCAUGCGGAAAUCCAGCAUUUGACUCGUGGCUAGACCAUUUGCUUUUUGAAAUUAGUUUUGACAACUUGUUUUCUCGCACACGAGUCCACUAACACCACAACAAUACACUAUCGUGGAAUCAUUCCGUCUCCAUACGGAAAUGCCGUCCACGACACUCACGCUUAUCUUGACAAUUUUAUGAGUAGCCACUGAAGUUAUCUAUGAACAACAUAUGUCUCCAAGUAGUCCAUAUCCGCGGACGCGGCUAUUCGAAUAGAUCAUAACCCUGCAGGGGUGUACUUCGUCACACACGCUCCCGCCACUUAUCGCCAUGUGCACGUCAUGCACCUCGGCAACCUUCAAGCGGAAGCCCAGUGAGGGAGUCGGCCACGACCAUUAACCACACUAGUACCUAGUCCAGGUUUAUCGCCUAUCUGAGAGUAACCCGUACGGAAGUCCGGCCGAGGUUUCUGCCACGGCCUCAAACGAUGUGCGCAGGGUUCCCAAGCCCACCAUCCGGGUGCCACUUGGUACACCGUGCCACUGCCUACCGCAUCACGGUCCACCUCUCAGGUCAGCACCAUGCACGGCCUCCAGCAUUACUAUAAACACCAGAAACUACUUGCAACUCCUGGACCGAGUACUACGCGAUUAAUAGGCCGAGCGGGGUCAUAUUUCAGGGCCCAGCAUGUGGUAGUAUCUAGUCUUGGAUUACAUACACGAAACUCAGUUCCUAAGGACGGUUCCAAUGAAACAACCCGCCAUGUACUCCUACACAGCCUUUCACCGGUACCUUUACCAAAUCAAGUUCAACACACGACCUUUGCUCACCGAACACAUUCCACAUUUCUGUUCAUCUCCCAGAUGACAGACCAUACACAACUCUAAGCAUAGCAUGCAUAGCAGGAAAAGGCACAUCAUAGCUCAAGCAACUACCAGGUAUGCUAGGUUGCAAGGUUCGGCUAUUUACUAUGACAAGCUUAAGUCAUGCAAAGGAAGUGCGUUCAACUAUCGUGGCAAAAGCAGUUGAAGCAUUUGAUCCUGAUGCAAUAAUUAGGUGCGGAAGCAAGAACAUGGGAUUUAUCGGGAUGAUCAAAAGGGGUGCUUGCCUUGUUGCUCAGAGGAGGAACAAUAUCCGUCAGACGGAUAUUCGGUGGAAUCCGGGGGUGCGGAGCCUACCGAAAUGAAUGGCAACAUUCAAUAACAAUCAUAUGCAAUCAAAAUGAUGCAUGAGCAUGGCAUGAGAAUGCAAGUGAUAAGUUAUUAUAAUCAAGAUGUUUUAAGUUUAGAGUUGAUUUGAAUCACAUUCGAAUAGCAAUUCAAACGGGUAUUCUCGGAUACCGGUUUAAUUGAUUCGACCUGAUGCUGAGAUCAACGUAAUGUUAACAUGCAUGAAUGUCAUGUUAUGGUACUGAUUUACCUCUAGGGCAGUGUGUGAUUAUUGUAUUUAUAACGAAAUUUGGAUAUUUUUGCAAAUUCCAUUUAUAAAGUGAUUAAAAGAAUUGAAGUAUUCCUUAUUUCACAAUUUAGGGUUCUGUAACUUUUUCAAACAUAGCUGAAAAUAGCAUAAUCAGAAUCCUUGAAUUUUUCAGAUACUUUUUCAUAUAUAAAUUAUUUUCAUUGGAGUUACAGAUUAAUUUCUAUGAUUUUUGCAAUUUUUAGCAAUUUCCUGAAUUAUUGUUAUACUGGAAAUUCCAUUUAUUGCAUCAGGCUGACGUCAGUAGGUCAGCCGACCUGUGCAGGUCAAACCUGACAGGGGAGCCCCACUGGUCAGCCUCUCGGGGACUAAUCCCGCGCUGACCAGCCCCUAAUUGGGGUUUGACCAGGCGUGGGGCCCUCUGGCAGCGACUCAGAGGAGGGCGAUUAGGCCCUAAUGGCCGGCCACGUCGACGGCCAUCGGAGGGUGGUCGCCGGCGACCAAACCCGCGGCGGAGGGCUCGCCGGAGGCGACCUAGACGGCGCUGCACAGCACCAAAUCGCACGCAGUUGGCAGCUAUAGCAAGCUCGCGAAGUGGCCGAUCUGGCAGGACCAACUGGGGAGGCUAGGGUCGCCGGAAGAGGCGUCGGCGACGAGCCGGAGCGGCGGCCGAAGCUCGUGCGUCGUCGGGGGCUUUGAAUCAGAGGGAUCCACGCUUAGAUCUUAGCUGCUACGGCAUCUACGCGUCGUCCUGGAGCUGCUGAUGCUCUCGGGACGACGAGCUGGACAUCGGAGGGCUACCGGCGACGAGCGGCAGCGGCGGUGCUCGUCGGGCUGCGGUGAAACUAGGGCUAGAGGAGGGGACCGACAGGGAAAGCUUAGGGAAAACCACUGCAUGCUCACAGGGGGUGCAGAGAAGAGCUCAAACGGCUCGGGGAAGGCCUGGGGGCGACGAAUCGACGGGAGAGGUCCAGCGGCCGGAGGAGGAAGACGACGGCGUUGCGGGCGUUGCAGGGCGCGAGGAAGCUUCGGCUUCUGCAGGAAUGACCAGGGCGAUGAGGCGGAGCUAAUGGCGUGCUCGCGGAGGGGUUCCUAUGGCCASGGCAACGGCCAGCUCGAGCUCGAGCUCGGCUCUAAUGGCGGCAGCAGGGAGAAGGAGGGGAUCCGGGCGGAGGAGGAGAACCGAGGCGGGGAAUGGAUAGGGGAGGCUUUGGGGAGCUUAUCCCCGUCGUCGCCAGUGCGAACCGGCGGCCAGGCAGGCACGCAUGUGCGUGGCCGCGUCGGAGGAGGCGGCGGCCACCUCCUGCUGCCUACUUGCGCGGGGAAGGGGACGAGCGGCGAGAUGGGCUGGGCCUGGCUUGGGCGUGAGGUAAGACUUUUCCUUUUUCUUCUGUUUUUGUUUUUCUGUUUUGCUAUUUGUUGCUUUGCUAAUUAUUUCAGCUCCAGAACAAAAAGUAAAAACUAAUUUUGACCUCCUGAAAUGUUUGUUAUAAUAUCCCCACUCAUUUCCAAGACUUUCAACAUUUUUGGAAAAUUAUAGUUUCUGUUUUCAAAUUUUUAAAUUUGAAACCAGUGGCUUUUGCAUUUAUUUAAAAUGCUUGAAGUGUCAAGGAAAUAGUUUUCUCCAAUGCUCAUUUACUUUCAUGAUUUAUCAGAAAGUUUGAACAUUUCUUGAGGCCAUUUUGGGUUCAUUGUUUUUGAACUAGUUGAAUUUUCCUUUAUUUGAAAUGGUGGCUAGGGUUUAGAGUUUUUCCUUUGCCACUUUGUUGUUUUUGUUGAAACUUCUUAGAUGCAAAUGCAAAGAAGACAUGAGCACAAUGCUAUCUAGCUUAAGGGUUAGGGAUGUGACAACGGUUGGGUAGCGGUGCACCGGGAAUUAAGUUCAUCUGAUGCUCAAUCCCUCUAAUAGGUGGUAAUCCCAAUGGCACGUCUUGUGGAAAGACGUGAGCGAACUCGUGCAAAAUGUUAAUGACAGCAGGAGGCAAAGAGGGUGGCAUGUCCUCAAAUGAAAAUAAUACCUCUUUGCAUACGAAAUUAUAGCAAACGGAUGUAGUAAUAUCCAAAUCAGUAAUAUCAGAUUUAGUGGCAAGUAAACAACCAACCUUCAAUUUUAUUUCAGAGGCAACACUAGAUGAUGAUUUUGUAGGCUUAUUGUGUUGCUCAAAUUCCUUCGCUAGAAUCUGAUUUUCACUCUUAUGUAGGUCCUGUUUUGCUUUACUAGCUCUAGCAACGUCAUCUUUCAGAAUAUGUUUAGGAGACAUAGGAAGCAAGGUUUUAUUUUGAUCCUUAUGAACAAGAGUAUAUUGAUUUGUUCUACCAUCGUGUACAGAAUUUGUAUCAAAUUGGCAUGGUCUACCAUGUAAAACGGAGCAUGCUUGCAUGGGUACCACAUCACAAUCAACAAAAUCCGAAUAUGCAGCAAUGCUAAAAUGCACACGGACAAUACGUGUUACCUUAACCUUGCCAUUGUUGUUGAACCACUGGAUAUAAUAAGGAUGAGGAUGUGGUCUGGUGGUGAGAGAUAGCUUCUCCACCAUCUCCAUGCUAGCUAAGUUGUUGCAACUCCCUCCAUCGAGGAUUACGCGAAUAGAACGUUCCUUUACCACUCCCUUAGUAUCGAACAAGUUGUGCCUCCGAUUUUGCUCAUCCUGUGUUACCUGCACACUUAACACACGUUGAGAAACUAAGCUUUCAUACCUGUCACCAUAGCUAGAAGCCAUGUAUUGUGUCUCUUGUUCAGUAUCAUCUACACCCCAUUCUUCACUUGCAAUAAGAGAUAGAGUCUCCUCGUCGUAAUCACUAGCGGAGUCAUAUCCACCAUCCUCCGUAAUAGUCAUCACGCGCUUGGAUGGGCAGUCUCUCGCAUAAUGACCUCCACCCUUGCAACGACGACAAAUAACCUCAUGUGUUUGCCAUGUGGAUGCCAUGGAUGAAGAAGAGCUAUGUGCAGGCCUGGAAGGUGUGCUAUUGGCUAAGCUUGUGGCAGGGGCCUGUUUCCUGGUAUCUCUGGUGGAAUGGCUGAAGUAGGCGGUGCUGAUGUAGAAGGACGUGUGGAAGUAGAUGUGGUUCAUGGCGUCCAUGAGGAAGUGCGACCUGUAGAAAAAAUUAGUUCUCGCCAAUGUGUGUCUAUCAUGCACUUCACGUCCAGCUUUCCAAGCAAGAUGAAAUAAACGAGUGAUAGUGUUAUAAUCCUUAUAUUCGAGAAUAGUCUGAAUAUCUCUAUUUAAUCCACCUAUGAAACGUGCAAGCAUAGAUUCAUUAUCCUCAACAAUACCACAUCUAAACAUUCCAGCUUGUAAUUCAUGAUAAUAUUCUUCUACAGACUUUUUGCCUUGUCUUAAACGAUGUAUGUUUUGAAGUAAUCCAUGUUGAUAAUAUGGUGGAACCCAACGAGUNNNNNNNNNNNNNNNNNNNNNNNNNNNNNNNNNNNNNNNNNNNNNNNNNNNNNNNNNNNNNNNNNNNNNNNNNNNNNNNNNNNNNNNNNNNNNNNNNNNNNNNNNNNNNNNNNNNNNNNNNNNNNNNNNNNNNNNNNNNNNNNNNNNNNNNNNNNNNNNNNNNNNNNNNNNNNNNNNNNNNNNNNNNNNNNNNNNNNNNNNNNNNNNNNNNNNNNNNNNNNNNNNNNNNNNNNNNNNNNNNNNNNNNNNNNNNNNNNNNNNNNNNNNNNNNNNNNNNNNNNNNNNNNNNNNNNCUAACUCCCAAGUAAGAUAUAUAUGAGGAACAUAUUGACCAUCAAAAGUAGGAAUAUUCAAUUUAAGUUUAGGGAGAUGGUCAUGAUCCCGUACCUGAGGGUGUGGUGCAUCCCUACCAUUGCGAUUGUAUCCAUGUGGACGACCAGCGGCUUAUCGUGGUGGUUGUUGUUCCAGGUGCGGAACUGGAGCAACCUAUCCCUCAUCACCGUAAUCACCAUCAUAAUCAUCAUCAUAAUCCUCAUUCUUCUCAGCCAUAGAAUCCGACAAGCACACGUCGCGCUCGUAGUCGUUGUGGUUGUGGUUGAAGAGGGACAUAAGCUGCAGCUGGUGGUGGUAAACGGGCAAGCACCUCAUUUAACUUGGCACUCAUCUUGGUGUCGAAUUUCUUCUCCAUACAUUCGAGCUUGUCCAUGGCCUCUCCAAAGGUGGCCACGAAAUCAUGUACCUGGUCAGACAUCAUUUGCUGAAAUUUAUAAUGGAGCUCCCGGUUGGUCAGGUUCUCCCAGUCGAUCUCCUCGUCGUAUGAUCCUGGCAUGGUUAGCAGCAAUAGGAACACAGAAGAAUAUGAACCUACAGACUACUAGGAAGUGGUGGUGGUGGUGUGUCACAAAUCCGUCAAGCAAAUCUCAAUUUCUUACCAAUUCUUACCUAGCAGUAGGUGGCGAUCGGCAACCGGUGUAGUCAAAACUCUCAAAGCUUGGAUAGAGCGAUUGCCAGGUGGUUUCAAACACACGAUGUCGAUGUAUGUGGAGCUGGAAAGGCUUAUAAUACGGUAGCAAGAAGGGUCAGCAAUAAUCAGUUCAGAGAUGCAAAAUUGAAAAGACGCUCAACGAUGGUACCGUGUUGGUCCUAUGCUAGACCUACUAGAGACGCGAGCCUAGAACACGAAUGAAGUCACGACGACACGUACUAAUCAAGGGAAGAGCCACUCUGAUCUUUUUUUCUCUUUUUUUGCACUCUUUUUUUCUGCGCUUUUUUUCCAGAAAAUCACUAUAAUGGCGAGUGUCUCAAAACUCUUCCCAAGGACCAAAAACAGGAUAGGCAUGAAAAAAAUUGACAAUUAUUAUUAUUAUUUUUGGAGCAAUUCGGGGCUGCGAGGACCAAAAAUUGCGCCAAAAAUCACUAUGAUGGCGAGUAUCUCAAAACUCUCUAAAAAGCCUAACAAAACGAUAGGGGGAAAAAUUCACCACUCAAAAUUUUGGCCUAAAAAGUGAUGUGGAAAGCGUGCCAGACUCGUUUUUUCCGAAACCUACUCAGGUACGGAAACGCGAAACCUAAAGCAAAAGGAUCUCAAAAUUAACCUAAGGCGAGAAGGAUUGUGGUGGAUAUAUGGUGGUGGUAUAUGGCAGCAAGGAUAAUGGUGGCGUGGUGGUGGUAUAUGGCAGCAGCGAUGAUGGUAGUGUGGAGGUGUUAUAUGGCAGCGAUGAAAGAUAGUGCGGUGGCAGCGUGACAACCUGUGAACAGAACUCGAAACCCUAAAGAACUAGACACUAAGACCAGCAACUCGACACGACGAUGUAACCGCAAUUUCAACAAAGCGAACUACUGAAAAGACUAUGCAAAGGCUCAGAUUUGUUCGGAUAUGAUGAUCUAACCCUAACUUUUUAUGGAUUUUUCGUGGACUAUAGGUAUGAAGAACAAAUGGGAUCUAACUACGAAAACUGGUAAAAUCUCACCAAGCAACCUGGAAAUUUCAUACCACUUGAUAGAGGCGAAGUUGUCCCUGUCUUUCGAUGAGAUCGUGGGUAUCAUUUUGGUGGAGUAGACUUUGACGAUCCGACUAGGAACGUGUGAGGACGUCGCUCCUUAGCAAUUGCUAAACCAACUCCGAGAGGCUAUUGACCAUGCCGGAGCACGAUCAACCUGACCACAAAGGUAUGUUUCCUGCACGCAAACGAAGAUCAAGCAAGAAACCAAGAUGCAAUCAAGAUAUUGCGAAUAUAAGAGGAAAGCUUUAUUGAUGAAGGUAGGGUUCUGUGACGCCUUUGUCUGGUCGUAGAACACAAACGAAGAACGCGAAGUUGCAGCUUUGGGAACUUGUAAUUUAAACAAAACCCAAAUCUAAACGGUGCCCUAAGGGCUGUAUAUAUGAGUGACUAGAGAGGCAAUUCCAUGACCCUUGGAGGAGGGGUCUGAAAACAGCCCUAAACUCGGUUUCCACACACAUACGGACUCUAAAAUUACCCUAUAUUAUGGUAUUUCGAAAUUACAUGGGACUGGCCCGAAAAUAAGGUGGUGCAACACCUGUAAUAGCCUAUGGACGAAAUUUAUAAAGUGGUGUCUUGAAUAUUUCGUCCAAAGCCUUCAUGCUCUCCUUAUGGUGGCUUUAGAGUGCGAAAACCACCAGUGGAAGCUCCAUUGUUCUCUCGCGCGCGUGCACCUUCUUGUCCAUGUUUGAUCCCGCUCCAACGGAUAUCCUUCUUGUCCAUGCUAGCUCCUUCAUUCAUGAGCACAACAAAAGUAUCUAACUUAGGCAACAUCAUAUGUUCAUGAACAUUAGAAGUAUUCCCAAGAAACGAAAGUACCUGGUAAUUCAAUUGGCGUGCAUGAGCUCUAGUAACUAGUCCAAUAUGUAUAACAGCUGGGGUUGUGGGUGUAACAAUGGUGUUGAUGUUCUCAUCAUUGACCAUCUUUGAUCAACGAGCUAGUCAACUAGAGGCUCACUAGGACAGUGUGUUGUCUAUGUAUCCACACAUGUAUUUGAGUUUCCAAUCAAUACAAUUCUAGCACGGAUAAUAAACGAUUAUCAUGAACAAGGAAAUAUAAUAAUAACUAAUGUAUUAUUGCCUCUAAGGCAUAUUUCCAACAGGGUGGGCCUCCUUGGGGUGCCGCCAACCCAACUUGGGUGGCAAGGCACCCAAGUGGGGGAGGGGGGCGACCCUAACCCUAGCCGCCGCUUCCCCCUCCCUUGGCCGUCGGGCACUAGUGGGUAACCCUAGGGCGCCCUCCUCUCUCCCUUCCUCCUAUAUAUAGAGAGGUAGCGAGGGGGCAGCCACACAACAAUCUUGCCGUGGCGCUGCCCCCUCCUCUCCCUCGCAGUUUCUCUCCUCCAUAACCCCACGGCAAAGCCAUGUCGAGUUGUCACCACCAACACCUCACCAUGCCGGCAUGUUCUCGGAGGACUCAGGCUUCUACUUCACCAUCACUCGCUAGAUUGAGGAGGUGAAUGCGUCACCAAGUUGUACGUGUGUUGAACGUGGAGGUGUCGUCUGUUCGGCCCUUGAUCGAGAGAUUGCGAGACGGUUCAUGAUUGGAUCGCAAACACAUACCACUACAUCAACUGUUUUCGUAAACGCUUCCGCUUAGAGAUCUACAAAGGUAUGUAGAUCCAAUCUCUCCACUCGUAGAUGGUGAUCUUCAUAGACUAAUCUUGGUGUGUGUAGGAAUUUUUUGUUUCCCAUGCAACGUUCCCCAACACUAUCAAGUAACUUCAGACAAAUUAUCAUUCACUUGUUCUACUUUUUAUUUUUUGUUAUAUUUUUCUUACUUGAUAAAAAUCAAAAAUAAAAAAAUAUUUAUCUUUGCUAGUUGCUAGUUUACUUCUUUGCUCGCUUUGCUUGAUAGUUUACUUGUCCUACUAGUUACUUUGCUUGCUCGAUCACCAUGUCUCAAGAUACUACUAAGUUGUGUGACUUUUCAAAUACUAAUAAACAUGAUUUUAAUAGUACUCCUAUCACACACGCCACUAGUAAGGAGGCUUGUGAUACAAAUGUUGCAUUGUUGAAUCUUGUCAUGAAAGAACAAUUUUUGGGAAGUCCUAAUGAGUAUCCCGCUACUCGUCUUGAUAACUUUGUUGAACUCCGUGAUGUGCAAAUUGAAAGCACAUGGAUAAUUAUGUUGUGAAGUUAAAGUUAUUUCCUUUUUCACUAAGAGAUAAAGGUAAAUCUAGCUUAUCAUCUUUACCACGUAAUAGUAUUGGAACAUGGGAUAAGUGUUAAGAUACUUUUAUUACCAAGUAUUUUCCUCCUGCUAAGAUCAACUCCCUUAGAAAUCAUAUAAUGAAUUUUAAACAGCAUGAUCAUGAACAUGUUGCACAAGCUUGGGAGUGGAUGAAAUUGAUGAUUAGAAAUUUCCCUACUCAUGGUUUAAACUUGUGGAUGAUUAUCCAAUAUUUCUAUGCUGGACCAAACUUUCUAUCUAGAAAUCUUCUAGAUUUUGCCGCAGGGGGUACUUUCAUUGAGGUGACCUUAGGAGAGGCCACCAAACUUCUGGACAACAUCAUGACAAGCCACUCUGAGUGGCAUAAUAAAAGAGCUCCAACUAGUAAGAAGGUAAACUUUGUUGAGGAAAUCGCUACUUUGAGUGAAAACGUUUAUGCUCUUAUGAAUUUGGUUGGUGAUAAAAAUUCUCACCUUGAUCCUAAUGACAUGGCCUUGUUUACUUUUAUUGAGCAAAAUUAUAAUUCCAUGGAUGUGAAUUUUAUCUCAUGAAAUAAAUUUAGUAACAAUGCCUAUAGAGGUAAUUUCAAUACUAGGCCAUAUCCCGGUAACUCCUCAAAAGGUUAUGGGAACUCAUAUGGAAAUUCUUAUGCAAAUCCUUCUACAAAUAAUAAUAAGGUAUCCUAUGAUCUUAAAAGCACCAUUGAAUAAUCCAUUAAUUCAUAAAAGGUUUUCAAUACUAUGGUAGAGGAAAAGUUGCAUAAAUUGAUGAUUUGGCUAGAAACUCUAAAAAGUAAAACUUUGCCACCAAAGCAUGUCUUUAAUUAGACUAUUAAAUCUAUCCAAAUGUCUAUCAAUGAAAGUAGGGAGAGGACCGCCAAGUUGAAAGCUAAGCAGGAAUUCCUAGAAAAAGCCUUUCCACGCAGUUUUUACCGGAAUCAUGAUGAAUAUCAUAAAAUGCUUGGUACUUAUUCUAUUGAAUCUUUGUUUACUUCUCUAAAAAUAAAUGAUAAUGGGACUAGAGAUGAGUCAACUCUAGUUAGAGAGUGUCCCAAUUUCUUGGAGGGUGAUGACUAUAAUGAUAAAACUGAAAAAGUGGCUUUGGAAAGGUUAAAACUUUAACUAGUGAUGUGCCCACUAUCUUGGAUGUCGAGGAUUUUAAUUAUGAUAAUUGUUCUUUAGUAGAACUUAUGUCCUUGUUGCAAUCCAUCAUUAUCUCACCCAAUGCUUAAGAAAAAAAUAAAUCUUUUACUCAACAUAUAGUAGAAGCUAUGGUAAAAGCCUAUGAUGAGAAACUUGAGUUAGAAGUCUGUAUUCCUACAAAGUUGUAUGAUGGAUGGGAACCUACUAUUAGAAUUAUGAUCAAAGUGGUUGUCAGGAUGUGUCUCUUGCUGAAUUGCAGGAAGAGCUGGUGGUGUUGGUGCGCGAGGAGCAGGAGAGCGUGGCAUCGCAACGAGCUGAGUCCUCUCAGGCUCGACCUAGGUGUGCCUUCCCAUGACCGCCAGUUGCGGUGAGCCUACCAUCAAUAACAGGGGGUUGUCGAACUGCCAACUCUUUGCCAACCCCCACACGCUUGGAGAUGCAGAGAGUUGUUGACAUUGCCAACAAACGAAAAACUUAAGGCCCUACAAGACUUCCGCAAGGCCAGAGGGUUGUGCUUCACUUGUGGGGAGAGCUGGAAUCCUGGACACACUUGUGCAGCCACAGUGCAGCUCCAUGUUGAGGAAGAACUAGUGGGCAUGUUCUCACCCCAUCCUCAUGAGAUGCAGCACAACUUGCUGUGGAAAGUUUUCCAAAGACGACAUGUGCUUACUAUCUACUACAACGGUCAGUGGUACAGAGGCCCCGAUGGCGUUCAGGUUAUCUGGGCAGAUUGGUGACAAGGUUCUCCUGAUGCUCGUUUAUUCUUGAAGCUCACAUAGUUUCAUCAACAUUAAGAUAGUUUAGUCCUGGCCUGGAAUUCAACCAAUGCAAAACUCCCUCAGGGUAAAGGUCGCAGAUGGGGUAGUAACGAGUUGUAAUCGUGAGCUGCCGCUAUGUGAGUACAUCAUUCAAGGCUUUCAGUUCCGAUCUACUUUCAACCUUUUUCCAUUGGGAUAUUAUGACAUUGUGUUGGAUAUGGACUGUCUCGUGUCAAGAGGAGUGAUGACGGUUAAUUGGAGUAACAACCACAUGACAUUUAAACACAAAGGGGAGGUCAUCCAAUUGACUGGGAAUUCGCAGGGCAUCCACCAUUGUCAAGCAAUUUCAGCAGCUGAAUUCCACUUGUUACAAGCCCGUACCGAUGUAGCCCAUGUAUUGUUGUUGUCUGUUGGCAAACCUGAUCUCGAGGGGGCUCCAAUUCCGGUAGUACUUGAAGAACUUCUGGGCAAGUUUGUGGAAUUAUUUGAGGAACCGUCAGUCCUGCUACCAAGGGAAUUUGAGGAACCGACAACCGCAUUGAUAUAACCCGGCACAGAAGGAUGAAAUCAAAGCUCAGGUGCUUGAGAUGCUAAGACAAGGAAUCAUGCAGCCCAGUCGUAGCCCAUUUUUGUCACACAUGUUGUUGGUGCACAAGAAAGAUGGCGAAUGGAGGUUUUGCAUCGAUUAUCGCUUCCUCAAUGCGAUCACCAUCAAGAGCUGUUUUCCAAUUCCAAUUAUUGAUGAAUUGCUCGAAGAGUUGCAAGGGGCAACUGUGUAUACCAGCCUAGAUCUUCGGGCUGGAUAUCACCAGAUCCGCAUGCAUCUCGAGGAUGAAGCAAAAACUGCCUUCCAAACACAUCAUGGGCACUUUGAGUUCAAGGUGAUGCCAUAUGGGGUCACGGGGGGUGUACUUCAACCUUGCAGAAAGGCAUGCAGGUGGUGCUAAGACCACUCCUUUGGGAGGGCGUCUUGGUCUUCAGAGACGACGUCCUUGUGUAUAGCGGAACUUUGGAGAAGCACGUGUUGUUGCUAUAGUCAGCUUUUCAACUGCUGGAUCAACACUCAUUGAACGUGAAGAUGUCAAAGUGUGUGUUUGCUCAACCUCAGUUGCGUUACCUCGGGCAUGUCAUUAGCGCCGCAGGAGUGCAUAACGAUCCACGAAUAUCAAGAAGAUACAAGCAUGGGCACCCCCAGCCUCAGUCAAAGAAUUGAGGUAGUUCCUCGGGCUAGCAGGGUACUACCGGAAGUUCUUCAAACACUAUGGAGUGACUAGCAAGACCCUCACAAAGCUCCUAAAGAAAGGGAUCCCAUACAUUUGGAUGAAUGUGCAUCAAGAGGCCUUCCACUGCUUGAAGACAGGUCUCUCCACGGCAUCAGUGUUGGCUCUGCCUGAUUUCUCCAAACCGUUCGUGGUCGAAAUGGACGCCUCGGACACGGGGAUUAUUGCGGUGUUAAUGCAACAACACCAUCCUAUUGCCUUCCUCAUCCAAGCGCUUGGUCCGCGGCAUUGUGUGUUGUCUAUUUACAAAAAGGAGAGCAUGACCAUUCUCAUGGCCGUGGAUAGGUGGCAUUCGUAUCCGUUGCUUUCUGAGUUUACUAUUUGCACGGACCACCAGAGCCUCUGAUGCAUGGACGAGUAGCGGCUUACCACCCUAUGGCAACACAAGGUUUUGACAAAGCUGUUGGGCCUGCAGUACAAGAUCGAAUAUCGACAAGGUGCAACAAAUCUAGCGGAUGAUGCUCUUCCUCAUCAACCACGAGUAGCGGCUAGUCUAUAGGUUGUCUCGGUGUGUGUGCCACACUAUCUAAACAUGGUCAAGCAAGGCUACAAGAACGACCCUUACAGUUCUCGCCUUCUGGCUUUAGAAGCGGUCAGAGCUCCUCUAGAAGGGACUUUUUUGGUCAAGGAUGGUGUGAUUCACUACAAGGGCAGAGUUUGGUUGGGUACUAAUGUGGAGGCAUAGUAGCAAUUUCUUACGGAACUCCAUGCCAGAGCCAUUAGAGGGCAUUCCGGUGUCCAAGUCACAUAUAGCCGUGUGAUACGUCUAUUCGCUUAGCCUAAAUUGAAGCAGUUUGUGAAGAAGUUCAUCUCUGAGUGUGAGGUGUGCAAACAAGCCAAACUAGAACAUGUAAAGUACCCAGGGCUGCUUCAACCGCUUUGAGUACCCCUAGCAAGCCUCGAAGAUGGUCACCUUGGACUUUGUCGAAGAAUUGCCAACAUCCAAGGGACUUACUUCAAUUCUCGUCGUGGUGAACAAAUUGACGUGGUAUGCUCAUUUCAUCCCACUCCGGCAUCCCUUCUGUCCUCUACAAGUAGCAAAAGCAUACAUGGAGAAUGUCUUCAAGUUGAAUGGGCCUCUGGACAAGCUGGUGUCAGACCGAUCGAGUAUUCACUAGCAAAGUGUAGCAUGAGUUGUGUAGGUUGUCUCGUACCACCCUCAACAUUUCCUCGGCUCGACACCCACACACUAUUGAAACUACAGAUAGAGUCAAUCAAUCCAUGGAGCUCUCUCUAAGGUGCUUUGUUCACAAUUGCCCGAGCAAAUGGGUGGAAUGGCUAGCGUUAGCUGAGUUUUGGUAUAAUACUUCGUAUCAUUCCACACUGAAGACAUCCCCAUUUGAGGUCUUGUACGGGCACAAGCCUCGAUUCUUUGGCAUCUCCAACAUUGUUGACAAAAUUGUCAUAGAUUUGGUGGUGUGGACUUGCGAGCGGGCAACCAUGCUGUCACUCCUUAAGCAUGACCUCCAUCGAGGGAAGCAAAUGAUGAAGAGAAAAGCUUAUGUGCAUCACUCGGAUUGAGCAUUCUCGGUUGGGGAUUGGGUGUACCUCAAGUUGCAGCCCUAUUCUCAGUCAUCAGUGGCUGCGCAAGGUAAUCACAAGUUAGCUUUUCGUUUCUUUGGUCCCUUUUGGGUUACUGGCCAUGUUUGGGAGGUUGCAUACAAGAUGGUGUCGCCACAAUAAGCCCCGAUGCACCCAGUAUCCAUGUGUCUCAGCUGAGCGCUGGGUUACCACCAACCACCCAAGUGAUGCCCGAACUACCGGUGGUGGAUGAAGAUCUCUUGGCAUUUCAAGUGCCCGCUUCAAUCCCGCAAUGUCGCUAGGUUCUUUGAUGAGCUAAGCAGAUUGAUCAAGUGCUGACUCAAUGGUCGGGGUUCCCUAUGUCACUUGCUACAUGGGAAGAUGAAGUGGCCCUCCGAUCAAGAUUUCCCCAAGCACUGGCUUGGGGGCAAUCCAAGACUCAAGGAGGAGGGAAUGUCACGAAAACACACAUGAGGGAACCCAGCAAAGACCAGCAGCCCAGGCCAUCCGGUUCAUCCCAGGAGGAAGCCAAAGACCAAGGCUCGCGUGUUGGAAAUAUGCCCUAGAGGCAAUGAUAAAAUAGUUAUUAUUAUAUUUCUUGUUUCAAGAUAAUUAUUUAUUAUCCAUGCUAUAAUUGUAUUGAAUGAAAGCAUAGAUACAUGUGUGGAUAUAUAGACAAAACAAUGUCCCUAGUAAGACUUUAGUUGACUAGCCAGUUGAUCAAGGAUGGUUAAGGUUUUCUGACCAUAUGCAAGUGUUGUCAAUUGAUGACUGGAUCACAUCAUUAGGAGAACGAUGUGAUGGACAAGACCCAAACUAUGAACGUAGCAUGUGAUCGUGUCAUUUUGUGGCUAUUGUUUUCUGCGUGUCAAGUAUUCAUUACUGUGACCAUGAGAUCAUGUAACUCACUGACACCGGAGGAAUACCUUGUGUGUAUCAAACGUGGCAACGUUACAGGGUCACUAUAAAGGUGCUCUAUAGGUAUCUCUGAAGGUGUCCGUUGAGUUAGAAUGGAUAAAUACUGGGAUUUCUCACUCCGUGUGACGGAGAGGUAUCUCGGGGCCCACUCGGUAAUACAACAUCACAUAUAAGCCUUGCAAGUAAUGUGGCUAAUGUGUUAGUCACGGGAUCUUGUAUUAUAGAACGAGUAAAGAGACUUGCUGGUAACGAGACUGAAAUAGGUAUAGAGAUACCGACGAUCAAAUCUCGGGCAAGUAACAUACCGAAGGACAAUGGGAAUGGUAUACGGGAUUAUAUGAAUCCUUGGCACAGAGGUUCAACCGAUAAGAUCUUCGCAGAAUAUUGUAGGAUCCACUAUGGACAUCUAGGUCCCGUUGUUGGAUAUUGACCGGGGAGUGUCUCAGGCCAUGUCUUCAUAGUUCUCGAACCCGCAAGGUCUGCACACUUAAGGUUCGGUAACAUUUCGGUAUAGUUGAUUUAUAGGUGUUGGUAACCGAAGGUUGUUCGGAGUCCCGGAUGAGAUCACAGACGUCACGAGGGUUUCCGAAAUGGUCCGGAAACGAAUAUUUAUAUAUAGGAUUGUUUAAUUUGGUCUCCGGAAAGAUUUCGGACAUUACCGGGAGUAACGAAUGGGUUUCAAGUUUUUCUGGGAGGGGCCCACCCACCCGGGAGUGAGCCUAAUAGCCCAAGGGUGGCGCACCAGCCCUUAGUGGACUCAUGAGGCCAGCCCAAGUGGGCUAUGUCGGCUAAGGAAAAAAACCAAAGAGGAGAAAAAAAGGAGAGGGAGGUGGGAAGGAAGGAGGGGACUCCUUCUUCCCAUACCGAAUUGGAGUUGUUGUCUCCUUCUCCUCUCUCGUCCGGCGCUCUAGGGGAUCCCUUGAGCACCAAGGCUAGCCCCUCCCCUCCUCCUAUAUAUACUAUAGGUUUUAGGGGUUUUGAGACACAACUUUGCCACGUGCAACCCUGAACCUCUACUUCGUAGUUCUACCUCUAGAUCGGUUUUCUACGGAGCUCGGGCGGAGCCCUGCAGGGACAUAUCAUCACCAUCACCAGCGCGUCGUCACGCUGCCAGGGAACUCAUCUACUUCCCCGUCUCUCUUGCUGUAUCAAGAAGGUGGAGAUCGUCAUCGAGUUGUACAUAUGCAGAACGUGGAUGUGCCGUCCGUUUGGCGCUAGAUCGGAACGGAUCGUGGGACGACGGUGAUUUGAAUCACGAAGCUGUUCCACUACAUCAAUCGUGUUUCUUAACGCUUCCCGCUUAGCGAUCUACAAUGGUAUGUGGAUUCGAUCUCCCUCUCGUAUAUGAACAUCACCAUGAUAGGUCUUCGUGUGCGUAGGAAAAUUUUUGUUUCCCAUGCAACGUUCCCAAAGAGUGGUAUUAGAGCUAGGUUCAUGCGUAGAUGUAAUCUCGAGUAGAACACAAAAGUUUUUGUGGGCGUUGAUGUUCGAUUUGCUUCCCUCCUUAGUCUUUUCUCGAUUCGACGGUAUUGUUGGAUUGAAGCGGCCCGGACCAAUAUUACUCGUACGCUUACGAGAGACCAGUUUCAUUGACUAACAUGCAACUCGUUGCAUAAAGAUGACUGGCGGGUGCCUUUUUCUUCAACUUUAGUUGAAUUGGAUUUGACCGAGGCGUUCCUUGGAGAGAGGUUAAAUAGCAAUUUGCACAUCUCCGUUGUGGUUUUGCGUAAGUAAGAUGCGAUCAUACUAGAUACCCAUAGCAGCCACUUAAAAAUGCAACAAACAAUCAGAGGACGUCUAACUUGUUUUUGCAGGGUAUGCAUGUGAUGUGAUAUGGCCAAAGACAUGAUGUGAUAUAUUGGAUGUAUGAGAUGAUCAUGUUGUAAUAGUUAAAUAUCGACUUGCACGUCGAUGCUACGACAACCGGCAGGAGCCAUAGGGUUGUCCUUGAACUAACGUUUGUGCUUGCAGAUGCGGUUACUAUAUUGCUAGGUUGUAGCUUUAGUACUAAUAGCAUAGAUAGCACGACAACCUCGAUGGCGGCACGAUGAUAGAGAUCAUGAUGAUGGAGAUCAUGGGGUGCCGCUGGUGACGAUGAAGAUCAUGCCGGUGCUUGGUGCUAGAGAUCCAGAAGCACAGGAUCAUGGCCAUAUCAUGUCACUUAUGAAUUGCAUGUGAUGUUAAUACUUUUAUGCACCUUAUCUUCCUUAGAAUGACGGUAGCAUUAUAAGGUGAUCCCUUACUAAAAUUUCAAGAUAAAAUUCUGUUCUCCCCGAAUGUGCACCGUUUCGACAGUUCGUUGUUUCGAGACACCACGUGAUGAUCGGGUGUGAUAGCCUCAACGUUUACAUACAACGGGUGCAAAACAGUUGCACACGCGGAACACUCGAGUUAAACUUGACGAGCCUAGCAUGUACAUACAUGGCCUCGGAACACAAGAGAACGAAAGGUCGAGCAUGAAUCAUAUAGUUGAUAUUAUCAACAUGGAGAUGUUCACCACUGAAACUAUACUCAACUCACGUGAUGAUCGGACUUGAGUUAGUGGAUUUGGAUCAUGUGCCACUCGAAUAACUAGAGGGAUGUCUAUUUGAGUGGGACUUCUUAAGUAAUAUGAUUAAUUGAACUAAUUAUCAUGGACAUAGUCAAAAGGUCUUUGCAAAUUAUGGUGUAGCUUGUGUUGUAGCUCUACUAUUUUUUUAAAUGUUCCUAGAGAAAAUUUAGUUGAAAGAUGAUAAUAGCAGUUUUAUCGGACUGAGUACGUAAACUGAGGAUUGUCCUCAUUGCUGCGCAGAAGGCUUAUGUCCUUAAUGCACCGCUCGGUGUGCUGCACCUCGAGCGUCGUCUGUGGAUGUUGCGAAGAUCUGACAUACACAUUUUUAUGACUAUGUGAUAGUUCAGUGCGUAAUGCUUAACGACUUAGAAUUGGGGCGCCGAAGACGUUUUGAAACGUCACGGAACAUAUGAGAUGUUCCAAGAGAUGAAAUUGGGAUUUCAUGGUCGUGCCCGCGUUGGGAGGUAUGAGAUCUCCGACAAGAUUCUUUGUCUACAAAGUUAAGGAGAAAAGCUCAAUCGUUGAGCAUGUGCUCAGAUUGUGUGAGUGCAACAGUCGCUUGAAUCAAGUGGGAGUUAAUCUUCCACAUGAUAUAGUGAUGGUUCUCCAAAGUCAGUGCCACCAAGCUAUCAGAACUUCGUGAUGAACUAUAACAUAUCAAGGAUAGGUAUGAUGAUCCUUGAGCGAUUCGCAAUGUUUGACACUGCGAAAGUAGAAAUAAAGUAGGAGCAUCAAUUGUUAAUGGUUAGUAAAACCACUAGUUUCAAGAAGGGCAAGGGCUAGAAGGGAUGCUUCAUGAAAGGGCAAACCAGUUGCUGCUCUAAUGAAGAAACCCAAGGUUGAACUCAAACCCAAGACUAAGUGCUUCUACUAUGAGGGGAACGGCCACGGAGGCGGAACUACCCUAGAUACUUGGUAGAUGAGAAGGUUGGCGAAGUCGACAAAGUAUAUUUGAUAUACAUGAUAUUGAUGUAUACCUUACUAGUAUUCCUAGUAGCGCCAGGGUAUUAGAUACUGGUUCAGUUGCUAAGUGUUAGUAACUCGAAGUUAUAGCUACGUAUUAAAAGGAUACUAGCAAGGGUGAGGUGACGAUGUGUGUUGGAAGUAAUUCUAAGGUUGAUGUGAUCAAACAUCGCACACUCCCUCUACCAUCGGGAUUGGUGUUAAACCUAAAUAAUUGUUAUUUGGUGUUUGCGUUGAGCAUGAACAUGAUUGGAUCGUGUUUACUGCAAUAUAACUGUUCAUUUAAAGAGAAUAAUUGUUAUUCUAUUUGCGUGAAUAAUUACCUUCAAUGGUUUAUUGAAUCUCGAUCGUAGUGCUACACAUUUUCAUAAUAUUGAUGCCAAAAGGUACAAGGUAGUAAUGAUAGUACCACUUACUUAUGGCACUGCCACUUGAGUCAUAUUGGUGUAAAAUGCAUGAAGAAGCUCCAUGCUGAUGGAUCUUUGUACUCACUAAUUUUUGAAACGUUUGAGACAUGCAAACCAUACAUAUUGGUAUAAAUGCAUGAAGAAACUCCAUGCAGAUGGAUCGUUUGGACUCACUUGAUUUUGAAUCACUUGAGACAUGCAAAUCAUACCACAUGGGCAAGAUGACUGAAGGCCUCGUUUUCGAGUGAGAUGGAACUAGAAAGUAACUUAUUGGAAGUAAUACAUUUGGUUGUAUGCAGUCCAAUGAGUGCUCAGGCACGUAGUGGAUAUCGUUAUGUUCUUACUUCACAGAUGAUUUGAGUAGAUACUAGUGUAUUUUCUUAAUGAAACACACGUCUGAAUUAUUGAAAGGUUCAAGAAGUUUCAGAGUGAAGUUGAAGAUCGUUGUGACAAGAGGGUAACAUGUCUACGAUAUGAUCAUAGAGAUGAAUAUCUGAGUUGUGAGUUUGGUACACAAUUAAGACAAAUGUGAAAAUUGUUUCACAUCUCAUGCCACCUAGAACACCGUAGUAUGAUGGUGUGUCCGAACGUCAUAGUCGUGCCCUAUUUGAUAUGGUGCAUACUAUGAUGUCUCUUAUCAAAUUACCACUAUCGUUUAUGGGUUAUGCAUUAGAGACAACCGCAUUCACUUUAAAUAGGGCACCAUGUAUUUCCGUCGAGAUGACACUGUAUGAGCUAUGGUUUGGAGAAACCUAAGCUAUCGUUUCUUGAAAGUUUGGGGCUACGACGCUUAUGUGAAAAAAAAUUCAGUCUGAUAAGCUCGAACCUAAAGCGGAUAAAUGCAUCUUCAUAGGAUAUCCAAAACAGUUGGGUAUACCUCCUAUCUCAGAUCCGAAAGCAAAGUGUUUGUUUCUAGAAACGGGUCCUUUCUCGAGGAAAAGUUUCUCUCGAAAGAACUGAGUGGGAGGGUGGUGGAACUUGAUGAGGUUAUUGAACCGUCACUUCAACCAGUGUGUAGCAGGGCGCACGAAGUUGUUCCGGUGGCGCGUACUCCAAUUGAAGUGGAAACUGAUGAUAGUGACCAUUAAGCUUCGGAUCAAAUUACUACAAACCUCGUAGGUCGACUAGGUCGCGUACUACUAUAGAGUGGUACGUUAACCCUGUCUUGGAGGUCAUUUUGUUGAACAACAAUAAACCUACGAGCUAUGGAGAAGCGAUGGUGGGCCCGAAUUCCGGCAAAUGGCUGGAGACCAUGAAAUCCGAGAGAGGAUCCGUCUAUAAAAACAAAGUAUAGACUUUGGAAGAACUACUUGAUGGUCGUAAGACUAUUAAGUACAUAUGGAUCUUUAAAAGGAAGACAGACAAUGAUGGUGAAAAGUCACCAUUAAGAAAAGCUCGACUCAUUGCAAAGAUGUUUCCCACAAGUUCACGGAGUUGACGAUGAUGAGACUUUCUCACUCAUAGCGAUGCUAAAAGUCUGUUGGAAUUAUGUUACCAGUUGCUGCAUUAUUUAUGAAAUAUUGCACAUAGGAUGUCAAAACAUUGUUUCCUCGAGAGUUUCCUUGAGGAAAGGUUGUAUGUGAUACAACCAGAAGGUUUUGUCAAUCCUAAGGAUGAUAACAAGUUAGCAAGCUCUAGCAAUCCUUAUGUGAACUGGAGCAAGCAUCUCGGAGUUGGAAUAUACGCUUUGAUGAGAUGAUCAAAGUUUUGGGUUUUAUACAAGGUUUGUGAGAAACUUGCAUUUCCAAAGAAGUGAGUGGGAGCACUAUAGAAUUUCUGAUAAGUAUAUGUGGUUGACAUAUUGUUGAUCGGAAGUAAUGUAGAAUUUCUAUAAAGCAUAAAGGGUUGUUUGAAAGGAGUUUUUCAAAGGAAAACCUAGAUAGAGCUACUUGAACAUUGGGCAUCAAGAUCUAUAGAGAUAGAUCAAAACGCUUAAAUAGAACUUUCAAUGAAAUGCAUGCCUUAACAAGUUUUUGAAGGAGUUCAAAAUAGAUCAACAAAGAAGAAGUUCUUGGUUGUAUUGUAAGGUGUGAAUUUGAGUAAGACUCAAAGCCCGACCAUGACAGAAGAAAGAGAAAGGACGAAGGUCGUCCCCUAUGCCUUAGUCGCAGGCUCUAAAGUAUGACAUGUUGUGUACCGCACCUGAUGUGUGCCUUGCCAUGAGUCUGUCAAGGGGUACAAAGAGUGAUCCAGGAUUGAAUCACUAAAACAGCGGUCAAAGUUAUCCUUAGUAACUAGUGGACUAAGGAUUUUUUUUCUCGAUUAUGGAGGUGAUUAAGGAGUUUGUUGUAAAGGGUUACGUUGAUGCAAGCUUUAACACUAAUCCGAAUAACUCUAAGGAGUAAAGAGGAUUCGUAUAGUGGAACGGUCAUUUGGAAUAAUUCCAAAUGGCCCGUAGUAGCAGCAUCUACAGGAUAACAUAGAGAUUUCUAAAGCACACACAGAUCUGAAAGGUUCGGACUUGUUGACUAAAACUUCUCUCACAAGCAAGACGUAAUCAAACCACAGAACUGCAUGGGUGUUGGAUUCGUUAAAACCACAUAGUGAUGUGAACUAGAUUAUUGAUUCUAGUGCAAGUGGGAGACUGUUAGAAGUAUGCCAUAGUGGCAAUAAUAAAUUAGUUAUUAUUAUAUUUCUUUGUUCAUGAAAAUCGUUUAUUAUCCAUGCCAUGAUUAUAUUGAUUGGAAACACAAAUAUAUGUGUGGAUACAUAGACAAAACACUGUCCCUAGUAAGCAUCUAGUUGACUAGCUCGUUGAUCAAAGAUGGCUAAGAUUUCCUAACCAUAGACAAGUGUUGUCACUUGAUAACGGGAUCACAUCAUUAGGAGAAUAAUGUGAUGGACAAGACCCAAACUCUAAACGUAGCGUAUCAUCGUGUCAGUUUAUUGCAACUGUUUUCUCCAUCUCAAUGUAUCUGUUCCUAUGACCAUGAGAUCAUGCAACUCCCAGACACCGGAGGAAUACCUUGUGGGUUAUCAAACGUCGCAAUGUAACUGGGUGAAUAUAAAGGUGCUCUAUAGGUAUCUCCAAAGGUGUAUGUUGGGUUGGCAUGGAUCAAGACUGGGAUUUGUCACUCCGUGUGAUGGAGAGGUAUCUCGGGGCCCACUCGGUAAUACAAUAUCACAAUAAGCCUUGCAAGCAAUGUGACUAAGGAGUUAGUUACGGGAUCUUGUAUUAUGGAACAAGUAAAAGACUUGCCGGUAACGAGAUUGAACUAGGUGUAGAGAUACCGACGAUCGAAUCUCGGGCAAGUAACAUACCGAAGGACAAAGGGAGUAGUAUACAUGAUUAUAUGAAUCCUUGACAUAGAGGUUCAACCGAUAGAGAUCUUCAUAGAAAUAUGUAGGAGACAAUAUGGUCAUCCAGGGCCCGCUAUUGGUUAUUGACCAGAGAGUGUCUCAGGUCAUGUCUGCAAAGUUCUCGAACCCACAAGGUCUGCACACUUAAGGUUCGGUGACGUUUUGGUAUAGUUGAUGUUGGAAAUAUGCCCUAGAGGCAAUAAUAAAAUGGUUAUUAUCAUAUUUCCUUGUUCAUGAUAAUCGUCUAUUGUUCAUGCUAUAAUUGUAUUAACAGGAAACAAUAAUACAUGUGUGAAUAAAUAGAUCACAAUGUGUCCCUAGCAAGCCUCUAGUUGGCUAGCUCUUUAGUCAAUAGAUGAUCAUGGUUUCCUGGUCAUGGGCAUUAGAUGUCAUUGAUAACAGGAUCACAUCAUUGGGAGAAUGAUGUGAUGGACAAGACCCAAUCCUAAGCAUAGCACUAGAUCGUAUUGUUCAUAUGCUAAAGCUUUUCUAAUGCCAAGUGUCUUUUCCUUCGACCAUGAGAUUGUGCAACUCCCGGAUACCAUAGGAGUGCUUUGGGUGUAUCAAACGUCACAAUGUAACUGGGUGACUAUAAAGGUGCACUACAAGUACCUCUGAAAGUGUCUGUUGGGUUGGUACGAAUCGAGAUCGAGAAUUGUCACUCCGCGUGACGGAGAGGUAUCUCUGGGCCCACUCGGUAGAACAUCAUCAUGAGCUCAAUGUGACUAAGGAGUUAAUCACACGAUGACAUGCUAUGGAACGAGUAAAUAGACUUACCGGUAACGAGAUUGAACAAGGUAUAGGUAUACCGACGAUCAAAUCUCAGGCAAGUUCUAUACCGACAGACAAAGGGAAUUAUAUACGGGAUUGAUUGAAUCCUUGACAUCGUGGUUCAUCCGAUGAGAUCAUCGUGGAGCAAGUGGGAGCCACCAUCGGUAUCCAAACCCCGCUGAUGGUUAUUGGCCGGAGAGGUGUCUCGGUCAUGUCUGCCUGUCUCCCGAACCCGUAGGGUCUACACACUUAAGGUUCGAUGACGCUAGGGUUAUAGGGAAUUGUUAUACGAGGUUACCCAAAGAUGUUCGGAGUCCCGGAUGAGAUCCCGGACGUCACGAGGAGGUCCAGAAUGGUCCGAAGGUAAAGAUUGAUCCAUAGGAUGGAUGGUUUUGGACAUCGGAAAUGUUUCGGGUGUCACCGGUAAUGUACCGGGACCACCGGGACCACCGGAAAUGGUCCCGGGGGUACACCGGGAGGGGCCACCAGCCCCAAGAGGUAGCAUCACUACAGGAAUCGGCUUCUUUGCCGUCUCCCAUCACAGACGACAAAGACAAUAUCCUGGACGGCAAAGACAAUAUCACAGACGGCAAAGAUUCUCACGGCCGGCAAAAUUUCUGCGUCAGCCUACGACGGCAUAGGACCUUCUUUGCCGUCUGCCCCCCCAAAGCGGACGGCAAAGCUCUUUGCCGUCAGCUUUCCUUAGGAGCAGUCGGCAAAGUGCUCGAGACGGAAGCCGGCAGGCGUUGCCUCCGUUAGGGGUUAACGGAGGCUUUGCCGUCUGCCUCCCCGUCCAUCUUUGCCGUCUGCCUUCUCUUCCCCUCCCCUCCCCCUCCAUCUUUGCCGUCUGCCUCCCCGUCCAUCUUUGCCGUCUGCCAGCUCCUCCCCUCCCCCCUCUCUCCACUCUUUGCCGUCUGCCUCCUCCUCACCCCUCCCCUGUUCCCUCUUCUUUGCCGUCUGCCCACCCUGGAGGCUGACGGCAAAGAGACCCUGGAGGCUGACGGCACAUUAAUAUAAUUCACCACACAUAUAUGAUAUAUAGUUCACCACACAUAUACUUGCCAACACAUAUAUAUAAUUCACCACACAUAUAUGAUUCACCAAUGUACAUCCCCAUAUAUCCAAAGAACCAACAUACCAGGUAUUGCACUGUUUAUCCAUAUAUACAUAUACAUAUAGUUCGACAUUGUUCAUCAACUCAAAUGAAAACUAGAUGAUAUACAUAUAAAGUUCAUCCAUCGACAUUGUUCAACUCCAUGAAUGCCAGCUUCCAUGCAUGUAGUAUAUCCAAUCUGCAAAAAUGUGAAUAAGAAAGUUAGAAGAAGAACAAAAUAUGAUGUUUUUCAGCUAAUUAUGUCAUUUUUAGUGGAAAACCAGCUAAGUAUAUGUGUCGUGAACUAUAUAUCAUUUGUUGGAGCUAAAUUACCUAAUUAUGUCUUUUUGAGCUAAAUGGGCUAAUUAUCRCAUUUUAGAGGAAAACAAGCUAAGUAUAUAAUAUUCAUGAGCUAACCAAGGUUCUUAUGCCAUUUUGAGCUUAUUAUGGUAUUUUGGAGCUAAAUGGGCUAAUUAUGUCAUUGUUGGGUUAAUUAAAGCAAGGAUAAUAUGAAAGAGGAGAAGAAAGAGGAGGAGGAGGAGAAGAAGAAGAAAUCAAGAAGAAGGAGGAGGAGGNNNNNNNNNNNNNNNNNNNNNNNNNNNNNNNNNNNNNNNNNNNNNNNNNNNNNNNNNNNNNNNNNNNNNNNNNNNNNNNNNNNNNNNNNNNNNNNNNNNNAGGAUCAUGUUCAUCAUUUGCGAGUAGUUACUUUUGUUCUUGAUGUCAUCGGAGAAAUCAUGUUACAAGUAAUCAUGUGAACUUGAUACGUGUUCAAUAUUUUGAUGGUAUGUAUGUUGUGAUUCCCUUAGUGGUGUCAUCUGAAUCUCGAUGACAUGACACUUUACCAUAUUUUGGGCUAAGGGAAUGCAUUUUGGAGUAGCUAUUAGAUGAUGGGUUGCUGGAGUGAUAGAAGCUUAAAUCCUAGUUUAUGCUCUACUUCGUAAGGGGCCGAUUUGGAUCCAAACGUUUAAUGCUAUUGUUAGAUAUUUAUCUUAAUACCUUUCUCAUAGUUGUGGAUGCUUGCGAGGGAGUUAAUAAUAAGUAGGAGGUUUGUUCAAGUAAGAAUAUCACCUAAGAACCGGUCCACCCACAUAUCAAACUAUCAAAGUAUAGAACACGAAUUAAGCUAUCAUGGUGAAAGUGACUAGAUGAAAUUCCCAUGUGCCCUCAAGAAUGCUUUGCCCAUUAUAAGAAACCACUUUGUCCUUCCUUUGCCACAAAAGGAUUGGUAUACCUUGCGGCACUUAUUUUUAAUCUAGCUACUCGUUACUUGUUAUAUCUAUCUUGCUAUCAAACAACUUGUUACCGCUAUUUCAGUGCUUGCAGAAAUUACCUUGCUGAAAACCACUUGCCAUUUCCAUCUGCUCCUCAUUGGGUUCGACACUCUUACGUAUCGAAAGGACUACAAUUGAUCCCCUAUACUUGUGGGUUUUAACAGGCUCCAAGAUCUUCAGGCUCAACACUUUGAUCUUCAAAACCAAAAUUGUGAGUAUGAAUCUCGUUUCAAGAGGAUGGGUAUAGUUGUAGAUUUCAGUAUUCCAGAGAUGAGCUCUUUAUUCUUGAUUGGGUAACCUAUGCCAUGGAAGACGAAGGACAAGCUUACCGUAUAAUCACCACCAUCACCCAAGAAUUACUCUUGACUACAUGGGUAUGGGCACCACCCUUAGCUUGUUCCAAGCUCAGGGGAGGUGCCUCGAUGUCGUAUGACCAUCAUUUCUACUAUUACGAUCUAUCUCAGUUCGAUCCUUAGUUAUUUCAUGAUUCAGAGAAAUAAAAUUUCAGAUUUGUUUUGCAUAGAAUGUUUGCUUUGAGUUCUACCUACCCUUGGAGUCGAAUGUGAGAGUUAUAUAAUAAAGAUUAGUUGAGUUUGUGUGCUCUACUUGUGUGCACCCAUCAUCAUAGCAUGGCAGUAAAAGAAAUAGAAAAGAACAUAUGCUUAUCUCGUGGGGAGUAAUGACUUCACAUAAAAAAGGGUGUAAGUGAUAAAAGUAGCUGGAAAUAAACAAACAUAGUAUUAGUCAUUAUUACAAUGUAAUCAUGAUUAUGAUAGAGGAGUGGAGAUUCUCAUACAAAUAAAGUAUCUUGGAUAUGUUUUAUGAUUGUGAGCCAUCACCAAAUAUUAUAUAAUGAUCAAGUGUUGACAUUGGACAUGGAAGAUAAUGUAAUGAUCAUGGUAAUUUAUAUCCAAAUAGAAUUUAUAUGGUUAUGGAUCCUUUAACAUGUGGUGCUUUCUUUAGAUCUUUUGCUAGCCAAAAAAUUCCGCACUAAGUAGAGAUACUACUUGUGCAUCCGUAACCCUGAAAUCUAGUUCCUUGCCAUGAGAGUCCAUCCUGCCUACCUAUGGAUUAAAUAAGAUCCUUCAAGUAAGUUUUCAUCGGUGCAUCAAGCAGUAACAAUUCCUCUUAAAUAUGUAUGAUCUUUUGUUGCAAAGUAAAAUAAUCUUUUUACAAUCUUGUGAUGGCAAAGAAAUAAAAGAGACAAAGUGCAUAAUAAAGUUUGCUAUCAUAAGGGGAAUACAAAGUGACGUUCCUUUGCAAUAAGAGUUUGCACAUCCAAAAACUUAAAAGUGCAUGACAAACUGUCCUUUCCUCUGCGAAGGGCCUAUCUUUUACUUUUAUGUUUUCACUCCUACGUGAGAGUUAACAAAGUUUAUUCCUCUUCCUACCUAUUAAUUCUAUAGAGCCAAGCAUCCAGUGUUGAGGAAACAUUUAAACUUAUAUCUUCAAGUGGGUGUAGAUGAUCAUGAUUUAUUAUUGUUGACAUUAUCCUUGAGGUAAGUUGAGUGGCAAAUUAGUUAAGCCCAUAUCUUCCUAUGUGUCCCAUGGAAACAUGAGCUCCAAAAACAUGUCUUGAACAUGAGCAAUCAUAGAAGACUAAAUGAUAGUUGAGUAUGUGAACUUGCAAAUAAGAAAGAUCUUACAUAGACUCUCCUGUGAAAUUUGAUGAAUUAUGAUUGUCCCCAUGAUUGAGAACAUAGUUUGUUGAUUGUCAAUAAGGUGUAUGCUUCGUACUCCAAUAAUCGUGAAUGGAUUGUUACUUGUUUAUGAGGAAAUAUGUGAUAAAAUACUUGCUUCUAUGCUAAUAUUCAUGAUGAUCUCAUGUUCGUAUUUUGUUUUUAUCAAAUUUCCCCUCUCAAAUCAUGUGGCCAUUACUUCGAAGCUCGAGUUUCACUUGAGGACAAGUGAGGUCUAAGCUUGGGGGAGUUGAUACGUCCAUUUUGCAUCAUGAUUAUUUAUUUAUAUUUGUGUUAUUCUUGUCCAUUAUUACCUAUUAUCAUACAAUUCUUAUGACCUCUCUCUUUGAAUAUGCAAGGUAUAUCACAAAGAGGGAAAUAUCUGGAAACUAGAAUUCUGGACCAGGAAUCCAAGAAAAAGGUAGAAAAAUCAGCGGGCUUCAAUUGAACUGAAACACCAAGGAGAAUUUUUAUCGAACAUGUAAGAAUUAUUGGGACAAAAAUAUACCAAAGGGGGCCCACCUCCUGUCCACAAGCCAACAGGGCGCUCCCACCCCCUAGGCGCGUCCUGAUGGCUUGUGAGGGCCCUCUAGACCUCCCGACCCCCUCGUCUCCUAUAUGGUGUGUUUUACCAAAGAAAAAAAAUCACAAGCUACCUUUCGGGAUGAAGCGCCACCAUCUUGAGGCAAAAACCUAGGCAGAUGCCCUUUUGCUCUCUGGCACACAGAUUCUGCCGGGGAAUUCCCCUCUGGGAGGGGGCUAUCGAAGCUAUCAUCAUCACCAACACAUCCUCCUUCCUUCGAGGACCAAUCUUCAUCGACAUAUUCACCAACACCAUCUCAUAUCCAACCCUAGUUCACCUCUUCUAUUCAAUAUUUAUCUCAAAACCUCAUAUUUGUACAUGUAGGUUACUAGUUGUGCUGAUUACAUCUUGCACUUAAUGCUUGUUGGAUUAGUUGGUGGAAGACAUUAUGUUUAGAUACUUAAUCAUUAUUAUUAUACCUCUGAUCUUGAAUAUGUUGACAAAGUGUGAGUAGUUACUAUUGUUCCUAAGGACAUGGGAUAACUCUUGUUGUAAGUAAUCAUGUAAAGUUGGUACUCGUUCGAUAUUUUGAUGAUAUGUAUGUUGUUACUUCUCUUAGUGGUGUCAUGUGAACGUCGACUAGGUGACACUUGACAAUGUUAUGGGCCUAAGGUAAAUCAUUAUGGAAUUACAAGUACAUGAUGGGUUGCGAGAGUGACAGAAGCUUAAACCCCAGUUUAUGUGUUGCUUCAUGAGGGGUUGAUUGGGAUCCACACGUUUAAUGCGAUGGUUUGAUUUAUCUUAAUUUUGCUUUCGUAAUUGCAGAUGCUUGUGAUAGAGGGUAAUCAUAAGUUCGUUGUUUAUUCAAGUAAGAUCAGCACCUUAGCACCAGUCCACCCACAUAUCUAAUUAUGAAAGUAGUGAACGUGAAUCAACUCAACAUGAUGAACAUGACUAGAUAGAAAUUCCCAUGUGUGCUCGGGAGUGCUUAUAAGAGUACUUUCAGGCAUGUCCUUUGCUACAAAAAGGAUUGGGCUACCUUGCUGCACCUUUGUUACUAUUGUUACUUAUCACUUGUUACGAAUUAUCUUUCUACAAAACUAUCUACCAUUGUUACUUACAUCACUUGUAGAGAAUACCUUUCUAAAAACCGCUUAUCAUUUCCUUCUGAUCCUUGUUGGGUUCGACACCCUUACUUAUUGAAAGAACUACGAUUGAUCCCCUAUACUUGUGAAUCAUCAGUAACCUACUUUCUUGAAAAAUGUGUGAGCAAAGAUACUCAAGGUUGCGAUAGCAGAAACACCCACAAGAAAUGAACCACUACACAAAUUAUAUUAUCAUGGUGGUGUUCGACAUCGCGAUCGCCACUUUAGGGCCUGACUACAUCAGAAAAAAUUACUUGCAUCAAGUUGGCAACUCAUGGCUCCUGCUAGUUGAUCCCUUACUACUACGUAGAUGUCGUAUACCAUGUCGACGAAAAUAGGUAGUCACCACUGGCGGAACCAGCAUCAUUUGAGAUCCAAGCACUCACUUUUAGUACAUCUUAUACGACACGAUCCUUUCUAUUUUGCAUAUGCUUUCAUUCAAGCACAGAGUAUUCGCUACUAAUUUGGCAUCAAAAUUAGGAACAUGAGCUUCACCGAGGUCCAUCCGACCUCCACUUAUGAACCUCAGACCUGGAUCUAUAGACAAGUUAUUUUGGAACCUCAUUUCUGACAUGGAUGACCACCCGAACAACAUGUUUCUCCUGAUUACUGGCGGUUUUGUAAUAGCACAACUGUGAGAGUUUCAUCAUGAAGAUUGAACCGACUGUUCGUACCCGACACUACAUUUUCGGGUGCUCCGUGUCAAAGGAUUGGAUGGAGAUCUCGAAGGUUUAGAGUAGAAGCACUUUUGGAACAUGGGCCCAUGGACCAUGUUCGUUGGACAUAGCUACCAGCUAAUACUAGAGAUGCCUCCUUCUGAUCACGAUGAAUAGGGACUCCCAUUCAUGAACAAAGGUUGUGUUUUCACAGCUCGCAUACGUAGUAGGACUGAGCUCGGCCGCCUGCUUGAGUUAUGACGGUACGCCGUUGAUGAUGGUCCUAUGUUGGAUGUGCACCUUAAGAGUUGUGGAGAAGAACGACACGAACACCGAGUCUGGUUCAUGCCAUCCCUACUAAGGACAGGGGACUGUCAUUACGUACUCAUAGUGUUGGUUUGUGCUGAUAGUUAAGUUAUGUAACACUUUGAAUAAGUCUUGUGAACCAUGUAAUUGGCCUAACAAGUAUGCACUGACUGCUUUUGAACUAUGUGAGUCAUGUGAACCAGUCAUGUGAACCAUGUACAACUUUCUGUAAGUCAUGUUUUGAAAGGACCUAAUUAGGCGUGUGUGUCAUCGUAUUUACGCUAAGUACCCACAUGUGUCAACACGAGGUGAACCGUAGUAGCCAAUAGAUUUGGCGCCUACUACCUAGUGAGACCAUCUGUGUAAAUGAAUCCGCCUGUAGGCCAUAAGUGUUGAUAGAAUGGUGUGCUAUUCACACCACAACUGCUCCUUUCAACGCAUGAAUCUAUCAAAUCAGAAACACUAUCUCCCUUGGCAAUUCUCGUACAGGUAAGAACUUCCAAGUUUUAAUCACGUCACACUAGACAACGAGCUGCCCCGUGAAGUCUCAUCGUCGCAGCCCAAAUAACACACAAAUUCCCCAGGCGCCGCAAGGGGUUCACGUGGGACGCGCGUUCACACUGGCGCUUCAGGAAACCCACACCACCCAGUCUCUCGUGUAGGGUCCGAAACACGGCGCCAUCAAACCUUGGCACAUCUAAUCAAUUGUAUUCGUUUACUGCAUGUUUGCCACGCCUAAGCAACUUGCUCUACCCGAGGCGACGAAUCGAUUGCAUACUUUAAACCGCACUACCCUGGCAGUCCAAUCAAGUUCAUUGUGUCCCAAGGGAAACUCCUCCAAGUUUGAGUAAGUGGAACCGCCCGCCCGCACGGCAGAUGCCAGAGCUACUUCUUCCCCUGCCUCCCAUAGAUCCUCUCUCAUACAAACCACAAUCCUAUCAUUUCGUCUCCAACUUUCACUCAGUCCCUAAGCCAUGGCCAUGUCGGAGCUCCAUGAUGAACCAUUGAGAGGCUUUCCGGCUAUGUUGUACGACACCGUGUGCUCUACGAUGGAGCACAUCGACCUUCUCAACCACAUUCGAGUCGCAUGAACCAACUUCUGCCUUAACCGGGAUGUUCCUCGCGUAAACCAGGAGGUGGCCAACAUGAUGGAGAAGACCACCGUGCUCGACUGUGACAUGACCUAGAUGGUCGCCCCCCCCCCCCAAGCUGGGACAGACACGCUUGUGAGACUUGUGAUCUACAUUGGGUUUUCCAUCAAGAGGAAUGGGUUAUCACAACACAACGUGGGUAAGUAUCUCCCUCUGUUAUGAAACCAAGGUUUAACUAACCAAUAGGAAUAUCAAUCACCAUCGUCUUCAGCGACCGCACACAAAAGAACAAACAACUUGAACCCAACGAGGGCAAGAGGGUUGUCAAUCCCCUUGAUCUCGUUAUUUGCAAGCAAAGGAUGUGUCUAGAUGAUUGUUUAUGAAAGUAAAAUGCAAACUAAAAUAAAAGCAAGUAAAUGGCAGCAAGGUAUUGGAGGUUUUGUAAAUAUAUAGUGAAUAUACCCGACGGGCAUAAUUUUCCCUAAUGGCAUCUCUCAUGAAAAAAUAGCAUACGUUGGGUAAACAAAUUACUGUUGGGAAAUUGAUAGAAAAGCAGCUAGUUAUGCGAUUUUCACGACAAUGAUCAUGUGUAUAUAGCAUCACAUCCAUGAACAAAUAGGCCGACUCCUGCGUGCACCUUUUACUAUUACUUCACUUCAAGAGCGCUUCUAUGCCUUCCACUCUACAUAUUAAGUUCCUGACAAACGAAGUAAUGCAUGGAGAACAAUGACAUGAUGUAGACAAAGUAAACUGAACCAAUAUGAAUAAACCCCAUCGUUUUACCCUUAUUAGCAGCAAUAUAAAGAUGCAUCUUGUCCCCUUCUAUCACUAUGAUAUAGAAAUCCACCAGGUUGAACCUACUGCAACGCACCUCUCUCACCGAAGAAAUAUCAAUCUAGUUGGCUAAACUAUUUCAAUAGAUUGGAGAGAAUUAUGAACCUAUCAUAAUCAUGCACAUAAGAAUCAUAUAAUAUUUCAGACGAGACUCAAAUAUUUAUCAUGAAUAAUCUGAAUAGAACACCAGAAUUCAUCGGAUCCCAACAAACGCACCGCACGAAAUGAUUACAUCAUAUGGAUUAAAGCGAAAAUGCGAUGAUCAUUGUAUUGAAGAUCAAAAGAGAGAGAGAUUGCCACAUAGGUACUGGCCAUGGACACGUACGUCUGUGGUGAAAUACUCACACAUCAUCGUGAGGGCAACAAGGUUGAUGAAGAGGCCCUCCAUGAUCGACCCCCCUCCAACAGAGUGACGGAACGAAGCUCCAGAUGGCCUCCCGUUAGAAUAGAGACUUGCAACGGCUUAAAAAGUGAUUCAGGACCUCCUCUAGGGUUUUUGGAAUAUACCAGAAUUUAUAGGCUAGAGAACGGAGUCGGAGAGGCUACAAGGCGGCCAGAAGCCAUUAGGGUGCACCCCUAGGGCGUGCCCUGUUGUCUUGUGGGCCUCUCAUGUGGCCUCCUGUCUCCUUUCAAUGCUCCUAGGUUUUGUUUUGGUCCAAAAAAUCACCAAAAAGUUUCCGGUCAAUUGGACUGGGUUUGGUAUUGGAAACCUAAAAAGUGAAAAACACGAAAACAAGAACUCGCAUUGCACUAGGUCAAUAGGUUAGUGCUCAAGAAUAAUGUAAAUUGGUAAAUAAAGCUCGCAAAAGUAUUCUAAAAUGAUAAUAUAUCAGCAUGGAACAAUAAAAAAUUUAUAGAUACGUUGGAGACGUAUCACCUUGCUCGUGCUGAUGGACUCGCCGACCAUUACAACAAGGAUAUUGUACGAGCCACCUCCUGAGAAGCCUUGGAGCACGCAGGUAAGCGACCACCCAAAGUAAUCAUAUUCUCCCUCGUCAUACUUCAGGAUGCAUCUGCCGACAACAAGUUCAUGUUUGUGUUGCCAUCUCUGAAAUUUUAAUAUUGUAUGGGAGCAAACAAAGAUUGGUCGACUUCGUUGAUGCAUAUGGCGAUAUGAACCUACACAGUGUGUACACUGGUCGGAAUGUACACCUUCCGCUGAUCUCUGCUCUAGGUUUCUCCGCAGUGGGCCUUUCAAGCACAACAGAUUUCUUGUACAACCGUACCAGGGCGAACCUAAUGAAGGUUGCCAUCUCCCAUCCACCAAAAAUAACAUUCAGCUACACAUAUGUCGUCAUCAUUGUGGUGAUCGACAUAGCGUUCGCCGUGAACAUAGGUUAUAACCAUGCUAGUGUGGAUGAGUGGAUACUAAUGUCUAUGACUGUUAUUGCACCGCACCACUAGGAGGAUGCGGUCUACAUUCAUGGCCGGAUUUGCUGUUAUAGCCAGAGCAUCUAAAUUACAUGUCUUUUUAUCAUUUUGGUUGAACGCUUGGUGAAUCUCAUUGGUUUAAACACCACGAUCCUUCGCUCCACCAAGGUGCCUAGAGGACCUACCCUUGUCGUACCAUGUUGGCAAGCCCAUGUUCUAGAACCUAGUGCUAGACACGGCUCAUCACUCGAACAACAUGUAUCUUGUGCGCUCGGGCGGCAAUGUGACACGUCACGAGCAGGGGGUCAACCAUGAAGGUCAAACGAUGUGUUCCUACCCAAAGCUAAAUUGCCACGUGUUCUGGUUCGACGGACAACAUCGGCAUUUCACAGGAGCACAGUGGAUGCCUGAUACGUCUCAAACGUAUCUAUAAUUUUUGAUGGUUUCACGCUGUUAUCUUGUCAUCUUUGGAUGUUUUGUUUACCUUUUAUAUCUUUUUUGGGACUGACUUAUUAAUUCAGUGCCAAGCGCAAGUUCCUGUUUUUCUGUGUUUAUGACUUUUUCAGAUCUGAUUUUGGAACGGAGUCCAAACAGAAUAAAAUCCCGGAAAUAAAUUUUUCCAGAGCGGAAGAAGAUCAGGAGGCUUGAGGGCCAAGGCAGUGGGCUCUCAGGGGGCCCACAAGCCCUGUUGCCGUGCCCAGGGGGGAGGCCGCGGCAACCAAGCUUGUGGCCCCCCUGGUGCUCCCCUACCCUAGGUCUUUCGCCUAUAAAUUUCCAAAAAAUCCAGAAAAAAUUAGGGCAUCCACGAAAACACUUUUCCGCAACCGCAAGCUUCCGUUUACGCGAGAUCUCAUCUGGAGACACUUCCCGGUGCCCUGCCGGAGGGGACUUUGGAGUUGGAGGGCUUCUACAUCAACAUCAUCGCCUCUCCAAUGACUCGUGAGUAGUCCACUUCAGACCUACGGGUCCGUAGUUAGUAGGUAGAUGGUUUCUUCUCUCUCUUGGAUCUUGAAUACAAAGUUCUCGAUGAUCUUCAUGGAGAUCUAUCCGAUGUAAUCCUCUUUGGCGAUGUGUUUGUGGAGAUCCGAUGAAUUGUGGAUUUGUGAUCAGAUUAUCUAUGAAUUAUAUUUGAGUCUUUGCUUAUUUCUUAUAUGCAUGAUUUGAUAUCCUUGUAAGUCCCUUCGAGUCUUGGGGUUUGUUUGGCCAACUAGAUCUAUGAUUCUUGCAAUGGGAGAAGUGCUUGGUUUUGGGUUCAUACCGUGUGGUGACCUUUCCCAGUGACAGAAGGGGCAGCAAGGCACGCAUCAUGUUGUUGCCAUCAAGGGUAACAAGAUGGGCUUUUAUCGUAGAUAUGAGAUUGUCCAUCUACAUCAUGUCAUCUUGCUUAAGGCGUUACUCCGUUCUUUUGGACUUAAUACACUAGAUGCAUGCUGGAUAGCGGUCGACGUGUGGAGUAAUAGUAGUACAUGCAAAAAGUAUCGGUCUACUUGUUUCGGAUGUGAUGCCUAUAGAUAUAAUCAUUGCCUUAGAUAAUGUCACAACUUUGCGCGGUUCUAUCAAUUGCUCGACAGUAAUUCGUUCACCCACCGUCUACUUGCUUUCAUGAGAGAAGCCACUAGUGAACACUAUGGCCCUCGGGUCUAUUCACAACUAUCAUUUCAACUUUCACUUUUACUUUGCUUGUGUACUUUGUUGCUUUCAGUUCUCACUUUGCAAACAAUCUAUAAGGGAUUGACAACCCCUUCAUAGCGUUUGGUGCAAGCUCUUUGUGCUUUUGUAGGUACUUGUGUCUUGACGAGAUCUUCCAUUGGUUCGAUACCUUGGUUCUCAAAACUGAGGGAAAUACUUACCACCGCUGUGCUACAUCACCCUUUCCUCUUCAAGGGAACACCAACGCAAGGCUGCAAGGCCGCGGGGAAAUCCUUUGCAUAUUUGCCAAGGAAGUCACUAAAGGCGUAGCCGUAGCAGCAGGAUUCCUGGCGCCUUACCAGGGAAGGUCUGUUGUCGUAGUAGCAAUACCCUAUGUCGACCUUGGUUCAUGCUCUCUCUCUCUCUUUGUAGGAGAAACCUAUCCCCUCGUGAUGGACAUACCACCUACACAUCAAGAUGCCAACAGGAUACCAUUCCUCACCCGAGGAUACGUUUUCAUAGCUCGACGGGGGAUUUCUUGCUCGAAUGGUCCACUCCCUCAGCUGUGCCAUUUUAGCCUAGGAAGAAGACUCACGUUGGGCUUCUCCAUCAAGAACUCAGGCUUGCAGGAAAGAGCCAACCACCCGGUGUGGCUUGUGACAUCGCUGUGUAACGCCAAGGAAUGGGUUGAGAAUGACGCAGAGUGAAGAAGAGACUACUGUAGUUGUAUGGACAAUCUAGUGUUUCAUAUAAGAACCUAUGACGAAUGUAUACCUUUUUAUGAGACUAUGUUUUUAUAUGUAAUGUGUUUGGAGAACAACGUUUGCAAAGUGUGUUUUACUAUGUAAUGUUUGUGAACAACUACUUGGCAUUCAUAUGUAUUGUGUUGCACAAAGUUAUUGCAGGCGUCAAGCUUUUACAUGUUAAAAAUAUGUCUUCACGUGAGCACAAAAUACAAGUACGCAUAUGUCACAUGGCAAGUUUGACCUAGUCAAUCAUCUUUACACAAGCGGGGCAUAGAAUGAAUACGAUCAUAUAUGCGACAUGGGGCAUCAAAUUGGCGUCAUUAACUCAAAAUACUAGCUUAGGUUCACAUGACCGGAGUUCACGACCUAACAUCGCUUAUGGUAUUCUGCACCUGAUCGACGAUAUGCUUGAACUCCUGGUUCUCCCUCUCCAACUUCACCGAGGACCUAGUGACAUACUCCAGGGAACGAGGGACAGACUCCAGCUUUUUCACUGCGUUUAUAAUAAGUACGAGCAUGGUGUUGUUUGACGAUCGGUUCAUCAUUGGCUCGCGUGACAUGGUUGCCGGAGGAGUGUAAGAGUUACCUUCCAUUUCCAUGAAAUCCCUCGCAGUGAAACUCUCUUCAAGUAUAACCAAUUCAAACUGGUACUGCUUGUGCUUCGUUGUACACAAAAUCUUCAUGACGGGUGAACAAACAUCAUCGAGCUAAGCCUAGAUAUUGGUGCGGAAGUAAGGCUCCAACUUUUAUCCGCGGUUGCGCUUGUCAUCUUAGUUAAAAUGAAGUGCAUCACCUGGAAGUCCUCCUUGUGGAAUAGCAUUAGCAGGUUGGCAGCCCAUUGGUGGACACUCCCUUUGUCUCCAUGCUUCGGGACGAGUGUGUGAUGUAGCACACGAGAGAGAAUGACAAGGCUAGGCUUCUUGUACUUCAGAUUACCGGCCUUUGAAUCUUUAUGUGAUGCCACUACGUCAACAAAGAAUGACAACACCUGGUCGGGCUCUAGGGGCUCGCCGACUUCGUGUAUCCUUUUCUUCAACUUUUCCCAUUCAUCAUCGAGUGUUAGUAGGCCAAGCACUUUGGCGAAUUGGUCCUACGUCGUCUCAAACUUUUUAUAAUGGGUCAUUGAUACAUCUCCAACAUAUCUAUAAUUUUUUAUUAUUCCAUGUUGAUAUAUUAUCAUUCUAGAAUACGUUUGGGAUAUUUAUUUAUCAAUUUAUAUUACUUUUGAGCAUUAACCUGUUGACCAUGUGCGUAGUACCAGUUAUUGUUUUCCGCAUGUUUUUUACUUUUCAAGGUUUUCCAUACCAAACAAAGUUCAAUUGACCUGAAACCCUCUCGAGAUUCUUUUCGGACCAAAAGAAAGCCAACAAGUGACGUAGGAAGGCCGGGGGCCAACGAGGGCUCCACAAGCUAACCCGGCUUGCCUUGGGGGUGCGUCUUGUUGGCUUGUGGAUCCCUCGAGGCCCUUCCGACUCCGUUCUUUGGCUUAUAAAUUCUCUCUUACCCUAAAACACCUUGAGGAGUCCCGAAACAUGUUUUACGCCACCGCAAGUCCCUGUUCAUACGGGAGGCCAUCUGGAGCUCCGUUCUGGCACUUGACCGUAGGGGAUAAUUCAUGGAGAGCCUCUUUAUGAACCUUGCUGCCCUCACGAUAAUGUGUGAGUAGUUCACCACACACCUACAAGUCCAUAGCUAGUACCUAGAUGGCAGUCUCUCUCUCUUUAUCUUCAAUACAAUGAUCAUCGCAUCUUCGCUUUGAUCCGCAUUAUGUAAUUCCUUUUGUGCGGUGCGUUUGUUGGGAUCCGAUGAAUUGUGAGUUUAUGCAUAUUUUUUAUGCUAAAUAUUUGAGUCUUCUCUCAAUACUUAUAUGGUUCUUAUGUGCAUGAUUAUUAUAGAUUCGUAAUUACCUUCGAUCUAUGGAAAUAGUUUGGCCAACUAGAUUGAUAUUUCUUCAGUGAGAGAGGUGCGUUGUAGUAGGUUCAACCUGGCGAAUUUCCAUAUCCCAGAAAUAGAAGGGGACCAGAUGCGUCUUUGUGUUGCUUCUACUAAGGAUACAAUGACGGGGUUUAUUUAUAUUGCUUGAGUUUACUUUGUAUACAUCAUGUCUUUUUUCUCCAUGCAUUACUCUCUUUUACUUAAUACUUUAGAUGCAUGCUCGAUAAUGGUCGAUGAGUGGAGUAAUAGUAAUAGAUGCAGGCAGGAGCCGACCUAUUUGUUUAUGGACGUGAUGACUAUAUACACAUGAUCAUUGAUGUGAAUAUUGCAUAACUAUUAGCUUUUUUGUCAAUUGGCCAACAGUAAUUUUUUUACCCACCAUACACAAGUAGGAGAAAUGCUAGGCGCUAGUUUUGCCCUUACCAGUACCGCUUGUGCUAGCGCUACUACAAUCGCGCUACAACUAAUCUAUUAGCAGUAGCGCUGAAAAUAAAAGCGCUACUAGUAUGCACAUUAGCAGUAGCGCUGGAAUAAAUAAAGCGCUACUGCUAAUAUUCCAGCUCUACUGCUAAUAUUCCUGUUUUUAAUAUUUAAUUCGCGUCGUAUUUAUGUCCGUCCUACGGAUUUGUGCAUGCUCUAUACAGUGGUUUCAUCAUAUCAUAAUAAUCAUGCAUAAUUUGCAUCACAUCAUACCCAUAAAGUAGUCUCUUCAUUUAUACCAUCAUCACCAUCAUCAUCAUUAUCCAACACAAAUAUCAUCAAAUCUCGCAAAUAGCGAUGCACACAAGUCAUGGCACACCCACAAGUUUCAUCAUCCCUAUCUAAUCCAUCACGUAGAAGAGAAGGGCGAUCAUCAUGAGCAAGAGCGUGACUAUGUAGUACUUCUUGAGGCACCGGUUUCACUCCGUCUCUUGUCAUAGCAUCAUCCACCUCAAGUAACUCAUUUCCGCUUUGGCUCUACUGUUGAACUCUGUGUGGCAAGCCCCCGGGUACCUGUCCACCUGGGCCUGAGCGUCUGGCCAGUGGUCGUACACUCCUGGAACCUCCCAAUGAAUAUGACGUAGCAGCCCUUCGCCAUCUCUGAUCUAUGUACCUGCAUCGUAUGUUGAUUAAUUCAAUGAUAUAUAAUAUGCAACAUAAUGUACUUGAGAAACACAAGCGGUAAACAUAUAUAAAUAAGAAAGUUCCUCAUACACAAACGAAUUAACUAGAGCGAUGUACGGUAGUUCAUAUAAAGACUAGUAGUAUUAGUUAUAACUGAACACACACAUUGUCAUCGUCAAUCACUAUUCCUCAUCGAAGUUCCAAUCUUCAUAUUCAGGGAUGAAGCACCCGAGCUUCUUGAAAGGAUUCAUGUCCAAACCCUGAGCGACUAGCACAUCUCGGACAAUCUCCCGCCUCAUUGUCCCAUCGUAGAACAUCCCUCCUUGUUCGAUGACCUACUUCAUGAUCACCUGGGCAUGUUCACACUGGAUGUGAUAAAACUCAGCUCAGAUUUGAUGAUCCAGUGUGCUUCCUAUGCUUGUGGCCCAGCUGCGAUUCUUAGCAUCACUGGAAUUAGAUGACAUGCCAAGGCGUUAUCUAUCCCUUACGAACUCGAUCAUGUGACGCAUGAGGUAGAAUCCAUCAGCCCUACUACCGUUUGGUUGCUGGAUGCACCAGAAGUUGGUCUUAUGGCCGAAAGUCGACGCUUUGUUCCUGUACUUUUUCACCUUGAUAUAUCCACCAGUAAGGCUAUAGGUGAAAAUGGCACUAUCGAGAACAUUAUUUAUGUGCGUGUAAUCCUUCUUCUUGAUGUUCAUCGAUGAGUCCGAGUAUAGAGCAUAGGAGUAUUGAGGGCACAAACAGAUGAGGAACCCCCCCCCCCCGUUGUGCAAAAUAAGCAGAGCUCAAACUAUCAUGCAUGCUUGCAAAGGAAUCAUCAAAACUUACUAAAGGAUAUUUGUGGAUAACUUACGUGGGAUGAUAAGGCAGGAAAAUCAUUUCCUUGUCCUUAUUAGCGAGCAUGAAGUCGCUGAUGUACUUGCACGCAGAGUCCCGAUGCUCUUGGCACUCUGCCAACAAGCCCUUGUGCAUAUAGUAUGGGUCUGCGACGCUCAUAUAUUAUAUGUUCUCGCGCCUGAUGAUGUAGUUGAGAUACAUCGCAUACAGGCGGAUGAACUGAAAAUCCAGCUUGGUUAGGUGGAACAUGUCGUAGAUGUAGUCAAAUCGCAGGAUGAACUUGACCGUGGGCCAUGUGUCGACGUAUCCACUCGCACCCGGAACCUGAUUUGGGUAAAGCUGAUAUCCUGGCUUUUUCGAGCUGAGAAGUUUCUUCUUUGUGGCCAACACAUCAUCAUGAAGUCUCCUUAGAUCAUUGUUCUUUAUGCUCUCUACCGCUUUCUGAGGUAGGAUCGGGUGGCCGGCGACAUGGAAAUGCUCUGGACCUUCGAAAGGUAUCCUGUCUACCUCCCGGGGCGCGGCUGGUUACAACAUUUCUUUUCCGGUCUCCUCCUUUGCUUCAUGGCGGGUGGCGGUAGUGAUCCCGCCAUACCUUCCCUAACCAUAUCCCCCAGCGUCAUCGGACUAAUUAUCAGUGGACGGCUCCUGUGUUGUUCUUGCUGGGUAAAGGCAGCAUCUAGAGGCGUCUCCUGCGAGGAUCGCACGAAGAGAGACUUUUUGCAAUCAGCCGUCAGACGUUCCGGCUCCGGCAAAUCAGGCAUCAUCAAGUCAUCUGCACGCUCAUAGUGUGAGUCAUAUUGCAGAGCAUCGUGACAGUCGGUAUUGAUAUACUGGUUAGGGUCCUCAUCAUAAUCCUCCUCCAUGACAUCAUCAACAUUUGCUAAUUCGACGGGGGGCGACGUCAUCUUGCACUAAUGGAGGCUCUCCCUCACUGCUUCGUCCGCUAUCUCCCCCCCCACGCAGGUGCAGGUAGUUGGGUAGGUGGGAUGGUGUUCAUACCUUGUUGAUGAGUUGCCAUUGGUGUGCUAUCGGGAACCUCAACAUGAAGGUGAGUCUUCGGCCAAGGCAAGAACCAGUUCUUGCAUGCGCCAAUCAGUUGAGGGGUCUCGUCAUCACCGGAUGUUGUUGGAAGAGCCAAAUACUGGACGCCCGUUUUGACACUAGCCACGCAAACUUUGAAGACGCCAUGGGGCAUCUGCUUGUUGUGGAGCAUGUGGUCCUUCAGCUUGAUUAUCGUUGCCUUUCCCACGUCCACCUUCUGACCGUUGAUAUCGUACAGUAGGGUGUACGGGGUUUCGUCAGCCUGCGAAGACAUGACUACGACGCCAGACAUCCGAAAGGCAACUGAAAUGGAAGACUAUAUAGAUAUGUUGUGACUAGUGUAUGACGCGUAAUUACCGUGAUGGUGUCGAGCUCAGCCAAAGGCGAAGCCCCGCCGAGCACGCCAGAGGGGGAGGGCGGGCUGCUAUGAACCGAAGCGAGACCAGGUACGGGAGGUGUUGGUGGUGCGAUGUUCGCGAAAUUGCUCCCGACAAACCUGAGUAGUGGAAUGCUUGUGACUAGUGCUUCCGUAUUCCUCCUCACAUACUCAAAAACUGCCGGAACCAAUUGGCCCAAAGACGCUGCCACAGCUGCAUUGACCUUAUUGUCGACUACCUUGGUCAUCUCUUCUUUGCUCUGAUCGACCGCCCGCAUGACCUUCUCGUUGAUGGUCAGUUUAGUAUGCUCUUGUCUCUACUUUAUUUCCUACGGCCACUUGUGGUAGAAUUUAUUCCAUGAGGCACCAUCUCUGACGUCGUGCACACGUCCACCUAAUGGAGGUUUGUACACCGAGACAUUUUUCAGUAUGUUUAGGGCCCGGUUGAACGGUUGUCCCACUUGGGCCUCGCUGACGACUGAGACGACUCGUCUCUUUCGGCUGCCUUUUCGUGCUGCUCUUUCUACAAAAGGAACAUAGAUCGUUUACAAAUUAAUUAAAAGCUAAUUAAUAUAAUUAAGGUGGUAAUACAACAAUUACCAGUAGUCUCAUGAACUCCCUCGUGUACGGGUCCGUGUAAAAGAUCUUCUUGACGGUGUCCCACUUGUGCCUGACCCUGAUCCAGUCGUGCUCCAGCGGGUCGGUGAACUCCGCCAAGGGGUCUGGAAUUCUGUGACUUUCACGUUCGGCAUCCUCCUUGGCCCAAGUGCUCCUCUUCCCCUCGUAACCACGGCUUCCGAGGUGGUGGGCAGGCGUGUUCUUGGCUUGGAGCCGCUUCAUUUUCUCGACUUUUCCUAGGCUUCUUCUGUAGAACAAGCCUCUUUGAAAUUUUCGAAGUCCUCAUCCGUUAUUGAUGGAUUGUGAGCAUGAAUCUUGGACCACGGUUCAUUCUUCAGAAUGACUUUUUUCACCCGUACUUUCCAGGCAGACAAGCCAUUGGUGAACGUCACCAUUGCCUUGUUGUUUAUCUUUGUCAUGUUUCUAUCCUUCCACGGAUGUUCUACCUCUUCAUCCCACCCGGGGAACAGGAACCUGUUGUGCAACUUCAUUAGGAGCGUUUGCUCCGUAUGUGGUAUCUUCUUCAACUUUUCGUCGUUGAUGUUGGCGGUUUCCCUGAGGAUGCAUCCUAGUUGAUUGACGUAGCACUUCCACCCUUUCUUCGGCUCCACUGGCUCUAAUUUCAUGGGGUGCAUCGCCGUGACCAUGAUUUGUCUGGUGUCGAGCUCACUUGGUUUUCUUGCCCUCUUCGUUUUCGGUCCUUCACCGACUAAAUCAGCAUCGUUGCCGGACUUAGGGGCAAUGUUGGUGUCGGUGCCGGUGCCACUGUCGGUGGCGGUGCCAGCGUCGGUGUCGGGGUUGGUCCCACUGCCACCCUGCGUGCCCGGCUUGCAUUGGUCCACGUAUUUUGAAUAUCCAUCUGCUUCCUGAAAAUGGCCAUCUCCGGCGCGACCUGAACCCCUGGCUUUGUCGUGGCUGGACAUAUUAAUUUCCUACGAGUGUUUAAUUAUAAUAGUUCAUAUCUAGCCCGCAUAACAUGAAUGAUAAAAGGGACCUAUUAUAAUAGUUCAUGUCAUUUAUGAACAGAAUUAACCUAAAUAAUUCUAAAACAAAAUUAACCUAAAUAAUUCUAAAAACAUGAUUAACCUCAAACAACACUAUUAGUCUCUUCUUCUUCUCUUCCUCCUCUUCUUCCCCUCCUCCUCUUCCUCUAACAAUUCUAAAAUAGAAUUAUCCUAUAUAAUUCUAAAACAGAAUUAACCUAAAUAAUGCUAAAAACAGAAUCAACCUAAAAAUAUAAUCCCCUCUCCUUCCUCCUCUUCUUCCUCUCCUCCUGUCCUUCCUCUCCUUCCUCUUCUACUUCUCCGCUUUUUCUUCUACUUCUCCUCAUCUUUUAUUUUUCCUCUACUUUUCCUCUUCAUUCCCAUUUCCGGCAAUUCCAGGGCACUUCAUAUGUCCACGUUUCUAGCACUAGUAAUACCUAAAUUCACGAAAAAUUUCGGCAUGACCUUUGCUAAAAGUGGACAUAUGGAGCGCCUGAAAUUUGCCGGAACGAAAAUGAAUCAACAUUCCGGCAAAACAGAGGCCACUCGAUCAUUUCAACAAUACUUUCCACAAACUUAGCACAAGUGGAGCACAUUGUAUUACCUAAUAACAAUACUCCUCCUCUUCUUUUCUUAUCCUCUUCUACUUCUCCUCUUUUUCUUCUACUUCUCCUCUUCUUCUAGUUUUCCUCUUCUUCCCAUCUCCUCCUCUUCUUAUUCUUCUUAUCUUCUUUUCUUCCUUUUCUUCCUUUCCUCCUCUUCCCCUAUAUUUCUAAAACAUAAUUAACCUAAAACCUAAUUCUAAAUAUUACUAACCCUAAUAAUUCUAACAAAAAACAAAAUUAAUCUAAAACAAAAUUUCCUCUCCUUCCUCCUCCUCUUCUUCCUCUUCUUCUUCUCCUUCUUCCUCUUCUUUUCCUCCUCUUCUUCCUCUCUUUCCUCUUCUUCCCCUCCUUCCUAUUAUUCCUCUCCUUCCUCUUCUUCCUUUCCUCGUUUUCUUCUUCUCCUCCUCCUCUUCUUCCUCUCCUCCUCCUCUUCUUCCUCUCCUCCUCCUCUUCUUCUCCUCAUCUACUUCAACAGAAGUAGGUUACCAUUGGGAGAGAGGGGCAGGGGUUACCUGGAGCGGGAGAGAGGGGCGUCGGCAUUCAGCCGUGGUGGUGAUGACUACAGGAGGGGUGGCGGUGGCAGAGACUGCAGGAGGGGGAGGCGGCGUCCGGCGGUGACGGCGGCGGCGACUGUAGGAGCGGGAGGAAGUUGUAGAUGGGAGUGGAGGGAGAGGAAAAUUUUGGGCCGGUUAAGUAACAAUAGCAGUUGCGCUGCAUUUAGGCCAUCGCUACUACUAACUUAGUAGUAGCGCUGGUUCUGGUCCAACGCUACUGCUAAAUUCCCUAGGACAGUUAGCAGUGGCAUUGUGGGGUUUCGAGCGCUACUUCUAACUUAGUAGUAGCGCUAUAUUGGUUCCAACACUAGUGAUAACAUUAUUUUCUUUAUUAUUAUUAUUAUUUUAUUAUUAUUAUUUGCCUUUCCUUUUAUGUUUACUUUUGUUUUUAUUUUGUAUUGUUUUCUCCUUUUUGUUUUUAUCCCGACGGCCUGACACGUAGUUGACGCCGAGAACGUCUCCCUCCCGGCCACACUGUGCGACUAUUACCGGAACCAUGUACACAAAAUACAUACAUAUAUAUAUAAAUGAUUAUUUUGAACACAAAAUAGAUACAUAUAUAUAUAAAUGAUUGUUUCUCAGCUGCGUCGAAGACGUUUCAGAUGGAGCUUCUUUCCUUUCUUGUUCGUUGUGUUGAUUCUUCUUUUCCGGCACCAUGGAGUACGAUCUUUCUUAGGUAAUGUAGUCUUGAUUCUUCUUUUCACGUAUGCUUCAUCGUCAUCAUCAUCUUCCCUCAUCGGGUUACUGUAUUGGUUGUAGUCUUCCUCGUUGGCGAUUCCAUCCAUUCCGACGAUGUUUCUUUUGCAUCUCCUCACGACAGCACGACUGGCAUUGGUCGGGUUGGUUAUGAAGAAGCAUUGUGUCACGUGCUUUGUGUGUAUCCAUGGCUCAGUUUUGGCAAUGAUGUUAACGUUGACGGUAGAGCUCUUUGCGUCGGGUAUAGACAUGGUAGUGAAAUACUUGUUUUCUCUUACGACGGCCUUAGCCCACCUGACACGGAACAUUGUCGCAUCAUGCUUUCGAACAAAGUUAAGCUCCCAGAUCACUUCGACCUUUCCAAAGAAUCUUUUAGUUGUGUCGUUGGAGUCGGUCACGCAUUCAGUGGUCACCCCUGAGUUCUGGUAAUCACUGUCCACGUCUCUGGCCUCCAUGAAGAACGUGUACCCAUUGAUAUUGUAUGCCUCGUAGGACACGUGUACGAGAAACCCGUCCGCACUGCCCUCUUCGGGGGGAUUAGCACGAACCUGUUCUUUGAACCAACGCAAGGAAGUGGCGUUGUGCUCUACUGUAACUUCGUCGUCCGUCUUGCGCUUCCCUUGAUCACGGUACUUCCUUGUGAUGAUUUCUUUGUGCAGUGUUACAUAAUCAUCUACCACAUCUCGGUGUUGUAGCACUACUAAGUUAGCCGUGUCAAAGUCGUCCAAUCGAUCCGAGUAGUCCACGUCCAAUUCCCUCCGGCUGUUGUUGUGACCUUCUCCUCCGAGCCUCCCAUGGUGCUUGUUGACGGGAAAACCAACAACAGGAUCUUCUGUACGUAUAUAAUUCUUGCAAAAGGAGAUGCACUCUUGGGUCAGAUAGCCCUGGACGAUGCUCCCCUCGGGACGGACCAUGUUACGAACGAAUCCUUUGAUGACCCCAUUCAUCCUCUCCAAUGGCAUCAUGCUGUGAAGGAAUGUCGGCCCGGGGUCGAUGAUGUCGUCCACAAUGUGGACACACAGAUGCACCAUGAUGUCAAAGAAUGCGGGCGCGAAGUACAUCUCAAGCUCACAUAGUAUGACAACGAUCUCUUCCUGUAGCCUUCGCAGCUGCUUCACACUGAUGGACUUUCGAGAGAUAACGUCGAAGAAGUUGCAGAGACGAUUAAGUGUCUCACAGACGUGCUUGUCCAUUAUUCCUCUAAUGGCAACCGGGAGUAUCUGCGUCAUCAUCACGUGACAGUCAUGAGACUUCAUCCCGCUGAACCUGUUCUUCUUGGUGUCUAGAAAUCUGCUUAUCUUCCCAUAGUUAUUGGAACUAAAUUUGAUUCUCGUAAGGAACAUGACGAAUUCAUCGAUCUCCUUUGGACUUAAGGUGAAGAAAGAAGGGGGCAACAACUCUACUCCUUCUUGUUGACUUUUAUUCCCCUUGGCCCUCUCGCCGUCUCUGUCUCCGUCUCCUCCGUCGACUUUUUACGGGGCAUGUGGAGACCCCUCCUGAUCUCCAAAUCCUCCAAGUCUUUCCUUGCCUUCGGCCCAUCCUUGGUCUUCUCCGGCAUGUUCAUUAGGGUGCCAAUCAAGCUCUCGAGGACAGUCUUAGUUAUAUGAAUUUCAUCAAGGCAAUGAGGUGUGCCAGGAUUGGGCCAGUACUCCAAGUGCCAGAAAACAAACCUCGUUUUCCAUACCUUCAGCAGCAGAUCCGACACCUUUUCCAUCUUUCCCGGCGCGGGGCAUUGUUGCCAGUUAUUCAAUAGCUCGUUGAUUUUGGCGCCGCUCCUCUUACGUGGAGGACCUCGAUACUCAUCCAAACCAUUGAAUAGAUCUCCACGUUUUCUCCACUGGUCAUCCUUUUCGAGCCAUUAACGAUGUCAAUUGUACACGAUUUUCCCAGACCCGUCAUUUUCAUUGACGUAUGUUGCAUCCAUGCACCUCGUGCAUCCGCUGUAUCCGUGGCACACCUGGCCUGAGGUGUAUCCAUAACCGAGAUAGUCAUGAACAGUCAUCAUUAGCGCAGCUCUCAUAUAGAAAUAAUCUCUUGUGCUGAAGUCCCAAGUCUUGACCAGCGAUUUCUAUAACGUGUCUAGCUCCUCUUUCAGAAGCCCCAUAUACAGGUUAAUAUUAUUUCCCGGUUGUUUCGUCCCUUGAAUUAGUAUGCUCAUGUGUAUGUACUUUGUCUUCAUGCACUUCCAUGGGGGGAGGUUGUACAUCUAUACAAAGACAGGCCAUGUGAUGUGGUUGGUGCUCUGGUUUCCAAACGGAUUCAUACCAUCGGUACAUGCACCAAGCACGAUGUUCCUUCCAUCUUCUCCAAAAAAAGGAUAUUCGGCAUUGAGUGAUCUCCACUGGCUACCAUCUGCGAGGUGUCUCAGCUUUGGAUCAUCUCCAUCAUCGGGCUUCUUCCUCUCCACGUGCCAGUGCAUGAGCUUUGCUUCCUUAGGAUCUACGAAAUACUUCUGCACACGGGGAGUGAUCGGAAAGUACCAUACAACUUUCUGAGGAGCUUUCUUUCCUGCCUCCUUUUAUCGAGAAGCAUUGCACACUGGACACCUGGUCUUUUCCCCGUGCUCACCCCGAUAAAUGAUGCAAUCGUUGGUGCAUGCGUGGUAUCUAAUGUGCGGCAGAUCCAGAGGGCAACGAUUUUCUUGGCCUCAUUGACACUAGUAGGACAGAGGUUCCCUGCGGGAAGAACUUUAUUUUGUGGAUACUUCAAGUGCUCAUCGGGGCUUUUGUUUGUCCAUUUGUUUUUGGCCUUCGUCUUUAGAAGUUUGAGCAUGAAGUAUCCACCGAGUAUAGCCAUCAUUGAAACCAUUGAUCAGCAAGUGGGCCUUUAAACUUCCACGAUCAAAAGGGUCCAAAAUUACUCCUUAUUUGCAUCUUGUACACAGACAUCUAAUCCGAGUCCGUUUAUUUUCGUACAUGUCAAUAAUCGCGGAAUGCAAGUAUCGCUCCACCUUGCUACCACUCACCUUCUACAAGGUGUAUAUAACAAGCAAAAGGGUCAUAAACAAAAUGCAUGCAUAUAAAAAAUUUGCAUGACCUUGCCUAAAAAUAGGACAUAUCGAGUUUGCUUGUAAUUCUCCGAAGCAGAAAUAAAUCGACAUUUCGGCAAAACAUAAGCAAAUAAAGGAGAGGUGACAAUGGUGGAGAAAUUAGAGAGAGGAAAGGGAAAAGGAGGGGAUAGGGAAAAGGGGGAGGAAGGUGGAGAGGGGUGUGUGUGGGUGAAAUGAGGGCAACAAUGGUGGAGUAAAGGAGAAAGGAGGGGAUAGGGCCAAGUGGGGGUGGAAGGGGGAGAGGGGUGUGUGUAUGGGUGAAAGGGCAACAAUGGUGGAGGAAAGGAGAAAGGAGGGGAUACGACAAAUGGGGGAGGAAGGGUGAGAGGGUGUGUAUGGGGGUGAUAGGUAGAAGAAAGAGAGAAUAAGGACAAGAAUGGUGGAGAAGUAACAAUGGAGGAGGAAAGGUGAAAGGAGGGCAAAGGGGGAGGAAGGGGAGGGGGUGUGUGUGGGUGUGGGUGUAAAUGAAGCUGCCCACAUGUAGCAGUAGGGCCGGUUCCAGGGGAGCGCUACUACUAUUGCACUUAGCAGUAGCCCUUUUUACAAUCCAGCGCUACUACUACAGAUACUGUUGGUGGCCUCGUUGGGCCCCAUUUAGCAAUAGCGUUGUUCCAAUGAAGCGCUACUGCUAUGCAGUAUCGCUUUUUACAGUCCCGCGCUACUAUUACAGAUACUAUGGGUGGCCUCAUUGGGCCCUGUUUAGCAGUAGUGCUGGAAAUGCAUCCCGCGCUACUACUACGGUAGUUAGCAGUAGCGCGUCCAAUUUCCAACGCUACUGCUAAGUAGCAGCAGUGCGUGCUAUUUUCCAGCGCUACUACUAGGCUCCUACCUAUAAGGUUUUUCCUACUAGUGAUAUGCUAUUUUUCAUGAGAGAUGCCAUUAGGGAAACUAUGCCCCCGGGUCUAUUCACAACAUAUUUACAAAACCUCAAUACCUUGCCGCCAUUUACUGUUUUUUUAUUUUUGUAAUUUACAAUCAUCUACAGUUAUCUACACACCUCACUCGCUUCCAAAUAACAAGUACGAGCGGAUUGACAACCCUCUUGCCCACGUUGGGUGCAAGUUGUUUCUUCUUUUGUGUGCAGCCGCUAAAGACGGUUGUGGUUGAUAUUACUUACCCACACUGUGUUGUGAUAAACCGUUCCUCUUCAAGGAAAACCCAACGGAGAUCACAAGUAUCACGAAGGAUUUGUGGCACCGUUGCCGGGGAAUAUCAUCACGAUCUACCAAGUAACUCCACACAAAAUUUCAUUCACUUGUUCUCCAUUUUAUUGCUGGUAUAUUUAGUAUGUCUCAUUACAAAAUACAUAAAUAUUUACCUUUGCGUGCUUAGCAUGUCACUAGAUUGCAUCUUCGCUCUCUAGUUUGCUUGUCUUACUUGUUACUUUGCUUUCUCGGUCACCAUAUCUCAAGAUACUACUAAGUUGUGUGACUUAUCAAUAGUAAUAACAAAUACUUUAUUAGUACUCCUAUACCACCCGCCACUAGUGUGUACGCUUUUUAUUAAUGUUGCAUUACUGAAUCUUGUCACAAAAGAGCAAUUUUUGGGAAGUCCUAAUUAGGAUCCCGGUUCACAUCUCAAUACCUUUGUUGAACUUUGUAAUAUGCAAACGAAAAAGGAUAUGGAUAAUGAUAUUUUGAAAUUAAAGUUGUUUCCUUUUUCACUAAAAGAGAAAUCUAAAGCUUCGUUUUCAUCUUUACCACGUAAUAGUAUUGGAACAUGGGAUAAGUGUAAAUAUGCUUUUAUUGCCAAGUAUUUUUCCUCCUGCUAAGAUCAUCUCCCUUAGAAAUCAAAUAACGAAUUUUAAACAACAUGAUCAAGAACAUGUUGCACACGCAUGGGAGAAAAUGAAAUUGAUGAUAAGAAGUUGCCCCCUGAUGGUUUAAACUUGUGGAUGAUUAUCCAAAAUUUAUAUGCUAGACUAAACUUCGUGUCUAGAAAUCUUCUAGAUUCUGCUGCACGUGGUACCAUUAUCGAUGUGACUUUGGGAUAAGCCACACAAAUUCUACACAACAUCAUGACUAAUUAAUAUCAAUGGCAUACAGAGAGAGCUCCAAUCGGUGAGAAGGUAUAUUAUGUUGAGGAAAUUGCUACUAUGAGUGAAAAACUGGAUGCUCUUAUGAAUUUGGUUGCUAAUAAAAAUACUUAUGUUGAUCCCAAUUGUAUGCCCUUGUCAACCUUGAUUGAUAAAAAUAAUGAUGCUAUUGAUGUGAACUUUGUUUUGCGAAAUAAUUUCAACAACAAUGCAUAUAGUGGUAAUUUCUAUGCUUAUGGUAAUUCUUCUGCAAAUCCUAAUAGGAUACCCGAUGAUCCUGAGAACACAAUGAAGGAAUUCAUUAAUUCCCAAAAAGCUUUCGAUAGUAUGGUAGAAGAAAAAGUGCAUGUUGUUGAUACUUUGGCUAUAAACAUGGAUAAAAUUGCUCUUGCUAUAGAAACUCUUAUAAAAACUUUUAUCUGCUAAGCAUGAAAGUUUCUAUUAAUGAAAUUAAGGAGAGGACUGUUAAUGUGAAAGCUAAGGGGGCAUUCCUAGAAAAAAGCUCUUACACCCGUUUUUACCGAAAUCAUGAUGAAGAUCUUAAAACUAUUGGUGCUUCCCCUAUUGAAUCUUUUUUUACAUCUCUGAAUAUUAAUGAUAAAGGGACUAGAUAUGAGUCAACUCUAGUGAAGGUGUGUCUCGUUUGCUUGGUCUAUUAAAUCAAGACAUUAACUAGUGACGUGUCCACUAUCUUGGGUUACACGGACUUUAAUUAUGAUAAUUUAUAUUUAGUAGAAUUUAUUUACUUUCCUCAAUACAUUAUUAGCUCACCCAAUGCUUAUGAAGAAAACAAAGCUUUUACUCAACAUAUAAUAGAAGCUAUGGCAAAAGCUUAUGCUGAGAAACUUGAUCUUGAAGCUAUUAUUCCUAGAAAGUUGCAUGAUGAGUGGGAAACUACUAUAAAAUUAAUAUCAAUAAAUAUAAAUGCAAUGCUUUGUGUGACCUUGGUUCUAGUGUUUCAACUAUACCUAAAUCUUUAUGUGAUGUGCUUGGUCUCACUAAUAUUGAAGAAUGUUCCCUAAACUUGCAUCUUGUGGAUUCUACCAUUAAGAAACUUGUAGGUAGAAUUAAUGAUGUGAUGAUAAUUGCAAAUAAAAAAUUAUGUGCGUGUAGAUUUCAUUGUGUUUGAUAUUGAUUGCAAUCCUAAUUGUCCAAUUGUACUUGGAAGGCCCUUCCUACGAACUAUAGGUGCAACCAUUGACAUGAAAGAGGGAAACAUAAGGUUCCAAUUUCCACUAAAGAAAGGAAUGGAACACUUCCAUAUAAAGAGAACUAUAUCACCUUAUGAAUCAAUCAUGAGAGACACUUAUGGGUGGAGUGUCAAAGGUGACAACAUUUCAAACUAUGCAAUAUGCCUAGCUGGGGGCGUAAAACAAUAGCGCUUGUUAGGAGGCAACCAAAUAAUUAUCUUUAUUUUUGUAUUUUUUACUUUCUGUUUGUUUCUAUUAACAUGAUUAUUUUCUCUGUAAUUAUUAUGUUUUCAUGUUUUAAUUAAUGUUUAUGUCAAGUAAAGCCUUUGGGAUGAUUUGUAUGAUGAGUAGAAUUGAUACGGUGCAAAAAUAGAAACUUUGAUGCUCAGUGCAAAAUUUCUUUGAUUUUACUGAAAUGACUAUUUAAGCUGAAUAUUUUACAUAGUAUUCUAAUUCCAAAUUCCUCGGGUCUUCCUAAUUGUUCAGAUUGUUUGGAGUUAUAGAAGUAUAGGUUCAUUAUAGAUUACUACACACUAUUCUAUUUGAGUCAGAUCCUUUUUUUCCUUGCAUAGUUUGCUUGUUUUGAUGAUGCUAUGGAUUGUAUGAGGGGUAUAAGCCAUGGAUAAGUUAGAAUACAUUACCUUAUGCUAAAAUAAAAUAAGUAUCAACUUACAACUAUACCUGAAAGUAUUUCAUAUGUUUCUUGUACUAGUGAAUCUCAUGGAGUUUUGUUGAGUUUGAUGUGAUUGAAGAUUUCAAGUUUUGGGUAUUAUCCCGAUGGACUAAGAAAUGAGGAGAAGCAAAAUCCUAAGCUUGAUGAUGCCCAAGGCACCUCAAUGUAAUAUUCUAGAAAGACUCGAGCGUUAUAGCUUGUGGAUGCCCCGGAAGGAAUCCCCUCUUUUUGUCUCAAUCCAUCGGUAUGUCACUUGGAGCUACAUUUUUAUUUAUCACAUGGUAUGAGUUUUGUUUGGAGCGUCAUUUUAUUUUACUUUCAGUUUUCAACAAUCAUUGUUUCAGGUACACACCUAUUUCAGAGAGAUAUCACAUCAUUAUAAUUUGUUAGGAUACUCUAUGUGCCUCACUUAUAUAUUUUGAGCUUAGUAGUUGCUCUAGUAGUCACUUAUAUAUUUUUGAGCAUGGUCAAGUGUAGAUUUUAUAGAAGUAUUAUGCUAUCAUUAUUCACUUACGUUUGUUUGAGAAUUAAAUAAAUAGUGAUGGUAAUAUUCUUGGGUCAUAAGACUAGAUAAAAAUAAUAGGUCUUCAAUGAGUGAUAAUUAAAACCACCAUGUAGCACAUAUAGAGAAAUUGUGGGUUAAUGAUAUUGAUGUGAUGAUAUGAAAAAGGUGUGAGUGCAUUAUUAUUAAUUUAGAGAGGUGUCGAUACUAAGAGAUGUUAAACUUCUUGUUCAUCUAAAAAUCAAAAGCGCAUGCUGAUGAUGUGUAAGCAUUUCUAUUCCUUGUGGAAAUCCUAGUGCUGUUUUGAGUUGGAGUCGUGCGAUGGUUAAUUCCUAACAACCAUCUCCCUCGAGGCAUGUGAGUAGUACUUUGAUUUGUGAUAAAACUAAUAAAACUUUGCAAUAAUUACAUGUGUUCUUCAUGACUAAUGUGACACAAUCUCACCUCCUCAUAUUUCUUAACCUCGUCGGUAUCGUGCAUCGCCCGUUCUCCCCUUGAGGAUCGGUGCAACUUUCGUCGGUGCAUCCAAACCUCGUGACAUGGCACGCUCUAUUGCACAUAAGCCUUUUUAUAUCCUCCUCAAAACUGCCACCAUACCUACAUAUCAUGGCAUUUCCCUGUCCAUUCCAAGAUAUAUUGCCAUGCAAAUGCCAUCGUCACUUCACACGACUAGUUCGUUCAUCAUCAUAGUGCUUUGCAUGAUCAUAUAGAGCUGACAUAGUAUAUGUGGAAAACCUACCAUUCAUCAUAUUUUUGAUACAUGUCAGCCUAGAUCUUUGCACAUCCUGGUUCACUACCAGAGUCAUUCAUACAGAGUCAUAUCGUCCUAUCAUUUUUCAUAUUGAGUUGUAAGUAAAUAAAAAUUAUAUGAUCAGCAUUAUUAAAGCAUUGUCUGAGUGAGGAAAUAAAAAUGGGGGAGGCAAAAUGAUCCCACAAUAAAAAAAUGAAAACAGAAAAAAAUGAAUGAGAGAAAGAGAGAGAAGGGGCUUUGCUACUAUCCUUUACCACACUUGUGCCUAAAGUGGCACCUUGUUCUUCAUAUAGUGUCUCAUGUUAUGUCAUUCAUAUGCUAGUCGGAAUCACUUUUUCAUAAACUUGGCAUGUAUAUUGCAAUGACGGGCUUCCUCAAAUUCCCGAGGUCUUCAUGAUCAAGCAAGUUGGAUGCACACCCCACUUAGCUUUAGUGGAGCUUUCACACACUUAUAGAUCUAGAGCAUCAUUUGCAUGGAAAUCCCUACUCCUUGCAUCGAUAUCUAUCAACAGACAUCUCCAUAGCCCGUUGGUACGCCUAGUUGAUGUGAGACUAUCUACUCCACCUUUUACCCCCUUUGACACCUACCACCAUAUUAUGUUCCACCUAUAUGCUAUGUCCAUUGAUUCAAGCUCAUGUAUUGCAUGAAGAAUAAAAUGUUGAUGCAUAUUGAAAAAGUACGACCCAAUUGCCUGACUUGGACAUUGUGGUGCUUCACAUUUGUAUUGAUGUGGUGAAGAUGGAGCCAUGCCUUGGUAAUAUAAUAAUACGAAUGGGGUAAAACAAUCUUUGAUGAUCAUAAACUCUGAUGGAUUAAUGAUUUUGCUGCUUAUACCUAUAAGUACUACUAUGUUAAUGUUGGUUAAUUCAUUGUUUCUCUAUAAGCAUACAUGCAUGUCACAUAAUUGUUUUAUCAUUUACCUACUCGAGCGCGAGGAGGUAUUGAUCUUGGAAUGCUUGAUACGUCUCCAACGUAUCUAUAAUUGUUUAUUAUUGCAUGCCGAUAUAAUAUCAUUCUAUAAUAUUUUGUGGUACUUAUUUGCCAAUUUAUAUUAUUUUUGAGUACUAACAUAUUGACCCAGUACUCACUGCGAGUUGAUGUUUUCUGUAUGUUUUUCGCUUUCUAGGUUUUCCAUACCAAACGAAUUCCAAUUGACGUAAAACUUUUUGGUGAUUUUUCUCGACUAAAAUAAGACCAACAAACAUCAGAGGAAGGUUGGGGGCCACAUGAGGGCCCUACAAGCCAACUCGGCGCAACUUGGGGCGCGACGUGUUGGAUUGUGGCCCCUCGUGGCCCUCUCAACUGUGUUAUGUGUCUUACAAAUUCUCUCAUAGCCUAAAAACACCAAGAAGUGUCCCGAAACACUUUUUACUAUGCUGCAAGUCUCAGUACCUACGGGUGGCCAUCUGGAGUUUCGUUCUGGCACACUGUUGAAGGGGGGUCGAUCUCGGAGGUCCUCUUCAUCAACCUUGCAGCCCUCACAAUGAUGCAUGAGUUGUUCACCACAAACCUGCGGGCCCAUAGCAAGUACCUAGAUGGCAAUCUCUCUUUCUUGUCUUCAAUACAAUGAUCAUGCCAUAUUCUCUUUGAUCCAAAUGAUGUAAUUCAUUUUGUGCGGUGCAUUUGUUGGGAUCCGAUGAAUUGUGGUUUUAUGUACAUAUUAUUCAUGAUAAAUAUUUGAGUCUUCUCUGAAUACUUAUAUGAUUCUUAUGUUCAUGAUUAUUAUAGCUUUUGUAAUUCCCUCUGAUCUAUUGAAAUAGUUUGGCCAACUCGAUUGAUAUUUCUUCGAUGAGAGAGCUGCGUUGUAGUAGGUUCAACAUGGCGAAUUUUAUAUCCCAGUGACUGAAGGGGACAAGACGCGUCUUUGUGUUGCUGCUACUAAGGACAAAAUGACAGGGGUUCAUUCAUAUUGCUUGAGUUUACUUUGUCUACAUCAUGUUAUUGUUCUCCAUGCAUUACUUUGUUUUAGUUAAUACUCUGGAUGUAUGCUAGAAAGCGGUUGAUGAGUGGCGUAAUAGUAAUAGGUGCAAGCAGGAGUCAGCCUAUUUGUUUAUGGACAUGAUGCCUAUAUACACAUGAUCAAUGUCGUGAAUGUCAAAUAACUAUCCGCUUUUCUAACAAUUCCCAACAAUAAUUUGUUUACCCACUUAUAUGUCUCCAAUGUAUCGAUAAUUUAUGAAGUAUUCAUGCCAUGUUUGCCUAUGUUUACAACAAUUUUAUAUGGUUUUGCUGCACUUUAUAUGAUUUAUUUAUAACUAACCCGGACUGAUGAUGUUUUCAACAGAACUACCGCGGUGUUGUUUUUGUGCAGAAAUAAAAGUUUUCAGAAUUGGACAAAACUUUUUGAUGAUUUUUCUCAGAAGACAUCGAGACGAGCAAAGAACCACCAGAGAGUAGGCCUAAGGUGCCCAUAGCGCACGAGGGCACGCCAGCCCCCUUAGUGCGGCCUGGUAGCUAGUGGGCACCUCGUGGCCCACCUUAGUGUGAUUCCAAGGCCGAAAAACCCUAAUAAAUAUAGAAACCUCCAGAAAUUACCAUACACGAGAAGUUCCACCGCCGCAAGUCUCUAUAGGCACGAAAAACCAAUCGGAGGCCUAUUCCGGUACCCUAUCGGAGGGGGAGAUCAUCUUGGGUAGCCAUAUUCAUUAUGCUGGCGUGGGCCAUGAUGAGGAGGGAGUAGUCCACCCUCCGGGCUGAGGGUUUGUACCAGUAGCUAUCCGUUUAAUCUCUCUCUCUCGUGUUCUUGAGAUGUCAUGAUCUUGAUACAUCACGAGCCUUGUUAAUAUAGUUGGAUCAUAUGGUGUUUAUCCCAUACUAUUAUUGUGAUGAAUUGAGUCUUUUCCUUUAAGAUGUCGUCAUGUUGGAUUGAAUAUUCAGGUUUGAGAGCACAUGAUAUAUGUCUUGCAUGUGAAUACCCGUAGUGCCAUUGGGGUAUUCAAGUGAUUCACUUGAUAUUUGUUGUGGCAUCAACUUCCGGAUUCCGGUGAACUUGGAGGUCUAGUCAUAGGGGUUGAUGGCAUGUUUUCCAUACUAUGUUCUCCGAUAGAAAUCUUGGGGUGCUCCUUGAAGUUCUCUGUGUUGGAUUAAAUAUGAAUAAUGUGAAACUAUUUAUGCAUUUCAUAUAAUUAGCCCACAGAUACUUGAGAUGACAUUGGAGUAUCUAUUUGACAUUAGGGUUGAUUGUAUGCAUAAACGGUGUUAUUUUAGUAUGAACUCUUGGAUAGAUUGAUCAGAAAGGCUAACUUGUUAUCUUAGUACGAACUCUUGGAAAGAUUGAUCGGAAAUAAUAAUUUUGGGGUGGUUUCGUACCCUACAAAUAAUUUCUUCUUAUGUUCUCCGCUAGAUAGGGACUUUGGAAUUAUUCUUCAUCGCAUGUUGAGUGAUUGUUAUGUGAUCCAAUUAUAUUAGUAUUGUUCAGAGAUUGCACUAGCGAAAGUACGGACCUUAGGCCAUAUUUUCAAGCAUUGCAAUACCUUUUGUGCUCACUAUUGUUACUCAUUACCUUGUUGUUUUUUAUUGUUCCUAUUACAAAAAUCAAUAUCUACUAUCAUUACUACACUUGUAUGACCAUCUCUUCGUCGAACUAGUGCACCUAUACAAUUUACCAUUGGAUGUACAAACCCUAGUACAUGGGGACACAAGAGAAUUUUUAUUAUUUGGUUGUAGGGUUGUUUGAGAGGGACCAUCUUCAUCGUACGCCUCCCAUGUAUUGAUGAACCUUAGCUCAUCUACUUGAUGGAAAUUUGCUACUCUCCUACAAAACUCUUCGCUUGGAGGCCCAACACGACUCUACAAGAACAAUUUGUGUAGUAGACAUCAAGCUCUUCUCUCGUGCCAUUGCCGGGGAGGUGAGUGCUUGAAGGUAUAUCUUUACAUCUUGUAAUUGAAUCUUUUAGUUUCUUGUUUUAUCACUAGUUUGAUUUUUAAAAAGAAAAUUACAAUAAAUGGAAUUGAGGUGGCCUCAUAUUGUUCAUCUUUAUAUUGUCUUUCUUGAAAAUGAUGGAAAUGAAAAUUGUGCUUAAUUGUUAGAGGAAGAAUUUAUGAAAAUGAUUAAUGUGAAAUCCUUGAAUGAUGCGCAUGAUAGUAGUAUUGUUCAUAUGGAUUCUUUGAAUAUCCAUGAUGCUAAUGAUAUGCAAAGCCACAAGCUUGGGGAUGCUAUGUUUGAUAAAUAUGAUAUUUUUAGUCCCCCAUGUUUUGAUGAGCAAAUUUAUUAUGAUGAAAGUAUGCCUCCUAUUUAUGAUUAUUAUAUUGAUGAAAGUGGGUUUGGAAGAGUGACAAUUGUUGGGGAACAUUGCAUGGGAAACAAAAAAUUUCCUACGCACACGCAAGACCUGUCCAUGGUGUUGAUCAUCUACGAGAAGGGAGAUCAGAUCCACAUACCUUUGUAGAUCACUAAGCGGUAAGCGUUAAUAAACAUGGUUGAUGUAGUCAAACGUCUUUGCGAUCCUAAUCGCAAGUGUCGCACGAACUCUGAUCCUAAUCGCAAGUGUCCCACGAACUCUGUCCCAAUCUAGCGCUAAACGGACGACUCCCCCAUGUUCGGCACGGGUGCAACUCGAUAACGAUCUCCGCCUUCUUUAUCCAGUAAGAGAGAUGAAGAGGUAGCUGAAUUCUCCGACAGCAUGAUGGCGUGGCGGUGAGGAUGGUGGAGCUACUCCGGCUGGGGUUCGUCAUACCGUACUGAAUUAGCUACAGGGUGUCCCGAAGUGGUGGAGGGAGAGAGGGUUGCGCCUUGGCUUGAGAUGCCAAAAGCCUCUCUCAGCUCCACUAUAUAUAGGAGGGAGGGGAGGGGUUGCGCCCUAGGGCAAAGUCCUAGGGUUUUGCCAGUGCAAGAGGAGGAGGAGGAGGAGUCCUCCAAUACAAUUUGGAAGGAGGAGUCCUCCUUCCCCAAUUCGGUUUGGCCCACCCUCCUUUCCUUUUCUCCCUUGGCCGAAAUAGGCCUCUUUGGGCUGGCCACCAGCCCAAUAGGGGCUGGUGCCCCACCCUUGGGCCUCUUAGGUUCUCUCGUGGGUGGGUGGCCCCUCCCGUUGGAACUUCGGAACCCAUUUCUAACUCCCGGUACUUUAUUGGUAAUGCCCGAAAACCUUCCAGAAGCAAAAUUGAUAAUUCCUAUAUAAUAAUCUUCGUCUCUGGACCAUUUCGGAAACCCUCGUGACAUCCAGGAUCUCAUCCGGGACUUCGAACAACAUUCGGUUACCAACAUCAAUAAUGCAACUAUACUGAAACAUCAGUGGACCUUUAGUGUGCAGACCCUGAGGCACUCUUCGGUCAAUAUCCAAUAGCGGUAGCUAGAUGCCAAUAUUGAAUCCUACAUAUUCUACGAAGAUCUUUAAUGGUUGAACCUCUAUGUCUAGGAUUCAUUUAAUCCCAUAUAAAAUUUCCUUUGUCCUUCAGUAUGUGAUACGUCUCAAUGUAUAUAUAAUUUUUGAUUCUUCCAUGCUAUUAUAUUAUCUGUUUUGGAUGUUUUAUAUGCAUUAGUAUGCUAUUUUAUUUUAUUUUUGGGACCAACCUUUUAAUCUAGAGCCUAGUGCUAGUUUCUGUUUUCCAUGUUUUUGAGUAUUGCACGUAAGGAAUAUUAAUUGGAGUCCAAACGGAAUAAAAUCUUUGGAAUGAUUUUUCUUGGACCAGAAGACAUCUGCCAGACUUGUAGAAGGGGACAACAGACCUGCCGGGAGGUGAUAAGCCUGCAGGACGCGCCCUGGGGGGGGUCGCGUCCCCUAGCUUUUAGGUCCCCUUCAGCUCUCCUAACACUAAUCCUUCACCUAUAAAUUCCCAAAUAUUCCCCUAUUACCGAAGGGAGCCACAAAAAUACUUUUCCGCCGCCGGGAGCCUCUGUUCUUGUGAGAUCCAAUCUAGGAGCCCUUUCUGGUAAUCUGCCAGAGAGGGAAUUGAUCACGGAGGUGAGAGGGAAUUGAUCACGGAGGUCAUCUACAUCAACUCCAUUUCCCCUACGAUGAUGUGUGAAUACUUCACCACAAACCUACGGGUCCAUAGCUAGUAGCUAGAUGGCUUGUUCUCUCUCUUUGUUCUGCAUGAUCUUCAUGAAGAUCUAUCCGAUGUUAUAAUCUUUUGCGGUGUGUUUGUCGAGAUCCUAUGAAUUGUGUGUUUAUGUUCAGAUUAUCUAUGAAAAUUAUAUGAAUCUUCUCUGAAUUCUUAUAUGCUUGAUUUCAUAUCUUACCAAGUCUCUUCGAGUUAUUGGUUUGGUUUGGCCAACUAGAUUGGUAAUUCUUGCAAUGGGAGAAGUGCUUAGGUUUGGGUUCAAUCUUGCGGUGUCCUUCCCCAGUGACAAAGUACGGGUAGCGAGGCACAUAUUGCAUUGUUGCCAUCGAGGGUAAAAAGAUGUAGUUUUCAUCGUAUUGCUUGAGUUUAUCCCUCUACAUCAUGUCAUAUUACUUAAUGGACUACUCUGUUCUUCAUGAACUUAAUAUUGUAGAUGCAGGAAGGAGUCGGUCGAUGUGUGGAGUAAUAGUACUAGAUGCAGAAUCAUUUCGGUCUACCUGACACGAACAUGAUGCCUAUAUGCAUAAUCAUUGCCUUGGAUAUCUUAUUCGCUUUUCUAUCAAUUCCUCGACAGUAAUUUGUUCACCCACCGUAUUAUUUUCCUUCAUGAGAGAAUCCUCUAGUAAAACCUAUGGCCCGCGGGUCUAUUUUCCAUAUUGUAAUUUCAGAUCUAUAGACCAAAAAUACCAGAAAUAUGUUGCUGCUAUUUACUUACUUUUGUUUUGUUUUAGUUCUAGCAAUCUUUUAUCUAUCUCUAUCAGAUAUCAUCCUUGCAAAUAACUCUGAAGGGGUUGACAACCCCUUUUUAGUGUUGGGUGCAAGUGUUUUAUUGUUUGUUUAGGUACUACAAUUGGGGCCUUGCUUGUUCCUCCUACUGGAUUGAUACCUUGGUUCUCAGCAAACUGUGGGAAAUACAUAUCUACUUUGUUGCAUCACCCUUUCCUCUUUAAGGGAAAACCAACGCAAUCUCAAGAGGUAGCAAGAAGGAUUUCUGGCGCCUUUGCCGGGGAGGAUCCAUAGCAAGAUCAAUCUUACCAAGUACCCAUCACAAACUAAUCUCUUGCAUCUACUUUAUUUGCCAUUUUCCUGUCGAUUUCCUCUCCCCCACUUCACCAAUUUGCCAUUUUAUUCGCCUUUUUCUCACCGGAUAUCUUUUUUUCUACUUUUUUUUCCAUGUACCUUCCAUUUGCUUGCAUCUUUUAUUGCUAAAAAUCUGUUGAUAUGGAUCCUGAUCCACUUGCUGAUCUUUUUAAACGGCCAAAUUAUGAUGAACCAAUUGCGAGUGAGUUGAGUGCAGUUUAUUAUCUCUAUGAAGUUUCAUUUAAAAAUCAUGAAUGUGAAAUUUUUGAUGAAGUGUGGAAAGAAGAAAUUUAUAAAAUGAUUCAUGAUAGCUCCUUGAUUGAAAAGCAUGAUUGCAAUGACGUACCUAUAAAUUCUAUUAAUGUCAAUUAUGUGAAAUAUAUGCAAAACUACAAGCUUGCGGAUGAUAAUUUUGUCAUGUCCAUUACUCAUUGUAAUGAUCAUGAUUGGGAUGACGCUUCUUAUGAUCUUGAAAAUUUAUUUAAUCCUCAUGAUGAAUAUGUUAUUGAUAAUAAGGUUUGCAAUAGUAUCAAAAGUGGGUUCGGAAUAGUGUCAAAUUUAGGUAAAAAUAAACCCACAUAUUUGGACAGUGUUCAAUCUUAUGAAUUUUUUAAUAAAAGUGGGUUUGGAGAGGUCAUGACUUUAGUUAAUGUUAAUCUCACUACCGUGCAAGAUUGUUGGACUUCUAUGCAUGUGGAUCAUGAAAAUAAUGCUUUAUGUGAUAGUUAUAUUAUUGAAUUUAUUCAUUAUGCUACUGAAAAUUACUAUGAGAGAGGAACAUAUGCUUUUACAUAUUGCAAUACUAUCAAGUUUCUUGUCCAUGUGUUUGAAAUUUUGAAGUUAUACUUGUUUUCCCUUCAUAUGCUAAUUGAUUCUUGUUCUCAUAAUUUGUUUGCUCACAAAAUACCUAUGCAUAGGAAGUGGGUUAGAAUUAAAUAUGCUUGCCAUGUGAUUCAUGAUGCUCAGAUUAUGUUUCAGUUCUUUAUCUUUAUGCGAGCAUCAUUGAAAUCGUUAUGCCUAGCUAGGGGCGUUAAACAAUAGCGCUUGUUGGGAGGCAACCCAAUUUUAUUUUUAUUAUUUUGUGUUUGCUUCUGUCUUUUAGUGUUGCACACGUUAUUACCUCUGUAGUAAUUUUGUUUUCUUGUUUUAAUUAGUGUUUGAGCCAAGUAAGACCUUUGGGAUGGUGUAGAAUGUUUGCAAGUUGAUUUUGCUGAAAAACAAAAACUUUCGCUGUCAGUCUAGGAAUUUUGUAAAUUCAGUGGAACGUUAUUUUCAUCUAUUUUUUUACAAAAUGUUGAUAUAAAAUGUUUCCAGAGUUUCCUAAAUUUUCAGAAUUUUUCGUGGUACAUAAGUAUUCAAAGUUUAUAGAUUGCUACAAGACGUUCUGUUUUUGACAGAUUAUGUUUUCUUUGUGUUGGUUGCUUAUUUUUAUAAAUCUAUGGGUUGUAUCAGGGGGUAUGAACCAUGGAGGAGUUGGAAUACAGUAAAUAUUAUAUAAACAUAAAUAAAUAAUGAGUUCACAACAAUACCUAAAGUGGUGAUUUAUUUUUCUUAUACUAAGGAUCUCAUGAGUUUUCUGUUGAGUUUUGUGUUGUGAAGUUUUCAAAUUUUGGGUACAUAUUUGUUGGACUAUGGAAUAAGGAGUGGCAAGAGCCUAAGCUUGGGGAUUACCAAGGCACCCGAAGCCAUAUUCAAGGAUACCAAAAAGCCUAAGCUUGGGGAUGCCCCGGAAAGCAUUCCAUCUCUCGUCUUCAAUCCAUCGGUAAAUUUACUUGAGGCUAUAUUUUUAUUCACCACAUGAUAUGUGUUUUGCUUGGAGCAUCUUGUAUGAUAUGAGUCUUUACUUUUUGGAUUGCCACAAUCAUCCUUUCUGCACACAUAUUUUGAGAGAGACACGCUGAAUAGUGAAUUUAUUAGAAUACUCUAUGUUCUUCACUUACAUCUUUUGAGCUAGGCAAAGUUGCUCUAGUGCUUCACUUAUAUAGGCGGUGAUUUAUUUUAUAUAAUUAUUAAACUCACAUACCUCACUUAUAUUAUUUUGAGAGUCUUUAAACAGCAUGGUCAUUGGUUUAGGUUAUGAAUUUAGUCCUAAUAUAAUGGGCAUCCAAGAGGGAUAUAAUAAAAACUUACAUACUAGUGCAUUGAAUAUGAUGAGAAGUUUGAUUCCUUGCAUAUAGUUUUGAGAUAUGAAAAUGGUAAUAUGUGAUUCAUGCUACUAAGUAAUUAUGAAUUGGAAGAAAUACUUGUGUUAAAGUUUGUGAUUCCCAUAGCAUGCACGUAUGGUGAACCUUUGUGUGAUGAAGUCCGAGCAUGAUUUUUAUUAUUGAUUGUCAACCUUUGUGUGGAGGUCGGGAUCGCGCGAUGUUUAACUCCUACCAACCCUUCUCAUAGGAGCAUGCAUCUAAUACUUUGCUUCGAUAACUAAUAGGCUUUUUCGAUAAGUAUGUGAGUUCUUUAUGUCUAAUCUUGACUUCAUGGAUUAUACGCACUCUCACCCUUCCAUCUUUGCUAGCCUCUCUAAUACUGCGCAACUUUCGCUGGCACAUUAAACCCACCUUCCCCAAAAUGGCCACCGUACCUACCUAUUAUGACAUUUUCAUAGCCAUUUCGAGAUAUAUUUCCAUGCAACGCCAUUGUCCCGUUUUUUGUGACAUGCACCAUCACUUCCAUAUUGCUUAUAGAGUCAUAUUUCGUUCUAGAUAUCGAGUUGUAAUCUUUGAGUUGUCAGUAAAUAAAACUGUGAUGAUUUGCAUUAUGAGAGCAUUGUCUCAUGUGAGAAAAAGAUGAUGGAAGCUAUGAUUCCCUCACAAGUUGGGAUGAGUAUCCAGACUUUAAAAAAUAAAGGAGGCCAGCUAAGCCCAUAAAAAAAGAGGCCAAAGAGGCCCACCAAAAAAAUGAGAGAAAGAGAGAAGGGACAAUGCUACUAUCUUUUUACCACACUUGUGGUUCAAAGUAGUAGCAUGUUCUUCAUAGAGAGUCUCUAUUUUGUCACUUUCAUAUAACUAGUGGAAUUUCAUCUUUUGCACAACCACUUAGUUUUCUUUUGGAGCUUUCAUACACUUAUAGCUCUAGUGCAUUUGUUGCAUGGCAAUCCCUCCUCAAUCACAUUAAUAUCUAUUGAUGGGCAUCUCCAUAGCCUGUUGAUAUGCCUAGUUGAUGUCAGACUAUCUUCUCCUCUUUCUUUUUGCAACCUCCAUCAUAUUCUAUUCCACCUAUAGUGAUAUGUCCAUGGCCUACGCUCAUGUAUUGAAUGAGAGUUGAAAAGGUUUGAGAACAUAAAAAGUGUGAAACAAUUUCUUGACUUUCAUCGAGGAUGUAAAUGAUUUAGAUACUUUAUAUGGUGAAGAUGGAGCAUAUCCAAACCAUAUGGUUUUGUAGGGGUAACUUUCUAAGACCAUGUUAUUUCGAAAGGAAGCAGUUGCCUUGUUAGUAUGCUUGAAGUAUUAUUGUUUUUAUGUCAAUAUUAUACUUUUGUUUUUAAUUUUAUGGAUAUGAAUAUUCAUGCCACAAUAAAGAAUAUUACAUGGAUAAAUAUGUUAGGUAGCAUUCCACAUCAAAAAUUCUGUUUUUAUCAUUUACCUACUCGAGGCUGAGCAGGAAUUAAGCUUGGGGAUUCUUGAUACGUCCCCAACGUGUCUAUAAUUUUUUAUUGUUCCAUGCUAUUCUAUUAUGUGUUUUGUAUGUUUUAUAUGCAUUAAUAUCCUAUUUUAUAUUAUUUUUGGGUCUAACCUAUUAAUCUAGACCCUAGUGCCAGUUUCUGUUUUUUCCAUGCUUUUGAGUAUUGAAGAUAAGGAAUAUUAAACGGAGUCCAAACAGAAUAAUAUCUCCGGAAUGAUUUUUCUUGGAAUAGAAGAUAUCUGCGAGACUUGGAGAACGGGGCAGGAGACCUCGCAGGGGAUUGCGCCCCCUGGCUUGUGGGUCCCGUGCAGCUCUCCUAACCCUAAUACUUUGCCUAUAAAUUCCCAAAUAUUCCCCCAUUAGCGAAGGGAGCCACAAAAAUACUUUUGCGCUGUCGAGAGCCUCUGUUCCCGUGAGAUCCAAUAUGGAAACCUUUUCCUGUAAUCUGCCGGAGAGGAAAUUGAUCACGGAGGGCAUCUACAUCAACUCGAUUGCCCCUCUAAUGAUGCGUGAGUAGUUCACCACAAACCUACGGGUCCAUAGCGAGUAGCUAGAUGGACUCUUCUCUCUCUUUGUUCUUCAAUACCAUGUUCUUCAUGAUCUUAAUGGAGAUCUAUCCGAUGUAUUACUCUUUUGUGGUGUGUUUGUCGAGAUCCGAUGAAUUGUGGGUUUAUGUUUAAAUUAUCUAAGAAUAUUAUAUGAAUCUUUUCUGAAUUCUUAUAUGCAUGAUUUCAUAUCUUAGCAAGUCUCUUCGAGUUAUUGGUUUUGUUUGGACAACUAGAUUGGUAAUUCUUGCAAUGGGAGAAGUGCUUAGUUUUGGGUUCAAUCUUGUGGCCUCCUGACCCAGUGAAAAUGUAGGGAUAGAGAGGCACUUAUUGCAUUGUUGUCAUCGACGAUAAAAAGAUGGGGUUUAUAUCAUAUUGCUUAAGUUUAUCCCUCUACAUCAUGACAUCUUACUUAAUGUUUUACCCUGUUCUUCAUGAACUUAAUACUCUAGAUGCAGGCAGGACUCGGUCGAUGUGUGGAGUAAUAGUAGUUGAUGCCGAAUCGUUUCGUCCUACUUGACACGGGCGUGAUUACUAUAUGCAUAAUCAUUGCCUUGGAUAUCUUCAUAAUUAUUCGCUUUUCUAUCAACAGCUCGACAGUAAUUUUAUCACCCACCGUAUUAUUUUCCUUCAUGGGAGAAGUCUCCAGUGAAACCUAUGGCCCCGGGUCUAUUUUCCAUAUUAUACUUUAAGAUAUGUAAACCAAAAAUACCAAAAAUAUAUUGCUGCUAUUUAUUUACUUUUGUUGAACCUUUAGUUCUAGCAAUCUUUUAUCUAUCUCUAUCAGAUCUCAUCCUUGCAAAUAACUCUGAAGGGAUUGACAACGCCUUUUUAGCGUUGGGUGCAAGUGUUUGACUGUUUGUGUAGGUACUACAAUUGGGGCCUUGCUUGUUCCUCCUACUGGAUUGAUACCUUGUUUCUCAACAAACUGAUGGCAAUACUUAUCUACUUCGCUACAUCACCCUUUCUUGUUCAAGGGAAAACUAACGCAAGAUCAAGAGGUAGCAGAAUGUUACUUGCUCGAGAUUCGAUCGUCGGUAUCUCCAUACCUAUUUCAAUCUCGUUACCGGCAAGUCUUUUUACUCGUUCCGUAAUACAAGAUCCCGUGACUAACUCCUUAGUCAAAUUGCUUGCAUGGCUUGUUGUGAUGUUGUAUUACCGAGUGGGCCCCAAGAUAUCUAUCCUUCAUACAGAGUGACAAAUCCCAGCCUUGAUCCAUGCUAACUCAACGGACACUUUCGGAGAUACCUAUAGAGCGCCUUUAUAGUCACCCAGUUACAUUGCGACCUUUGAUACACACAGGGUAUUCCUCUCGCGUUAGUGAGUUACAUGAUCCCAUGGUCAUAGGAAUGUAUACUUGACAUGCAGAAAAUAGCAGCAAUAAAAUAACACGAUCACAUGCUAUGUUCAUAGUUUGGGUCUUGUCCAUCACAUCCUCCUCCUAAUGAUGUGAUCCCGUUAGGAAACCUUAACCAUCUUUGAUCAAGGAGCUUGUCAAGUAGAGGCUUACUAAGGAAGUGUUUUGUCUAUGUAUCCACACAUGUAUUUGCAUUUCCAUUCAAUACAAUACUAGCAUGGAUAAUAAACGAUUAUCUUGAAAUAUAAAUAUAAUAAUAACUAUUUUAUUAUUGCUUCUAGGGAAUAUUUCCAACAACAACUCUAGGUACUAACGAUCCAAUUAUUUCCGAGGGUCUUUAAUCUUUUCAUAGUGGUAAAAGUGGAUUUGGAGAUCUCAUGACUUUAUUUAGUGAAGAGUCCACUAUGUUGGAAAAGGCUUCAAUUGACUAUGCCAACAAAUUUUCUAUCUAUGAUGAUUAUGGUGAUGACAUUUAUGUUAUAAUGAAUAAGGAUAACCAUGAAACUUGUUAUCAUAAUUUUAAUUUUUCUCAUGGAUUAUAUCGAUCAAGUAUCUCAUGAUUCUUAUUUUGUUGAGUUUGCUCCCACUACUAUGAAUGAUAAGAAUUUUGCUUGUGUGGUUAGUAAUAAAAAAUCUAUGUUUGUGCAUCAUGAAAAUAAUGUUGUAGGUGAUAGUUAUAUUAUUGAAUUCCUUCAUGAUGCUACUGAAAAUUAUUAGGAGGGAGGAAAAUAUGCUUGUAGGAAUUGCAAUAAUAUCAAGUUUCCUCCCUAUGUGUUCAAAGUUAUGAAACAUGAUUCUUGCUCCCAUAAAUUCUUUGCUUGUUGAAUCCCUAUGCAUAGAAAGUGGGUUAUAUUUAAAUGUGCUUGUCAUGUUAUUCAUUAUGCUCUCUUGCAUGUUUCAAAUAUUAUUCCUAUAUGAGGAUCAUUGAAAUCAUCAUGCCUUGCUAAAAGGCAUUAAAGAAAAGCAUUUGUUGGGAGACAACCCAAUAUUUAUACUUUAUGUUUUUGUGUGUUCACAUGAUUAAUAUACUGUAAUAAUCAUGUUUUGUGUAUUUUAUUUCAAUACAGUUCCAAGUAAAAUCUUUGGGAUAGUGCGGAUACUUCCUUGUUUCAUUUUGUGUAAAAACACAAACAUUUACAUCGAGUGCAGAAUUUCUAUGAUUUUACUGGAGCAUCAAAAAAUUCUGAAUUUUUACACAGUUUUUGUAUGCACAUUCUCAACGUUUUCCUUAUAUUUCAGAAUGUUUAGACUAGGGGAAGUAUGGUUUUCAUUCAGAUAUUCACAGACUGUUCUGUUUUUGUCAGAUUUUGUUUUGUGUGCAUAGUUUCUUAUUUUAGUGUUUCCAUAGCUUAUAUUGAGUGAUAUAAAUUAUGGGAAUGAUAUAAUACAAUAGGAAUUAUGUGAGAACAAUUAUGAAUCUUGUCUUUGCAUUACCUAUGUGAAUGAUCUAAAUUUAUCACACUAACCCAUCUCACGAAGUUCUAUUAAGUUCUGUGUGAUUGAAGUUUUUCAAGUUUUGGGUGAGAUACCAAUAUGAGGAGAAUAAGGAGCAGCAAUAACCUAAUCUUGUGGAUGCCCAAGGCACCCCAAGGUAAUAUCCAAGGAAUACUCAAUCGUCUAAGCUUGGGCAUGCCCCGGAAGGCAUCCCCUCUUUCGCCUCCAACAUUACCGGUAUAUCUUACUUGGAGCUAUACUUUUAUUCGUCAAAUGAUAUGUGUUUUCCUUGGAGCGUAAUUUUUUUUGUUCUCUGUUAGAUGUUAUUUAUAAUAUUAUUUUUCAAGAAAGUUCCAAGAGUUGCCUUCAAAAUGCUUGAAUUACAUGUGUCAUGUGUGUUGCACAAAAACAGAAACUUUUGCUGCAGUAUUUGAAUUAUCAUAUUUUACUAGAACGUGGAAAGUUUCUAAAAGUUUUACACACUGAUGUCAUAUAAAGUUUUUAUCACUUCCUAAUUUUUCAGAAGUUUUGGACAUACAUAAGUAUACUGUUUAUAUAAAUUGCUACAGAAUGUUCUUUUUGGACAAAUUGUUGUCAUAGUUUUGUUAUCUACUUAUGCUAUAGUUUCCCACAAUGUUUAUAAAUAUAUUGUUUACAGUAUUUGAAUUGUCAUAUUGGUAGAUCAAAAUUGUGGAAAUGAUAGUAUACAAUACCUUAUGUUUGAGAAUUAUUAUGCAACUUGUCUUGUGAGUACAUGAAGUGUUGAUUUAUUUCUGUGUGUACUAACCUAUCUCACGAGUUAUUUUCAAGUUUUGUGUGGAUGAUGUUUUUGAGACUUAGGUGAAACCGACAUAGGAGAGGAUUGAAAGAGAUACAAAAGAUCAAGCUUUGGGAUGCCCAAGGAACCCCAAGUAAAUAUUUCAAGAAGUCUCAACCAUCUAAGCUUGGGGAUGCUACGCAUCCCACCACUCUUCAUCAAUAACUAACGGUUGGCCUAUGUUGAGCCAAAAACAUUAUUUGUCCAAAUGAUAUGUGCUAUUCUUGAAAUCCAUUUUUGUUUAGUUUUCUGUUUGAAUAAAAUUAUCAGAUCUAAAAAUCUUUUUUGAGAGAAAGUCCUUACUUGAUUCUUUAACUACUCAUUGAUUUUCACUUAUAUCUUUUGAGAGCAGUUUCAUUGUUUGCUCUUGUGCUUCACUUAUAUCCUAUGAGUAAAUUGUUGAAUAAAUUGAAUGCCAUGAAGUUUAAAUUAUAUGUUCGUUUCAUGCCUAGUAGUAGCUUCACAUUGGGUUUAGAAAGUGAAAUCUUUUGAAGCUUGACAAUCAUAAUAUUGGUCAUACAAGCAAUUCACGCAUGAUUGGUAUAAGCAAGAGAACUUUCACAUAUAAAUAUAUUACCUUGGACAUAUUCUAUGAUUUUGAAUUCUCAUUAAUUAUUUUCUAAUUUGAGCAAAUUAGUUGAAGUUGGACAAGGAAGACAAUGUAAUGACUUAUGGUUGUGUUUAUUUGCAUAGAAGUUAUAUUGUUAUGGAUCAUCCAACAUGUGGUGUUUGCUAAGAAUCUUUUUCUAAACAAAAAUUCGUAUUAAGUAGAGAUACCACUUGUGCAUCCAAUAACCCUUAAACCCAGUUUAUUGACAUGAGUGUCAGCAAUACAUACCUAUGGAUUGAAUAAGAUCCUUCAUGUAAGUUGUCAUCGGUGCAAAAAUGCAAUAAAAAUUGCUUCUAAAUAUGUUUGAUCAUUUAGUGUAAGAAAAAAUUGAGCGUUUUACGAACUUGUGAUGGCAAAGUAAUAAAAGUGAUGGACUACAUAAUAAAGGUUGUUAUCAUAAGGGGCAAUAUAACGUGAUGUUCUUUUGCAUUAACGGAUUGUGCCUACAAAAUAAAAAAGUGCAUGACAACCUCUACUUCCCUCUACGAAGAGCCUAUCUUUUACCUUUCAGUAUUUAAUUUUAUGCAAGAGUCAAUAGUAUGCAUUCUCAUUUCAACCUAAAUUAUUCUCUAGUUAGCAAGAAUCAUGUGGUGGGGAAAUAUCUAGGCACAUAUAGCUAGUCAAAUAUAUUUGAUCAUGACGUAUUACUGUUGACAAUUAUCUCUAUGAUAAAUGAGUUGGGAGGCGAAACAUUAAGCCCCUAUCUUUCUCUGUGUUUGAUGGAUGCCAUUUAUUCUAAAAAUAUGUUUUGAGUACUAGCAAUCAUAGAAGGCUAUAUGAUGACUGAGUAUGUGGAGCUCUUACCUAGACUUUGUUGAGAUUAAGUUGAAUUGCAAUUGUUUGGUGACUAAGAACAUAAGUUGUUAAGUUUCAAGAGAGUUCAUUGUUUGAACCAUAACAUGUCAAUUGCUUGCUACUUUAUCAUGAUGAGUUUUAUGAGAAAUAGUUUCUGUUAUGAUGCUAGGAAAAGUGGUUGAAAUUACCAUGAUUAAACUUAUGCACUAUGCUAGCAUUCACACUUCAUAACUUAUUUCUUUUAUCAUUUACCUACUCGGGACAAGAAGUAAUUAAGCUUGGGGAGGCGGAUACAUCUCCAAUGUAUUGAUAAUUUAUGAAGUAUUCAUGCCAUGUUUGCCUAUGUUUACAAUACUUUUAUAUGGUUUUGCUGCACUUUAUAUGAUUUAAUUUGAAAUAACCCAGACUCACGCUUUUUCAGCAGAACUACUGUCGUGUUGUUUUUUGUGUAGAAAUAAAAGUUCUCAUAAUUGGACGAAACUUUUUGACGAUUUUUUUCUGAACAGAAGACAUCCAAAGGAGCAAACAACAACCAGAGAGGAGGCACAGGCUGCCCAGUAGGUACCAGGGUGCACCAGCCCCACUGGCGCGGCCUUGUACCUAGUGGGCACCUCGUGGCCCAUCUUAGCGUGAUUCCAACGACCAAAAAUCCUAUAAUUAUAGAAACCUCCAGAAAUUACCCUAAACGAGAAGUUCCACCACUGCAAGUCUCUAUAGCCAUGAAAAAACAAUCGGGAGCCCAUUCCAGCACCCUACCGGAGGGGGAGAUCAUCUCCGGUGGCCAUCUUCAUCAUCUCGGCGGAGGCCAUGACGAGGACGGAGUAGUCCACCCUCGGGGCUGAGGGUUUGUACCAGUAGUUAUGUGUUAAAUCUCUGUGUGUGUGUGUGUUGUGUUGUUGAUAUGUCAUGAUCUUGAUACAUCACGGUCAUUGUUAAUAUAGUUGGAUCAUAUGGUGUUUGUCCCAUGCUAUUGUUGGAUUGAGUGUUUCACUUUAAGCUCUCGUUAUGUUGGAUUGAAUAUUCAGUUUUGAGAGCACGUGAUAUACGUCUUGCAUGCGGAUACCCAUAAUGACAUCGAGGUAUUCAAGUGAUUCACUUGAUACAUAUUGUGGCAUCAACUUGCGGAUUCCGGUGACCUUGGGAUCUAGGCAUAGGGGUUGAUUGCAUGUAUUCAUACUAUGUUCUCCUGUAGAAAUCUUGGGGUCCUCCUUGAAGUUAUUUGUGUUGGAUUGAAUAUCUGAAUUGAUUGAUGUAUGUUGUAUAAUUAGCCCAUGGAUACUUGAGGUGACAUUGGAGUAUCUAGGUGACAUUAGGAUUGAUUGAUAAGUAUCAAUGGUGUUAUUUUAGUACGAACUCUUGGAUAGAUCGAUCGGAAAGGAUAACUUGUUAUCUUAGAACGAACUCUACAAACAAUUUCUUCUCAUGUUGAGGUGGUUUCGUACGCUACAAACAAUUUCUUCUCAUGUUCUCCGCUAGAUAGGAACUUUGGAGUGAUUCUUCAUUGCAUGCUAAUGGAUUGUUAUGUGAUCCAAUUAUAUUAGCAUUGUUGAGAGAUUGCACUAGCAAAAGUACGGACCCUAGGGCUCAUUUUGAAGCAUUGCAAUAUCAUUUGUGCUCACUUUUGUUACUCAUUACCUUGUUUUUUUAUUGUUCCUACUACAAAAAUCAAUAUCGACUAUCAUUACUACACUUGUAUCACCAUCUCUUCGCCAAACUAGUGCACCUAUACAAUUUACCUUUGUAUUUGGUGUGUUGUCGACACAAGUGACUUUUUAUUAUUUGGUUACAGGGUUGUUUGAGAGAGACCUUCUUCAUCCAACGGCUCCCAUGGAUUGAUAAACCUUAGGUAAUCCACUUGAGGGAAAUUUGCUACUGUCCUACAAAACUCUGUGCUUGGAGGCCCAACACGAGUCUACAAGAACAAGUUUUGUAGUAGACAUCACCCACCGUAUGAUAUUUCUCAUGAGGGAUGCCAUUAGGGAAAACUAUGGCCCCCGGGUCUAUUCACAACUCAUUUACAAAACCUUAAAUACCUUGCUGCCAUUUACUUGUUUUUGUUUGAUUUUGCAAUUAACAAUUAUCUACACACCUCACACGCUUGCAAGUAACAAGUACAAGAGGAUUGACAACCCUCUUGCCCGUGUUGGGUGCAAGUUGCUUGUUCUUUUGGGUGCACCCAGUGAAGAUGGUUGUGGUUGAUAUUCCUAUUGGUUCAAUAAACCUUAUUUUCAUAACUGAUAGAAAUAUUUAAUCACAUUAUGUCGCGAUAACCUAUUCCUCUUCAUGGAAAACCCAACGUAGAUCACAAGUAUCAUUCAUCCAGUACAUUGUCAUAGUUUGCUCAUCCAUGAACAAGGUGGAGUAAAACUGCAUGAUCGCCUCCUCGCACUGAUCCUUCCUGAAAGUGGUCAGCCCAAGCACACCUCUGCUAUGGUCUCACAUGAUCCCAGUCGAUGGUCUUCCUUUGUACCACCCGGUUCUUCAACCCCAUCACAAUGAUUUCAUGAUAGUCCGAAUGUUUAAUGGAUUGGAAUCUAGCAUCCGUCGCACUCCUCCCCUAAUUAUAAGGCUUGGACAUGCAUCAGAUCCGACGAAGUACAUGGCAACUCUUGUUCUUCAUGUUUGUGGGUUGCCGGUCUACUAUGCCUCGUGCUGGAGUGCAGGGCAUCAGAUCAACUGUCUUCGGUUUGUCGUGAAGACGCUCAUGGACGACGAGCGCCUUUUCACUGUUAGAUGGAUUUGGGACCAGAUAAUAUUUCGUCUUGAUCUGCAUCCUCACAACAGGUGCAGAUGCUGGUUGGUUCUUUGCUUUAACCCUAGCCAUGUUCACUGAAUUUGUAGCAGUACCGACUGGGCGAGGUGCAAGUCUGAGGCAAGUUGAUGUCGCAGCACUUGGUGCAUGAGGUGAAAGGAGCAGCACAUUUGAUGUUGAAGGUGUGGUUGACACACUGUGUAUGCAAAUUGUGGACUGAGGCAAUUGUUUCUUGAGAGACAGUAGGCUUGCCUUCGACGACUGUGGAGGACUACCUUGGAAGGUUUUGAUUGCCUUAGUCUUCCACCUAAAUGUCUUAUUACUGCUACCUAACACUGAUUGUUCCAUGCACUUUCUCCUCUCUGCCUCUUGGUCUGCCUUUCUGUUCUCCGACUCAUGGAUGGACUGUAUUCGUGGACGCUUCAAACUACGUGCUUUGUAUCGAGGUGACGGAUUGGUGUUGAUGGCUUACUUCCCUUUCUACUAUGCCUGUGAAGGUUCAGUGAAAUCAUCAGUGACAAACUACGAAACAAAAUGGACAACUAUAUGCAACUCCAAAGCAGUUGCGCGAUCCAUGUUAUGUUCACCAUCACUCGUACUAAUGUUCACCGAUACAUGACUUGGAUGAACUCCUUCAUUGCCAGAAUCUAGGCGAGGUACGGAUUUCUCCUUGGUGUACAUGAUCGUCUCUGACCCAACAAAUUGGAAAACCACAGGGUUGAAAAAAUCAUCCAUCAUCAAGGUUGUGCUCGUGUUUCCAUCCACUACUUCUAGUGCCGAUUGGUCAUCACUUCUUAGUUCCUCUGUUGCUCUACGAGUGGACUAUUGCAGAGUCGUAUCAGCACAGUUGAUUAGUCUAGUUGUCCCCCUAGUCUGGUUGUGAGCUACAUUCGUUAUGGCCAACUGCAAUGCACAUGAUCUGGCAACUCCCCCGCCGCGCAUACCGUAAACCUUUUCACAAAUCAGACCUUAACACUUAUGAACAAUACGUACAAUGCAACCUUUUAGAUCAAUGCUACUGCAAAAAAAGACCUUCCAACGGCGCCAAAAACAAGCGUGCUGACGGGAGACUAUUCCUGUCUUGAUUCUCCUCAGCAACGGGACCAGGAAUCCUUCUGCUACGGCUACGCCUUUAGGGACUUCCUAGGAAAAUAUGCAAAGGAUUCCCUCGUGGCCUUGGAGCCUUGCGUUGGUGUUCCCUCGAAGCGGAAAGGGUGAUGUAGCACAGCGGAAUUAAGUAUUUCCCUCAGUUUUGAGAACCAAGGUAUCGAUCCAGUGAAGGAGUAUCACAAGUGCCUGCACAAACACAAAGAGCUUGCUCCCAACGCGAUUAAGGGGUUGUCAAUCCCUUAUAGAUUGUUUUCCAAGUGAGAACUGAAAGCAACAAAGUAACAAAGCAAAGUAAAAGCCAAGGUGGAAACGAUAGGUGUGAAUAGACCGGGGGGCCGUAGUGUUCACUAGUGGCUUCUCUCAUGAAAGCAAGUAGACGGUGGGUGAACGAAUUACUGUCGAGCAAUUGAUAGAACCGCGCAAAGUUGUGACGAUAUCUAUGACAAUGAUUAUAUCCAUAGGCAUCACGUCCAAAACAAGUAGACCGAUACUUUCUUCAUCUACUACUAUUACUCCACACAUCGACCACUAUCCAGCAUGCAUUUAGUGUAUUAAGUCCAAAAGAACAGAGUAACGCCUUAAGCAAGAUGACAUGAUGUAGAUGGACAAUCUCAUAUCUACGACAAAGCCCAUCUUGUUACCCUUGAUGGAAACUACAGGAUGUGUGCCUUGCUGCCCCUAUUGUCACUGGGAAAGGUCACCACACGGUUAGAACCCAAAACCAAGCACUUCUCCCAUUGCAAGAAUCGUAGACCUAGUUGGCCAAACAAGACCGAAGACUCGGAGAGACUUACAAGGAUAUGAAAUCAUGCAUAUAAGAAAUCAGCAAAGACUCAAAUAUAUAUCAUAGAUAAUUUGAUCUCAAAUCCACAAUUCAGCGGCUCUCGACAAACAUACCACCAAAGAGGAUUACAUCGGAUAGAUCUCCAUGAAGAUCAUGGAGAACUUUGUAUUGAAGAUCCAAGAGAGAGAAGAAGCCAUCUAGCUACUAACUAUGGACCCGUAGGUCUGAAGUGAACUACUCACAAGUCAUUGGAGGGGCGAUGAUGUUGAUGAAGAAGCCCUCCAACUCCAAAGUCCCCUCCGACAGGGCACCGGGAAGGGUCUCCGGAUGAGAUCUCGCAGAAACGGAAGCUUGCGGUGGCGGAAAAGUGUUUUCAUGGACGCCCUGAUUUUUUCUGGAUUUUUAGGGAAUUUAUAGACCAAAGACCUAGGGCAGGGGAGCGCCAGGGAUUCCACAAGCUUGGUUGUCGCUGCAAGGGCUUGUGGGCUCCCCGUGGGCCCACUUUCUUGGCCCUCAAGCCUCCCGAUCUUCUUUCGUUCUGGAAAAAAUCAUUUUGGGGUUUUAUUCCAUUUGGACUCCGUUCCAAAAUCAGAUCUGAAAAGAGUCAAAAACACAGAAAAAACAGGAACUCGCACUUGGUCCUAAGUUGACAAGAUAACAGCGUGAAACCAUCAAAAGUUAUAGAUACGUUUGAGACGUAUCAAUCAACAACCUAGUCAAACAUAACAAUGUACGGAGUUGGCUGUAAUGGGGCUGUGACAUCCCCGGAUUAGGCUACAGUAAUCCCGGUAAGUGAACUACAGUACACCUAUGCAAAGGAUGCCAUGUCACCGUGUUUCCUAUCAUUGAUCUCGCGAUUGUUUGAAUCAGUUCGAAUUUAAGACUUAAGUUUAAAAUCAAACGAUAAAAGUUAUAGGGUUGAAAUAAAAAUUUCGGGGGAGUUAUACAAAAAUUCCCUAAUGAAUUAUAUAACUGAACCGGGCUUCUUAAGAUUUAUUGCAAUAACCAUAUAAUUAAAACAGAAAGCUAUAUAUAUUUAUAUAUAUAUAAUAGAAUAAAAGAAAGUAUUAAAAAAUAUAAUAAAUGGUAAUAGAAUAAUAAUAAUAAUAAAAGAAAAAUAAUAAAAGAAAAAGGAACAGCAACAAACAAAAAACAAAACAAAAAANNNNNNNNNNNNNNNNNNNNNNNNNNNNNNNNNNNNNNNNNNNNNNNNNNNNNNNNNNNNNNNNNNNNNNNNNNNNNNNNNNNNNNNNNNNNNNNNNNNNUUUUGGGCGGUCCCACCAGCCCACUAAGGGCUAGUGCGCCACCCUCAUGACCAAUGGGCUUCCCCGGGGUGGGUUGCCCCCCCCCCCCGGUGAACUCCCGGAACCCAUUCGUCAUUCCCGGUACAUUCCCGGUAACUCCGAAAACCUUCCGGUAAUCAAAUGAGGUCAUCCUAUAUAUCAAUCUUCCUUUCCUGACCAUUCCGAAAACCCUCAUGACGUCCGUGAUCUCAUCCGGGACUCCGAACAACAUUCGGUAACCAACCAUAUAACUCAAAUACGCAUAAAACAACGUCGAACGUUAAGUGUGCAGACCCUGCGGGUUCGAGAACUAUGUAGACAUGACCCGAGAGACUCCUCGGUCAAUAUCCAAUAGUGGGACCUGGAUGCCUAUAUUGGAUCCUACAUAUUCUACGAAGAACUUAUCGUUUGAACCUCGGUGCCAAGGAUUCAUACAAUCCCGUAUGUCAUUCCCUUUGUCCUUCGGUAUGUUACUUGCCCGAGAUUCGAUCGUCAGUAUCCGCAUACCUAUUUCAAUCUCGUUUACCGGCAAGUCUCUUUACUCGUUCCGUAAUACNNNNNNNNNNNNNNNNNNNNNNNNNNNNNNNNNNNNNNNNNNNNNNNNNNNNNNNNNNNNNNNNNNNNNNNNNNNNNNNNNNNNNNNNNNNNNNNNNNNNGUAAUCAAAUGAGGUCAUCAUAUAUAUAAAUCUUCGUUUCCAGACCAUUUCGGAAACCCUCGUGACGUCCAUGAUCUCAUCCGGGACUCCGAACAACAUUCGGUAACCAACCAUAUAACUCAAAUACGCAUAAAACAACGUCGAACCUUAAGUGUGCAGACCCUGCGGGUUCGAGAACUAUGUAGACAUGACCCGAGUGACUCCUCGGUCAAUAUCCAAUAGCGGGACCUGGAUGCCCAUAUUGGAUCCUACAUAUUCUACGAAGAUCUUAUCGUUUGAACCUUAGUGCCAAGGAUUCACAGAAUCCCGUAUGUCAUUCCCUUUGUCCUUCGGUAUGUUACUUGCCCGAGAUUCGAUCGUCAGUAUCCGCAUACCUAUUUCAAUCUCGUUUACCGGCAAGUCUCUUUACUCGUUCCGUAAUACAAGAUCCCGCAACUUACACUAAGUCACUUUGCUUGCAAGGCUUGUGUGUGAUGUUGUAUUACCGAGUGGGCCCCGAGAUACCUCUCCGUCACACGGAGUGACAAAUCCCAGUCUCGAUCCAUACUAACUCAACUAACACCUUCGGAGAUACCUGUAGAGCAUCUUUAUAGUCACCCAGUUACGUUGCGACGUUUGAUACACACAAAGCAUUCCUCCGGUGUCAGUGAGUUAUAUGAUCUCAUGGUCAUAGGAACAAAUACUUGACACGCAGAAAACAGUAGCAACAAAAUGACACGAUCAACAUGCUACGUCUAUUAGUUUGGGUCUAGUCCAUCACGUGAUUCUCCUAAUGACGUGAUCCAGUUAUCAAGCAACAACACCUUGUUCAUAAUCAGAAGACCCUAACUAUCUUUGAUCAACUGGCUAGUCAACUAGAGGCUUGCUAGGGACAGUGUUUUGUCUAUGUAUCCACACAUGUAUAUAAGUCUUCAUUCGAUACAAUUAUAGCAUGGAUAAUAAACGAUUAUAUUGAUACAGGAAUUAUAAUAAUAACUAUAUUUCUUAUUGCCUCUAGGGCAUAUUCCAACAGUCUCCCACUUGCACUAGAGUCAAUAAUCUAGCCCUCACAUCAUCAUAUGAAUUACAUUGUAAUAAAUCUAACACCCAUACAGUUCUGGUGUUGAUCAUGCUUUGCCCGUGGAAGAGGUUUAGUCAGCGGGUCUGCUACAUUCAGAUCCGUGUGCACUUUGCAUAUAUUUACGUCCUCCCCUUCGACGUAGUCGCGGAUGAGGCUGAAGCGUCGUUUGAUGUGUCUGGACUUCUUGUGAAACUGUGGUUCCUUUGCUAGGGCAAUGGCACCCGUGUUGUCACAGAACAAGGUUAUUGGAUUCAGUGCGCUUGGCACCACUCCAAGAUCCGUCAUGAACUGCUUCAUCCAGACACCCUCCUUAGCCGCCUCCGAGGCAGCCAUGUACUCCGCUUCACAUGUAGAAUCUGCUACGACGCUUUGCUUGGAACUGCACCAGCUUACCGCACACCUAUUAAGAAUAAAUACGUAUCCGGUUUGCGACUUAGAGUCGUCCGGAUCAGUGUCAAAGCUUGCAUCGACGUAACCUUUUACGGCGAGCUCUUCGUCACCUCCAUACACGAGAAACAUCUCCUUAGUCCUUUUCAGGUACUUCAGGAUAUUCUUGACCGCUGUCCAGUGAUCCACUCAUGGAUUACUCUGGAACCUGCCUGCCAUACUUAUGGCCAGGCUAACAUCCGGUCUAGUGCACAGCAUUGCAUACAUGAUAGAACCUAUGGCUGAAGCAUAGGGGACGGUGCUCAUAUGCUCUCUAUCCUCAUCAGUUGCUGGGCACUGAGUCUUACUCAAUCUCGUACCUUGUAAAACUGGCAAGAACCCUUUCUUGGACUGUUCCAUUUUGAGCCUCUUCAAAACUUUAUCAAGGUAUGUGCUUUGUGAAAGUCCUAUCAGGCGUUUUGAUCUAUCCCUAUAGAUCUUAAUGCCUAGAAUGUAAGCAGCUUCUCCUAGGUCCUUCAUAGAGAAACUUUUAUUCAAGUAAUCAUUUAUGCUCUCCAAAAACUCUACGUUGUUUCCAAUCAGCAAUAUGUCAUCCACAUAUAAUAUUAGAAAUGCCACAGAGCUCCCACACACUUUCUUGUAAAUACAAGAUUCUCCAACCACUUGUAUAAACCCAAAUGCUUUGAUCACCUCAUGAAAGCGUUUGUUCCAACUCCGAGAUGCUUGCACCAGUCCAUAAAUGGAUCGCUGGAGCUUGCACACCUUGUUAGCAUUCUUAGGAUCGACAAAACCUUCGGGCUGCAUCAUAUACAACUCUUCCUUAAGGAAACCGUUAAGGAACGCCGUUUUGACAUCCAUCUGCGAGAUUUCAUAAUCGAAAAAUGCAGCUAUUGCUAACAUGAUUCUGACGGACUUAAGCAUCGCUACGGGUGAGAAUGUCUCAUCGUAGUCAACUCCUUGAACUUGUGAAAAACUCUUUGGCACAAGUCGAGCUUUAUAAACGGUCACAUUGCCGUCAGCGUCCGCCUUCCUCUUAAAGAUCCAUUUGUUCUGAAUAGCCUUGCGGCCCUUAGGUAGUACUUCCAAAGUCCACACUUUGUUCUCAUACACGGAUCCUAUCUCGGACUUCAUGGCUUCUAGCCAUUUGUUGGAAUCUGGGCCCACCAUUGCUUCUUCAUAAUUUGCAGGUUCAUUGUUGUCUAACAACAUGAUUGACAAAACGGGAUUACCGUACCACUCUGGAGCAGCACAUGGUCUCGUCGACCUGCGUGGUUCGACGGGAACUUGAACCGGAGUUUCAUGAUCAUCAUCAUUAACUUCCUCCUCAACUGGCGUCGCAACGACACAGGUUUCCCCUUGCCCUGUGCCACCAUCUAGAGGGAUGAGAGGUUCGACAACCUCAUCAAGUUCUAUCUUCCUCCCACUCAAUUCUCUCGAGAGAAACUCCUUCUCGAGAAAAGCUCCGUUUUUAGCAACAAACACUUUGCCCUCGGAUUUGAGAUAGAAGGUGUACCCAACUGUCUCUUUUGGGUAACCUAUGAAGAUGCACUUUUCCGCUUUGGGUUCCAGCUUUUCAGGCUGAAGCUUUUUGACAUAAGCAUCACAUCCCCAAACUAUAAGAAACGACAACUUUGGCCUUUUGCCAUACCACAGUUCGUAUGGUGUCGUCUCAACAGAUUUUGAUGGUGCCCUAUUUAAAGUGAAUGCAGCUGUAUCUAAUGCAUAACCCCAAAACAAUAACGGCAAAUCAGUAAGAGACAUCAUAGAUCACACCAUCUCUAAUAAAGUACGAUUACGACGUUCGGACACACCAUUACGUUGUGGUGUUCCAGGCGGUGUCAACUGUGAAACAAUUCCACAUUGUCUUAAGUGAGUACCAAACUCGAAACUCAGAUAUUCACCCCCACGAUCAGACCGUAGGAACUUGAUCUUCUUGUUACGAUGAUUCUCAACUUCACUCUGAAAUUGCUUGAAGUUUUCAAAUGUUUCAGACUUGUGCUUCAUUAAGUAGACAUAACCAUAUCUACUCAAAUCGUCAGUGAAGGUGAGAAAAUAACGAUAUCCGCCGCGUGCCUCUACGCUCAUCGGACCGCACACAUCGGUAUGUAUGAUUUCCAACAAGUCACUGGCACGCUCCGUUGUUCCGGAGAACGGAGUUUUAGUCAUCUUGCCCAUGAGGCAUGGUUCGCACGUGUCAAGUGAAUCAAAGUCAAGUGACUCCAAAAGUCCAUCGGCAUGGAGUUUCUUCAUGCGCUUUACACCAAUAUGAGCUAAGCGGCAGUGCCACAAAAAUAUGGCGCUAUCAUUGUUAACACUAACUCUUUUGGUCUCAAUGUUAUGUAUGUGUGUAUCACUAUCAAGAUUCCAUAUGACCAAUCCUCUCACAUUGGGUGCAUGACCAUAAAAGAUGUUACUCAUAGAAAUAGAACAACCAUUAUUCUCUGACUUAAAAGAGUAACCGUCUCGCAAUAAACAAGAUCCAGAUAUAAUGUUCAUGCUCAACGCAGGCACUAAAUAACAAUGAUUCAAGUUCAUAACUAAUCCUGAUGGUAACUGAAGUGAAACUGUGCCGACGGCGAUUGCAUCAACCUUGGAACCAUUUCCUACGCGCAUCGUCACUUCAUCUUUCGCCAGCCUUCAUCUAUUCCGCAGUUCCUGUUUCGAGUUGCAAAUAUGAGCAACAGAACCGGUAUCGAAUACCCAGGCACUACUACGAGAGCCGGUUAAGUAUAUAUCAAUAACAUGUAUAUCAAAUAUACCUGAUUUUUCUUUGGCCGCCUUCUUAUCAGCCAGAUACUUGGGGCAGUUGCGCUUCCAGUGACCCAUACCCUUGCAAUAGUAACACUCUGUUUCAGGCUUAGGUCCAGCUUUGGGUUUCUUCGUUGGAUUGGCAACAGACUUGCCACUCUUCUUUGGAUUACCCUUCUUGCCUUUGCCGUUUCUCUUGAAACUAGUGGUCUUAUUCACCAUCAACACUUGAUGCUCUUUAUGGAGUUCAGACUCUGUGACUUUCAGCAUCGCAAACAACUCGCCGGGUGACUUGUUCAUCCCUUGCAUGUUGUAGUUCAACACAAAGCCUUUAUAGCUUGGCGGCAGUGAUUGAAGGAUUCUGUCAGUGAUAGCCUCUUGCGGGAGUUCAAUCCCCAACUCAGCUAGACGGUUUGAGUACCAAGACAUUUUGAGCACAUGUUCACUGACAGACAAAUUCUCCUCCAUCUUGCAAGCAUAGAAUUUAUCGGAGGUCUCAUACCUCUCGAUCCGGGCGUUCUUAUGAAAGAUGAACUUCAACUCCUGGAACAUCUCAAAUGCUCCAUGACGCUCAAAGCGAUGUUGAAGUCCCGGUUCUAAGCCAUAGAAGACUGCACAUUGAACUACUGAGUAGUCCUCCUUACGUGUUAACCAAGGGUUCUUAACAUCCUGGUCAGCCGUAGCGGGUGGUUCAUCUCCUAGCGCAGCAUUAAGGACAUAAUCCUUCUUCCCAGCUUGUAAGAUUAGCUUAAGAUUACGAGCCCAGUCUACAAAGUUGCUUCCAUCAUCUUUCAACUUAGCUUUCUCUAGGAACGUAUUAAAAUUCAGGGUGACUGUUGCGUGAGCCAUGAUCUACAACACAAAUAUAUUCAAAGUGGACUUAGACUAUGUUCAAGAUAAUUAGAGUUUAACUUAAUCAAAUUGUUCACUAAACUCCCACUCAAAAAGUACAUCUCUCUAGUCAUUUGAGUGGUUCAUGAUCCACUUACACUAGCUCAAGUCCGAUCAUCACGUGAGUUGAGUAUAGUUUCAGUGGUAAGCAUCCCUAUGCUAAUCAUAUCAUCUAUAUGAUUCAUGAUCGACCUUUCGGUCUCAUGUGUUCCGAGGCCAUGUCUGCACAUGCUAGGCUCGUCAAUUUUAACCGAGUGUUCCGCGUGCGCAACUGUUUUGCACCCGUUGUAUGUGAACGUUGAGUCUAUCACACCCGAUCAUCAUGUGGUGUCUCGAAACGACGAACUGUAGCAACGGUGCACAGUCGGGGAGAACACAAUUUCGUCUUGAAAUUUUAGUGAGAGAUCACCUCAUAAUGCUACCGUCGUUCUAAGCAAAAUAAGGUGCAUAAAAGGAUUAACAUCACAUGCAAUUCAUAAGUGACAUGAUAUGGCCAUCAUCACGUGCUCCUUGAUCUCCAUCACCAAAGCACCGGCACGAUCUUCUUGUCACCGGCGCCACACCAUGAUCUCCAUCAACGUGUCGCCAUCGGGGUUGUCGUGCUACUCAUGCUAUUACUACUAAAGCUACUUCCUAGCAAAAUAGUAAACGCAUCUGCAAGCACAAACGUUAGUAUAAAGACAACCCUAUGGCUCCUGCCGGUUGCCAUACCAUCGACGUGCAAGUCGAUAUUAUCUAUUACAAUAUGAUCAUCUCAUACAUCCAAUAUAUCACAUCACAUCAUUGGCCAUAUCACAUCAUAAGCAUACCCUGCAAAAACAAGUUAGACGUCCUCUAAUUUUGUUGUUGCAUGUUUUACGUGGUGACCAUGGGUAUCUAGUAGGAUCGCAUCUUACUUACGCAAACACCACAACGGAGAUAUAUGAAUUGCUAUUUAACCUCAUCCAAGGACCUCCUCAGUCAAAUCCGAUUCAACUAAAGUUGGAGAAACUGACACUUGCCAGUCAUCUUUGAGCAACGGGGUUACUCGUAGCGAUGAAACCAGUCUCUCGUAAGCGUACGAGUAAUGUCGGUCCAAGCCGCUUCAAUCCAACAAUACCGCGGAAUCAAGAAAAGACUAAGGAGGGCAGCAAAACGCACAUCACCACCCAAAAAACUUUUUUGUUCUACUCGGGAAGACAUCUACGCAUGAACCUAGCUCCUAAUGCCACUGUUGGAAAACGUCGCAUGGGAAACAAAAAUUUUCCUACGCGCACGAAGACUUAUCAUGGUGGUGUCCAUCUACGAGAGGGGAUUUCCGAUCUAUGUACCCUUGUAGAUCGCACAGCAGAAGCGUUAAGAAACGCGGUUGAUGUAGUGGAACGUCCUCACGUCCCUCGAUCCGCCCCGCGAACCGUCCCGCGAUCAGUCCCACGAUCUAGURCCGAACGGACGGCACCUCCGCGUUCAGCACACGUACAGCUCGACGAUGAUCUCGGCCUUCUUGAUCCAGCAAGAGAGACGGAGAGGUAGAAGAGUUCUCCGGCAGCGUGACGGCGCUCCGGAGGUUGGUGAUGACCUUGUCUCAGCAGGGCUCCGCCCGAGCUCCGCAGAAACGUGAUCUAGAGGUAAAAACCGUGGAGGUAUGUGGUCGGGCUGCCGGGGAAAAGUCGUCUCAAAUCAGCCCUAAAACCUCCGUAUAUAUAGGUGGGAGRCAGGGGAGCCUUGCCUUGGGGCUCAAGGAGCCCCAAGGGGGUCGGCCGRGUCCAAGGGGGGGAAGGCUCCCCCCCCCCGAAMCCGAGUUGGACUUGGUUUGGUGGGUGGGAGUCCUUCCUUCCCUUCCCACCUCCCUUUUUUCUCUUUGAUUUUUCUUUCUAUUGCGCAUAGGGCCCUUUUGGGCGGUCCCACCAGCCCACUAAGGGCUAGUGCGCCACCCUCAUGACCAAUGGGCUUCCCCGGGGNNNNNNNNNNNNNNNNNNNNNNNNNNNNNNNNNNNNNNNNNNNNNNNNNNNNNNNNNNNNNNNNNNNNNNNNNNNNNNNNNNNNNNNNNNNNNNNNNNNNUCCGAGACGUCGGAUCGUGAUCGUUACCGACUCGGACUCUUCCACCCAGCCGUCUUUAUAAGCACGCGAUCGCCUACCCUAGCCGUCACGAAAUCAGAUCACAUCUGCCUCACGCGUUCGUUCCUUGAACUGCUGCUGCCGCCGGCGACUCCGUCCCGUUUACCGCGUACACGGUCGACGGGAGAGCAGGCCUCCGAAACCUCGCCUCUCCGGUUCCUGUACGGGAGAGGGGCGAUUAGGUUUUUGGGGAGCGAUCACGCGACUGCUCGCCUCCGUCCGUCUGCUUCGUCUACGUCCGCGUCGCCCUCGUCAUCGCCAUGUCUUCACCAAGCGAAGCUGAUCGUCUCCGCGAGGAAGCCGAAAAGAAGACGGCAGAGGAUACUGCCGCCGCCGCCGCUGCUGCUGCUACGGCCAACUGGCCGAUUGGAGGGUAUGACUCGUUUAUCCUCUUGUUCGUAUUUAUUCUAGCAGUACUACUUGUUUGCAUAGAUGUAUCCACUAUAUGCGUAGUAUGUGCUAGGUUAGCUCAACAUCAGUAUGUCAUUAGUCUAGUCAAUGCCAUGCUAGUUAUUAUUUUGUGGAUUAAUCUACUCGGAAAAUUGCCUAUUUACUCAACACUUCAUUCACGCAUUUCCGUUGGACGUGUGACUUGCACGUCUGCAUAAUUUCCAAUUAGACGGCGUCGAUGGUCGUCGGUCACGUCGUCACCGUGACACCGCCCUAAAGAGCCGGAUAAAACAACGCUAUGCGAGUUUUUAUGUCACACCUUGUAGUUAGGCAUUGUUGAUCCUUGAAACACCUUUUUCUAAGCGUUGUUGAGUCUCAACACACAUGUUCUCCACGCAUUGAUAAAAACGUAACCGGAUCAUCUGGUUUUCUAUCUGUGGCUUCAUUAUCUCGAUUACCCGUCGUACAUACUGACGCUUUUUAAUUGCGAGAGCAUUUGACAUAUUUAACAUGCGUUAGAUCAUCUGAUAUUGUGUAGGGGUAUCAUUACUCACAGAGUAGUCAAAUGAAUCGGUGUCUUUCGUCUGUUUAAAUAUUGUUGCAUUUCACUAGUGGAAAACACACCUUUCGUAUGGAGCUUUAGUCCCGGUCUGGUUUGGGCCCGGGACUAAUGUGAGCAUUAGUCCCGGUUCCAAUGGCUAGGAACGGACGGGGGGCACAACCACCUUUAGUCCCCAUGGAAAUGGGACCUUUAGUUCCGGUUGGUGAUAUCAACCCCGAACUAAAGGGGUUGCGGCAGGCUGGGGCCACUGCGAGCCCCUUUAAUCCUGGUUGGUAUCAUCAACCUAGACUGAAUAUAGACCUUUAGUCCUGGUUGGUGAUACCAACCGAGACUAGAGUCUUCCCUAUGUAAAGCUCUGCUUCUUCCAGCCUGAAUCCAAGCUUUCUUUCCUCUUUGUUUCAUUCCUUCCCCAAGCUCGAGUUCAUCCUCCAUUUUCUCGAGAUUUGUCAAGAUUGACGGCUCCCCAUCUAUCCAAGUGUUCUAAAAGGUUAGCAACUUCAUCCUUUCAUCUAUCAUUGCUAUUUUAGCUUGUUUCAUACUCUAUAAGUAUAGUGAUUUGCUGGUUUUAGUUUCAUGUUGCUCGUAUCGUUCUGCUGAUCAACUUUCAUGUUGAAAAUAUUUUGAUCUGACUUACGGUUUAUUUAUUAUCAAUUAUUUUAAAGUUUUAUUCAAUAUUUAGGAAUUAACAGAUUUAAUUAUAUUAGAUAAUUAAAUAUGACAUCACGCUGAUGUCAGCACGACAACAGCAGUCAACAGGGGUUGACUGGUCAGAUAUGGCCAGCGGGACCCAUCUGUCAUAGACAUAGGGUUAACAAAUGUUUAUUAUUAACUAAAAUAGGUUAUUUUAGCAGGGAAGGCCCACAUGUCAUACCCAACAUAAAUAAUUUAACUCAUAGAUUUGAUUUAAUUAAAUUAGGUUUAGUUAACCAAAUCAGUUAUCCAAUUUAAUUAUUCUAUUUAAUUAAGCACGUUAAGCACACAUUUGAUUAGACUAACUAAUUAACUUACUAAUUAGUCACUUUAAAAUAAUUUAAUAAAUAAUUUCAUUAAUUAAUUAAAUUAUAAUUCACAUAUUGUUUUAUUAAUUUAUAUUGUUGUCCUAACAUAUUUUUGGAUGGGGGGGGUCCCCACUUGUCAUUGUGUGAGUGAGAGGGGGAUUAGCCCCUAGCUUAAUCAAGGCCGGCCCUAGCCGUGGUUGUGCCCGCGAGCGCCAUGGGAGGCCACAGCAAGAAGGUCCCGCCCGUAUGCAGGAGCCCGGGAAGGCGCCCACAAGGACGAAGCGGGACUGCGGCGGGAGGCAACAGUGAGUCGGGCAUGGGAGCAGAUUCAGCUGGGCGUGCGCGACAAAAGGGGGGCAAUGCACGGUGCGGCUAGCGGGGCACAGGGCAUCGGAGGAGCUCGCCGGAGUGGCGAGGCACUGCAGUGCCAAGUUGGCCGAGCCGAAGGGGGAGAGGAGGAGUGACAGGAGGAGCCCAAGGAUCACCAGCAUUGUAGUGGUAGCAGAGGCGCGAGGAGGCGCGAGGUGGUGGUCCAGUGAUGGCCGGCGCGAGUGGGGCGAGGGAGAGGCGCCAGGGGAGAGGAUCUGGUGCGGGGUGGCCCAGGGCAGGGCGCCGCAGCGUCGUCGGCGUGGCCUUGGUGGGUGGAGGCGGCGAGGUCGGUCGGUGGCGAUGGGAGGACCCGGCCGGCAUGGGGCUGAAGGAGGCUGUAGGAGGAUGGGGUCGCCGAAGGGCCGGUCAUGCCCGGAGGGCGACAUACCCGACGUGGGGCUGGCCCUAGCGCGGCAGGGAGCGGGGCAGGGCCAGAGCUAGGAUGUGAUAACCUACAAGUAUAGGGGAUCACAACAGUUUUCCAGGGUAGAGUAUUCAACCCAAAUUUCUUGAUUUGACACAAGGGGAAGCCAAAGAAUAUUCUCAAGUAUUAGCAGUUGAGUUGUCAAUUCAUCCACACCUGAAAGAUUUAGUAUCUGCAGCAGAGUAUCAGUAGCAGAGUAGUGUGAUAGCAAGAGUAGCAACAGUAACCAAUAGCAAUAGUGACAGCAGUAGUGACAGAGUACCAGUAGCAGCAGCAGCAAAGUAACGGAGCAAGGAUCAGUAGGAAAAGACUCGUAGGCAUUGGAUCGGUGAUGGAUGAUUAUGCCGUAUGAUAUUCAUCAUGCAGCUGUUAUAACACGGAGAGAUAUGUAACUAGCACCAGUUCGUCAAUGUAAUGUAGGCAUGCAUUCCGUAUAUAGUCAUACGUGCUUAGGGAAAAGAACUUGCAUGACAUCUAUUGUCCAUCCCUCCCGUGGCAGCGGGGUCCUAAUGGAAAAUACGAGAUAUUAAGGUUCUCCUUUUAAUAGAGAACCGGAAGAAAGCAUUAGCACUUAGUGAAUACAUGAACUCUUCAUACUAUGGUCAUCUCCGGGAGUGGUUCCGCCUAUUGUCACUUUGGGGUGAUCGGGUCAUAACAUAUUGUAGGUGACUACAACUUGCAAGAUAGGAUCAAGAACACACAUAUAUUGACGAGAACAUAAUAGGUUCAGAUCUGAAGUCAUGGCACUCGGGCCCUAGUGACAAGCAUUAAGCAUAGCAAAUUAGUAGCAACAUCAAUCUCAGAACAUAGUGGAUACUAGGGAUCAAUCCCCAUCAAAACUAACUCGAUUACAUGAUAGAUCUUAUCCAACCCAUCACCGUUCAGCAAGCCUACAAUGAGAUUACUCACGAACGAUGAAGAGCAUCAUGGAAUUGGCGAUGAAGGAAGGUUGGUGAUGAUGAUGGCGACGAUCUCCCCUCUCCGGAGCCCAGAACGGACUCCAGGUCUGCCCUCCAGAGGAAGAACAGGAGGUGGCGGCGCCUCCGUAUCGUCAAACGCAAUGAAUUAUUCUCCUUUAUUUUUUUCCGGACGAAAGGGACUAAAUAAAUCUGGAGUUGGAGGCGGUGGAGCUCCGUGGGCCCCACAAGCCUGCCAGGCGAGGCCAGGGGGCCCGCGCCUGGUGGGCUUGUGGGCUCCACGCUCCACCUCUUCGGUUGAUUCUUGCGCCAGUAUUUUUUAUAUAUUCCACAAAAAAUCCUCGUAAAUUUCUAGGUCAUUCCGAGAACUUUUAUUUCUGCGCAAAAACAACACCAUGGCAAUUCUGUUGAAAACAUUGUUAGUCCGGGUUAGUUCCAUUCAAAUCGUGCAAAUUAGAGUCCAAAACAAGGGCAAAAGAGUUUGGCAAAGUAGAUACGACGGAGACGUAUCGGAGUGGUAGCGAAGAGCGGAGCCGAGGGAAGAUGGGGGUCUGGCGCGUGAGGCUCGCGUUGGGAACGACGAGGGGAGGGAGAGUGGCGGCGCUAGUGGGGGAAGUGGGGAGGGCUGUGGGUGGUUAGGGUUAGGAGGGGGGGGUUAAAUACCCCCCGGUUAGGUGGGUUGGCUGGGCCGGUUGGCCCAGUUUGGCCGGGGAGGCAUUCCCCCUUUUUUUUAUUUCUCUUUUAYUUUUUUUCUAUUUGUUUUAGUUUUAUUUACUUUACUUUUUUGUUUUUUUAAACAAGAGUAUUUUAGUCUUAUAAAACAUGGAACUUGCGUCAUUUACUAUAAUGCAUUAUUAGGAACUAUCACAAAAAGGUUUGUGAUUUAAUUGAUGCGGUUUGGAAUUGAUAUAGUUUAUAAGCACAUUAGAAUAUUGUUUAGACCUCUGUUUUAAUUAUUUUGAGGCACUUAGACACUCAAAAAAAUGUUGGCUUCAGUUUUAUAAUUACUAGGAGAACAUUUCUAACCUAAACAUGAUUUUUAUUUUAUAGUUUGAAGAAAUAAUUUAUUUGACUUAAAUUUUAAUUUUAAUUUAGUUUUGGCUUUCCAAUUGGAAAUUUGGCUUAGUUAAUCUUGAUGACACGGCACCAUUAGCGUGUAAUUACUGUAGCCUAACUACAUUAACUACUGUAGCUUAAUCCGAGGAUGUCAGAACUCUCCCCUACUAACAAGAAUUCUCGUCUCGAGAAUUAAGAGGUAGAAGGAAUGAGCUCGGGGUAUUCAUCAUGAAGAUGAUCCCCGCGUUCCCAAGUGGCUUCAUCUUUAGAAUGAUUUGACUACUGCACUUUAAGGAACUUGGUGACUUUGCGACGAGUCUGACGUUCAACCUGGUCGAGAAUGCGAACCAGAUGCUCUUUAAACGAGAGGUCUUGUUGCAGCUCAAGCAUAUCAUGAUCCACUGCUCGAAUAGGAUCCUCGAAGCAGCGGUGGAGCUGAGACACAUGGAAUACAUCGUGUACCUGAGAAAGGUUUGCUAGCAGUUCCAGUUGAUAAGCUACUUUUCCAUGCCUUUCGAGAACAAUGAAAGGAUCAAUAUAGCGAGGAGCUAACUUGCCCUUGAUCCCAAAAUGGUGUGCACCUCUCAUUGGUGUGACACGAAGAUAAGCCUUUUCGAUAGGUUGAUAGACGGUAUCUUGAUGACGACAGUCAUACUGACUCUUCUGACGAGACUGAGCAGCCUUCAGAUUCUCAUGAAUAAUGCGGACUUGAUCUUUGGCAUGUUGAAUAAUAUCUGGACCGAAGUGUGAUCGGUUCAAUGAACGGUGGCUUUGGAAUUUCAUACGAAGCCAAGUGUACGGGAUACCUUGGAGUCAAAGAUGUACAAGAGAGUCAGGUUUCAAUCCUGUGGAACUUUGCGUUAUGGGUCCACCAUGUGAACCGAGAGUAGGCAGAGCGGUGGCAUCUUAUACGGCCUUGGUAGCAAUACAUGUCAGAGGAUAACCUGUCAGUUAUGUUGGCAACAACGUCGGUACCAAGGGCGGGGAACGACUAGAACCAUUUUCCUGCUCGUUGCAACGAGGCGGACCAAUAUGCAAGGCUCUCGUCCACUGGCGGCUACCGGAAUGUUAUCCAUUAUAGUAACAGGGUCUUAUUGACAGAGUUGUAUACCGAGAUUUUUUUACCUAAGCAGGGAAUUAACACUUCUUUGAUAAGUAAUGCCACAAGAAAGGUCAAACAGACCAAUGGGAAAGAAAAUGUGUUACCACACAUGUAUUAAAGUAUACCAUUCCCGAGGAAAAAUAGGGUAUGGUAUACAUGAUUAGUCAUCAAGUACGUAACCUUUUAGAUAAAGAUGCAAGAAAAAUCAUGAUGUUCACCCGUACCAUACGGUUUGGAUAAUUGAUCAAGAACAAUUUAGCAUUACGUUUCCAAUGUUCUUGUUGAGAUUUGAAGUACCGCAUCCGUGCUUCGGGGUAAUAUCGACAUGGUCAUCAGCUAAAGGCCGGACCAAUGGGUACACAAAGAGGAUCCAUGAUGAACAACUUAUGAAAUAAGUCAUAUAGUUUCUGCAUGGUAGAAUGGCUAACCUUAUGUAUGAAGAAUUUAUAACAAUAGGUCCUUCGGCCCGGUGUGUUGGAAAGAGAGCACCGUACCGGUUUACCUAAGGACCAAAGUUAUAAUUAUUGGGAAAUGUUCCAACCAUCAUAUAUGUCCGAGAUUCAGAUCUAAUUGGUGUCGGGACACCUCAGACUCAAGAUGCCUAAGAAGAAAGAUGAAGAUGCAAGAUUCUCAUGAUAUGAGCUACACAAGCAAUUCUUGAAUCAUGAGUUCGACUGUAAGACAUAUGAACACAAUGUCAAGACAUUCAUGCCCACAUAGAAUUCCUACGUCAAAAUGCCAUUGAGUUGUCAUUUGGAAAACAUCAUCGAGGAUAACAAGGUUCCAUGUGUAAGCCUGGAUUGGAUCUUAUGAAAGAACUUCUUUUCCUUGAUCAAAUCAGUCAAUAGCUUGGCAUGCUAAGAGAAGUUAUAUGAAGUGAAGAUAACAAAUCUUCAAAACAUAUAACACUUCGCACAUGCGUGAAUGAUUUGGUAUUUCCCGAGAAGAAGCGAAACAAAACUUUCACAUAUUCACGGCGGCAAGAGUUCAUGUGAACUUUGGGAAAUACACUUCUUCUAUCCAACAUAUUCUUCAUGAGCUGGGCACAAGGAUAAUGCUUUCAAGAGCUUCAUCAUGGAACAUGGAGAAGUUGAGGGUGUGGCUGAUGGGCUCAGCAACAAUCCCUCAAGAUUUUGACAGGGAUGAAUUUCCAAAAUUAUAACAUCAAGGAGAUAACAUUUGUCAAGUCAAAUGGUAUAAUGUUGUAUGCUUGAGGGAACAACAACAAUUAAACAUUGGUCGAAGGGUGCACUCGGAAAUACGGGCAGAGUAGCACAACCAAUGUCCAAAAUGAUGAGUCAACACCCAACACAUUAAGAAUGAAACAAUCAGUUGUUAACCUCAAGGCAAUAGGGUUGCCAGAAGUAUUGGGAUCACACAUCAGAGUUCAUUUGUUGGUAUUCCGGUUUGAAAUAACACUGGACCAAGAAAUGAAUGGUGAUGACGAGAAGUAUUACUAUAUCAAGAAUUCUUAAGAGGGACAAUGAUCCUCACAACAUUCUUGACAUAAAGAUGGUAAUACUCCAAGGUAGAAGAUAACAUAAUUUGCAUAGCAAGGAACUUAAGGGACAACACAAAACAUGAACAAGUUUGUGUUGGAGGGAAGUCAAUAAGGUUGACGAUGAUUUCACAAAUCAUCGAGGGGCAAGGAUGGUAUUCCUCAACAUGUAUUCGAUUGAUACCCUGCAAGAGAUCGGGAUGCUGAUGAUGAUCACGACACCUUUGUCGAGAAGCUUCACAAAGAUGUCAUCGUUCAGCGACGACAUCAAGGAAGGGAAUGAUGAAGCAAGGGGUUGCCGAAAUCACAAAUAAGUCUACUAGCUCCGAAUUAAAAUUGCUUUUCAAAACAACCAACAUGGUAUUGAAAACCCGAUGUAAGCUUAUCGCAUAGUCGGAAAUGUGCUCGAGGGAUGGAGGACAUAGAUAGCAUGGUCAAGCUUUCACAUGACGAUGAUGUUGUAGCUUAAUGCUACGGCAACAAAAGUCCUUCCUUGGCGCUAGGAAUUCUUCUUGUUACUUCUCUGGUUUGCGUCGGUUUUUCCCUUGAAGAGGAAAGGGUGAUGCAACACAGGAGCAGUAAGUAUUUACCUCAGUUUGAGAACCAAGGUAUCGAUCCAGAAGGAGGGCCUCGUCAAGUCCAGAGUACCUGCGCAUACACAAACAAGCUUGCACCCAACGCUUCAAAGGGGUUGUCAAUCCCUUCAAUAUUGUUUGCAAAGUGAGAUCUGAAGGCGGAAAGUGCAACGAAAUAAAAAGUGUAAGGCUGAAAAUGUGAUGUGCAGUAGACCCUGGGGGCCAUAGUGUUCACUAGAGGCUUCUCUCAUAAUAGCAAAUAUCACGGUGGCUGAACAAAUUACUGUUGAGCAAUUGAUAGAACCGUGCAAAGUCAUGAUGAUAUCUAAGGCAAUGAUCAUGCAUAUAGGCAUCACGUCCGAGACAAGUAGACCGUUACUUUCUGCAUCUACUACUAUUAGUCCACACAUCGACCGCUAUCCAGCAUGCAUCUAGUGUAUUGAGUUCAUGACGAACAUAGUAACGCUUUAAGCAAGAUGACAUGAUGUAGAGGGAUAAUCUCAAACCAAUGAUGAAAACCCCAUCUUUUUACCCUUGAUGGCAACAACACGAUGCGUGCCUCGCUACCGCUUCUGUCACUGGGUGAGGUCACCGCACGGUAUGAACCCAAAACCAAGCACUUCUCCUAUUGCAAGAAUCAUAGAUCUAGUUGGCCAGACCAAACCCACAAGUCGAAGAGAAUUACAAGAAUAUUAAAUCAUGCAUAAGAGAGAUCAGAAGAAACUCAAAUAAGAUUCAUAGAUAAUCUGAUCAUAAAUCCACAAUUCAUCGGAUCUCGACAAACACACCGCAAAAGAAGAUUACAUCGGAUAGAUCUCCAUGAAGAUCAUGGAGAACUUUGUAUUGAAGAUCCAAGAGAGAGAAGAAGCCAUCUAGCUACUAGCUAUGGACCCGUAGGUCUAUGGUGAACUACUCACGCAUCAUCGGAGAGGUCAUGGUGUUGAUGAAGAAGCCCUCCAUAUCCGAAUCCCCCCUCCGGCAGGGCACCAGGAUGUGCCCCAGAUGGGAUCUUGCGGAGACAGAAGCUUGCGGCGGCGAAAAAGCGAUUGCGAUGAUCUCUUGAUUUUUUUUGGGAAUAUUUGGGAAUAUAUAGACGCAAGACCUAGGUCAGGGGACCUCCAGGGGGCCCACAAGCUUGGAUGGCGCGCCCCCUGGCCACGGGGUGGGGUCUUGUGGGGCCCCUGGAGCUCCUGGAGCUCCUGGUUUGGCUCCCAAGUUCUCCGAUCUUCUUCCGUUCCAGAAAAAAUCUUUUUGGGGAUUUUCUUCCGUUUGGACUCCGUUUCAAAAUCUCCUCCGAAAGGGGUCAAAAACAUGGAAAAAACAGGAACUGGCACUUGGCACUGAGUUAAUAAGUUAGUCCCAGAAAAUAAAUAAAAAGCAUGCAAAACAUCCAAAGUUUGACAAGAUAAUAGCAUGAAACCAUCAAAAAUUAUAGAUAUGUUGGAGACGUAUCAAGCAUCCCCAAGCUUAACUCAUGCUCGUCCUCGAGUAGGCAAGUAAUAAAGAAUGAAUUUUUGAUGUGGAAUGCUACCUAGCAUAUUUGUCCUUUGCAACUUCUUUCACGUGGCAUGAAUGUUCAGAUCCGUAAGAUUCAAAACAAUAGUUUGCUAUUGACAUGAAAACAAUAAUACUUCAAGCAAACUAGCAAAGUAAUCAUGAACUUUCAAAAUAACAAGGCCAAAGAAUGUUAUCCCUACAAAAUCAUAUAGUCUGGCUAUGCUCCAUCAUCCUCACACAACUAAUGUAAAUCAAGCACAACCCCGAAAUUGGCCAAGUAAUUGUUUUCACACUCUUACUUUCUCAAACUUUUUAUAACUAUCACGCAAUACAUGAGCGCGAGCCGUGGAUAUAGCACUAUAGGUGGAAUAGAGUGUGGUGGUGGUUGUGAGACAAAAAGGAGGAGAUGGUCACAUUGACUCGGCAUAUCAAUUGGCUAUGGAGAUGCCCAUUAAUAGAUAUAAAUAUGAAUGAGUAGGGAUUGCCACACAAGAGAUGCACUAGAGCUAUUAGUAUGUGAAAGCUCAAGAGGAGAACUAGUGGGUGUGCAUCCAACUUGCUUGCUCACAAAGACCUAGGGAAAUUUUGAGGAAGCCCAUCAUUGAAAUAUACAAGACAAGUUAUAUAACGAAGAUUCCCACUAGCAUAUGGUAGUGACAAAGCAAGAAGCUCUCAAUCAUGAAGAACAUGGUGCUAUCAUGAAGCACAAGUUUGGAAAAAGAUAGUAGCAUUGUCCCUUCUCUCUUUUUCUCUUUUUUUAUUUUGGAUCUUAGGCCUCUUUUUUAUUUUAUUUUAUUUUCUCUUUUUUUGGGCUCUUUGGCCUCUUUUCUUUUUAAUUUCCUCACAUGGGACAAUGUUGUAAUAAUGAUGAUCAUCACACUUUUAUUUACUCACAGCUCAAAGAUCACAAUGAUGACGACUCCAUAGGAAAUGCCUCCGGCAGUGUACCGGGAUGUGCAACGAUCUACCAUGGCGUAUGACGUUGAAACAUCUCGCUAGCUAUCUUACGAUCAUGCAAUGGCAAUAUGAGAGUGACGCCACAAGUCAUGAGACGGACGGUGGGAGUUGCAUGGCAAUAUAUCUCAGAAUGGCUAUGAAAAUGCCAUAGUAGGUAGGUAUGGUGGCUGUUUUGAGGUAGGAAUUUGGUGGGUUUGUGCACCGGCGAGAAUUGCGCGGCACUAGAGAGGCUAGCAAUGGUGGAAGGUGAAAGUGCAUCUAUACCAUGCCCUAACAUUACUCAUGAAGAACUCACAUACUUAUUGCGAAAGUUUUUAUUAGUAAUCGAAACAAAGUGCUAAACACAUACUCCGAGGGGAAGGGUUGGUAGGUGUAAACCAUCGCACGAUCCCGACCUCAACACAAAGGAUGACAAUCAAUAGAUCAAUUAUGCUCCGACUUCCUAACAUAGUGGUUCACCAUACGUGCAUGCUACGGGAAUCACUAACUUCAACACAAGUAUUUCGAGAUUCACAACACCCUACUAACAUAACUCUCAAUAUUACUGAAUCCAUGUCUCAAAACUAAUUGAGAGGAAUAAAAACUUCUCUUACUACUCAAUGCACAUGAAGAUGGAGGUUUUUGCAUCCUCUUUGGGUACCUAGCACAUUUGGGACUACUUUCAUAGCAUAAGCCAACUACCAAAUCAUGCACCGCCGUGCUCUAAAGAUAUAAGUGAAGCACAAGAGCAAAAUUAUCUAGCUCAAAAUAUAUAAGUGAAGCACUAGAGCAAAAGUAUCUAGCUCAAAAGAUAUAAGUGAAGCACUAGAGCAAAAUUAUCUAGCUCAAAAGAUAUAAGUGAAGCACUAUGAGCAUUCUACCAAAAUCACGAUGAGUGCAUGUCUCUCUCUCUCAAAAAGGUGUGCAGCAAGGAUGAUUGUGACACAAAAAAAAGAAAAGACUCCUAAGAUAAAAGAGACUCCAAGCAAAACACAUAUCAUGUGGUGAAUAAAAAUAUAGCUCCAAGUAAUGUUACCGAUGGAUUGAAGACGAAAGAGGGGAUCCCUUCCCGGGGCAUCCCCAAGCUUAGGCUUUUUGGUGUCCUUGAAUUUGGCUUGGGAUUCCUUGGGCAUCCACAAGCUUGAGCUCUUUCCACUCCUUAUAUCUUUGUCCAUGAGAACAUCACCCAAAACUUGAAAUCUUCACAACACAAAACUUAAAUAGAAACUUGUGAUAACAUUAGUACAAGAAAACAAACUACCACUUCUUUUGGUACUGUAGAAAACUUGAAUUCCAUCCAUAUUGAUGAUGGGCUACUGUAUUCUGACUUUUACAUGGCUAGUACCCCCAUAUACUAACCAUAGUUUCAUCAAAACAAGCAACCAACUCAACAACAACAGAAUUUGUCAAAAACAGACUAGUCUGUAGCAAUCUGUAUACUUCGUAUACUUCUGGUACCUCACAAAAUCUGAAAAAUUUCGACGGCCUGGGGAGAAAGCAUAUAAAUCAGCAUAAAAAAGAAUCAACUCAAAAUCUAUUUGUGAACAAAAAUGAAAAAUCAUCUCGUGAGCGAAAAGUUUCUGUCUUUUUCCAGGAGGAUCAAACAACCAUUACCGAGACUAGUCAUAAAGGUUUUGCUUGGCUCAAACACAAAAAGAAACAUAUAAAACACAAUCACAACAGAAUUAUGAAAGUGUGGACGCAUAAAACAGAAAGAAAAAGGUUCAUUGGGUUGCCUCCCAACAAGCGCUAUUGUUUAAUGCCCUUAGCUAGGCAUAGGAGCGAUAGAAUCACAUAUCGUCGUCUUUGGUGCUCAUACCAUAAGUGUCCCUCAUCAUGGAUUCAUAAGGCAAUCUUAUUUUAUUUCUAGGAAAGUAGUCCAUGCCCUUCCUUAAAGGAAAUUGAAAUCUAAUAUUUCCUUCCUUCAUAUCGAUUAUAGCACCAAUAGUCCUUAGGAAAGGUCUACCAAGAAUAAUAGGGCAUGUAGGAUUGCAAUCAACGUCAAGCACAAUGAAAUCCACGGGUACAUAGUUCCUAUUUGCAAUAAUAAGAACAUCAUUGAUCCUUCUCAUGGGUUUCUUGAUAGUCGAAUUAGCAACAUGCAAAUUAAGAGAACACUCUUCAAUCACAUUGAAACCCAGAACAUCACAUAAAGACUUUGGAAUCGCAGAAACACUAGCACCCAAAUCACAUAAAGCAUUGCACUCAUCGUUUUUUAUUUUGAUAUUGAUGGUAGGUUCCCACUCAUCAUGAAGCUUUCUAGGAAUAGAGACCUCCAAUUCAAGUUUCUCUUCAAGAGCUUUUAUCAUAGCUUCGACGAUAUGAUCGGUAAAGGCUUUUUUUGGCUAUAAGCGUGUGGAGAGUUCAACAUGGAUUGCAUAAAAGAAAUGCAUUCAAUAAAUGAGAAACUAUCAUAAUUGAAUUUCUUGAAAUCCAUGGUAGUGAUUUCAUUACUACUCAAAGUUUUAACGUCUUCUACUCCACUUUUAAUGCUUUUAGCAUCAAGAUAGAUGGACUCCGAAUCCUUGGGGCACUUUUCAACCAAAGUGGAUUCAUAUCCAGCCCCAUAAUCAUUAGGUUUGACACAAGAAAACAAAGAUUCAAUGGGAGUCACACCAAGCACUUUAAGAUCUUCGUGACUCUCAUCACGAGAACACGCCUUUUUAAGCCAUUCAUGUCUAGCACGAAUUUGGGCGGUUCUUUCUUGGCUCUCAAUCAUGGAAACACGCAUAGCUUUCAAAGUUUCAUCCAUGUUGAUUUUUGGAGGAGCACAUCUCACUUUCAAAGCAUCAACAUCACAAGAAAUCCUAUCCACGCUCUUAGCCAAAUUGUCAAUUUUGAGUAGUUUUUCCUCUAGGGACGCAUUGAAAAUCUUUUGAGAGUUGAUGAACUCUUUGAUAUUACUCUCUAGAUCAGAGGGUAAUCUAUUGUAAUUUCCAUGAAUAUUGUUGUAGGAGUUGCCAAAGUUAUUAGAGGAGUUCCUAGGAAAAGGCCUAGGAAUAUAGUUUGCUCUAAAGGCAUUGUUGUUGCCAAAGUUAUUCCUACCAACAAAAUUAACGUCCAAGCUAGCAUUGCUACUCUCAAUCAAAGAAGACAAAGGCAUAUCAUUAGGAUCCAAAGGAGCACUUCUACUAGCAACCAAAUUCAUUAACUCAUCCAUCUUAGCACUCAACGAGUUAAUUUCUUCUAUAGCGUGUACCUUCUUACUAGUAGGUGACCUUUCCUAACGUGAUUUCCACUGAGAGUAGUUUGUCAUGAUGUUGUCUAAGAGCUUUGUGACUUCUCCUAACGUGAUUUCCAUGAACGUUCCACCUGAGGCGGAGUCCAAGAUAUUCCUAGAAGCGAAAUUCAAGCCAGCAUAAAAGAUUUGAAUAAUCAUCCAAAGAGUCAAGCCAUGAGCGGGACAAUUUCUAAUCAUUAAUUUCAUUUUCUCCCAAGCUUGUGCAACAUGUUCAUGAUCAAGUUGCUUGAAAUUCAUGAUAUCAUUACGAAGAGAGAUGAUCUUAGCCAGCAUAAAGUACUUGGAUAUAUAAGCAUCUUUGCACUUAUCCCAAGAAUCGAUAGUAUUUUUGGGCAAAGAGGAAAACCAAGUUUUUGCGCGAUCUCGCAACGAGAAAGGAAAAAAGCUUCAAUUUAAUCACGUCAUUAUCCACAUCUUUUUUCUUUUGAAUAUCGCAAAGCUCAAUGAAGGUAUUGAGAUGGGAUGCGACAUCUUCACUAGGAAGGCCAGAGAAUUUCUCUUUCAUAACAAGAUUCACCAAAGCAGCAUUGAUUUCGUAUGACUCCGCACUAGUGGCAGGAGCAAUCAGAGUACUAAUAAAAUCAUUAUUAUUAGUAUUCGAGAAGUCACAAAGUUUGGUGUUUUCGUUCAUGGUGACUUCUGCAAGCAAGCAAGCACACAAGCAAACAAAGAGGAGGCGAGAAAAAGGGAGAACGAAAGGGCGAACGAAAAGGCGAACGAAAAGGCGAACGAAAAAGGAAAAUUGGUGAAGUGGGGGAGAGGAAACGAGAGGCAACUGGCAAACAAAGUAAAUGCAAGAGAUGAGUUUGCGACACCUACUUGGAUGAGUUCUUUACUUGAUCUUCCUCCCCGGCAACGGUGCCAGAAAUUAUUGUGCUACAGCAACAAAAGUCCUUCCUUGGCGCUAGGAAUUCUUGUUCUUACUUCUCUGGUUUGCGUCGGUUUUUCCCUUGAAGAGGAAAGGGUGAUGCAGCACAGGAGCAGUAAAUAUUUCCCUCAGUUUGAGAACCAAGGUAUCGAUCCAGAAGGAGGGCCUCGUCAAGUCCAGAGUACCUGCGCAAACACAAACACGCUUGCACCUAAUGCUUCAAAGGGGUUGUCAAUCCCUUCAAGAUUGUUUGCAAAGUGAGAUCUGAAGGCGGAAAGUACAACGAAGUAAAAAUUGUAAGGCUGAAAAUAUGGUGUGGAGUAGACCCUGGGGGCCAUAGUGUUCACUAGAGGCUUCUCUCAUAAUAGCAGAUAUCAUGGUGGGUGAACAAAUUACUGUCGAGCAAUUGAUAGAAUCGCCCAAAGUCAUGACGAUAUGUAAGGCAAUGAUCAUGCAUAUAGGCAUCACGUUCGAGACAAGUAGACCGAUACUUUAUGCAUCUACUACUAUUACUCCACACAUCGACCGCUAUCCAGCAUGCAUCUAGUGUAUUGAGUUCAUGACGAACAGAUUAACGCUUUAAGCAAGAUGACAUGAUGUAGAGGGAUAAUCUAAAACCAAUGAUGAAAACCCCAUCUUUUUACCCUUGAUGGCAACAACACAAUUCGUGCCUCGCUACCCAUUCUGUCAUUGGGUGAGGUCACCGCAUGGUAUGAACCCAAAACCAAGCACUUCUCCCAUUGCAAGAAUCAUAGAUCUAGUUGGCUAGACAAAACCCACAACUCGAAGAGAAUUACAAGGAUAUGAAAUCAUGCAUAAGAGAGAUCAGAAGAAACUCAAAUAAGAUUCAUAGAUAAUCUGAUCAUAAAUCCACAAUUCAUUGGAUCUCGACAAACACACCGCAAAAGAAGAUUACAUCGGAUAGAUCUCCAUAAAGAUCAUGGAAAACUUUGUAUUGAAGAUCCAAGAGAGAGAAGAAACCAUCUAGCUACUAGCUAUGGACCCGUAGGUCUAUGGUGAACUACUCACGCAUCAUCGGUGAGGUCACGGUGUUGAUGAAGAAGCCCUCUGUAUCCGAAUCCCCCCUCCGGCAGGGCACCAGGACGUGCCCCAGAUGGGAUCUUGCGGAGACAGAAGUUUGCGGCGGCGGAAAAGCAAUUGCGAUGAUCUCUUGAUUUUUUUGGGAAUAUUUGGGAAUAUAUAGGCGCAAGACCUAGGCCAGGGGACCUCCAGGGGGCCCACAAGCUUGGAUGGCGCAGCCCCCUGGCCAUGGGGUGGGGGCUUGUGGGGCCCCUGGAGCUCCUCUCGCUUGGCUCCCAAGUUCUUCGAUCUUCUUCCGUUCUAGAAAAAAUCUUUUCGAGGAUUUCUUCCGUUUGGACUCCGUUUCAAAAUCUCCUGUGAAAGGGGUCAAAAACGUGGACAAAACAGGAACUAGCACUUGGAACUGAGUUAAUAAGUUAGUCCCAGAAAAUAAAUAAAAAGCAUGCAAAACAUCCAAAGUUUGACAAGAUAAUAGCAUGAAACCAUCAAAAAUUAUAGAUACGUUGGAGACGUAUCACUUAACAGCUUGGAAAGACAUGAUCGAGUACAAACUUAUAAGCAAGGAAUAUUACUAAGAUUUGUUGAAUCGUAGUGCAUACCCGAUUCAGUUAUCGAUGUCCUUGAGUAUCCAACAACUCAAACAUGAGGAAAUUGGAAUUAAUGAAAAUAUCAUAGUUGAUGAGGUGCUCACAAGAACUUAUGUAGCUCCGUGAUAUUCUCGGGAUACGAGGCAUAAUACUCGGAGGUAGAUCAACAUUAAAGCUUGGACCGAUGUAUUGAUCUGAAGAAGACAAGUACUUUAACUAUAAAAAUGAAAUCAAGGUAGGACAACAUGGCCGGAACCAUGGUUGCAAAGUACCAAACCACAGAUACGAGAUAAAAUCAUAGAAAGGAUGAUUAUUGAUACGAGAAGCUUAUAUGAUAGGAUCAACAUCGUUUCCAUGGGCAUGAACACAAAGUUCAAGGUUCACUCCCACUUCAUCAAUACAUCACAUGCCAUUUACUCCUUGACUUUGAUGAGGUUGUAUCUUGGGAAGAUUAUCUGGCAAAACACCAGAAGAGCAAGACUCGUGAAAACUCGUCGGAUCAUAUUGUUUCAUGCAGGCGUAGGUUCAACCCGUCGGGGCAUCUUAGGAACAUAUACCAAAAACUUCAAGAGUAAUUAACAUAUGCUUGAAGGGCAUGGCUGACAAAAGCAAAGUAUAGAACUUAUUAGAGGAAGAAGACACAAUUUACCAAUGACAUUAUGUAUAAGGGGAACAAUAUCCCAAGAAUUUAUGAAUGCAAAGGUUCCCAUCGGAUAAUAACCCAGAAUGAGUCUCGCAGUCCACAACAGAUUUGAUGUGAGUAUCGGUACUCAAUCAGAGGGGGUAAAACGCAAGGCAUGAGAUUAUAGAACAUCUGAAAAAUAUUGAUACUUAAUUAGCCAAGGAAUUAGGAUUUCGAGGUUGGUGUAUCUUAAUCAGAUGCUCCGAUGAAGUACAAGUAAGUUGAAUGGACUUAGAUGGACAACCAACCAAAGUUGAUUUGGCGAGAACCAGCUCUGUUUGAAAGGACGUCUAAGCCAGAAAAUAAUACAUGAGUAUCUGCAGAUGAUUGAGUGCAUUCACACAAAGGUAGAAUCAAUAAGAUCACAGGAAAUCACAAAGGAUUUUAAUGAAUGCUGCUAGACAUAUGGAUUUAACCAUAACACAAGCAGGUGAGAAAGGUCAAGAGGAAUAGGUUACCGGGAAUUCCGAAAGAUCGAAUAGUAAUUCGAAGAACUUUCGAAACCCAUGACAACUGAUGACGGACGACUCCCCGAUAAGAUAAUUCGUUGCAUCUCGUAAAACAAGAGCAAUCGGAAAGAAAGUAUGGACGGCAUUUGUAUGUCGUCAUCCAUAGGGGUUUAUGGAGGAAAAUAAUUCGCAGAAGCGAUGAGCAACAGCUCUUGAGGGAACAUGGGAGAGUAUCAGCAGUUCUUCUGACGGAUAAAGCAACCGUCUGGAAUACGGGGCUCUCCGGGAGGAAGUAUUUACGAGAACCUAAUGUUAGAGUCCGAAACAGAAGAGAGAGUAGAGCCCAGAGUAUAGGAAAGGAGUAAAAGAUACUAAUACCACCCGAUUGAGAUCUGGGCCCGUAACCCACAACAUGAGUGUUAGUAAAGUUUUUCAAGCACUAGACUCAACUUCGGCCAAGGAGUUGGAAAGGGGGCUAACUAUAGGCAGUCGGCUCUGAUAUCAACUUGUGACGCCCUCAAUUUAAUCAUACGCUAAUCAUACACGCAAAUGCAUACGAUCAAACUCAAGGACUCACGGGAAGAUAUCACAACACAACUCUAGUCACAAAUCAAACAAUACAAGCUUCAUAUUACAAGCUAGGGGCCUCGAGGGCUAGAAUACAGAAGCUCGAUAAACACACGAGUCAGCGGGAGCAACAAUAUCUGAGUAUAGACAUAAAACAAGGGGGUGCCUUAGAGAAGGCUAGCACAAAACAAACUCGAUCGAACGAGGCGAGGCCUCCUGCCUGGGAACCUCCUAACUACUCCUGGUCUUCAGGGGCCUCCAUGAAGAAGACACCAUUGGGGGGCAGACGUUGGCAGGAAAUCUCCUGGGCUUCAUUAUCUUGUCGCAACAACGGAUCAAGGGGAGAAAGGGGAGCAAAGCAACGGUGAGUACUCAUCCAAAGUACUCACAAGACUUAUAUCAGAACUAUGCUAAGUAUGCAUCAGUAUCAAAGAAAGGGGUUUAAUAUGUGGACUGAUUGCAGCAAUGCAAGAAUAGGCCUAGAGAAUGCCUAGUCCUAGCGAAGACUAGCAUCUUCACGGGUCUUGCAGCAAUAGACGAGAGUAGAAGAAGGUAACACAAGUAAUAGUCAUAUUGUUGCAGCAAUAUUAAUAUGAGGUUACGCCUAGAGAUCCUUCCUCGACUCCCUGCCAGGAAGCAAUCCCAGGGCAACUAAAUCCAGUUAAGUAACAGUUGUAGUUGUAUAAGAUUAGGGCACAACUCUAAGUUGUCGAAUAACCUUGGACACGGCUAUCCGAAUAGUUAAUUUUCAUCCCUGCAGGGGUGCACCAAGUUUCCCGUCAAGCUCCAUAACACUCUGGCCGGACACACUUUUGGGUCAUGCCCGACCUCGAAAAAUCCACACGUCGCAACCCCACCUAAGCUCAGUAGAGAGGCCAUCCCGCCAGUAUAACUCCUAAGCACAAAGGGUUCAUGGGCCCACUUGCCCUCCGCGCUCCUGCAUGAUGCGUGGGCGGCUGAUGUCAAUCCUAGAACCCCUUAAUACAAGAGGAUGCAUCUCGGGACCGCACGGGCGUGCGCCGCUCCAUCGCUGACGUCUGAAGAGCUUCGGCUCAUACCACGACGUGGAGUACCCAUAAUUCUUCCCGCGUAGCCGGUUAGUGCGAAAAGGUCUCCGACCAACCCAGAUCAAAAACCCAAAUCCAUUAUCAAUUUAAUUAAGUCCUCGACACAAACACGCGGGAAAUCACCCGCCUAACAUAUAUUCAUCAAAGAUCCCAGUAACAUGGUCAAGUAACUGUGUGGUAGAAACAUCAGGGGGAAUCCGAGGUAUCACCCUCGUUGGAUUCUGAACGAUGUAUCCAUCAAGGUGGACCUAGAGGAAUCACCCUCGAGGGUCCCACACUUAAGUGGUUGCACGACAAAGACAUCGUCGGGAAUGGUGAAAGAGGAAUCACUCUCGAUAACCACGACCGACUAGCUACAAUACAGAGGAUUCAUCAUGAGUAGUUCGCGAGGUGUUACCCUCGGUACCCGAUAGUAUCUCUGUAGCGUCGUACAACUAAGGGGGGUGUAAGUGUUGUGUCGGGUCUGGCUCAUCGAUCAUGUUGGAAUUAUACCCUAGAGGCAAUGAUAAAAUAGUUAUUAUUAUAUUUCAUGUUACAAGAUAAUCGUUAAUUAUCCAUGCAGUAAUUGUAUUGAAUGAAAACAUAGAUACAUGUGUGGAUACAUAUACAAAACAAUGUCCCUAGAAAUCCUCUAGUUGGCUAGCCAGUUGAUCAAUGAUAGUCAAGGUUUUCCGACUAUAUGCAAGUGUUGUCACUUGAUAACUGGAUCGCAUCAUUAGGAGAAUCAUGUGAUGGAUUAGAACCAAACUAUGAACGUUGCAUAUUGAUCGUGUCAUUUUGUUGCUAUUAUUUUCUGCGUGUCAAGUAUUUAUUCCUAUGACCAUGAGAUCAUGUAACUCACUGGCACCGGAGGAAUACCAUGUGUGUAUCAAACGUCGCAACGUAACUGAGUGACUAUAAAGGUGCUCUACAGGUAUCUCCGAAGGUGUCCGUUGAGUUAGUAUGGAUCAAGACUGGGAUUUGUCACUCCGUGUGACGGAGAGGUAUAUCGGGCCCACUCGGUAAAACAACAUCACACACAAGCCUUGCAAGCAAUGUGACUAAGUGUAAGUCACGGGAUCUUGUAUUACGGAACGAGUAAAGAGACUUGCCGGUAACGAGAUUGAAAUAGGUAUGCAGAUACCGACGAUCGAAUCUCGGGCAAGUAACAUACUGAAGGACAAAGGGAAUGACAUACGGGAUUAUAUGAAUCCUUGACACCAGGUUCAACCGAUAAGAUCUUAGGAGAAUAUGUAGGACCCAAUAUGGGCAUCCAGGUCGCUCUAUUGGAUAUUGACCGAGGAGUAUCUCGGGUCAUGUCUACAUAGUUCUCGAACCCGCAUGGUCUGCACACUUAAGGUUCGAUGAUGUUUUAGUAUAGUUGAGUUAUAUGUGUGGUUAACGAAUGUUGUUCGGAGUCCCAAAUGAGAUCAUAGACGUCACGAGGGUUUCUAGAAUGGUCUGGAAUGAGGAUUGAUAUAUAGGAUGGUUUCAUUUGGUCACCGGAAAGUGUCGGGCAAUUCUGGCAGUGUACGGGAGUGACGAAUGGGUUCCGGGUGUUUACCGGGACAGGCCCACCCACCCGAGAUUGAGCCCAAGGCCCUAGGGUGGCGCACCAAGUCUUUAGUGGGCUGGUGGAGUCAGCCCAAGAGAGCUAUGUUGCCACAAGCAAAAAUACCAAAGGAAAGAAGAAGAAGAAAAGGAGGAAAGAGGGAGGUGGGAAGGAAGAGGAGGACUCCUCCUUCCCAAACCAAAUUGGAGGAGGAGUCCUCCUUCACCCUUGCGGCCGGCGCACCCUUCGGGCCCUUGUGCCCCAAGGCUAGCCCCUCCCCUGCUCCUAUAUAUAUUGGUCGUUUAGGGCUUUUUGAGAUACAACUUUGCCACGUGCAACUCAAGCCUAUUCCACAUAGUUUUACCUCUAGAUUGGAUUUCUGCGAAUCUCGGGUGAAGCCCUACAGGAGUAGAUCAUCACCACCACUAGAGCACCAUCAAGCUGCUGGAGAACUCAUCUACUUCUCCGUCUUGCUUGCUGGAUCAAGAAGGCCGAGAUCAUCGUCGAGCUGUACGUGUGCUGAACGCGGAGGUGCCGUCCGUUCGGUGCUAGAUCGGAACAGAUCGUGAGACGACAGUGAUUUGAAUCACGAAGUUGUACCACUACAUCAACCGCGUUUCUCAAUUCUUCCCUCUUAGCGAUCUACAACGUAGAUCUAAUCUCCUCUCGUAGAUGGACAUCACCAAGAUAGGUCUUCGUGGCGUAGGAAAAGUUUUGUUUUGCAUGCAACAUUCCCCAAUAGUGGCAUCAUGAGCUAGGUUCAUGCGUAGAUGUUAUCUCGAGUAGAACACAAAAGGUUUUGUGGACGGUGAUGUUCAAUUUGUUGCCCUCCUUAGUCUUUUCUCGAUUUGGCUGUAUUGUUGGAUUGAAGCGGCUCGGACCGACAUAACUCGUACGCUUACGAGAGACUGGUUUCAUCGACUGACAUGCAACCUCGUUGCAUAAAGAUGACUGGCGGGUGUCGGUUUCUUCAACUUUAGUUGAAUUGGUUUUGACCGAGGAGGUCCUUGGAGAGAGGUUAAAUAGCAAUUUGCACAUCUCCGUUGUGGUUUUUGCGGAAGUAAGAUGCGAUCAUACUAGUUACCCAUAGCAGCCACGUAAAACAUGCAACAAUAAAUUAGAGGACGUCUAACUUGUUUUUGCAGGGUAUGCUUGUGAUAUGAUAUGGCCAAUGACGUGAUGUGAUAUAUUGGAUGUAUGAGUUGAUCAUGUUGUAAUAGUUAAUAUUGACUUGCACGUGGAUGCUACGGCAACCGGUAGGAGCCAUAGGGUUGUCUUUAAACUAACGUUUGUGUUUGCAGAUGCGUUUACUAUAUUGCUAGGUCGUAGCUUUAGUAGUAAUAGCAUAUAUAGGACGACAACCUCCAUGGCGACACAUUGAUGUAGAUCAUGAUGAUGGAGAUCAUGGUGUCGCGCCGGUGAUAAAAAGAUCAUGCCGGUGCUUAAGUGAUGGAGAUCAAGAAGCACAAGAUGAUGGCCAUAUCAUGUCACUUAUGAAUUGCAUGUGAUGUUAAUCCUUUUUUGGACUGGUGCAAGCAUCUCGGAGUUGGAAUAAGCGCUUUGAUGAGGUGAUCAAAGCAUUUGGGUUUAUACAAGUGGUUGGAGAAUCUUGUAUUUACAAGAAAGUGAGUGGGAGCUCUGUGGCAUUUCUAAUAUUAUAUGUGGAUGACAUAUUGCUAAUUGGAAACAACCUGGAGUUUUUGGAGAGCGUAAAGGAUUACUUGAAUAAAAGUUUCUCUAUGAAGGACCUAGGAGAAGCUGCUUACAUUCUAGGCAUUAAGAUCUAUAGGGACAGAUCGAGACGCCUGAUAGGACUUUCACAAAGCACAUACCUUGAUAAAGUUUUGAAGAAGUUCAAAAUGGAUCAGUCCAAGAAGGGGUUCUUGCCAGUGUUACAAGGUAUAAAAUUGAGUAAGACUCAAUGCCCAACAACUGCGGAAGAUAGAGAACAAAUGAGUUCCGUCCCCUAUGCUUCAGCCAUAAGUUCUAUCAUGUAUGCAAUGUUGUGCACUAGACCAUACGGCGGUCAAGAAUAUUCUGAAGUACCUGAAAAGGACUAAGGAAAUGUUUCUCGUUUAUGUAGGUGACGAAGAGCUCAUCGUAAAGGGUUACAUCGACGCAAGCUUUGACACUGAUCCGGGUGACUCUAAGUCUCAAACGGAUACGUAUUUAUUCUUAAUGGGGGUGCGGUAAGCUGGUGCAGUGCCAAGCAAAGCGUCGUAGCAGAUUCUACAUGUGAAGAGGAGUACAUGGCUGCCUCGGAGGCAGCUAAGGAGGGUGUCUGGAUGAAGCAGUUCAUGACGGAUCUUGGAGUUGUGCUGAGCACACUAAAUCCAAUAACUCUAUUCUGUGACAACACUCGUGCCAUUGCCUUAGCAAAGGAACCAAGGUUUCACAAGAAGACCAGACAUAUCAAACGACGCUUCAACGUCAUGCGCGACUACGUCGAAGGAGAGGACGUAAAUAUUUGCAAAGUGCACACGGAUCUAAAUGUAGCACGCCCGCUGACUAAACCUCUUCCACGGGCAAAACAUGAUCAACACCAGAACUGUAUGGGUGUUAGAUUUAUUACAAUGUAAAUCCCAUGACGAUGUGAGGAUUAGAUUAUUGACUCUAGUGCAAGUGGGAGACUGUUGAAUUAUGCCCUAGAAGCAAUGAUAAAUUAGUUAUUAUUAUAUUUCUGUUACAAGAUAAUCAUUUAUUGUCGAUGCUAUAAUUGUAUUGAAUGGAAACAUAGAUACAUGUGUGGAUACAUAGACAAUACAAUGUCCCUAGCAAGCCUCUAGUUGGCUAGCCAGUUGAUCAAUGAUAGUCAAGGUUUUCUGACUAAAUGCAAGUGUUGUUACUUGAUAACUAGAUCACAUCAUUACGAGAAUCAUGUGAUGGAUUGGACCCAAACUAUGAACGUAGCAUAUUGAUCGUGUCAUUUUGUUGCUAUUGUUUUCUGCGUGUCAAGUAUUUAUUCCUAUGACCAUGAGAUCAUAUAACUCACUGGCACCGAAGGAAUGCCUUGUGUGUAUCAAACGUCACAACGUAACUGAGUGACUAUAAAGGUGCUCUACAGGUAUCUCCAAAGGUGUCCGUUGAGUUAGUACGGAUCAAGACUGGGAUUUGUCACUCCGUGUGACGGAGAGGUAUCUCGGGGCCCACUCGGUAAUACAACAUCACACACAAGCCUUGCAAGCAAUGUGACUAAGUGUAAGUCAUGGGAUCUUGUAUUACGGAACGAGUAAAGAGACUUGUCGGUAACGAGAUUGAAAUAGGUAUGCGGAUACCAACGAUCGCAUCUCGGGCAAGUAACAUACCAAGGACAAAGGGAAUGACAUACGGGAUUAUAUGAAUCCUUGAGACCAAGGUUCAACCGAUAAGAUCUUCGAAGAAUAUGUAGGAUCCAAUAUGGGAAUCCAGGUCCCGCUAUUGGAUAUUGACCGAGGAGUAUCUCGGGUCAUGUCUACAUAGUUCUCGAACCCGCAGGGUCUGCACACUUAAGGUUUGAUGACGUUUUAGUAUAGUUGAGUUAUAUGUGUGGUUAACGAAUGUUGUUCGGAGUCCCGGAUGAGAUCACGGACGUCAUGAGGGUUUCCGUAAUGGUCCGGAAAGGAAGAUUGAUAUGUAGGAUGGUUUCAUUUGGUCACUAGAAUGUUUCGGGCAAUUCCGGCAGUGUACCGAGAGUGACGAAUGGGUUCCGGGUGUUUACCGGGAGGGGCCCACCCACCCGGGAGUGAGCCCAAGGCCCUAUGGUGGCACAGCAAGUCCUUAGUGGGCUGGUGGAUUCAUCCCAAGAGGGCUAUGGCGCCACAAGAAAAAAUACCAAAGGAAAGAAGAAAAAAAAGGAGGAAAGAGGGGGUGGGAAGGAAGAGGAGGAUUCCUCCUUCCCAAACCGAAUUGGAGGAGGAGUCCUCCUCCACCCUUGCGGCCGGCGCACCCUUGGGGCCCUUGUGCCCCAAGGCUAGCCCCUCCCCUCCUCCUAUAUAUAUUGGUGGUUGAGGGCUUUUUGAGAUACAACUUUGCCACGUGCAACUCAAGCCUAUUCCACAUAGUUUUACCUCUAGAUCAGAUUUUUGCGUAGCUCCGACGGAGCCCUGCAGGAAUAGAUCAUUACCACCACCGGAGCACCGUCACGCUGCCGGAGAACUCAUCUACUUCUCUGUCUUGCUUGCCGGAUCAAGAAGGCCGAGAUCAUCGUCGAGCUGUACGUGUGCUGAACGCGGAGAUGACGUCCAUUCGGCGCUAGAUCAGAACGAAUCAUGGGACGGAUCAUGGGACGACGGUGAUUUGAAUCACGAAGCUGUGCUACUACAUCAACCGCGUUUCUCAAUGCUUCCCUCUUAGCGAUCUAGAAGGUACGUAGAUCUAAUCACCUCUCGUAGAUGGAGAUCACCAUGAUAGGUCUUCGUGCGCAUAGGAAUUUUUUUGUUUCCCAUGCAACGUUCCCCAAUAGAUCAGGGAUCGAGACUUGACAAUAAAGCAAGGCAACUGUACUACGGGGUCAGAGGGGAUGACUACUCCACCUAUACUAAAUAGAUUAAAAGUACAGUACUGAAAGUAGCAGUUCAUGAAAAAUAGACUAUGCAUUAGAUAUAGGAGCUAACUACAACAGUAGCAAAAUUCUAAUGCAAGCACGAGGAAGAAAGAAUAGGCGAUAUAGGGAAGAUCAAGGGGGUUUUCUUGCCUUGUUUCUCUGUGGCAAAGGGCUGAUCGGCAGGGUCGUAGAUGUACCCAGCGGCAACGUCAGUCUCAAGGUCUACUGGUAAGAAAGGGGGGGGGGAAACAAUAAAUAACAGCAAUAGGUGCAACACUAAGCAUGACAUUACAAUAUGCAGGCUAGACAUGAUCUAACGCAGUAACAUACAUCAUAGACGGGUCGGGAAAAUAUCAGAUGAUAUUUUCCGGGUCUGUGGCUACUACGGGUCAGACUGAAAACGAUGGAAAAGUUCCACAUUAUAUUUGCUAUGCUAGGGACACGUGACACACGAAUGGACCGCGUAACCGGGUUCGUCUCGUUCUGCUGAUCAACUUUCAUGUUGAAAAUAUUUUGAUCUGACUUACGGUUUAUUUAAUAUUAAAAUUUUAAAGUUUUAUUCAAUAUUUAGGAAUUAACAAAUUUAAUUGUAUUAGAUAAUUAAAUAUGACAUCGCGGUGUUAUCAGCACGACAUCAGUAGUCAACCGGGGUUGACUGGUUAGAUAUGACUAGUGGGACCCAUUUGUCAUAGACACAGGGUUAACAAAUGUUUAUUCUUAAUUAAAAUAGGUUAAUUUAGCAGGGGAGGCCCACAUGUCAUACCCAACACAAAUAAUUUAACUCAUAGAUUUGAUUUAAUUAAAUUAGGUUUAGUUAACCAAAUAAGUUAUCCAAUUUAAUUAUUCUAUUUAAUUAAGCACGUUAAACACACAUUGAUUAGACUAACUAAUUAACUUACUAAUUAGUCACUUAAAAUUAUUUUAAUGAAAAUUUCAUUAAUUAAUUAAAUUAUAAUUCACAUAUUAUUUUAUUAAUUUAUAUUAUUUUCUUAACAUGUUUUUGGAUGGGGGUCCCCACUUGUCGUUGUGUGAGUGCGAGAGGGAUUAGCCCCUAGCUUAAUCAAGGCCGACCCUCACCUCGUAGUGGCACAACCGACUCUGGCCGUGGUUGUGCCCGCGAGCGCCAUGUGAGGCCACAAUGAGCAGUUCCCGCGCGUAUGCGGGAGCUAGGGAAGGCGCCGACAAGGGCGCAGCGGGACUACGGUGGGAGGCAACGACGAGUCGGGCAUGGUAGCAGAUUCGGCUGGGCGUGCGCGACAAAAGGGGGGCAACACGUGGUGCGGCUAGCGGGGCACCGGGCGUCGGAGGAGCUCGCCGUAUCAGCGAGGCAUUGCAGUGCCAAGUUGGCCGAGCCUAAGGCGGAGAGGAGGAGUGACGUGACGAGGACAAGGCUCACCACCGUUGUAGUGGUAGCAGAGGUGCGACGUGGUGGUCCGGUGAUGGCCGACAUGAGUGGGGCGAGGGAGAGACGCCAGGGGCGAGGAUCCGGUGCAGGGGUGGCCCAGGGCGGGGUGCCACGACGUCGCCGGCACGGCCUUGGUGGGUGGUGGCGAUGGGAGGGCCCGACCGGCAUGGGGCUGAAGGAGGUCGUAGGAGGAUGGGGCCGCCGGAGGGCCGGUCUUGCUCGGAGGGCGACAGGUCCGGUGCGGGGGUGGCCCUAGCGCGGUGGGGAGAGGGGUAGGGCCGAAGCCAGGGUGGCAGGGAGGAGCGGAGCCGAGGGAAGAUGGGGGUCUGCCGCGUGACGCUCGCGAUGGGAGCGACGAGGGGAGGGAGAGUGGCGGCGUUAGUGGGGGAAGUGGGGAGGGCUCUGGGUGGUUAGGGUUAGGAGGGGGGGGUUAAAUACCCCCGGUUAGGUGGGCUGGCUGGGACGGUUGGCCCAGUUUGGCCAGGGAGACAUUCCCCUUUUUUUUAUUUCUCUGUUUCUUUUUUCCUAUUUGGUUUAGUUUUAUUUACUUUCUUUUCUAUUUUUUAAACAAGAGUAUUUUAGUCUUAUAAAACAUGUAACUUGCAUCAAUAACUAUAAUGUAUUAUUAGGCACUGUCACAAAAAGGUUUAUGAUUUAAUUGAUGCAGUUUCGAAUUGAUAUAAUUUAUAAGGACAUUAGAAUAUUGUUUAGACCUCUGUUUUAAUUAUUUUGAUGCACUUAGACACUCACAAAAAUGUUGGUUUCAGUUUUAUAAUUACUAGGAGAAUAUUUGUAACCGAAACAUGAUUUUUAUUUUACAGUUUGAAGAAAUAAUUUAUUUGACUUAAAUUUAAUUUUAAUUUAGUUUUGGCUUUCCAAUUGGCAAUUUGGCUUAGUUAAUCUUGAUGACAUGGCACCAUUACUGUAGCCUAACUACAUUAACUACUGUAGCUUAAUCCGAGGAUGUCACAACUCAACUCCUUCAUGUUGAUCAUUUUUUGCGAUUCCUCGCGGUUUGAGAACAGUUUCGAAAAAGGUGGGCCCAUGACGGGACGCAGAGAUCGUAUUUUUGCAUUUUUUUAAACCGCCCGUCGUAAUGAAGCAAGCGAUACGGCAUUGAAAAUAUAUCGUCGAGCCGCAUAUUUUUCAUGUAGAUUGAUCUCUCUAAAUCCUCACGGUUUGAGUGUAAUUUCAAAUUUACAAAAAAAUAGAAUUCUGUUUUAGGAUUUUUUCCUUUUUUGGACUGUUUUCGCCACGGUUUUUAAAUAGUUCAUCGGAACAAGGCAUGUGAUACCGAGUUGAAAAGCUGGGGAAUAGGCGCACCUUUCAUAUGUUGGUCAUUUGUCGAGAUUCCUCGCGCUUUUAAAUGAAUUUUGAAAACGGUGUGACUGGCUACGAGUGGCAGCAAGCGUAUUUUCGUCCAUUUUUCGAAACUGCUUGUUGGAAUGACCUAAAUUAUACAUCGCUGGAAAGAUAUCGAAGAGGCUCAACAUUUUCAUGUAGAACACCCUAUCUAAUUCCUUACGUUUUUUAAAUUACCAAAAUGUGGACACUUUGUUUUUCGCAACACACAAAUCAACGUGCGAACAACAUCGGAUAGAAGAGCGCAGUGAUUUUUGAUGGAAAAUUGCACUGCACCGUACGGGAAAGCGAAAUACAUCAUUUUCUUUUUUUGUUUGUUUUUACUAUACUUUUCAUGGCACCAAAUCAAUGAAAUGAACUACAUCACACAGAACCGUACUAUUUAACACAAAAAACCACACGCAUCCAACGGGAAAACGAACUUCAUAUUUUUAAUCAGUUUUUGUUUUAAAUGGAAUGUACUAAAGAGUCCUUCAUAUUGGAAUUUUUAAGACCAGAGUGCGCUGCAUUUGCUUCAAGAUUUCUUUACUAGUGAACUACAUUCAAAACGAAGCAAACUUCUUGCGAUAUUUUUCUUCUUUAUACAAAGAGAACCACAUUUGCGCAUUAUGGUUUUGAAACCAUGCAAUAUAUACAUCUUGUACAACAUAACCAAACCGCUACUUUCAUUUUGACUAAUCUGCAGUGCACCAAAGACCAAACUAUAUUCACAGAAGUGAACUACAUUUUUUUGCAUGACUACUAAAUCAAAAAAAAUCCGCUUUUUAGAUCUUCAGAUAGGUCCAACCAGCUACACAAUUUAGCUACAGUGAGCUGCACAUCUCACUCGUGCAAGCUACAACUCGAGGUACAGGGAGACGCAAACCAAUCCACAAAUUGGUCACCAGCGCACUGCAUGUCCACCCUUGCAAAUUGGCUACUUUAAGAAAUAAAUCAAAAAAUUCCAUGAAACGCAAGUCAAUCGCUGGUGCACUCAUGUCCACCUCCACAACACUGCACCUGUCGUGCCCAUGGGACUGCAACCAAGUUUAUUGAAGAUUCCCGAAAAAGAAAAUACAAAGCAAUCGGAGUUCUUGUUGACCCCUGCACGAGAGCUAGCAAACUUUGCUUGGCAAACCAAACUGCAUGCCAUGCUGCAGCUGCACACGCCAAGGAGCUGCACUGAAUCACGAUGGCGAGCGAACUACAUCGAGAACAAAGAGGAGGGGCUCGAUCCCAUUUUUUGGAACAGGCUUCGAAAGGGGAGUGUGAGCCAGAUCGGAACUGGCACGGACAUGCGGUGUCGCGCGAGAGGGAGGUUUCGUGGUGCCUCAUCGAGCCUCUAGAAGAAGGCCUGUCAGGAGGACGGCGCGAGCCUGGGGGCUUGGUUGCCGGUCUGGAGAGGUCGGGCCGUGGUAGAAGAUGGCGGAUCUGCCGAUGUGUAAGAGGGUUGGGGUGGGCUGCGACGCUAGGAUCCUUCGCGUGGAGGGGGUGAGGUGGGCGGGGGAGCUAGGAUCCCGCGCGAAUGAAGUGGGUGGGCUGCCGUGAUGGUCGGAGCCAUCCCUGUGGUGGCUGGCUACCGACGAGGGAAGAAGGUGGGUUGAGGGGGCGGGGGUCGUCGCCUGACAGGGAAAGAAGGUGGGUUGAGGGCGCGGGGGUUCCUUUCUUGGCCAACAGAUGGAGGAGGGAGAGGGUGGAGGUGGCAUUUGGUAGCUGGGGAAGCUGAUCUGGGUCCAGGGGUCGCCAGGCAUGGUUAUCACGCGAGAGGGAGGGGCCAGAGGCCAGAUCCGUUAAUGUGGGGGGAGGAGGCCCGCGGAUGAACCAUGCGGGGUGAUGUGGAGGAGGCCCUCGUGGCCUGGGCAGAUCUCGGCGGGGGUAGGUGCCGACGGGGAAGACCGGUGCCGUGUGGGCUGCUGGCGCAGCAAUGGUGGAAGAAGAUGAGGGGGAUUGGGGGCAGGGUGGUGCGGGAGUUGGGAGGAGAGAGAGGAAGGUGGGAUAGGGAGGGGGAAGUUCAUUUUUGUUUCUUUGGGUGUUUUAUCUAUAUGCUGGCGCGGGACGGGAGGUGGCGCGGAUAGAGGGGCACGGGGUGGGAGGUGUAUUUAGAAUAAGUGUGUGUAUAUAUAUAUAUAGAAAGACUAUUCAUCACCGAGGAUGCAGAAUAAGUUAUUCUUCACACGAGGUAAUCUUACGAUCGUUUCAUAAUUAUAUUACAUUCAAAAUGCAAAUAGGUACAUUUAUACUGAUUCACUACCUAAAGUUUUACAUAAGAAAAAAAUAGGUCAUAAGACCAGAAGAACGCAUUUAAUGUAUAUUUUACAUGACAUAAAAUAUUUUUAUGGUGUCUAUAUAUUUUCUUAUGGUCUCUUUUUACNNNNNNNNNNNNNNNNNNNNNNNNNNNNNNNNNNNNNNNNNNNNNNNNNNNNNNNNNNNNNNNNNNNNNNNNNNNNNNNNNNNNNNNNNNNNNNNNNNNNUACGACUCGUCUACGUUCGUUGAUGACCGACACCGGCUUUGUUGGGUCAUGUAUGCUUGUCCUUGUGCGGAACUGCCACUUUGGUUUAUGACUAGACAUGUCGAUCCGGGUUCUUUGACAUUGGAAUGCUAGCGACACUAUCGCAUACGUGAGUCAAAACACACAAACGGUCCCGGCUAAGGUAAGGCUGCAACCGUGGAGUUAACCGUGCGUGAGACCACAAAGGGAUGCGAUGUGUUACAGGCUGGAUUCCUAUGGCUUAAGAUCGGGGUCCCGACAGCGUUGGUAUCAGAGCCUGACUGACUGUAGGAUUACUAAGCCAAACUGGUCGAAGUUGAGUCUAGAAUUGCUUUAGUUAUAUAUAAGGGAAUUGUUUGUGGAAGGGAACGUAACACUCUUGUUCUCUUCUCAAGAUAUUCUAUUCUGGUCAUCCUCGUCUUUUCUGCGGGAAUUAAGGACUAGGUUACUCAUCUUCUCCUAGGCUCGGAUUUUUGAUCGGUAGAUUAUAGGACUAAGGGUCGAGAGAUAUUGGGUUUCUUUUAUUCCUGGGAAGAAGGAAGUAAGUUUGAUGAUCAGGGAGUUGAACUUGAUAGUUGAGUGGUGACGCUAUUUCAUUUUGGGUUGUCUCAAAAUUUGUUUUGAACAUUUACAGCUGUUAUGCUGCCCAAUUUUUCAUUCAGAGCUCUAAUGCUUUUUUGCAUUACUCUCUAUUUACAGAUGCCUGGCCGUCCUUCUCGUCAGGUGGUACGUUUGACCAGGUGCAUUGAUGUACCGGGUCAUACGGCCAUGCUGGUCAGGGUGAUGUCGGUGUGCGGUUACCGCUGGUACCCCGAGUACACGGUAGAGGAACAGUACCGAGACUUCAACCAGAGCCAGUACAUCUGCACUGUUAGGGUAUUUCCAGAUUACCCUGGAGCGGAGAAGCCAAUCCAUUGGUCCUAUGGGUUGGGAGUCACUGUUGACAUGGCAGUACAAGAUGCUGCCUAUUCAAUGCUGACUAUCAUGAGAGAGAGACAUGCAUUGCUGCAGAAUUCAGAGUUCUGCUAUGUUCCGGCCUCUCAGUCUGGCGAAGAGGGAUACCUCAGUGGAGUCUAUUUUGAUUCCUCUAUGGAGGACCCACUUCUGCAGUCCACUGUUGAGAUGCUAGAGAACAGAGACAAGGAUGCUCGUGCUCUCCGCAUGGAGCUUUAUGCUACCCGUGCCCGUCUGUGGACAGCUUUGACGCAGCUGGCACCGGUAGUCCAGACAGGGUAUGGAGAGAUGGAGAUGCUGAACCCUGUUAGGACCCAUCUUCCGGCUCAUGUUGACUGGCCAGCUAUAGGAGGAGUCACACCUCUUCGGGGACCCCUCUUACCACCAGUCAGGGGACCAAGGCCACAUCUGUGUCCUUAUGGAUCCCAGGGAUCUCAGGCUAGAGUGUUUCCUGAUCCGCAGGUUGAGCUUCCAGGUCAUGGAGGUAAUCUCUAUGAGAUGUUCUAUGCGGAUGCGUGAGCUAUGAGCGGAAGGAUAGUAUGGUGGUAGCCGUAUGUUCACAGUCCUGCGUGACUUGUGUAGUAUGGUUGUAAUGUGAAACGAAUUCCGGAGGCCUAGAUAAAUAAUGUAUAGGAAGCUUGUACGCCUCUGAUGAGUAGUUCCACCAUUUCGGUAGUUUGCUCUUCGAGUAAGUUUGUACUGAACUAUGUAAGGGUGUGUAUGAACCAUGGUGUAUAUAUAGCAGUUGCUUGUUACCAUGUUGUUCGGAUAUUCAUUUCCGCAUUCCGUGUGUUCAGUACAUUCUUAAUCCAUAGAUAGUUUUGAUAUGAUUUUGGUUUAAGCUAUGAGUUUGUUUGUUAGGAUGGUGUUCACCAGGUUGAACCGUGCCCCUGCUCAUGAGCAAGGUGAGGGUAGUCAAGCGUCGCAGGAAGACCUGCCUCACCCACCUUCUCUGGUAGAAGUGAUGCUUGAGGCAGAAAGAAUCAAAAGGGAGACCAACCGACUGCUAGAGCGUAUUGAGCAGAAUACGGCUCGAGAGCCUAGGAAUGCUGCAGUGUCCCUCAAUGACUUUGUGAAGCUGAAUCCUCCAAAGUUUCAUCAUUCCGUCGAUCCCCUCGACGCUGAUGACUGGCUGUGCAGCAUUUCAUGCAAGAUUCGCUCUGCGAAUGUGUCUGAGGCCGACAAGGUGACCUUUGCGGCGUAUUUCCUGGAGGGACCCGCCAAUCUAUGGUGGGAGAAUUUUGAAGCUAUGCGUCCCGCUGAACCAGUGGCCACAUGGGCAGACUUCAGUGCAGCUUUUCGUCUGCACCAUAUUCCAGAGGGCCUGAUGGACAGAAAGAGAGAGGAGUUAUGUGCCUUCACUCAGGGCAAGUUGUCUGUGGAUGCCUAUAGCCGCGAGUUCGGUAACCUCGCCCGCUAUGCAACAGAGGAGGUGUCUACUGACGCCAAGAAGCCAGCAAGAUUCCGUAAGGGUCUGAGCCCUGAGCUCCGUCGAGACCUGCGCCUCCAUGAGUGUGCAAGCUUUCAAGCCCUGGUCAACAAAGCGAUCAGUGCGGAGACUGGUCAUACUGACUUCGAAGCCACAAGGAAGCACUCCCGUGACUUUGGCUCGUCUUCUGGUUCCGCGUUUCCAAAACGCAGGCUGUGGGUUCCAAACAGUUCUCUGCCGCCAAGAUACACUCCGAGGCCAUCCUACGUGGCGCCUCAGACGAAUCAGGCCAACCCUCCAGCAAAAGCUUAUGGUGGUCCAGCUAGCAAUGCUGCACCACGUGCCAACCAGGUGAUAUGCUACAAGUGUGGAGAACCAGCGCAUUAUUCCCGUGAGUGUCCUCAGAAUGUGGGUGCCAAGCAACCCGGAAAGUGUGUCGGGCAGGCCAAGUCGGGCAAAGCGUUUUAUGUGAAACCAACUCCUGCACGUGGCCGUGUGAACUAUGUGUCAGCAGAAGAAGCUGCAGAGGAUCCCGACGUCAUGCUGGGUACGCUUCUUGUUAAUCAUCACCCAGCGUCCGUUCUCUUUGACACUGCGUCUUCUCAUUCCUUCAUUUCAAAAAGUUAUGCACAGUUGCAUAACAUGUCAUUUUGUGAUAUGCCAAUCCCAUUGGUUGGCCAAACCCCUAGUAGUAAAUGGCAAACCUCUAGGAUUACCUAUGACAAUGAAAUUCUAGUAGACACGCUAGUUUUUCUAGCCUCAUUGAUAGCGUUGAAAUCUUCGGAUAUUAAUAUCAUCUUGGGCAUGGACUGGAUGUCAGCUCACUAUGCCAAGAUUGAUACUCGCUCUAGAAAUGUCCAGCUUACCCAUCCCUCGGGUGAGAUAGUAAAUGUCUCUACUCGAGUUGCCAAAUGCCAGCUCUAUUCCCUAAAUGCCAACCCUCUUCCGGAACUUGAAGACAUUCCGGUAGUCCGUGACUUCCCGGAUGUUUUUCCAGAGGAACUGCCAGGAAUUCCACCUGACAGAGAUGUAGAGUUUGUGAUAGAUCUUGUUCCGGGAACUGUCCCAAUAGCUAGAAGACCUUAUAAGAUGGCACCCCUGGAGCUAGCCGAACUUAAGAAGCAAUUAGAUGAGGCCUUGAACAAGGGUUUCAUUCGUCCUAGCUCUUCUCCUUGGGCUUGUCCCGUCCUCUUCGUCAAGAAGAAAGACGGAAUGGAUCGGAUGGUUGUAGAUUACCAACCAGUUAACCUGGUCACCAUAAAGAACAAGUAUCCGCUCCCCAGGAUCAACGAUCUGUACGAUCAGCUCGCUGGAUCCUCAGUCUUCUCCAAAAUGGAUUUGAGGUUGGGAUACCAUCAAAUCAAGAUUAAGAACGGGGACAUUCCAAAAACGGCUUUUGUUACUCGUUAUGGCCAAUAUGAGUACACCGUUAUGUCCUUCGGUUUAACCAAUGCCCCAGCCAGCUUCUCUCGACUGAUGAAUUCAAUCUUUAUGGAGUAUUUGGAUAAAUUCGUCGUAGUAUUCCUCGAUGAUAUUCUCAUCUACUCCAAGAAUGAACAAGAACAUGCCGAGCAUCUAAGGCUGGUAUUGAUGAAACUUCGAGAGCAUCGCCUUUAUGCCAAAUUUUCAAAAUGUGAAUUCUGGUUACCAGAAGUGACCUAUCUAGGCCACGUAAUCUCUGGUAAGGGUAUUGUUGUCAAUCCCGAGAGAGUUCAAGCUGUCCUUGAUUGGACUCAACCUGAAUCGGUUAAGCAAGUUAGGAGUUUUCUUGGUCUAGCGAGCUAUUGUCGCCGCUUCGUCGAGAAUUUCUCCAAGGUUGCAAAGCCUCUAACUGAACUCCUCAAGAAGGAUAAAAAGUUCGAGUGGACACCACAGUGUGAGCAUAGUUUUCAGGAACUGAAAAGACGCCUGACUUCCGCACCUGUGUUGCUACCACCAGAUUUUUCUAAGGACUUUGUUAUCUAUUGCGACGCCUCGCGACAAGGAUUAGGUUGCAUUCUCAUGCAAGAUCGUCAUGUGAUCGCAUACGCAUCUCGCCAGUUGCGUCCACAUGAGGAUAAUUAUCCCACACAAGACCUUGAGCUUGCAGCUGUGGUCCAUGCACUAAAAACCUGGCGACAUUACCUUCUGGGUAAUCGUUGCGAAAUAUUCACUGAUCACCAAAGUCUGAAAUAUAUCUUCACCCAGCCGGAUUUGAAUCUCAGGCAAAGACGAUGGGUUGAGUUGAUCUCGGAUUACGACUUAGGGAUAACUUACACCCCGGGGAAGGCCAAUGUUAUGGCCGAUGCACUAAGUCGUAAAUCUUAUUGUAACAAUCUGAUGCUACAACAAGGACAACCACUUCUCCAUGAGGACUUUCGGAAGUCGAAUCUUCAUAUUGUUCCUCAAGGAUUCCUUUCUACCCUGGUGGCGAAGCCUACUCUUAAGGAUCAAAUUAUAGCUGGCCAAAAGCGUGACAAGGGUAUAUCACGGAUCAAGGAGAAUAUUUUUAGCGGAAACGCUAAAGAAUUUUCCAUGAAUGAUCAAGGUGUGGUAUUCUUCCAGAAUCGUUUAGUGGUUCCUAAGAACCCACAUCUAAGGCAGUUAAUCCUUAAGGAGGCUCAUGAUUCCCCUCUCACCAUUCAUCCUGGUAGUACUAAGAUGUAUAAAGACCUACGCCAGAGGUUCUGGUGGACUAGGAUGAAGAGAGAAAUUGCUGAGUUCGUUGCUAACUGCGAUGUUUGUCGUCGAGUUAAGGCAGAACAUCAAAGGCCUGCUGGCACCCUUCAACCUUUAGCUAUUCCUGAAUGGAAAUGGGAUAAAGUUAGCAUGGAUUUCAUUACCGGAUUUCCCAAGACCAAGAAAGGAAAUAAUGCUAUCUUUGUGGUCAUUGACCAUUUUUCCAAAGUGGCUCAUUUUCUUCCUGUUCGUGAGAGUUUAACAGCUAGCCAGCUAGCAGAGUUAUAUAUCUCUCUAAUAGUGUCUCUUCAUGGUGUUCCCCUGGAAAUUAACUCGGACCGUGGAAGUAUCUUCACUUCUCGUUUCUGGGAAAGUUUUCAGAAUGCCAUGGGGACUCACUUAUCUUUUAGCACUGCUUUCCAUCCCCAAUCAAGUGGUCAAGUAGAAAGAGUGAAUCAAAUCCUAGAAGAUAUGCUCCGAGCUUGUGUUAUUUCGUUCGGUAUGAAUUGGGAGAAGUGCCUUCCAUUCGCCGAUUUCGCUUAUAACAACAGUUAUCAAUCAAGCUUGGGCAAAGCCCCUUUUGAAGUUCUCUAUGGACGAAGAUGUCGAACACCUCUUAAUUGGUCAGAAACCGGAGAGAGGCAACUCUUUGGUCCGGACAUGAUCCAGGAUGCAGAAGAGCAGGUUCGCAUUAUUCGUGAAAAGUUGAAAACAGCCCAAUCUCGUCAAAAGAGCCAAUAUGAUCGUCAUCAUAAGGCUGUGACCUUUGAAGUUGACGAGAAGGCUUACCUUCGGGUUACACCUUUGAAGGGUACCCAUCGUUUCGGUAUCAAGGGCAAGUUGGCUCCUCGUUACAUUGGUCCUUUUCGCAUUCUUGCCAAACGAGGAGAAGUUGCCUACCAGUUGGAACUUCCUCCGCAUCUUUCCAAGGUUCAUGAUGUUUUCCACGUCUCGCAACUCAGGCGUUGCUUUUCGGAUCCUAUCCGUGAAGUGGACCACGAAACGCUUGAUCUCCAAGAUAACCUUUCUUACCGAGAAUAUCCCGUGCGUAUUCUUGAUCAAGCUGAGCGUACCACUCGACGUCGAAACCUCAAGUUUCUUAAAGUUCAAUGGUCAAAUCAUUCUGAAAAGGAGGCAACUUGGGAAAGAGAGGAUCGUCUCCGACUCGAAUAUCCUGCGUUAUUCCCGACGACUUCUAAAUCUCGGGACGAGAUUCUUUUGAGUGGGGGUGAGUUGUCACAUCCCUAACCCUUAAGCAAGAUAGCAUUGUGCUCAUGUCUUCUUUGCAUUUGCAUCUAAGAAGUUUCAACAAAAACAACAAAGUGGCAAAGGAGAAACUCAAAACCCUAGCCACCAUUUCAAUUAAAGGAAAUUUCAACUAGUUCAAAAUCAAUGAACCCAAAAUGGCCUCAAGAAAUGUUCAAACUUUCUGAUAAAUCACGAAAGUAAAUGAGCAUUGGAGAAAACUAUUUUCUUGACACUUUAAGCAUUUUAAAUAAAUGCAAAAGCCACUGGUUUCAAAUUUAAAAAUUUGAAAUCAGAAACUAUAAUUUUCCAAAAAUGUUGAAAGUCUUGGAAAUGAGUGGGGAUAUUAUAACAAAUAUUUCAGGAGGUCAAAAUCAGUUUUUACCUUUUGUUUUGGAGCUGAAAUAAUUAGCAAAGCAAUAAACAGCAAAACAGAAAAAACCAAAAAAAGAGAAAAUGGGAAAAGCUUACCUCACGCCCAAGCCAGGCCCAGCCCAUCUCGCCGCUCGUCCCCUUCCCCGCGCCAGUAGGCAGCAGGAGGUGGCCGCCGCCUCCUCCGGCGCGGCCACGCACCUGCGUGCCUGCCUGGUCGCCGGUUCGCGCUGGCGACGACGGGGAUAAGCUCCCCAGAGCCUCCCCUAUCCAUUCCCCGCCUCGGUUCUCCUCCUCCGCCCGGAUCCCCUCCUUCUCCCUGCUGCCGCCAUUAGAGCCGAGCUCGAGCUCGAGCUGGCCGUGCCCCUGGCCAUAGGAUCCCCUCCGCGAGCACGCCAUUAGCUCCGCCUCGUCGCCCUGGUCAUUCCUGCAGAAGGCGAAGCUUCCUCGCGCCCUGCAACGCCCGCAACGCCGUCGUCUUCUUCCUCCGGCCGCCGGACAUCUCCCGUCGAUUCGUCGCCCCCAGGCCUUCCCCGAGCCGUCUGAGCUCUUCUCUGCACUCCCUGUGAGCAUGCGGUGGUUUUCCCUAAGUUUUCCCCGUCGAUCCCCUCCUCUAGCCCUAGUUUCACCGGAGCCCGACGAGCACCGCCGCUGCCGCUCGUCGCCGGUAGCCCUCCGAUGUCCAGCUCGUCCUCCCGAGAGCACCAGCAGCUCCAGGACGACGCGUAGAUGCCGUAGCAGCUAAGAACUAAGCGCGGAUCCCCCUGUUUCAAAGCCCCCGACGACGCCCGAGCUUCGUCCGCCGCUCCGGCUCGUCGCCGACGCCUCUUCCGGCGAACCUAGCCUCCCAAGUUGGUCCUGCCAGAUCGGCCACUUCGCGGGCUUGCUGUAGCUGCCAACCGCGUGCGUUUUCGUGCUGUGCAACGCCGUCUAGAUCGCCUCCGGCGAGCCCUCCGCCGCGGGUUUGGUCGCCGGCGACACCCUCCGGUGGCCGUCGACGUGGCCGACCAUUAGGGCCUAAUCUCCCUCCCCUGAGUCGCUGCCAGAGGGCCCCACGCCUGGACAAACCCCAAUUAGGGGUUGGUCAGUGCGGGAUUAGUCCCAGAGAGGCUGACCAGGGGGACCCCCCUGUCAGGUUUGACCUGCACAGGUCGGCUGACCUGCUGACGUCAGCCUGAUGCAAUAAAUGAAAUUUCCAGUAUAAAAAUAAUUCAGGAAAUUGCUAAAAAUUGCAAAAUUCAUAGAAAUUAAUCUAUAACUCCAAUGAAAAUAAUUUAUAUAUGAAAAAGUAUCAGAAAAAUUCAAGGAUUCUGAUUAUGCUAUUUUCAACUAUGUUUGAAAAAGUUGCAGAACCCUAAAUUGUGAAAUAAGGAAUAAUUCAAUUCUUUUAAUCACUUUAUAAAUGGAAUUUGCAAAAUAUCCAAAUUUCAUUAUAAAUACAAUGAUCACACACUGCCCUAGAUGUAAAUCAGUACCAUAACAUGACAUUUCAUGCAUGUUAACAUUAGGUUGAUCUGAGCAUCAGGUCGAAUCAAUUAAACCGGUAUGCGGGAAUACCCGUUUGAAUUGCUUUUCGAAUGUGAUUCAAAUCAACUCUAAACCUAAAACAUCUUGAUUAUAAUAACUUAUCACCUGCAUUCUCAUGCCUUGCUCAUGCAUCAUUUUGAUUGCAUAUGAUUGUUAUUGAAUGUUGCCAUUCCUUUCGGUAGGCUCCGCACCCCCGGAUUCCACCGAAUAUCCGUCUGACGGAUAUCAUUCCUCCUCUCAGCAACAAGGCAAGCAACCCUUUUGAUCAUCCCGAUAACACCUAUGUUCUUGCUCCUGCACCUAUUUAUUGCAUUAGGAUCAAAUGCUUCAAUUGCUUUUGCCACGAUAGUUGGACCCACUUCCUUUGCAUGACUUAACCUUGUCACAGUAAAUAGCCGAACCUUGCAACCUAGCAUACCUGGUAGUUCCUUGAGCUCUAAUGUGCCUUAUCCUGCCAUGCAUGCUAUGCUUAGAGUUGUGUAUGGUCUGUCAUCUGGGAGAUGAACAGAAAUGUGGAAUGUGUUCGGUGAGCAAAGGUCGUGUGUUGAAUUUGAUUUGGUAAAGGUACCGGUGAAAGGCUGUGUAGGAGUACAUGGCGGGUUGUUUCAUUGGAACCGUCCUUAGGAACUGAGUUCCGUGUAUGUAAUCCAAGACUAGAUACUACCACAUGCUGGGCCCUGAAAUAUGACCCCGCUCGGCCUAUUAAUCGCUUAGUACUCGGUCCAGGAGUUGCAAGUAGUUUCUGGUGUUUAUAGUAAUGCUGGAGGCCGUGCAUGGUGCUGACCUGAGAGGUGGACCGUGAUGCGGUAGGUAGUGGCACCCGGAUGGUGGGCUUGGGAACCCUGCGCACAACGUUUGAGGCCGUGGCGGAAACCUCGGCCGGACUUCCGUACGGGUUACUCUCAGAUAGGCGAUAAACCUGGACUAGGUACUAGUGUGGUUAACGGUCGUGGCCGACUCCGUCGCUGGGCUUCCGCUUGAAGGUUGCCGAGGUGCAUGACGUGCACAUGUCGAUAAGUGGCGGAAGCGUGUGUGACGAAGUACACCCUUGCAGGGUUAUGAUCUAUUCGAAUAGCCGCGCCCACGGAUAUGGACUACUUGGAGACAUAUGUUGUUCAUAGAUAACUUCAAUGGCUACUCACAAAAUUGUCAAGAUAAGCUUGAGUGUCGUGGACGGUAUUUCCGUAUGGAGACGGAAUGAUUCCACGAUAGUGUAUUGUUGUGGUGUUAGUGGACUCGUGUGCGAGAAAUCAAGUUGUCAAAACUAAUUUCAAAAAGCAAGUUGUCUAGCCACGAGUCAAAUGCUGGCUUUCCGCAUGAAAUCCCACAAUACCUUCUUGAUACCUUGCAUGAGUAGUUAGUCAUCCUAAAGUCUUGCUGAGUACCUUCGUACUCAUGUUUUCUUAAUAAAUGUUGCAGAGAUUGUUAAUGACCCUAAUGGAGGGUUCUUCGUAGACAUCGACGACGACGAGUAGCUGGUGUCCCAGCUACGAUCUGGCCCUACGUCGACUCUGUAGUAUAGUCAGGCCAUGUGCCUUCUAGUUGCUCUGUCGGUACCCAGACAGUUUAUAACUCUUCCGCUAGCUUGUAUUGUAUGACUGCUAUUAUGGGUCGUGAGACCCUUAAUGUGUAAUAAUAUGUGUGUGGCUCUUCCGAGCCUCUUAAAUAAAGCUUGUAUGUUUAUGGUUAUGUUGUGAUGCCAUCGAUGUAUCUAUACAUAUCGGUAUGCCAUGCAUACGUGUGUCUUACUUGAUAUGUAUGGGGUUCGAAUACCUAGUCGUGAACUUUAGUAGCACUCCUUACAAGGAAAUGCCCCUUUGUGAUCCAACGAGCCUUGGUAGUUCGCUACUGCUCCGGACACAUUGGUUGACCGGCAUGUGUCCUUCUUAGAUGCUGUGUCUGUCCCCUUUGGGGAAAUGUCACGCGACGUAAUGGAGUCCUUGUAGCUUGCUACGACUCGUCUACGUUCGUUGAUGACCGACACCGGCUUUGUUGGGUCAUGUAUGCCUGUCCUUGUGUGGAACUGCCACUUUGGUUUAUGACUAGACAUGUCGAUCCGGGUUCUUUGACAUUGGAAUGCUUGCGACACUAUCGCAUACGUGAGUCAAAAGACGCAAACGGUCCCGGCUAAGGUAAGGCUGCAACCGUGGAGUUAACCGUGCGUGAGACCACAAAGGGAUGCGAUGUGUUACAGGCUGGAUUCCUAUGGCUUAAGAUCGGGGUCCCGACAGCGUUGGUAUCAGAGCCUGACUGACUGUAGGAUUACUAAGCCAAACUGGUCGAAGUUGAGUCUAGAAUUGCUUUAGUUAUAUAUAAGGGAAUUGUUUGUGGAAGGGAACGUAACACUCUUGUUCUCUUCUCAAGAUAUUCUAUUCUGGUCAUCCUCGUCUUUUCUGCGGGAAUUAAGGACUAGGUUACUCAUCUUCUCCUAGGCUCAGAUUUUUGAUCGGUAGAUUAUAGGACUAAGGGUCGAGAGAUGUUGGGUUUCUUUUAUUCCUGGGAAGCAGGAAGUAAGUUUGAUGAUCAGAGAGUUGAACUUGAUAGUUGAGUGGUGACGCUAUUUCAUUUUGGGUUGUCUCAAAAUUUGUUUUGAACAUUUACAGCUGUUAUGCUGCCCAAUUUUUCAUUCAGAGCUCUAAUGCUUUUUGCAUUACUCUCUAUUUACAGAUGCCUGGCCGUCCUUCUCGUCAGGUGGUACGUUUGACCAGGUGCAUUGAUGUACCGGGUCAUAUGGCCAUGCUGGUCAGGGUGAUGUCGGUGUGCGGUUACCGCUGGUACCCCGAGUACACGGUAGAGGAACAGUACCGAGACUUCAACCAGAGCCAGUACAUCUGCACUGUUAGGGUAUUUCCAGAUUACCCUGGAGCGGAGAAGCCAAUCCAUUGGUCAUAUGGGUUGGGAGUCACUGUUGACAUGGCAGUACAAGAUGAUGCCUAUUCAAUGCUGACUAUCAUGAGAGCGAGACAUGCAUUGCUGCAGAAUUCAGAGUUCUGCUAUGUUCCGGCCUCUCAGUCUGGCGAAGAGGGAUACCUCAGUGGAGUCUAUUUUGAUUCCUCUAUGGAGGACCCACUUCUGCAGUCCACUGUUGAGAUGCUAGAGAACAGAGACAAGGAUGCUCGUGCUCUCCGCAUGGAGCUUUAUGCUACCCAUGCCCGUCUGUGGACAGCUUUGACGCAGCUGGCACCGGUAGUCCAGACAGGGUAUGGAGAGAUGGAGAUGCUGAACCCUGUUAGGACCCAUCUUCCGACUCAUGUUGACUGGCCAGCUAUAGGAGGAGUCACACCUCUUCGGGGACCCCUCUUACCACAAGUCAGGGGACCAAGGCCACAUCCGUGUCCUUAUGGAUCCCAGGGAUCUCAGGCUAGAGUGUUUCCUCAUCCGCAGGUUGAGCUUCCAGGUCAUGGAGGUAAUCUCUAUGAGAUGUUCUAUGCGGAUGCCUGAGCUAUGAGCGGAAGGAUAGUAUGGUAGUAGCCCUAUGUUCAAGUCCUGCGUGACUUGUGUAGUAUGGUUGUAAUGUGAAACGAAUUCCGGAGGCCUAGAUAAAUAAUGUAUAGGAAGCUUGUACGCCUCUGAUGAGUAGUUCCACCAUUUCGGUAGUUUGCUCUUCGAGUAAGUUUGUACUGAACUAUGUAAGGGUGUGUAUGAACCAUGGUGUAUAUAUAGCAGUUGCUUGUUACCAUGUUGUUCGGAUAUUCAUUUCCGCAUUCCGUGUGUUCAGUACAUUCUUAAUCCAUAGAUAGUUUUGAUAUGAUUUUGGUCUAAGCUAUGAGUUUGUUUGUCAGGAUGGUGUUCACCAGGUUGAACCGUGCCCCUGCUCAUGAGCAAGGUGAGGGUAGUCAAGCGUCGCAGGAAGACCUGCCUCACCCACCUUCUCUGGUAGAAGUGAUGCUUGAGGCAGAAAGAAACAAAAGGGAGACCAACCGACUGCUAGAGCGUAUUGAGCAGAAUACGGCUCGACAGCCUAGGAAUGCUGCAGUGUCCCUCGAUGACUUUCUGAAGCUGAAUCCUCCAAAGUUUCAUCAUUCCAUCGAUCCCCUCGACGCUGAUGACUGGCUGUGCAGCAUUUCACACAAGAUUCGCUCUGCGAAUGUGUUUGAGGCCGACAAGGUGACCUUUGCGGCGUAUUUCCUGGAGGGACCCGCCAAUCUAUGGUGGGAGAAUUUUGAAGCUAUGCGUCCCGCUGAACCAGUGGCCACAUGGGCAGACUUCAGCGCAGCUUUUCGUCUGCACCAUAUUCCAGAGGGCCUGAUGGACAGAAAGAGAGAGGAGUUAUGUGCCUUCACUCAGGGCAAGUUGUCUGUGGAUGCCUAUAGCCGCGAGUUCGGUAACCUCGCCCGCUAUGCAACAGAGGAGGUGUCUACUAACGCAGAGAAGCAAGAAAGAUUCCGUAAGGGUCUGAGCCCUGAGCUCCGUCGAGACCUGCGCAUCCAUGAGUGUGCAAGCUUUCAAGCCCUGGUCAACAAAGCGAUCAGUGCGGAGACUGGUCAUACUGACUUCGAAGCCACAAGGAAGCACUCCCGUGACUUUGGCUCGUCUUCUGGUUCCGCGUUUCCAAAACGCAGGCUGUGGGUUCCAAACAGUUCUCUGCCGCCAAGAUACACUCCGAGGCCAUCCUACGUGGCGCCUCAGACGAAUCAGGCCAACCCUCCAGCAAAAGCUUAUGGUGGUCCAGCUAGCAAUGCUGCACCACGUGCCAACCAGGUGAUAUGCAACAAGUGUGGAGAACCAGGGCAUUAUUCCCGUGAGUGUCCUCAGAAUGUGGGUGCCAAGCAACCCGGAAAGUCUGUCGGGCAGGCCAAGUCGGGCAAAGCGUUUUAUGUGAAGCCAACUCCUGCACGUGGCCGUGUGAACUAUGUGUCAGCAGAAGAAGCUGCAGAGGAUCCCGACGUCAUGCUGGGUACGCUUCUUGUUAAUCAUCACCCAGCGUCCGUUCUCUUUGACACUGGGUCUUCUCAUUCCUUCAUUUCAGAAAGUUAUGCACAGUUGCAUAACAUGUCAUUUUGUGAUAUGCCAAUCCCAUUGGUUGUCCAAACCCCUAGUAGUAAAUGGCAAACCUCUAGGAUAACCUAUGACAAUGAAAUUCUAGUAGACAUGCUAGUUUUUCUAGCCUCAUUGAUAGCGUUGAAAUCUUCGGAUAUUAAUAUCAUCUUGGGCAUGGACUGGAUGUCAGCUCACUAUGCCAAGAUUGAUACUUGCUCUAGAAAUGUCCAGCUUACCCAUCCCUCGGGUGAGAUAGUAAAUGUCUCUACUCGAGUUGCCAAAUGCCAGCUCUAUUCCCUAAAUGCCAACCCUCUUCCGGAACUUGAAGACAUUCCGGUAGUCCGUGACUUCCCGGAUGUUUUUCCAGAGGAACUGCCAGGAAUUCCACCUGACAGAGAUGUAGAGUUUGUGAUAGAUCUUGUUCCGGGAACUGUCCCAAUAGCUAGAAGACCUUAUAAGAUGGCACCCCUGGAGCUAGCCGAACAUAAGAAGCAAUUAGAUGAGGCCUUGAACAAGGGUUUCAUUCGUCCUAGCUCUUCUCCUUGGGCUUGUCCCGUCCUCUUCGUCAAGAAGAAAGACAGAACGGAUCGGAUGGUUGUAGAUUACCGACCAGUUAACCUGGUCACCAUAAAGAACAAGUAUCCGCUCCCCAGGAUCAACGAUCUGUACGAUCAGCUCGCUGGAUCCUCAGUCUUCUCCAAAAUGGAUUUUAGGUUGGGAUACCAUCAAAUCAAGAUUAAGAACGGGGACAUUCCAAAAACGGCUUUUGUUACUCGUUAUGGCCAAUAUGAGUACACCGUUAUGUCCUUCGGUUUAACCAAUGCCCCAGCCACCUUCUCUCGGCUGAUGAAUUCAAUCUUUAUGGAGUAUUUGGAUAAAUUCGUCGUAGUAUACCUCGAUGAUAUUCUCAUCUACUCCAAGAAUGAACAUGAACAUGCCGAGCAUCUAAGGCUGGUAUUUUCAAAAUGUGAAUUCUGGUUACCAGAAGUGACCUAUCUAGGCCACGUAAUCUCUGGUAAGGGUAUUGCUGUCAAUCCCGAGAGAGUUCAAGCUGUCCUUGAUUGGACUCAACCUGAAUCGGUUAAGCAAGUUAGGAGUUUUCUUGGUCUAGCGAGCUAUUGUCGCCGCUUCGUCGAGAAUUUCUCUAAGGUUGCAAAGCCUCUAACUGAACUCCUCAAGAAGGAUAAAAAGUUCGAGUGGACACCACAGUGUGAGCAUAGUUUUCAGGAACUGAAAAGACGCCUGACUUCCGCACCUGUGUUGCUACCACCAGAUUUUUCUAAGGACUUUGUUAUCUAUUGCGACGCCUCGCGACAAGGAUUAGGUUGCAUUCUCAUGCAAGAUCGUCAUGUGAUCGCAUACGCAUCUCGCCAGUUGCGUCCACAUGAGGAUAAUUAUCCCACACAUGACCUUGAGCUUGCAGCUGUGGUCCAUGCACUAAAAACCUGGCGAGAUUACCUUUUGGGUAAUCGUUGCGAAAUAUUCACUGAUCACCAAAGUCUGAAAUAUAUCUUCACCCAGCCGGAUUUGAAUCUCAGGCAAAGACGGUGGGUUGAGUUGAUCUCGGAUUACGACUUAGGGAUAACUUACACCCCGGGGAAGGCCAAUGUUAUGGCCGAUGCACUAAGUCGUAAAUCUUAUUGUAACAAUCUGAUGCUACAACAAGGACAACCACUUCUCCAUGAGGACUUUCGGAAGUUGAAUCUUCAUAUUGUUCCUCAAGGAUUCCUUUCUACCCUGGUGGCGAAGCCUACUCUUAAGGAUCAAAUUAUAGCUGGCCAAAAGCGUGACAAGGGUAUAUCACGGAUCAAGGAGAAUAUUUUUAGCGGAAACGCUAAAGAAUUUUCCAUGAAUGAUCAAGGUGUGGUAUUCUUCCAGAAUCGUUUAGUGGUUCCUAAGAACCCACAUCUAAGGCAGUUAAUCCUUAAGGAGGCACAUGAUUCCCCUCUCACCAUUCAUCCUGGUAGUACUAAGAUGUAUCAGGACCUACGCCAGAGGUUCUGGUGGACUAGGAAGAAGAGAGAAAUUGCUGAGUUCGUUGCUAACUGCGAUGUUUGUCGUCGAGUUAAGGCAGAACAUCAAAGGCCUGUGGGCACCCUUCAACCUUUAGCUAUUCCUGAAUGGAAAUGGGAUAAAGUUAGCAUGGAUUUCAUUACCGGAUUUCCCAAGACCAAGAAAGGAAAUAAUGCUAUCUUUGUGGUCAUUGACCGUUUUUCCAAAGUGGCUCAUUUUCUUCCUAUUCGUGAGAGUAUAACAGCUAGCCAGCUAGCAGAGUUAUAUAUCUCUCGAAUAGUGUCUCUUCAUGGUGUUCCCCUGGAAAUUAACUCGGACCGUGGAAGUAUCUUUACUUCUCGUUUCUGGGAAAGUUUUCAGAAUGCCAUGGGGACUCACUUAUCUUUUAGCACUGCUUUCCAACCCCAAUCAAGUGAUCAAGUAGAAAGAGUGAACCAAAUCCUAGAAGAUAUGCUCCGAGCUUGUGUUAUUUCGUUCGGUAUGAAUUGGGAGAAGUGCUUUCCAUUCGCCGAAUUCGCUUAUAACAACAGUUAUCAAUCAAGCUUGGGCAAAGCCCCUUUUGAAGUUCUCUAUGGACGAAGAUGUCGAACACCUCUUAAUUGGUCAGAAACCGGAGAGAGGCAACUCUUUGGUCCGGACAUGAUCCAGGAUGCAGAAGAGCAGGUUCGCAUUAUUCGUGAAAAGUUGAAAACAGCCCAAUCUCGUCAAAAGAGCCAAUAUGAUCGUCAUCAUAAGGCUGUGACCUUUGAAGUUGACGAGAAGGCUUACCUUCGGGUUACACCUUUGAAGGGUACCCAUCGUUUCGGUAUCAAGGGCAAGUUGGCUCCUCGUUACAUUGGUCCUUUUCGCAUUCUUGCCAAACGAGGAGAAGUUGCCUACCAGUUGGAACUUCCUCCGCAUCUUUCCAAGGUUCAUGAUGUUUUUUUACGUCUCGCAACUCAGGCGUUGCUUUUCGGAUCCUAUCCGUGAAGUGGACCACGAAACGCUUGAUCUCCAAGAUAACCUUUCUUACCGAGAAUAUCCCGUGCGUAUUCUUGAUCAAGCUGAGCGUACCACUCGACGUCGAAACCUCAAGUUUCUUAAAGUUCAAUGGUCAAAUCAUUCUGAAAAGGAGGCAACUUGGGAAAGAGAGGAUCGUCUCCGACUCGAAUAUCCUGCGUUAUUCCCGACGACUUCUAAAUCUCGAGACAAGAUUCUUUUGAGUGGGGGUGAGUUGUCACAUCCCUAACCCUUAAGCAAGAUAGCAUUGUGCUCAUGUAUUCUUUGCAUUUGCAUCUAAGAAGUUUCAACAAAAACAACAAAGUGGCAAAGGAGAAACUCAAAACCCUAGCCACCAUUUCAAUUAAAGGAAAUUUCAACUAGUUCAAAAUCAAUGAACACAAAAUGGCCUCAAGAAAUGUUCAAACUUUCUGAUAAAUCAUGAAAGUAAAUGAGCAUUGGAGAAAACUAUUUUCUUGACACUUUAAGCAUUUUAAAUAAAUGCAAAAGCCACUGGUUUCAAAUUUAAAAAUUUGAAAUCAGAAACUAUAAUUUUCCAAAAAUGUUGGAAGUCUUGGAAAUGAGUGGGGAUAUUAUAACAAAUAUUUCAGGAGGUCAAAAUUAGUUUUUACCUUUUGUUUUGGAGCUGAAAUAAUUAGCAAAGCAAUAAACAGCAAAACAGAAAAAACCAAAAAAAGAGAAAAUGGGAAAAGCUUACCUGACGCCCAAGUCAGGCCCAGCCCAUCUCGCCGCUCGUCCCCUUCCCCGCGCCAGUAGGCAGCAGGAGGUGGCCGCCGCCUCCUCCGGCGCGGCCACGCACCUGCGUGCCUGCCUGGCCGCCGGUUCGAGCUGGCGACGACGGGGAUAAGCUCCCCAGAGCCUCCCCUAUCCAUUCCCUGCCUCGGUUCUCCUCCUCCGCCCGGAUCCCCUCCUUCUCCCUGCUGUCGCCAUUAGAGCCGAGCUCGAGCUCGAGCUGGCCGUGCCCCUGGCCAUAGGAUCCCCUCCGCAAGCACGCCAUUAGCUCCGCCUCGUCGCCCUGGUCAUUCCUGCAGAAGUCGAAGCUUCCUCGCGCCCUGCAACGCCCGCAACGCCGUCGUCUUCUUCCUCCGGCCGCCGGACAUCUCCCGUCGAUUCGUAGCCCCCAGGCCUUCCCCGAGCCGUCUGAGCUCUUCUCUGCACUCCCUGUGAGCAUGCGGUGGUUUUCCCUAAGUUUUCCCCGUCGAUCCCCUCCUCUAGCCCUAGUUUCACCGGAGCCCGACGAGCACCGCCGCUUCCGCUCGUCGCCGGUAGCCCUCCGAUGUCCAGCUCGUCCUCCCGAGAGCACCAGCAGCUCCAGGACGACGCGUAGAUGCCGUAGCAGCUAAGAACUAAGCGCGGAUCCCCCUGUUUCAAAGCCCCCGACGACGCCCGAGCUUCGGCCGCCGCUCCGGCUCGUCGCCGACGCCUCUUCCGGCGACCCUAGCCUCCCAAGUUGGUCCUGCCAGAUCGGCCACUUCGCGGGCUUGCUGUAGCUGCCAACCGCGUGCGUUUUCGUGCUGUGCAGCGCCGUCUAGAUCGCCUCCGGCGAGCCCUCCGCCGCGGGUUUGGUCGCCGGCGACCACCCUCCGGUGGCCGUCGACGUGGCCGACCAUUAGGGCCUAAUCGCCCUCCCCUGAGUCGCUGCCAGAGGGCCCCACGCCUGGUCCAACCCCAAUUAGGGGCUGGUCAGCGCGGGAUUAGUCCCAUAGAGGCUGACCAGUGGGGCCCCCCUGUCAGGUUUGACCUGCACAGGUCGGCUGACCUACUGACGUCAGCCUUAUGCAAUAAAUAAAAUUUCCAGUAUAAAAAUAAUUCAGGAAAUUGCUAAAAAUUGCAAAAUUCAUAGAAAUUAAUCUGUAACUCCAAUGAAAAUAAUUUAUAUAUGAAAAAGUAUCAGAAAAAUUCAAGGAUUCUGAUUAUGCUAUUUUCAACUAUGUUUGAAAAAGUUACAGAACCCUAAAUUGUGAAAUAAGGAAUAAUUCAAUUCUUUUAAUCACUUUAUAAAUGGAAUUUGCAAAAUAUCCAAAUUUCAUUAUAAAUACAAUGAUCACACACUGCCCUAGAUGUAAAUCAGUACCAUAACAUGACAUUUCAUGCAUGUUAACAUUAGGUUGAUCUGAGCAUCAGGUCGAAUCAAUUAAACCGGUAUCCGGGAAUACCCGUUUGAAUUGCUUCUCGAAUGUGAUUCAAAUCAACUCUAAACCUAAAACAUCUUGAUUAUAAUAACUUAUCACCUGCAUUCUCAUGCCUUGCUCAUGCAUCAUUUUGAUUGCAUAUGAUUGUUAUUGAAUGUUGCCAUUCCUUUCGGUAGGCUCCGCACCCCCGGAUUCCACCGAAUAUCCGUCUGACGGAUAUCGUUCCUCCUCUGAGCAACAAGGCAAGCAACCCUUUUGAUCAUCCCGAUAACACCUAUGUUCUUGCUCCUGCACCUAUUUAUUGCAUUAGGAUCAAAUGCUUCAAUUGCUUUUGCCACGAUAGUUGGACCCACUUCCUUUGCAUGUCUUAACCUUGUCACAGUAAAUAGCCGAACCUUGCAACCUAGCAUACCUGGUAGUUGCUUGAGCUAUAAUGUGCCUUAUCCUGCCAUGCAUGCUAUGCUUAGAGUUGUGUAUGGUCUGUCAUCUGGGAGAUGAACAGAAAUGUGGAAUGUGUUCGGUGAGCAAAGGUCGUGUGUUGAACUUGAUUUGGUAAAGGUACCGGUGAAAGGCUGUGUAGGAGUACAUGGCGGGUUGUUUCAUUGGAACCGUCCUUAGGAACUGAGUUCCGUGUAUGUAAUCCAAGACUGGAUACUACCACAUGCUGGGCCCUGAAAUAUGACCCCGCUCGGCCUAUUAAUCGCUUAGUACUCGGUCCAGGAGUUGCAAGUAGUUUCUGGUGUUUAUAGUAAUGCUGGAGGCCGUGCAUGGUGCUGACCUGAGAGGUGGACCGUGAUGCGGUAGGCAGUGGCACCCGGAUGGUGGGCUUGGGAACCCUGCGCACAUCGUUUGAGGCCGUGGCGGAAACCUCGGCCGGACUUCCGUACGGGUUACUCUCAGAUAGGCGAUAAACCUGGACUAGGUACUAGUGUGGUUAACGGUCGUGGCCGACUCCCUCGCUGGGCUUCCGCUUGAAGGUUGCCGAGGUGCAUGACGUGCACAUGGCGAUAAGUGGCGGAAGCGUGUGUGACGAAGUACACCCCUGCAGGGUUAUGAUCUAUUCGAAUAGCCGCGUCCGCGGAUAUGGACUACUUGGAGACAUAUGUUGUUCAUAGAUAACUUCAAUGGCUACUCACAAAAUUGUCAAGAUAAGCUUGAGUGUCGUGGACGGCAUUUCCAUAUGGAGACGGAAUGAUUCCACGAUAGUGUAUUGUUGUGGUGUUAGUGGACUCGUGUGCGAGAAAUCAAGUUGUCAAAACUAAUUUCAAAAAGCAAGUUGUCUAGCCACGAGUCAAAUGCUGGCUUUCCGCAUGAAAUCCCACAAUACCUUCUUGAUACCUUGCAUGAGUAGUUAGUCAUCCUAAAGUCUUGCUGAGUACCUUCGUACUCAUGUUUGCUUAAUAAAUGUUGCAGAGAUUGUUAAUGACCCUAAUGGAGGGUUCUUCGUAGACAUCGACGACGACGAGUAGCUGGUGUCCCAGCUACGAUCUGGCCCUACGUCGGCUCUGUAGUAUAGUCAGGCCAUGUGCCUUCUAGUUGCUCUGUCUGUACCCAGACAGUUUAUAACUCUUCCUCUGGCUUGUAUUGUAUGACUGCUAUUCUGGGUCGUGAGACCCUUAAUGUGUAAUAAUAUGUGUGUGGCUCUUCCGAGCCUCUUAAAUAAAGCUUGUAUGUUUAUGGUUAUGUUGUGAUGCCAUCGAUGUAUCUAUACAUAUCGGUAUGCCAUGCGUACGUGUGUCUUACUUGAUAUGUAUGGGGUUCGAAUACCUAGUCGUGAACUUUAGUAGCACUCCUUACAAGGAAAUGCCCCUUUGUGAUCCAACGAGCCUUGGUAGUUCGCUACUGCUCCGGACACAUUGGUUGACCGGCAUGUGUCCUUCUUAGCUGCUGUGUCUGUCCCCUUUGGGGAAAUGUCACGCGACGUAAUGGAGUCCUUGUAGCUUGCUACGACUCAUCUACGUUCGUUGAUGACCGACACCGGCUUUGUUGGGUCAUGUAUGCUUGUCCUUGUGCGGAACUGCCACUUUGGUUUAUGACUAGACAUGUCGAUCCGGGUUCUUUGACAUUCGAAUGGUAGCGACACUAUCGCAUACGUGAGUCAAAAUACGCAAACGGUCCAGGCUAAGGUAAGGCUGCAGCCGUGGAGUUAACCGUGUGUGAGACCACAAAGGGAUGCGAUGUGUUACAGGCUGGAUUCCUAUGGCUUAAGAUCGGGGUCCCGACAAAACGGGGCUCCGAUCCGUCGACGUUUGACUCCGGUAGGAGGAGAUGAAGUUGGCUCUCUUCUAUGUUGAGGAGGUUAACAGAGACUCUCUGUUGUGUUCUCUGUUGUGUGUUAACAGAGAGAGAUGAGAGUGUGGGAGUUAAAUACAAUAAAAACAAAUGAUGUAUUCCAUAUAUAUGAAUGUAUGUAUGUAUGAGAUGCGAUGUAUGUAUUGCGUAUAUAGGUAUUUGGAGGAAUACGAUAUUUGCAUGUUUAUAUCUAUGAAUAAAAUCGAGUAUUUGGCCUAAGGUCACUUACCGGUGGGGCCAACGCACCCGCUGUCUAUGACAGGGAGGCCCCACGCGAUAAUUAAAAAAAUAAAGAUAAUGUUAAUGUUUUUAUUAAAUAAAUAAAUAGAUAUAUAUUAGUUAAAUUAAUUAAUUGGAUCUUUAGGAUAAUUGGAGUAUGACACGUGGGUCACCCACUAAAUUAAUCUGAUUAAUUAAUAUUUAAUCUAUAUUAAAACUUGUGGCUGUGACGUUCGGGACCCGUUGGUCAGUUGACCAGUCAACUGUUGAUGUCAGCAUGCCAUCAUGCUGAUGUCAUAAUAGAUUUUUAUUAAAUUAUUCAAAUUUGUUUUUAAUUCCUAAUUAUUGAAUAAAACAUUAAAAAUUAAUAUUAAAUAAUCCGUAAGUCAGAUCAAAAUAUUUUCAACAUGAAAGUUGAUGAGCAGAACGAGACGAACCCGGAUACACGGUCCAUUCAUCUGUGACGCGUCCCUAGCAUAGCAAACAUGGAACUUUUCUAUCGUUUCCAAUCUGACCGGUAGUAGCCCGAGACCUGGAAAAUAUCGUCAGAUAAUCUUCUGACCCGUCUAUGACGGAUGUUGCUGCAUUAGCUCAUGUCUAGCCUGCAUCUUGCCAUGUCAUGCUUUGUGUUGCACCGUUGCUAUUAUUUAUUGUUUCUUCCCCCUCUUCUUAUGGGUAGACCCCGAGACUGACGCUGCUGCUGGGAACAUCUACGACCCUGCCGAUCAGUCCUUUGCCGCAGAGCAGCAAGGCAAGCAAACCCCCCUUGAUCAUUCCUAUAUCGCUUAUGUCUUUCUUCCUACUGCUUGCAUUAGUAUUUUGCUACUGUUGUAGUUAGCUCCUAUAUCUGAUGCAUAGCCUAUUUUUUAUGAACUGCUACUUUCAGUCCUGUACCUUUAAUAUGCCUAGUAUAGGUGGAGCAGUCAUCCCCUAUUACCCCGUAGUUCAGUUGCCCCGCUUGUUUUCAAAUCUCGAUCUCUAAUCGACGAGCCAGACCCGACACAGCACAUUCACCCCCUUCGUUGUACGACGCUACACAGAUACUAUCGGGUACCGAGGGUGACACCUCGCUAAGUACUCGUGAUGAUAUCUCUGUAGUAUAGCUAGUCGGUCGUGGUUAUCGAGGGUGAUUCCUCUUUCACCAUUCCCGAUGAAGCCUCUGUCGUGCAACCCCUCAAGUGUGGGACCCUCGAGGGUGAUUCCUCUAAGUCCACCUUUAAAUUCCCGGGUACAUCGUUCGGAGUCCAACGAGGGUGAUACCUCGGAUUCCCCCUGAUGUUACAGCCACACAGUUACUCGACCAUGUUACUGGGAUCAUUGGUGAUUAGUUGUAAGACGGGUGGAUUCCCGUGAGACUAUGUUGGCCUAUUUAAAAUGUUAAUGGAUUUGGGUAUUUGAUCUGGGUUGGUCGGAGACCUUUUCGCACUAACCGGCUACGCGGGAAGAAUUAUGGGUACUCGGCGUCGCGGUAUCAGCCGAAGCUUUUCAGAUGCCAGCAAUGUAGCGGCGCACGCCCGAGUGGUCCCGAGAUGCAUCGCUCUUGUGAUUAAGGGAUGCUAAGACUGACGUCGGCCGCCCACGCCACGUGCAGGAGCGCGAAGGGGAACUGGGCCCACGAACCCUUUGUGCUUAGGAGUUAGACCGGCGGGCUGGCCUCUCUGAUUAGUCUUAGGUGGGGCUGCGACGUGUCUAUAUUCCGAGGCCGGGCAGGACCCAGAAAAGUAUGUCCGGCCAGAGUGUUAUCGGGCAUGACGGGACAUGUGGUGCACCCCUGCAGGGAUGAAAGUUAACUAUUCGGAUAGCCGUGUCCACGGUUAUAGGACGACUUGGAGUCGUGCCCCGAUCUUUGACAACUACAAUUGUUACAUAACAAGAUCAUUAGUUUGCCUCGUGAUUGCUUCCUCGCAGCGAGUCCAGGGAGGAUCUUUAGGCGUGACCUCACUUCAAUAUUGCUGCAACAAUAUGACUAUUAAUGUGUUACCCCUGUUCUACUCUCGUGUAUUGCUGCAAGACCCUGAAGAUGCUAGUCUUCGAUAGGACUAGGCCUUCUCUCUCUAUUCUCGCAUUGCUGCAGUCAGUCCACAUAUAACCCCCCCUUCUUUGAUACUGAUGCAUAAUUAGAAUAGUUAUGAUGUAAGACUUGCGAGUACUUUGGAUGAGUACUCACCGCUGCUUUGCUCUCCCCUUGUCCCCUUGAUCCGUUUGCUGCGACCAGAUGAUGGAGCCCAGGAGAUGGAGUUUUUCCUGCCGACGCCUGUCGUCCCGAUGGUGUCUUCUACGUGGAGGCCGCUCAAGAUAGGAGUAGUUUAGGAGGUUCCCAGGCAGGAGGCCUCGCCUCGUUCGAUCGUGUUUCUUUUGUGCUAGCCUUCUCUAAGGCACCCCUUGUUUUAUAUCUGUACUCAGAUAUUGUUGCUUCCGCUGACUCGUGUGUUUAUCGAGCUUUCGUAUUCUAGCCCUCGAGGCCCCUGGCUUGUAAUAUGAAUCUGAUGUUAUUUUAUUUGUGUCUAGAGUUGUGUUGUGAUAUCUUCCCGUGAGUCCUUGGGUUUGAUCGUACGCAUUUGCGUGUAUGGUUAGCGUACGAUUAAAUUGAGGGCGUCACAAGUUGGUAUCAGAGCCGACUGCCUCUAGGUAGUCCCCUUUCCAACUCCUUGGCCGAAGUUGAGUCUAGUGUUUGAAAAACUUUACUAACACUUAUGUUGUGGCUUACGGGCCCACAUCUCAAUUGGGUGGUAUUAGUAUCUUUUACUCCUUUCCUAUACUCUGGGAUCUACUCUCUCUUCUCUUUCGGGAUAAAGAUUUUGCUAACUCUAACAUUAGGUUCUCGUAAAUACUUCCUCCCGAAGAGCCCCGUAUUCCAGACGCUGGCUUUAUCCCUCAGAAGAACUGCAGUUACUCUUCGAUGUUCUCUUGAGCUGUUGUGCUCAUUGUUUCUGCAAUUUUCCCUUCCUUCGUCAACCACUAUGGAUGACUACAUGCAAAUGUCGUUCAUACUUUCUUCUCCAAUUGCUCUUGUUUACGAGAUGCAAUGAAUUAUUUUAUCGGGGAUUCGUCCAUCAUCAGUUGUCAUGGGUUUAGAAAGUUCUUCGACUUACUAUUCGGUCUUCGGAAAUCCUCCGUAGCCUAACGUUCAUGACCUUUCUCACCUGCUUGCAUUAUAGUUAAAUCCACAUGUCUAGCAGCAUUCAUUAAAAUCCUUUGUGAUUUUCCUGUGAUCUUAUUGAUUCUACCUUUCUGUGAAUGCACACGAUCAUCUGUUGUGGCUCGUAAAUUAUCUAUCGGCUCAGACGUCCUUCCAGACCGAGUUGGUUCUCGACAAAUCAAUUUUUAUUGAUUGUCCAUCUAAAUCUAUUCAACUUACUUGUAUUUGAUCGGAGGAUCUGAUUAUGAUACACCAACCUAGAAAUCAUAAUUCCUUUGGUGAUUAAGUAUCGAUAUUUUUCAGAUGUUCUAUAAUCCGAUGCCUUGCGUUUUACCCCCUAUGAUUGAGUACCGGUACUCACAUCAAAUCAUUUGUGGAUUGCCACACUCAUUUGGGUUAUUAUCCGACGUCAUCCUUUGCUUUAGAAAAUUCUUGUGAUUGCUUCCCAUGACACAUGAUGCCAUUGGUAAAUUGUGUCUUCUCCCUUUGAUAAGUUGUACCAUAUGAUUUGUCAGCCAUGCCCUUCAAGCAUGUGUUAAUUACUCAUGGAGUUUGUGGUAUAUGUUCCUAAGAUGCCCCGAUGUGUUGAACCUAUGCCUUCCUAAAUCAAUAUGACCCGAAGAGUUUUCUCGAGUCUUACUCUUCUGGUGUUAUGCCGGUUAUUCUUUCAAAGCUACAACUGAUCAAAGGCGAGGAAUAAAUGGCAGGUGAUGCAUUGAUGAAGUGGGAGUCGACCUUGAACUCUGUGUUCAUGACCAUGGAAACGACGUUGAUCCUACGAUAGAAACUUCUCGUAUCAAUAAUCAUUCAUUAUAUGAUUUGAUCUGGUAUCUGUGAUCUUGUACUUUACAACCGUGGUUCCGACCAUGUUGUCCUACCUUGAUUUCAUUCUUAGAUGAGUUAAAGUACUUGUCUUCUUCAGAUCAAUACAUCGGUCCAAGCCUUAAUGUUGAUCUACCUCCGAAUAUUAUUCCUUGUAGCUUGAGGAUAUCACGAAGCUAUAUAACUUCUUGUGAGCUCCUCAUCAACUAUGAUGUUUUCAUUAAUUCCAGUUUCCUCAUGUUUGAGUUGUUGGACAUGCGAGUACAUCGAUAACUAAAUCGAGUACGCAUUGCGAUUCAACCAUCUUUUAGUAAUCUUCCUUGUUUACGAGUUUAUACUCGAUCCUGUCAUUCCAAGCUGUUAAGCUACAUCAUCAUUGUCAUGUUGUAGCUCGACCAUGCUAUCUAUACCCUUCAUCCCUGGAACACAAUUCCAACCGUGCGUUAAGCUUCCAUCGAGCUUUCCACAUCAUGUUGGUUGUCUUGAAAGGCAAUCUCAAUUCUAAGCUAGCAGUCUUAUCUGUGUUUCCGACAACCUCUUGCUUCAUCAUUCCCUUGCUUGAUGUCGUCGCUAAACGAUUACAUCUUCAUGACAUUUCUCGACAAAUGUGUCGUGAUCAUCAUCAGCAUUCUGAGCUCUUGCAGGGUAUCAAUCAAAUGCAUGUUUACAAAUACCAUCCUUGUCCCUCGAUGAUUGUAUUAUCAUCGGCAUCAUUAUUUACCUUCCCUCCAACACAAAUGUGUUCAUGUUUUGUGUUGUCCCUUAAGUCCCUUGCUAGUUCAGCUUAUGUUAUCUUCUACCUUGGAGUAUUACUAUCUUUUUUAUCAAGAAUGUUGUGAGCAUCAUUACACCUCUUAAGAAUUCUUGAUAUAGUGAUGCUUCUCGGCAACGCCAGUCAUUUCUUGGUCCCGUGUUGUUUCAAACCGGAAUACCAACAAGUGAACUCUGAUGUGUGAUUCCAAUACUUCUGGCAACCCUGUUGCCUUGAGGUUAACAACUGAUUGUUUCAUUCUUAGUGUGUUGGGUGUUGACUAAUAAUUUUAGCAUUUGUCGUGCUACUCACUCAGUAAUUCCGAGUGCACCCUUUUACCAAUGUUUAAUUGUUGUUGUUCCCUCGAGCAUACGACAUUAUACCAUUUGAUUUGACAAAUGCUAUCUCUUUGAUAUUAUAAUUUUGGCUGUCAAAAUUUUGACGGAUUGUUGUUGAGCCCAUCAGCCACACCCUCAACUUCUCUAUGUUCCACGAUGAAGCUCUUGAAAUCAUUAUCCUUGUGCCUAGAUCAUGAAGAAUAUGUGGAUAGUAGAAGUGUAUUUCCCAAAGUUCACGUGCACUCUUUCCGCCGUGAAUAUGGAAAGUUUUGUUUCACUUCCUCUCGUGAAAUACCAAAUCAUUCACGCAUGUGCGAAGUGUUAUAUGUUUGGAAGAUUUGCUAUACUCACUCCAUAUAAUUUCUCUUAGCACGUCAAGCUACUGACUGAUUUGAUCAAGGAAAAGAAGUUCUUUCAUAAGAGCUAAUCCAAACUUACACAUGGAGCCUUGUUAUCCUCGAUGAUGGUGCCCAAAUGAGAACCCAGUUGCAUUUUGAUGUACGAAUUCUAUGUGGGCACGAAUGUCUUGACAUUGUGUUCAUAUGUAUUAAAUCAAACUCUUGAUUCAAGAAUUGCUUGUGUAGCUCACCUCAUGAGAAUCUUGCAUUUUCAUCCUUCUUCUUAGGUAUCUUGAGCCUGAGGUGUCCUGGCACCAAUCAGAUUUGAAUAUCGGGCACGUAUCCCAAUAAUUAUAACUUUGGUCUUUAGGAACACCGGUACAGUGAUGUCUUGUCUGGCACACUGGGUCGGAGGACCUAUUGUUAUAAAUCCUUCCAUAUGUAAGGUUCGCCAUUCUACCAUGGGGAAAUUGUAUGACUUAGCUUUGUAAGUUGUCCCUCCUAGUUCCUCUUUGUAUACCCAUAAGUCCAACAUUUAUCUGAUGACCAUGUCGAUGCUACCCCAAAGCACGGAUGUGGUACUUUAAAUUCCAACAGGAACAUUGGAAGCGCGAUGCUAAAUUGUUCCUGAUCAAUUAUCCAAACUACAUGGUAUGGAUAAACAUGAUGAUUCUUCUUGUCUCUUUACCAAGAUGGUUAUGUACUGGAUGACCUAUCAUGUAUACCAUACUCUAUGAUUUCCUCGGGAAUGGUAUACUCUAAUACUUGUGUGUGUGAACACAUUUUCCCUUCCCAUUGGUCUGUUUGAUUUUUAUUGUGGCAUAACUUAUCUAAGCAGUGUUAAUUCCCUGCUUAGGUAAAAUUCUCGGUAUAUAACUCUGUCAGUAAGACCCUGUUACUAUUAUGGAUAACAUCCCGGUAGCCGCCGGUGAACGAGAACCUUGCCUAUUGGUCCGCCUCGUUUCAACGAGCAGGAAAAUGGUUCUAUUCGUCCCCCGCCCUUUGUACCGACGUUGUUCCAACAUAACUGACAUGCUAUCCUCUGACAUGUCUUGAUACCAAGACCAUGUAAUAUGUCACCCCUCUGUCUACUCUCGGCCCACAUGGUGGACCCAUAACCCAAAGUUCCUCAGGAUUGAAACCAGACUCUCUUGUACAUCUUUGACUCCAAAGUAUCCUUUACACUUGGCUUCGUAUGAAAUUCUCGAGCCACCGUUCAAUGUACCAAUCACUCUUCGGUCCGGAUAUUAUCCAACAUACUAAAGAUCAAGUCCACAUUUUUCAUGACAAUCUGAAGGUUGCUCAGUCUCGUCAGAUGAGUCGGUAUGACCGUCAUCAUCAAGAUAUGGUAUAUCAACCUGGCAUAAAGGCUGAUCUUCACGUCACACCAAUGAGAGGUGCACAUUGUUUUAAGAUCAAGAGCAAGUUAGCUUCUCGCUAUAUUGGUCCUUUCAUUUUUUUCGAAAGGCGAGGAAAAGUGGCUUAUCAAUUUGGAACUGCCGGCGAACCUUUCUCAGGUUCACGAAGUCUUCCAUGCUUCUCAGCUCCGUCGCUGCUUCAAGAAUCCUAUCCGAGCAGUGGAUCAUGGUAUGCUUGAGCUGCAACAAGACCUCUAUUAUAAAGAGCAUCCGGUCCGCAUUCUCGACCAAGCUGAACGUAAAACUCGUCGCAAAGUCACCAAGUUCCUUAAGGUGUCGUGGUCAAAUCAUUCUGAAGAUGAAGCCACUUGGGAACGCAGGAUCAUCUUCGUGAUGAAUACCAGGGGCUCUUUCCUUCUACCUCUUAAUUCUCGGAACGAGAAUUCUUGUUAGUAGGGAAGAGUUGUGACAUCCCCGGAUUAGGCUACAGUGAUCCCGGUAAUUGAACUACAGUACACCUAUGCAAAGGAUGCCAUGUCACCGUGUUUCCUAUCAUUGAUCUCGCGAUUGUUUGAGUCAGUCCGAAUUUAAGACUUAAGUUUAAAAUCAAACGAGAAAAGUUANNNNNNNNNNNNNNNNNNNNNNNNNNNNNNNNNNNNNNNNNNNNNNNNNNNNNNNNNNNNNNNNNNNNNNNNNNNNNNNNNNNNNNNNNNNNNNNNNNNNAUAUCUUUUAUAACUAUUUGUUUCAUUUCGUGUUUACGAUUAUGCCCAUCAAGUUGAUAUAUAUAUUUUUAUCUAGGAGGUAUGUGAACCAGAAAUUGCAAUCGACCCUCUUAUCGAGAAGUUAAAUUUAGUUGAAAAAGAAAAUGGUUAUUUGAAAGAAAAAUUGAAAAGAAUUGAAGAAGAGAAAAUGAAAUUGGAGUUGUAUGUUGCCCAUGUCGUUGAUGAUCAUAAGAUCAAGAUGGAUGCAAUGCGCUUGACGGUUAGAAAGAUUAGAAAAUAUGAUAUUAAUAAAGAGGCUUGUUAUCAUUAUGUUGUUGGAUCAAUUAUUACCUUAGCUGCGAUUUUGAUUGAAUAUGUUGUUGCAUUUAAAUUCUUUAGAUAGUUGUAUGUUGUUUUAUGAGAAGUAUAUAUAUAUAUUUUUGCAGUAAUAACAUUUGGUCACUACUCUACUUUAGUUUUAGUGUGGUGAAAUUGUAUUAAUUUGGUCACUUCAAUGGUGUGUAGUGAAGAUGAGCCGGCAAUGUAUGUACAAUGAUCGACGCUCUCCCGAGUUCAUUAAUGGCCUGCACAAUUUUAUGCGUGUGGCUGAGGCGAACAAGCAGAAUGGUUUUAUGUGUUUUCCAUGUGGUGUCUGUAAGAAUAAUAAGAUUUAUUGUACCUCAAAGAUCCUUCACAACCAACUGCUUCAGUCCGGUUUCACGUCCGACUAUAAUUGUUGGGCCAAGCACGGAGAAAGAGGGGUUAUGAUGGAAGACAAUGAAGAAUAAGAAGAUGAUGACAACUAUCCUAUGUUUCCUGAAUACGGUGAUACUUAAAAGGGGGAAGAUGAAGAUCAAGAGGCGCCAGUGUUGAUGCAUAGAGAAAAUGCGAAAGUAAAAGGAGAGGUUGAAGUUGGAGCGCAAGUUAUAGGAUAAAAAAAAAUUUGUACCCAAAUUGCGAAGAUGACAAGAAAAAGUUGGGUACCACACUGGAAUUGUUGUAAUGGAAGGCAAAAAAUGGUGUAUCUCACAAGGGAUUUGAAAAGUUGCCGAAUAUUACAAAUAAGAUGCUACGAAAAGAUAAAGAAUUGCCCACCAGUAUGUACAAAGCAAAGAAGGUUGUCUUCCCUCUAGGAUUAGAGGUGCAGAAGAUACAUGCAUGCCCUAAUGACUGCAUCCUAUACCGCAAUGAGGAGUAGGGGAAUUUGAAUGCAUGCCUGGUAUGUGAUGCAUUGCGGUAUAAGAACAACCACGAUGACUCUAAUGAUGUUGAGGGAGAGCGCCCUAGGAAGAGGGUUCCUGUGAAGGUGAUGUGGUAUGAUCCUAGAAUACCAUAGUUGAAACGUUUGUUCCAAAACAAAGAGCAUGCCAAGUUGUUGUGACGGCACAAAGAAGACCGUAAGAAAGAUGCGAUGUUUUGAGUACCUGUUGAUGGGUCGCUAUGGAGAAAAAUCGAGAGAGAAUUCCCGGAAUUUGCAGUUGACACAAGGAAUUUAUGGUUUUCUCUAAGUACAUAUGGCAUGAAUCCUUUUGGGGAGCAGAGCUGCAGUCAUAGCACGUGGCAUGUGACUCUCUGUAUCGACAACCUUCCUCCUUGGUUGUCCAUGAAGUGAAAGUUCAUUAUGAUGUCAGUCCUCAUCCAAGGCCCUAAGUAACUCGACAACAACAUUGAUGUGUACCUAAGGCCAUUAGUUGAAGAAGUUUUAAAGUUGUGGGAUAAAAAAGGUGUAUGUGUGUGGGAUGAGCACAAACCGGAGGAAUUUGACAUGCGAGUGCUGUUGUUUGUAACCAUCAAUUAUUCGCCCGCUCUUAAUAACCUUUCAGGACCAACAAGCAAGGGAUACAAUGCAUACAUAUACCGUUUAGAUGAGACUAAAAGUAUAUAUUUUGAUAAAUGUAAGAAGAAUGUGUACCCGGGACAUCGUCAGUUUCUUCCGACCAGACAUCUCUUAAGAAAGAAAGUCAAGCAUUUCAAAGUUGAGGAAGAUCACCGUAAGAAGCCUCGCCACCGUACUGGUGAUGAUAUAUUUGAUAUGACCAAGCAUUUAUAAGUAAUCUUUGGAAAGGGUCCUGGCGGACAAUCUGUUCUAAGUGACGCGAACGGACACACACCCAUGUGGAAGAAGAAAAUUAUAUUUUCGGAGCUACACUAUUGGAAAGUCCUAGAGGUCCGCAAUGCAAUCGAUGUGCUGCACGUGACAAAGAAUCUUUGCGUGAACCUGAUAGGCUUCUUUGUGUGUGUGUGUGUGAAUACAAAAGAUAGACCGUAGGCAUGGGAGGACCAUCAAAGUAUCAACGAAAAAGAUGGCAUGCAUCCAAAGUCGUAUCAAGGUCCUGCUAGGUAUGCUCUUGCUAAAGAAGAGAAGGAAAUCUUUUUUGAAUGCCUUAGCAGUAUGAAGGUCCCGUCUGGCUUCUCAUCGAACAUAAAGGGAAUAAUAAAUAUGGAAAAGAAAAAAAAAUCCAAAACCUAAAGUCUCAUGACCGCCACGUGAUUAUGAUGCAAGUACUUCCGGUUGCAUUGAGGGGGAUUCUAUCGGAAAAUGUUUGAGUACCCAUUGUGAAGCUAUGUGCAUUCCUCAAUGCAAUUUCUCACAAGGUAAUCGAUCCAGAAAUCCUGCCAAGGUUACAUAAUGAUUUUCUCCAAUGUCUUGUUAGUUUUGAGGUUGUGUUCCCACCAUCCUUCUUCAAUAUUAUGACACACGUCAGAGUUCACCUAGUCCAAGAGAUUACCAUUCUAGGUCCUGUAUUUCUACACAAUAUGUUCCUCUUUGAUAGGUUCAUGGGAGUCUUAAAGAAAUAUGUUCAUAAUCGUGGUAGGCCAGAAGGAAGCAUGUCCAAGAUGUAUGGAACAGAGGAGGUUAUUGAGUUUUGUGUUGACUUUAUUCCUAACCUUAAGCCGAUUGGUGUUCCUCCGUCUUGGCAUAUGGGGAGAUUGAGUGCAAAAGACAUGCUAGGAAAUCAAGCAGUAAUAUGUAUGGACGAGCAUUCUUUCACUCAAUCACACUACAUAGUUCUACAAAAUUCCACAUUGGUGGCUCCAUAUAUCGGGGAACACAUGGAUAUUAUACACUCCAAGAACCUGGAGCAGUCUAACUCCUGGAUUAAACGUACACACAUGGCGACUUUCGGUGAUUGGUUGCAAACACAACUCAUGAAUAAGACCAUCGUUGAAGAUGAGUUGUACUUGUUGGUUAAGUCACCAUCUUCGACUAUAUUGACUUACCAAGGGUAUGAGAUAAAUGGGAAUACAUUUUACAUGAUCACCCAAGAUAAAAAGAGCACCAACCAAAACAAUGGUCUACGCUUUGAUGAAACAUACAACGAUGGGAAAAGGAACACAUAUUAUGGUUACAUAGAGGAGAUACGGGAACUUGACUAUGGAAGUUCUUUUAAGGUCCCUUUGUUUUGGUGCAAAUGGGUCAAUCUGACAGGAGGUGGGCUAGAGGCAGACCAAUAGUACGGAAUGACAACAGUGAAUCUGAACAAUCUUGGGUACACAGUCGAACCAUUCGUCCUAGACAAUGAUGUGCUCGGAUUUUCUAUGUGAAUGACAUGUCAAUCAUACCGAGAAAAAGAAAAGAUAAGGAAAUGAGUACAUCAUACGAUGAGCCAAAGUGCCACAUAGUUCUUUCAUGGAAAAUAAACAUCAUGGGCGUGGAGGACAAGACACACAUGUCUGAAGCUUAUGACAAGUUUUAUGAAAUUCCUCCCUUCAAAGUGAACACUGACCCAAGCAUCCUUUUCCAUGAUGAAAAUUCUCCAUGGUUACGGCACAACAUAAGGAAGGGACAUACACGAAUAAAAAGUCUUAUAGCCAAGAUCCAACUCACGUAUGUGACAGGCUUCAUCGUCAUCACUUUCUCUCAAGUGAGUUUCUGGACUUAUAGCUGGAAAAUCCCACUCCAAACUUUGCUACCCCUUUGUGAUGCCAGAAUCUUUGUAAGAGCUAGGGCAUUUUGUUUUUGGAAUAUUUUGGUGAAUCAAAUUAAUUUGGAUUGAUAUGAAAUUUGAAAAGUCACCGUAUAUAUCAUUUGUGACCUGCUAGAACUUUCCUAGAAUUAUCUGAGGAUAUUUCUUAUAGAAAUAUUUCAAAUACUUGAAAUGAACAAAAAGGGUUUUGGAGGGAUUUGUCCAAUAUUUUGAAACAUACUCAUAAAACACCUAUUGAAAAUAUCCUACAAAUUUUGAAUCAACUCUUUUGGUUUAUUUUCAAAUUGUUAUGCAUUUUACAAUGGAUUUUGAGAUCAAGGGGAAUAAUAAAAGGGGUUAAAACAAGUUUUUUUACUAAAUCUCCAGAAGGUGUAUAUGGAAAUGAGGUUGAUCACCCAUAGUGGGAUUGUAUGACGAAAGUUGCCAAUGUAAACUUUAUAAACCCUAGAAAAGGGCAGAAAUAUAUUUUCCUAGAUCUGGUUUUGCAAACUUGUCCCCCCUAAUGCACCACUUGGUGUUGUGGCAUUAUUUGAGGAUUAGAGCAUAUGACCAAAAAGUUUGGGGUCAAUUGAGGAAACUUGACAAUGCAAAUUUUUCAAUUCUAGAAAUCAGCAGAAAUGGGUUUAGGGAAUUUGGACAAGUGGAUCUGUUCUCCUUGAUGCACCACUUGGUGUGGAUGCAUUAUUAGGUUAUUAGAACAUGUCCACAAUGUUUGAGAAUAAUUGGAGAAAGUUGUCAAUGUAAACUUGUCCAAGUUUGGACCUGGACAAAGAUGGUUUUGGAAUAUUUUGGUGACUCAAAUCAAUUUGGAUUGAGAUGAAACUUGGCAAGGUCACCAUAUAUAUAUCAUGUGUGACUUGCUAGAAUUUUACAAGAAUUAUUUGAUAAUAUUUAUUAUUAAAUAUUUUAAAUACUUGAAAUGACCACAAAUGGUUUCGGAGGGAUUUCUCCAAUAUUUUGAAAUGUACUGAUAAAAAACUAUUUAAAAUAUCCUACAAAUUUCCAAAUUGAACAUACUCAUAAAUCACACUAAUAUUAAACAACGAGGAAAUUAAUCAUUCAAAAAUCUAUUUUUGGACUAAAGUUAUUCACAAACUAGUGAUUCACACAAAUUUCAAAGAAUUCAAAUUUAAACAAUUCAAAUUUGAAAGCUACUACCAUUAACCGUGAGUUUAAAAUUUUCUGACCUAAAGACAAAAGAUUCACUAAAAAACUCUAAAUAUUCUAAAAGUUAUUAAAAAUCUAAAAGCAAAAACAAUUCUGUUUAAAAAGGAACCUUUACUCCCGGUUGGCGAUAUCAACCAUGACUAAAGGUCGACCUUUAGUCCCGCCUCCCGGUUGGGGAUACGAACCGGGAUUAAAGGGGCUUUAAUCCCAUAUGGUAAUACCAAGAGGGACUAAUGGUCCCGUCUAUAUAAGUGCAUGUUCUCCCGAUGCCAGUUACCACGCGGGAGAACACAACAACGCCGCCAGGCCGCCGAACCUCGACGCCGAACUGCUCGUCACCAUCGCCGCUCGUCGUCCGUGCUCCAUCGACGAAGGGUUCCCUAUGAUGUCGGUCGUUUCAUGCUAUCCAACGCCAUCCCUAAUCCACUCCUCCCCACGCGCUGGUGAGCUCCCCUCACCAUCCCGACCCCCUCUGCUCCCCACGCGUCCAUUCCCCAUCAUCGCCAUAUUCUUCGGCGAAGGACCCCCGUUCCCCCUCCACUCCUCCCUGUCCGGCGCAAGACCCCUGACCACCUGAUCCUAUGUAUUUAUUUUUGCCAAAAAUUGCAUGAGGAGUCUGGUUCUCUCCCAUGCUUUGUUCAAAUGGUGGUGGCAAUGUCAGUACCGAUAAUUUCUCUUCCUAAGGGUUUCUUCCUGAAUUGAUUGUCUAUUGGUGAAUGGAGACAUGUUUGAAGUGUUGAUCCUCUAAGAAUGUCAUUGUAGUUGUACACUACUCAAAGUUCUGUCCAUUUAGUGGCAGACUAAAAAUUGCAUUUUUUAUUUAUCCAUUGAUGUGGAAGAGCAUAGCUAAAAAAUUCUCAGGAGUGGAGUAGGGUUAUCAUAAAAUAGAAACCACUAUAUAACUUCUAUUACGGGAGGAGUCCCCGAUGAUCGCGGGAGAGGAAUCCCAUACGAUCGCCGGUGAGGAGUCCCCGGCGACCGCUAGUGGGGAGUACGACGAUCACCGAUGAGGAUCGAGUCCACGAUGACCGCCAAUGAGGAGUCCCCGAUGAUCACCAGUGAAGAGUCCUCGACGAUCGCCGGAGGAGUCCACGACGAUCGCUAGUGAGGAGUCCUCGACAAUUGCUGGUAAGGGUCAAGUCCCCGAUGGGCAGCUAGAGCAACCAGAUCCAGCAUUGGAUGAUAGUGCCGUCCCAUCUAUGCGGAAAAGUAGCAUGUGACACAAGGGGCUUCGGUCCGAUGAUGCACUGCUGGCUCUCUACCCCUGGAUGAUAUCAAAGAGAGGACAGAUUGUGAGCUACACCAAAAAAUGAAGAACAUAUCCACGAAGGUGUCGGUCGGCUUUGCUUUACCGAAUGCACCUGAAGCAACUAUCCAUUGCAAUCCGAUUCCAGCUAGCUAGGAUAAAGUCGGGGUGGGUGAAAUUCUGCCGAGAUAUGAGACACUACAGCUUGACAUUCCUAGAGGUGAAGUGAGUGAGACGUUGGGAGAACUCAUACAUUGUGUCAUUUUAUGGAGUAAGGAAUGCAUCAUGUUUCGAUACUCGGCACCAAGGAAACCGACUUCUCCGAGCAACAAUACACCUCGAAGUACACCCAACGUUGCGAUCCCUAGUGCGAGUCCAGGUCGAUCGCUGCCGCAUCAGCCGACUCCACCCCGUAUGUCCCAGAUGGGCCAAAAGCGGAAGACCACUCCUCCGUCGACAAUUAAUCCUAUUGAGAAGAGAUCUACAAAGAAGAAAGCUUAAUGCAAGCCUCCUACCAAAAAUAAGUUAGCGUAUGAUAUGACUGACGAGGAACUCAACGAGAUCGUGGUUUCUGAAGUAAAGUCCCAUUUUGCACCGAAACGGCUCCAGCCGCCAAAGGAGAUAAUACUUGAGAAAACCAUAGUCCACUUUGUGGAAUUUCAUCAGCGACCCCCCAUCACAUGUGGACAAUAGGCCAUCAGACUGUGACCGCUCUAUUAGGAUGUUAUAUGAAAAACAAAUGCAGUAGUCGAAACCUACAAAUAGUUAAAAAAGAGGGAAAACAGUUCCCCAGUUCGGAGAAAAUGCAAUGAAAUUGACCCCCCCUCGCUCAAGGUGACGACUGAUGCUACUAAAAACAUCGGUCUAAGUGUUAAUUAACUCCUAGGCACCGAGGAAGUCCCCGUAGAUGAAGUAGCAUGCGAUAUAUCGCCAAGCAAUCUCUGGUGAGACCUGAGCAGGUCCCGCAACUAUCAACGCAAAUGUGAAUAUUGCAUGGGUGGUACAUGAAAGAAGUUUCCCUCGGGCGAUUGUAGAUCAUGAUGAAAGUCAAGAAAGAGCAGUACUUCUAUGAAAACGAGCUAUACAUUGAGUUUGAUGUAUUAUUUCAGUUAUACAAUCAAGACGCACUCGACAAAUCUAUCGUGAGUUUCUAUUGUCUAUAAGUGAUUUCUUUCUGUAAUUUAAGUCUCGAACUCGGCUCGUUCAUUGACUGUAAUUAUCCUCACUAUAUUAUUUUGUACGCUAUUAUGCAGAAUGAAGAUUACCAAUGCAAAAGAAAGGGAAUCUAUGCCAUUGGGUACAUUGACCCAUACAUUCUUACUAAAAAAUUGAUAGAAGACCGCCCCGAAGACUCAGAGAUGAACUUGCUAAGGUUUUUAAAGGCAUAAAAUACCAAAAAAAUACUAUGGCCUUACAAGUUCAGGUGAGUGUUACUAUCUUGUACUACAAAUUCUGUUUUGCUUACUUGAUGUUAAGUGUAGUUGAUGAGUUAUGCAUACUUUCUUAUAUAAACGUGUGUCGGGUUCCACUGGAUGCUGCUAAUCAUUAGAGUUGAUGCUGGAAUGGUUGAAGUCCUAGACUCACUAGGUAAAAACACUCAAGAAUACACCAGCAUGGUUAAAAUGUACCAUAGGUAAUUUCAAUCAUUAUCGCACUAUAUCACCCUCUUUCGUUCAUUUCCUGAUAUCAAGUACUCCCUCCGCCCGGAAAUACUUGUCGGAGGAAUGAAUGUAUUUAGAUGUAUUUAUUUCUAGAUACAUCCAUUAUUAUUCACUUUUGUGACAAGUAAUUCCAGACGGAGGGAUUAAUUAAUAACUCUUUUAUUCAUUUAAUUUGCCGGGCAGGGUUUGGAAGCGAUUCAUUAGAGAGGUUGUUAGUGAAUGGAAACUGGAGCUCCGUUGGAAAAUGGUCAAGGUAAUUAAAUAAGAACUACUAGCUAGGUUCGUGCAUCUUUUUAAUUUUAUACCAAAUUGUAAAUAUAUAUGUAUGUAUGAGAAAUUAUAUUAUAUAUGCACCAACAUGUACAAUAUGUAGUAGCGUAAACUAUGUUUCAAAUGAAAAAGAAUUGAAUGAAAAACACAAAAUGAAAAGGAAAAUAAACUAUAAACCCUAAACCCUAAAACCCUAAACUCCAAACAAAAAACAAAAUCUUUAGUCUCGGUUUGUGACACCAACCGGGACUAAAUGUCCUCCAGCCCCCGGCGCACGCCCGUGGCCACGUGGAGGGACUUUAGUCCCGAGGUGUGGCCAACCGGGACUAAAGGUCGGACCCUUUAGCCCCAACCCUUUAGUCCCGGUUGGUGACCUAGGACUAAAGGUAGUUCCCAACUCGGACUGAAUCCCCGUGUUCUACUAGUGUUUGCAUCCACCCAUCUGCAGUACCUCGCAAAUCCGACAUUUUUUGCUCGCCUCAUAUUCUUCCACUCUCAGUCCGUCCAUCAAGGAAGGAUAUCGUCGUUGUUAACCAUCAAGGACGUCGUGAGUCCCUGUGUCCGUCGGAGCUUGUUCGCAUCCUCAUCCACGAAGGAGGUAUUUGCCCAUGUUCUCUUCGUCAACUCAUUUUUUCAUAUCUGCAGCAUGAACUUCUUUUGUAGGAUUUAGUCGAUGUUGUAAAUAUUGUAAAAAAUCGUUAAAUGUGAAGAUAGAUAAGUUGUGGAUGGUCUGGUUCAUUGUGCAUAAACCAUCUUUACGUUAACCACCACCUGAGGCAUGGCUAGAAGACUCGAUGACCAUUUAUAAUUUGAGACAAAAGCUUGUGGAUCAUGGUUUACUCUAUAAUGAUUUCAUUUACUAUUGAAGCUGGGUUUACCCAAGUGACAAGAUCAAGUGGAACUUCAGCAACAAGAAUAAGUUUAGCUCAGGUUACAAGAGGAUGUUGAAGUCAAGCAACGAGGUGGUGAUGAGGAACCCCAGGUGCAGGACCAGGUUCAGCUCAAGUGAGUGGCUGCCGAGCUUCAACUCGAGUUGGUGUUUGAGGUUAAACAUUGGUGGAAGGAUUAGUUUGACUGAACUCACAAACGAUAGCACAGUCGGGAAGAUGAUUGAAGAAUACAAACCAUUUCACAUGGUUGAAUUGCAUUGUUACAGUAGACCAGAUUGGUUUGCAGACCCUCCUCCAAUUACAAAAGCAGAUGUUGUUAACAACUCUUAACAUCAUGUUUGAAGUUGUUUCGUUAUGAUUUGCCACUGAUUGAGAACAUGUACCAUCUCUUGUGUGAAAACUCUAAAUUUGCCAUCGCGGUGGCAUACGGUUAUGAUUUGCUCUAUUCAUGUUCAUUUUAUCUUCAAUGUGUUUUUAAUUACACUACGGUAGCAUUGAAAUAACAGUACAUAGUGCAAUAAAUUUAGAGAAACCAACUUUAGAGCAACCCAGUUUAUUCCCUCUCUUCAAACUUAACAAAGCAUAUUGUUACAUGAAUCUGAAUCCAGUCUCACUCACUAGGUCUUUGCUGGCCUUUUUCCGAGCGCAACACUCUUUGACUUGCUUUUGAUACUUCACUUUGUGUUUACUCUUUUGCUUCUCCACCAACAUAUUCUUAUCUUUUCUCUCCACGUACCCGACACCGAACCAAUACUGCUCAUAUCGUUUCUUGUUUUCAAGCUAGCAUUUGCUUGGCCACCUAGCACCUUCCUGCAACGAGUUCAUAGGUGUUUUUCAAAAACUCGAGCAAGAAUUCGGAUUUGAGAGGAUAUGGACAGUUUGACUUACAAAGUAUGCCGCGGGCCCCUGGGUGUGUUUGGAGACAAAUCCCGACUAACCCGUUUCUCCUUUUGUUCGUACCUGGAAUAACUCUAUGAUGUAGCAGGCUAGAACACCGCAAUGAAAGUGUACUACAUGUGGCACAAAGGAAUCUAGUUCGUCGAGGGAUGGCAUAUCUGCUGGUAGGAAGGUGCCGCUGUGGGGUCCUACAAGUUCAUUCAAACUCCCUUUUUCUUUCAUGCAAAGAGUAUCCCAUGGUUACGAUGCAGAUAUGCAAAAACAAUGUCGGUGCGUGAGAGUUAAAGAUGGUCCGAGUGUCUGUAUUCAAAAGUCAAUACGUCUGAUAUUAUAGAUGGAUGGUCUCAACCUCACGGGCUCUCUUUAACAGUUUGGCGGCCUCGCUCACUAUGUGGGCUUUGGUGGGCUAGCCUUUGUCCUCAUUAUCCUUGUGUUUUCUUCACCCGGGGCGACAACCUAGCUCCUCCACAUUCUCCUUUCCCCAAAUCUUUCUCAUUGAUAUGCUACCACCGCUUGACCUUGGUUCUGAAGGAAGUUACGGCCGGUUGGCCGGCGUUACGCCUAUACACACACCCUAAGCUGGCCCUGACCCGUCGUACACAUCGUCAAGACUCCAUACGACAUGAAAUGUCUACCGGUGUUGUUGUUUCAGGGCAGAUUCAACCGUGGUAGGAAGUAAGUUACCGUAGUUGUCAAAGUUUUUCCCUUUUGUCCGGUGUACUAUCGAAUUAGUUGGGUAGGGCGUUGUCAAAGCUUGUUGUCUUUCAAGUUAUCUUAGAUCUAGUUCCCUUCUUAUUCCGCGGCUCCUGUGUGGAACACUUACAAUAGUUUGCCGUGUUCUUGCACAGAGUACAAACGUGAAUAGGUUUGGUGCUUCUUGUGCUAGCCAAUAUUUGGAUUUGGUCCCUCAUUUGUACCAUACAACAACAAAUGAUUCGCUCGAAGAUGGUAACACUACUACCUUUGAGAUAGUUGUUUUCAACUUUAUGUUACAAAUGAUUCAUCACCACUUGGUGAUAAUGGUAAUAAUCUUUGAUUUCCAGACGAUAGCGAUAAGGUUGCAAUUCCCGAGUAGUAUGGAAGUGCAUCAAGCAUAACUUCCACCUUUUAACACGGGAGUCGGGCACAUGAGGAAGCUACCGUGGCCUCAACUAAUGUUCAAUAGUCUAAAUCAAUCCAGCAACAACAGGUACUACCUUGUUGUAGGACAAGACUAGCACUGUUUGACUGUUGAUGCCGCUCUGGUAUGUACAUUUAUUUUUACAUCCUUUUAUCUGUGAUUUGAUCAGUCAUAGUUAAUGCAGGUGGUUCCAGCGUUGAACCAACUUCACAUAUAGAAGCACCAGGUGAAUGCACCCCAAUAUUGAACUUUCUGUCGAUCAUAAUGCACAUGGUAAUGACCAGAUCUAUGAUGGUCCCAGUACCGAUUACCCGGUAUCUGAACAAAUACACGAAACAAAUGUAGCAGAGGAUGUUGGUGGCUGCAUCGACAACCCGUUAUCCCACAAUCAAUUCGGGCCAUUGGAAUGCAAUGUAGCGGAGUAUGUUGACGUAGGAUAGGAUGUUGAUGUAGCUUUAUUAUUAGCGGCCAUGCCUAGAUAUGCAGUAACACAAGAUUCCACAAACGCAUCUGAAGGAUGUACUCAGAAGCAUCGUACGAUUUCAUCGCCCCUGUGACGCCCUCGAUUUAAUCGUACGCUAACCAUACACGCAAAUGCAUACGAUCAAACCCAAGGACUCACGGGAAGUAUCACAACACAACUCUAGACACAAAUAAAAUAACAUCAGCUUCAUAUUACAAGCCAGGGGCCUCGAGGGCUAGAAUACGAAAGCUCGAUAAACACACGAGUCAGCGGAAGCAACAAUAUCUGAGUACAGACAUAAAACAAGGGGUGCCUUAGAGAAGGCUAGCACAAAAGAAACACGAUCCAACGAGGCGAGGCCUCCUGCCUGGGAACCUCCUAAACUACUCAUAUCUUCAGCGGCCUCCAUGUAGAAGACACCAUCGGGACGGCAAGCGUCGGCAGGAAGAACUCCAUCUCCUGGGCUCCAUCAUCUGGUCGCAGCAAACGGAUCAAGGGGACAAGGGGAGAGCAAAGCAGCGGUGAGUACUCAUCCAAAGUACUCGCAAGUCUUACAUCAGAACUAUUCUAAUUAUGCAUCAGUAUAAAAGAAGGGGGGGUUAUAUGUGGACAGACUGCAGCAAUGCAAGAAUAGAGAGAGAAGGCCUAGUCCUAUUGAAGACUAGCAUCUUCAAGGUCUUGCAGCAAUAGACGAGAGUAGAACAGGGGUAACACAUUAAUAGUCAUAUUGUUGCAGCAAUAUUAAAGCGAGGUCAUGCCUAAAGAUCCUCCCUCGACUCCCUGCGAGGAAGUAAUCCCGAGGCAAACUAAUGAUCCAGUUAAGUAACAAUUGUAGUUGUAAAAGAUCGGGGCACAACUCCAAGUCGUCCUGUAACAGUGGACACGACUAUCCGAAUAGUUAAUUUUCAUCCCUGCAGGGGUGCACCACAUGUCCCGUCACGCUCGAUAACACUCUGGCCGGACAUACUUUUCUGGGUCCUGCCCGGCCUCGGAAUAUCGACACGUCGUAGUCCCACCUAAGACUAAUCAGAGAGGCCAGCCCGCCGGUCUAACUCCUAAGCACAAAGGGUUCGUGGGCACAGUUCCCCUUCGCGCUCCUGCACGUGGCGUGGGCGGCCGACAUCAGUCCUAGCAUCCCUUAAUCACAAGAGCGACGCAUCUCGGGACCACUCGGGCGCGCGCCGCUACAUUGCUGGCAUCUGAAAAGCUUCGGCUGAUACCGCGAUGCUGAGUACGCAUAAUUCUUCCCGCGUAGCCGGUUAGUGCAAAAAGGUCUCCGACCAACCCAGAUCAAAUACCCAAAUCCAUUAACAUUUUAAAUAGGCCAACAACACAGUCUCACGGGAAUCCACCCGUCUUACAACUAAUCACCAAUGAUCCCAGUAAAAUGGUCGAGUAACUGUAUGGCUGUAACAUCAGGGGGAAUCCGAGGUAUCACCCUCGUUGGACUCCGAACGAUGUACCCGUCAAGGUGGACUUAGAGGAAUCACCCUCGAGGGUCCCACACUUGAGGGGUUGCACGACAGAGGCGUCAUCGGGAAUGGUGAAAGAGGAAUCACCCUCGAUAACCAGGACCAACUAGCUAUACUACAGAGAUAUCAUCAGGAGUACUUAGCGAGGUGUCACCCUCGGUACUCGAUAGUAUGUGUGUAGCGUCGUACAACAAAGGGGGUGAAUGUGCUGUGUCGGGUCUAGCUCGUUGAUCAGGGAUCGAGAUUUGAAAACAAGCGGGGCAACUGAACUACGGGGUCAUAGGGGAUGACUGCUCCACCUAUACUAGGCAUAUUAAAGGUACAGGACUGAAAGUAGCAGUUCAUCAAAAACAUGCUAUGCAUCAGAUAUAGGAGCUAACUACAACAGUAGCAAAAUACUAAUGCAAUCAGUAGGAAGAAAGACAUAGGCGAUAUAGGAAUGAUCAAGGGGGUUUGCUUGCCUUGCUGCUCCGCGGCAAAGGACUGAUCGACAGGGUCGUAGAUGUACCCGGAAGCAGCGUCAGUCUCGGGGUCUACCGGUAAGAAGAGGGGGAAGAAACAAUAAAUAAUAGCAACGGUGCAACACAAAGCAUGACAUGGCAAGAUGCAGGAUAGACAUGAGCUAACGCAGCAACAUCCGUCAUAGACGGGUCGGAAGAAUAUCUGACGAUAUUUUCCGGGUCUCGUGCUACUACCGGUCAGAUUGGAAACGAUGGAAAAGUUCCAUGUUUGCUAUGCUAGGGACGCGCGACAAACGAAUGGACCGUGUAUUCGGGUUCGUCUCGUUCUGCUGACCAACUUUCAUGUUGAAAAUAUUUUGAUCUGACUUACAGAUUAUUUAAUAUUAAUUUUUAAUGUUUUAUUCAAUAAUUAGGAAUUAAAAACAAAUUUGAAUAAUUUAAUAAAAAGCUAUUAUGACAUCAGCAUGAUGGCAUGGUGACAUCAACAGUUGACUGGUCAACUGACCAGCGGGUCCCGAACGUCAUAGGCACAAGUUUUAAUAUAGAUUAAAUAUUAAUUACUCAGAUUAAUUUAGUGGGGGACCCACGUGUCAUACUAUAAUUAUCCUAAAUAUCCAAUUAAUUAAUUUAACUAAUAUAUAUCUAUUUAUUUAUUUAAUAAAAACAUUAACAUUAUCUUUAUUUUUUUAAUUAUCGCGUGGGGCCUCCCUGUCAUAGACAGCGGGUGCGUUGGCCCCACCGGUAAGUGACCUUAGGACAAAUACUCGAUUUUAUUCAUUGAUAUAAACAUGCAAAUAUCGUAUUCCUCCAAAUACCUAUAUACGCAAUACAUACAUCGCAUCUCAUACAUACAUACAUUCAUAUAUAGGAAUACAUCAUUUGUUUUUAUUUUAUUUAACUCCCACACUCUCAUCUCUCUCUGUUAACAGACAACAGAGAACACAACAAAGAGUCUGUGUUAACCUCCUAAACAUAGAAGAGAGCUAACUUCAUCUCCUCCUACCGGAGUCAAACGUCGACGGAUCGGAGCCCCGUUUGCCGGAACGGAACCGGGACGGUGAGGGGAACGCGAUGGUGGGAGGAGCCCGAGGAGGGGCUCACCAACGUUGAUGAGACGGCCCGGUGAAGCUGGAGUUCUAGUGAGGCGGAGGUGACGGCGGUGAUGGCGCGGUUCCGGUGGUAAAGGUGACGGUGAGGACGGUGGUGACGGCGGUGACGGUCGUCGGAGAGGGCCUCCCGGAUUCGUGGCCGGAGAGGAGAGCCCUCCGGUGAAGAAGGGGCCAGCCGGAUCCGGCGAGGGUUGCCCCGGCCUCAAGGGGAGGGAGGCCGGCCGGGUGGGAGGCAGGGGAGGCCCGGUGGGGGAGGGGGGCUUGCCGGCGGGGUGGAGAUGUWGGGGAGGGGCUCGACCGGCGGUUAAAGGGGCCGAGAUGGGGAGGCUCGCCGGCCGGUGAGGGAACCGGCGGUGGAGGGUGAUGCGUGGGGAGGGACUGGGAGGCCGACGGGGGGAGUGGAGCUCGCCGACCGGGGUGGGGGCCGAGGUGGAGAGGAGGGCCUCGGUGGGGGAGAACGAGAGGUGGGGAGGAGGGGUUACCGAGAGAGACAGGGGAUCGUGGGGUGUUGGUGGGGGGGUCUGGUGACCGAGUAGGUGGGGGGGCCUCGAGGGGUGAUGUUGGCGGGAUGGGAGGCGAGCGGGAGGGGGGCUGGCGGCGGCCACUAGGAAACGGGAGGAGUGGUUUGGUCGCUUAGGGUUUUCCCCNNNNNNNNNNNNNNNNNNNNNNNNNNNNNNNNNNNNNNNNNNNNNNNNNNNNNNNNNNNNNNNNNNNNNNNNNNNNNNNNNNNNNNNNNNNNNNNNNNNNGCUGGUUCCCUUCCCCACUUGGCCCAAUUUACCUCCCGGGGUCGUUGACCCCCCUUCGGUGGACCCCCGGGGCCACCUCCGGUGGUCCCGGUGGUCCCGGUACAUUACCGGUGAUGCCCGAAACACUUCCGGUAUCCGAAACCAUCCGUCCUAUAUAUCAAUCUUUACCUCCGAACCAUUCCGGAGCUCCUCGUGACGUCCGGGAUCUCAUCUGAGACUCCGAACAACUUUCGGUAACCUCGUAUAACAAUUCCCUAUAACCAUAGCGUCAUCGAACCUUAAGUGUGUAGACCCUACGGGUCCGGGAGACAGGCAGACAUGACCGAGACGCCUCUCCGGCCAAUAACCAUCAGCGGGGUCUGGAUACCCAUGGUGGCUCCCACUUGCUCGACGAUGAUCUCAUCGGAUGAUCCACGAUGUCAAGGAUUCAAUCAAUCCCGUAUACGAUUCCCUUUGUUUGUCGGUAUAGAACUUUGCCCGAGAUUCCAUCGUCGGUAUACCUAUACCUUGUUCAAUCUCGUUACCGGUAAGUCUCUUUACUCGUUCCGUAGCACGUCAUCGUGUGACUAACUCCUUAGUCACAUUGAGCUCAUGAUGAUGUUCUACCGAGUGGGCCCAGAGAUACCUCUCCGUCACACGGAGUGACAAAUCCCGAUCUCGAUUCGUACCAACCCAACAGACACUUUCGGAGGUACCCGUAGUGCACCUUUAUAGUCACCCAGUUACGUUGUGACGUUUGAUACACCCAAAGAACUCCUACGGUAUCCUGGAGUUGCACAAUCUCACGGUCGAAGGAAAAGAUACUUGACAUUAGAAAAGCUUUAGCAUACGAACAAUACGAUCUAGUGCUAUGCUUAGGAUUGGGUCUUGUCCAUCACAUCAUUCUCCUAAUGAUGUGAUCCCGUUAUCAAUGACAUCUAAUGCCCAUGAUCAGGAAACCAUGAUCAUCUAUUGACUAACGAGCUAGCCAACUAGAGGCUUGCUAGGGACACUUUGUGAUCUAUUUAUUCACACAUGUAUUACUGUUUCCUGUUAAUACAAUUAUAGCAUGAACAAUAGACGAUUAUCAUGAACAAGGAAAUAUGAUAAUAACCAUUUUAUUAUCGCCUCUAGGGCAUAUUUCCAACAGCGCGUGGCAAAGUUGUGUCUCAAAAACCCUAAAACCUCUAGUACAUAUAGGAGGAGGGGAGGGGCUAGCCUCGGGGCUCAAGGGAGCCCCUAGGCUGCCGGCCGAGAGAGGAGGAGGAGACCCCAACUCCAAUUCGGUUUGGGAAGGAGGAGCCCCCUCCUUCCUUCACACCUCCCUCUCCUUUUUUUUCUUUUCUCUUUGGUUUUUUUCCUUAGCCGACAUAGCCCACUUGGCCUGGCCUCACCAGCCCACUAAAGGCUGGUGCGCCACCCUUGGGCUAUUAGGCUCACUCCCGGGUGGGUGGGCCUCUCCCGGUAAAAACUCGGAACCCAUUCGUCACUUGUGUUACACUGCCGGUAAUGUCUGAAAUCCUUCCGAGACCAAAUGAAACAAUCCUAUAUAUCAAUCUUCGUUUCCGGACCAUUCCGUAAACCCUCAUGACGUCCGUGAUCUCAUCCGGGACUCCGAACAACCUUCGGUUACCAACACCUAUAACUCAACUAUACCGAAACGUCACCGAACCUUAAGUGUGCAGACCCUGCGGGUUCGAGAACUAUGCAGACAUGACCUGAGACACUCCCCGGUCAAUAUCCAACAGCGGGACCUGGAUGUCCAUAUUGGAUCCUACAUAUUCUACGAAGAUCUUAUCGGUUGAACCUCUGUGCCAAGGAUUCAUAUAAUCCCGUAUACCAUUCCCUUUGUCCUUCGGUAUGUUACUUGCCCGAGAUUUGAUCGUCGGUAUCUCUAUACCUAUUUCAAUCUCGUUACCGGCAAGUCUCUUUACUCAUUCCGUAAUAAAAGAUCUCGUGACUAACACAUUAGCCACAUUGCUUGCAAGGCUUAUAUGUGAUGUUGUAUUACCGAGUGGGCCCCGAGAUACCUCUCUGUCACACGGUGUGACAAAUCCCAGUAUUAAUCCAUGCUAACUCAACGGACACCUUCGGAGAUACCUGUAGAGCACCUUUAUAGUCACCCAGUAAAGUUGCCCUUUGGAGAUACCUGUAGAGCACCUUUACAUGAUCUCAUGGUCAUAGGAAUGAAUACUUGACACUCAGAAAACAAUAGCAACAAAAUGACACGAUCACAUGCUACGUUCAUAGUUUGGGUCUUGUCCAUCACAUGAUUUUCCUAAUGACGUGAUCGAGUCAUCAAGUGACGACACUUGCCUAUGGUCAGAAAACCUUAACCAUCCUUGAUCAACUGGCUAGUCAACUAGAGGCUUACUAGGGACAUUGUUUUGUCUAUAUAUCCACACAUGUAUCUAUGCUUUCAUUCAAUGCAAUUUUAGCAUGGAUAAUAAACGAUUAUAUUGAAACAGGAAACAUAAUAAUAACUAUUUUAUCAUUGCCUCUAGGGCAUAUUUCGUACAGUCUCGCACUUGCACUAGAGUCAAUAAUCUAGUCUCACAUCGCUAUGUGAUUUACAUUGGAAUGAAUCUAACACACAUACAGUUCUGGUGUUGAUCAUGCUUAGCUCGUGGAAGAGGUUUAGUUAGCGGAUCUGCAACAUUCAGAUCUGUAUGCACUUUGCAAAUAUUUACGUCCUCUCCUUUGACAUAGUAGCGGAUGAGGUUGAAGCGUCGUUUGAUGUGUCUGGUCUUCUUGUGAAACCGUGGUUCCUUUGCUAGAGCAAUGGCAACAAUGUUGUCACAGAACAGAGUUAUUGGAUUUAGUGCACUCGGCACAACUCCAAGAUCUGUCAUGAACUGCUUCAUCCAGACACCCUGCUUAGCUGCCUUCGAGGCAGCCAUGUACUCCGCUUCACAUGUAGAAUCUUCUACGACGCUUUGCUUGGAACUGCACAAGCUUACCGCACCCCCAUUGAGAAUAAACACGUAUCCGGUUUGAGAAUUAGAGUCAUCCGGAUCAGUGUUAAAGCUUGCAUCAACGUAACCCUUUACGACGAGCUCUUCGUCACCUCCAUAUACGAAAAACAUUUCCUUAGUCCUUUUCAGGUACUUCAGAAUAUUCUUCACCGCCGCCCAGUGUUCCACUCCUGGAUCACUUUGAAACCUGCGUGCCAUACUUAUGGCCAGGCCGAUGUCCGGUCUUGUGCACAACAUUGCAUACAUGAUACACCCUAUGGCUGAAGCACAGGGGAUGGUACUCAUCUUUUCUCUAUCUUCCGCAGUUCCUGGACACUGAGUCUUACUCAACUUUAUACCUUGUAACACUGGUAAGAACCCCUUCUUGGACUGCUCCAUUUUGAAAUUCUUAAAAACUUUAUCAAGGUAUAUGCUUUGUGAAAGUCCUAUUUGGCGCCUCGAUCUAUCCCUAUAGAUCUUAAUGCCUAAUAUGUAAGCAACUUCUCCUAGGUCUUUCAUUGAAAAACAUUUGUUCAAGUAAUGCUUUACGCUCUCUAAAAACUCCACAUUGUUUCCAAUCAGCAAUAUGUCAUCCACAUAUAAUAUUAGAAACACUAAAGAGCUCCCAAUCACUUUCUUGUAAAUACAAGAUUCUCCAACAACUUGUAUAAACCCAAAUGCCUUGAUCACCUCAUCAAAGCGCUUAUUCCAACUCCGAGAUGCUUGCACCAGUCCAUAAAUGGAUCGCUGGAGCUUGCAUACUUUGUUAGAAUUAUUUGGAUUGACAAAACCUUCAGGUUGCAUCAUAUACAACUCUUCCUUAAGAAAACUAUUAAGUAACGCCAUUUUGACAUCCAUCUGCCAGAUUUCAUAAUCGAAAAAUGCAGCUAUUGCUAACAUGAUUCGGACGGACUUAAUCAUCGCUACCGGUGAGAAUGUCUCAUCGUAGUCAACUCCUUGAACUUGUGAAAAAUUCUUUGCCACAAGUUGAGCCUUAUAAACAGUCACAUUAUCGUCCGGGUCCGUCUUCUUCUUAAAGAUCCAUUUGUUCUGAAUAUCCUUGCGACCUUCAGGUAAUACUUCUGAAGUCCACACUUUGUUUUCAUACAUAGAUCCUAUCUCGGACUUCAUGGCCUCUAACCAUUUGUUGGAAUCCGGACCCACCAUUGCUUCUUCAUAAUUCAGAGGCUCAAUGUUGUCUAACAACAUGAUAGAUAAGACAGGAUUCCCGUACCACUCGGGAUCAGUAUGUGAUCUUGUCGACCUCCGAGGUCCGACAGUAACUUGAUCCAAAGCUUCAUGAUCAUCAUCAUUAGCUUCCUCCUCAACAGGUGUUGCCUCGACAGAGAUUUCUCUCUGCCCUGCGCCAUCAUCUAGAGGGAGCAGAGGUUCCACAACCUCAUCAAGUUCUAUCUUCCUCCCACUCAAUUCUUUCGAGAGAAACUUCUUCUCAAGAAAAGCUACGUUCUUAGCAACAAACACUUUGCCCUCGGAUCUGAGAUAGAAGGUGUACCCAACUGUCUCUUUUGGGUAACCUAUGAAGACGCUUUUUUCCGCUUUGGGUUCCAGCUUUUCAGGCUGAAGCUUUUUGACAUAAGCAUCGCAUCCCCAAACUUUAAGAAAUGACAACUUUGGCCUCUUGCCAUGCCAUAGCUCAUAUGGUGUCCUCUUAACGGAUUUUGAUGGUGCCCUAUUUAAAGUGAAUGCAGCUGUCUCUAAUGCAUAACCCCAAAACGAUAAUGGCAAAUCGCUAAGAGACAUCAUAGAUCGCACCAUAUCUAACAAAGUACGAUUACGAUAUUCGGACACACCAUUAUGCUGUGGUGUUCCAGGCGGUGUCAACUGUGAAACGAUUCCACAUUGUCUUAAGUGAGCACCAAACUCGAAACUCAGAUAUUCACCCCCUCAGUCAGAUCGUAGGAACUUGAUCUUCUUGUUACGAUGAUUUUCAACUUCACUCUGAAAUUGCUUGAUAUUUUCAAAUAUUUCAGACUUGUUCUUCAUCAAGUAGAUAUAUCCAUACCUACUCAAAUCAUCAGUGAAGGUGAGAAAAUAACGAUAUCCGCUGCGCACCUCCACACUCAUUGGACCGCACACAUCAGUAUGUAUGAUCUCCAAUAAGUCACUUGCACGCUCCAUUGUUUCGGAGAACGGAGUCUUAGUCAUCUUGCCCAUGAGGCAUGGUUUGCAUGUGUCAAGUGAUUCUAAAUCAAGUGACUCCAAAAGCCCAUCAGCAUGGAGUAUCUUCAUGCACUUUACACCAAUAUGACCUAAGCGGUAGUGCCACAAGAAGGUGGUGCUAUCAUUGUUAACUCUACAUCUUUUGGUCUCAAUGUUAUGUAUAUGUGUGUCAUCACAAUCAAGAUUCAAUAUGAACAAACCCCUCACAUUGGGUGCAUGACCAUAAAAGAUAUUACUCAUAAAAAUAGAACAACCAUUAUUCUCUGACUUAAAUGAGUAACCGUCUCGCAAUAAACAAGAUCCAGAUAUAAUGUUCAUGCUUAACGCAUGCACUAAAUAACAAUUAUUUAAGUUCAUAACUAAUCGUGAUGGUAACUAAAGUGAGACUGUGCCGACGGCGAUUGCAUCAUCCUUGGAACCAUUUCCUACGCGCAUCGUCACUUCAUCCUUCGCCAACCUUCGUUUAUUCUGCAGUUCCUGCUUCGAGUUGCAAAUAUGAGCAACAGAACCGGUAUCAAAUACCCAGGCACUACUACGAGAGUUGGUUAGGUACACAUGAAUAACAUGUAUAUCACAUAUACCUGGUUUGGCGUUGGUGGCCUUCUUAUCAGCCAAAUACUUGGGGCAGUUGCGCUUCCAGUGACCCAUCCCCUUGCAAUAAUAUCACUCUGUUUCUGGCUUAGGUCCAGCCUUGGUUUCUUCGUCGGAUUGGCAACAAUUUUGCUGCUCUUCUUAGAGUUACCCUUCUUGCGUUUGUCGUUUCUCUUAAAACCAGUGGUCUUAUUGACCAUCAACACUUGAUGUUCUUUCCGGAGUUCUAACUCUACAACUUUCAGCAUCGCGAAUAACUCGCCCGGUGACUUGUUCAUCCCUUGGAUGUUAUAGUUCAACACAAAGAUCUUAUAGCUAGGUGGGAGUGAUUGCAAAAUUCUGUCAGUGAUAGCCUCUUGCAGGAGUUCAAUCCCCAGCUCAGCUAGACAGUUUGAGUACCCAGACAUUUUUAGCACAUGUUCACUAACAAACAAAUUCUCCUUCAUUUUGCAAGCAUAGAAUUUAUCGGAGGUCUCAUACCUCUGGAUCCGGGCGUUCUUCUAAAGGAUAAACUUCAACUCCUGGAACAUCUCAUAUGCUCCAUGAAAUUCAAAGCGUCGUUGAAGUCCCGGUUCCAAGCCAUACAAGACUGCACAUUGAACUACUGAGCAGUCCUCCUUACGUGAUUGCCUAGCGUUCAAAACAUCUUGGUCAAACGUAGCGGGUGGUUCAUCUCCUAGCGCUGCAUCAAGGACAUAAGUCUUUUUCCUAGCUUGUAGGAUGAACCUUAGAUUAUGAGCCCAGUCUACAAAGUUGCUACCAUCAUCUUUCAGCUUAGCUUUCUCUAGGAACGUAUUGAAAUUCAGGGUUGCUACUGCGUGAGCCAUUGAUCUACAACAUAAAAUAUUGCAAAGUGGACUUAGACUAUGUUCAAGAUAAUUUAGAGUUUAACUAAUCAAAUUACUAAUAAAAUCCCACUCAAAUAGACAUCCCUCUAGUUAAUUGAGUGUUAUGUGAUCCAAAUUCACUAACUCAAGUCCGAUCAUCACGUGAGUUGAGUAUAGUUUCAAUGGUAAAAAUCUCUAUGCUAAUCAUAUCAACUAUACAAUUCAUGCUCGACCUUUCGGUAUCUUGUGUUCGAGGCCAUGCCUGUACAUGCUAGGCUCUUCAAGUUUAACCCGAGUGUUCCACGUGUGCAACUGUUUUGCACCCGUUGUAUGUCUACCUUGAGUCUAUCACACCCGAUCAUCACGUGGUGUCUCGAAACGACGAACUAUCGCAACGGUGCACAGUCGGGGAGAACUCAAUUUUAUCUUGAAAUUUAGCGAGGGAUCACCUUAUAAUGCUACCGUCGUUCUGAGRAAGAUAAGGUGCAUAAAAGKAUUAACAUCACAUGCAAUUCAUAAGUGACAUGAUAUGGCCAUGAUCCUGUGCUUCUGGAUCUCUAGCACCAAGCACCGGCAUGAUCUUCAUCGUCACCAGCGGCACCCCAUGAUCUCCAUCAUCAUGAUCUCUAUCAUCGUGCCGCCAUCGAGGUUGUCGUGCUAUCUAUGCUAUUAGUACUAAAGCUACAACCUAGCAAUAUAGUAACCGCAUCUGCAAGCACAAACGUUAGUUCAAGGACAACCCUAUGGCUCCUGCCGGUUGUCGUAGCAUCGACGUGCAAGUCGAUAUUUAACUAUUACAACAUGAUCAUUUCAUACAUCCAAUAUAUCACAUCAUGUCUUUGGCCAUAUCACAUCACAUGCAUACCCUGCAAAAGCAAGUUAGACGUCCUCUAAUUUGUUGUUGCAUGUUUUACGUGGCUGCUACGAGUAUCUAGUAUGACCGCAACUUACUUAAGCAAAGACACAACGGUGAUAUGCAAAUUGCUAUUUAACCUUUCUCCAAGGACCGUCUCGGUAAAAUCUGAUUCAACUAAAGUUGAUGAAACAUACACCCGCGAGUCAUGUUUAUGCAACAAGUUGCAUGUUAGUCGAUGAAACCAGUCUCUUGUAAGCGUACGAGUAAGGUUGGUCCGGGCCGCUUUAAUCCAACAAUACCGCCGAAUCGAGAAAAGACUAAGGAGGGCAGCAAAUCGUACAUCAACGCCCACAAAAACUUUUGUGUUCUACUCGAGAUUACAUCUACGCAUGAACCUAGCUCAUGAUGCCACUGUUGGGGAACGUUGCAUGGGAAAAAAAAAUUCCUACGCACACGAAGACCUAUCAUGGUGAUGAUCAUCUACUGGAGGGAUAUCGGAUCCACAUACACUUGUAGAUCACUAAGCGGAAGCGUUAAUAAACGAGGUUGAUGUAGUGGUACGGCUUCACGAUCCGUCCCACGAACCGUCCCACGAUCCCUCCAUGAACGUUCUCAAGAUCCCUCCCACGAUCCGUCCCGAUCAAGUGCCGAACCGACGGCACCUCCGCGUUCCGCACACGUAUAUCUCGAUGACGAUCUCCACCUUCUUGAUCCAGCAAGAAAGGCGGGGAUGUAGAUGAGUUCCCCGACAGCGUGACGGCGCUCUGGUAGUGGUGGUGAUCUAUUCCUGCAGGGCUCCGCCCGAGCUCCGCAGAAAACCGAUCUAGAGGAAGAACUACGAUCUAUAUGAGAGGGCAGCACGUGGCAAAGUUGUGUCUCAAACAGCCCUAAACCUCUAGUAUACAUAGGAGGAGGGAGGGGCAGGCCUUCCGCCACAAGGGAGGAGCCCUUGGGCCGGCCGAAGUGGAGGAGGGAGGAGUCCUCCUCCAACUCCACUUGGAUUAGGACUCCUUCCUUAAUUUCCCACCUCUUUUGGAUUUCUCACUUUUUCCUCAUGGGCUUUCCUUGGAUGACUUUGUCAGCCCAUUGUGCCUUAUUAGGCAUCCAAUAAACCCACGUGGACCCCUUGGGGCGUGGUGGGCUCACCCAGUGGGACCCCGGAACCCAUUCGUCACUCCCGGUACACUGCCGGCAAUGCCCGAAAACCUUCCGGAAUCCAAAUACCAACUUCCUAUAUAUCAAUCUUCGUUUCCAGACCAUUCCGGAACUCCUCGUAACGUCUGGGAUAUCAUCCGGGACUCCGAACAAAAUUCGGUCACCAACACAUAUAACUCAACUAUACUGAAAUGUCACCGAACCUUAAGUGUGCAGACCCUCCGGGUUCGAGAACUAUGCAAACAUGACCUGAGACACUCUCUGGUCAAUAACCAAUAGCAGGACCUGGAUGUCCAUAUUGCCUCCUACAUAUUCUACGAAGAUCUCUAUCGGUUGAACCUCUUUGUCAAGGAUUCAUAUAAUCCCGUAUACUAUUCCCUUUGUCCUUCGGUAUGUUACUUGCCCGAGAUUCGAUCGUCGGUAUCUCUAUACCUAGUUCAAUCUCAUUACCGGCAAGACUCUUUACUCGUUCCGUAAUACAAGAUCCCGUAACUAACUCCAUAGUCACAUUGCUUGCAAGGCUUAUUGUGAUGUUGUAUUACCGAGUGGGCCCCGAGAUACCUCUCCGUCACACGGAGUGACAAAUCCCAGUCUUGAUCCAUGCCAACCCAACAGACACCUUUGGAUAUACCUGUAGAGCACCUUUAUAGUCACCCAGUUACGUUGCGACGUUCGAUAACCCACAAGGUAUUCCUCCGGUUUCCAGGAGUUGCAUGAUCUCAUGGUAAUACGAACAGAUACAUUGACAUGCAGAAAACAGUAGCAAUAAACUGACACGAUCAUACGCUACGUUUAUAGUUUAGGUCUUGUCCAUCACAUUAUUCUCCUAAUGAUGUGAUCCCGUUAUCAAGUGACAACACUUGUCUAUGGUUAGGAAACCUUAACCAUCUUUGAUCAACGAGCUAGUAAACUAGAGACUUACUAGGGACAGUGUUUUGUCUAUGUAUCCACACAUGUAUUUGUGUUUCCAAUCAAUACAAUUAUAGCAUGGAUAAUAAAUGAUUAUCAUAAAAAAUAUAUAAUAAUAACUAAUUUAUUAUUGUCUUUAGGGCAUACUUCCAACAUCGGCUAACCGAUCCAAGUCCAAGGCGCCACCACCGACCACCAUUGGCCUUGUGAUCUGCCGGCAACAACAACGGUGAGCGUUUUUGGUCAUCCUGGGAUGCAGUGCACCAAAGAACGGAGAUGACCCUUAUCACUCUAGCCAUCCUCCGGUGAACGUCCCUAUACACAUCUAUCCGUGCGCACAAAUCAUUCUAGCCUUACACCGAUGCAUGAAGAUCUCUGUUGAAUUGUUUUUCGUCUCACACACUCUUCCGCGCCUUUCGUCGAAGCCGUUGCCCACAGCCUGGCUACCGCCGUCAGCCAAACAGGCUUUGCUUGGCUUGUUUUUUAAGAGAUGAGAUAUAGGCUUGUUUUUUUUCUUUUUUCCGGGGUAGAUAUAGGCUUGUUGAUGUGCCUAGGGGCUCCUUUUCCUUUCCUUCGAACGUUGAUCAACCUUUUUUCUUUAAACGCGGUCCCUUAAGGACCUAUUCACUAAAAUAGGUUGAAGAGAAUUGCCGAGUUAAUUAACGAAAAACCGGGUGAAAUCGGAUACAACACGCCCGAAAAAACAAGGCCCACUGGGUGACUUGGCAACCCACACAUGUUUUCGAAGAGACAAGCAUCGAAGCCUGCGCCGGCGAAAGCCAAACAGUACACCGCACACACGGACAACCAGGCAGCUCCGACUCCAACCACGAGCAUUACAGGAAAAAAGCAUUAGACCCGCGACGAGCCGGUACCACAACCGACCAUCCGUCUCAUGUCAUCGUCACCGCGGAGACACCUCCUCUGCAGCUCCGACUUCAGGAAGACAAGUGAGGCACAGAAAUCCCUCGAACACGCCGGAAGAGAUCGACUACCAAAGCCCAACAGCAAACCAACUCCCCCGCAGCCACCAUCGUUGCCACCGAAUAAGCUGCACUGUAUCACCAUUGCCGGACGAACACCUGUCGAACGCAAUGUCGCGCGCGUCCAGCCCAAGGAGCGCGCAAACGAGAUCCAAAGCUCUUCAGGAUGAUGCCCCAAAGAAGGAAGCGACGAUGUCGACACCGUCGCCCGACCCGACUGGGCCUUAGGCUUUCACCCGAAGAGCUAGAACCGAGGGCGUGUACGGGGUGGACUCCACAAUGACUCCUCCAUGGAGGUAUCACAACAUCCACGGACGUCGACGCCGCCGGCCGGUAAGACCGGCGAACUUUCGCGCCGAGCACCGCCAAACACCACACCCACACGCAAAGCACCGCACCGCUAACCCGCACACCUCCCACGAAGUCAUCACGACAUGACAAGAGAAGCUAGUAGAAACCUCAUCGAUGACCAGAGACACCAUCGAGCCCGAGCCAGCCGAAAACGACCAGAUCCGGUAUCCCACCGCUGGUGCAACACCCGGAAGUCCACCAAAGACUGACACGUCGUUGGACAACGCAAAAAUGAGCCCUAUAUAGCAGGAAGGGGAGGGCCGCACACGCCCCGACUCGUCGGAGAUGUGCGUCCGGGCCUAAGAACCGAAGCCCGCGGACGAAGCAAAAGUGGCUGCCACCCACGAGAGACGCUGCUCGGAGCCGAAGGAGCCAUAGGGACGAGUCCGAGAGGCCAACCUGCACUGUUGCCGAGGCCACUGGCCCGCCUGGAGCCGCCUAGCCGCGCAACCGGAAGGGGAUCGAACCACCGCUACGUCGAGCUCCCACCGCCAGACAAGGAGAGAUGACCCCGUCGCACGCCGCGCCCUGCCCUCCCCCGUCGCGACGACCCCGACCGCGACGACCCACGCCGGAGAAGCCUACGCGAGCGCCGCGUCGAACUCCCGAAGGAGCGGACGGCCCACGCUGUCCAAGUCCGAUCUGGAGGAGGGGAGGGCCCUGCUGCCGCCGAGCCACGCGGGCUUUGCCCGGCGACCCCGCCGGCGACGGCAAGGAGAGGAGGGGACAUGCGGGACGGCGCUGGCGACGGCUAGGGUUCACUCCCUGGCCGCCGGUGGGAGCGACCUGGAGGUGGGUGGGUGUGUUUCGUCGUUGAUCAACAUUAUUUUCCUGCUUCCAUAAAUCAAUGAACGCGAGCAAGUCUGGAUCUUUCAAAAAUAAAAACCGGGCCCAUUUUUAUCAAAUUCGGCAGAUACAUCUCUCAGGCCGAUCAUAAAGAAAAGUUUUAGCUUUCAGUAAACGUUUGCUUCCCGUUUGAGCUGACGCUUAGCUGCAUGUUUAGUUGUGAUAUGGGAUCACGCCAUGUUGAAUGUGAACAGAUUUUGUCGAACCAAGUUUAUAUAUGAACGAAUACAUUCGGGGAUGAGCUGUCUCUCUUACUGAUUGCUCAACUAUACAUAAACACAAUCAAUAUUUUAUUUUGUAUUAUCACAAUGAUAAGGGAAACAAUAACACACAACCAUCGAUCAUUCUUAACAACCCGUACGAUCGAUGCACUAAACGUAAGCAACUAUUGUGCGCACGCAAAUUUAAAAACCUCUACCGGCAAGCCGGCAUCGGUCAAGCCGUCGGGUAGAAGGGCGAGGUGGCGAGGGCACAUGUGCCCGUCGGCCCGACAACGUCCUUGGCGAGGUAGAUGUAUCCCUGGUCGCCCCAAUCGUUGCUCCACGAGUUCUUGGCUAUCCAAAACUUCUCACCGAACUCCUCGCAGUAGCCGACAAUGGUGACGGCGUGGUUGACCCUCGCGGCGUCGGAGGAGCAGGGGCCCCGGAAGAUGCCGCCGGAGUAGAACUGGAACUCCCACGUGCUGGCGUCGAUGUACACCGUCACGGGCUGCCGCGCCACUGCCA